rnacentral:lncRNA from 1 species
CUGGGGGAUGCUGGUAUGUUCUUGCAAUACAGCGUGUUGCUUCUUGUAUCAGACAGCAAUGCAUGAGGACCGCGAACUGUAACCUGAGUCUGUCUUGCCAAGAAGAGGUCUGUUACCAAUUCGUGUCACCCACUAGCACAAUUGGGUUUCCAUGCGUAUCUGGAAACCUCACCAGUGUGGUUAAGAAGCCUAUGUGCUUAGACUCUGACGGACCAUUCCGAUAUGGUAUCUACGGUUGGGCGCUUCCGGUCAUCUCUAGCAACUCUCUUGCCGUUAAGAUACUUUACCCUAUCUUCUGGGGGUUAACCUCUGGCACGUGUGGCUUCAGUUUAGGCUGGCUUACGUCUCGAGAGAGUCACUCGUCGUUGGGUGUGGGAAACUCGUUUGGGAUCCACGCGCCAUCGCGUCACACUACGCACGCUCCCUCACUGGCUUCUGGUUUGAUGUUAUAGUCAUCCUCCCGGUUCCGCAGGUUAAAAACUUUUUCAGAAAAGCCUUCAAACUAUUCCGAUAUUAUUGAAAUAACCAUAAACAUUUUAUUAGAGUCAAUUAAGCCCCCACGAAUCAAUCGAAAGUGUUAUUGUUUGCUUGCAGGCUGUGUUUUGGUUAGUGGUGCCAAAACUGAUAAGAGAAGAGAAGGUUAAGCUGAUAAUGACGAUCCUUCUGCUGAUCUUCUUGUUCCAGUUCCUCCCCAAGAUUUAUCACUGCAUCUGCUUGAUGAGAAGGAUGCAGAAGGUCACUGGUUACAUUUUCGGAACUAUUUGGUGGGGUUUUGCUCUUAACCUCAUCGCAUAUUUCAUCGCUUCUCAUGUAAGUCCAUGCUAAGAAAAUGAUUAUGCACAAAAUCAACAACUAAAUAUCAAAUUCCAUGCUGAGAAAAUGAUACUAAAGCUUGUCUAUUCAUGGAAUCUUUUUGUGUGGUUACAGGUAGCUGGGGGAUGCUGGUAUGUUCUUGCAAUACAGCGUGUUGCUUCUUGUAUCAGACAGCAAUGCAUGAGGACCGCGAACUGUAACCUGAGUCUGUCUUGCCAAGAAGAGGUCUGUUACCAAUUCGUGUCACCCACUAGCACAAUUGGAUUUCCUUGCUUAUCCGGAAACCUCACUAGUGUGGUUAAGAAGCCUAUGUGCUUAGACUCUAACGGACCAUUCCGAUAUGGUAUCUACGGUUGGGCACUUCCGGUCAUCUCCAGCAACUCUCUUGCGGUUAAGAUACUUUACCCUAUCUUCUGGGGUCUCAUGACUCUCAGGUAGUUUCUUGGUUUCAGGUUUCAAUGCUUAAUAACCUUUUAAGUGUUAUAUACUGACCCUGUUUUGUGCGAUUGCGUUUUACAGCACAUUUGGGAACGAUCUUGAGCCCACAAGCAACUGGCUUGAGGUUGUUUUCAGCAUAGUUAUGGUCCUUAGCGGGUUAUUACUCUUCACUCUCUUGAUCGGAAACAUUCAGGUAAACUAUGCAAGGAUAAGUCUCUCCUUAUAUGAUAUUGUGUUUUGAUGGAAUCCAAAAUCUUUAACAACCUGUUUGCUCUCUUUUAAAGGUGUUUUUACACGCGGUGAUGGCAAAGAAGAGGAAAAUGCAGAUACGGUGUAGGGAUAUGGAAUGGUGGAUGAAACGUAGGCAGUUGCCUUCUCGGUUAAGACAGAGAGUUAGGAGAUUUGAGAGGCAGAGAUGGACUGCCUUGGGUGGAGAAGACGAGCUGGAACUUAUACAUGAUCUGCCUCCUGGUCUUCGAAGAGAUAUUAAGAGAUAUCUUUGCGUUGAUCUCAUUAACAAGGUACUAGAAAACAAACCUUAGAUGAAUCCUUUUCAGACAGGUCAAGUAUCUGAUAAUAUGUUUGUUUCUUUCUUAGGUACCAUUGUUCAGGGGCAUGGACGAUUUGAUCCUAGACAACAUUUGCGAUCGUGCUAAGCCUCGUGUCUACUCUAAAGACGAAAAGGUACUCUUCGCAUCAUAAGAGUGUUUUUUUUUUGUCUUUAGUUUUUAAAAUAAGAGUUCUUUAUUGUCACACAGAUCAUCCGGGAAGGAGAUCCUGUACAGAGAAUGAUAUUCAUCAUGCGUGGAAGAGUCAAACGUAACCAGAGCCUAAGCAAAGGCGUGGUAGCCACUAGUACGCUCGAACCAGGCGGUUACUUAGGCGACGAGCUACUCUCAUGGUGCCUCCGACGUCCAUUUAUCGACCGUCUUCCUCCUUCCUCCGCAACAUUUGUCUGUCUAGACAACAUCGAGGCGUUCUCCCUGGGAUCAGAAGAUCUAAGGUACAUAACCGAUCAUUUCCGUUAUAAAUUCGCAAACGAGCGUCUUAAGAGGACUGCAAGAUACUACUCCUCAAACUGGAGGACGUGGGCAGCGGUGAAUAUUCAAAUGUCGUGGCGCCGGUACAGGAAGAGAACCUGUGUAGGCGGUUCGAUGAGUCCUGUGUCGGAACAUAGCGUUGAAGGUAACAGUGAACGCCGUUUACUUCAGUAUGCCGCGAUGUUCAUGUCCAUCCGACCGCAUGAUCAUCUUGAGUAAAACCAAAAAGGUUUUUAAAUUUAUCGGUUGAAAAUAAUUCAUUGUAUCCAUUUUGUCCGUCCUCGAUUGUUUUUUGUUGUUCCAAUUGCUGUGUAAAAUAAAAUCGCUCUUUCGAUGAUGUAUAUGUGCCUUUAUUUGAGUUUAAAACUAGCAUUUGAGUUUUCUCUUAAACUUCAUCUGUUAAUAAUGGUACCAUCUUUACACUACUAAAACAUAUCUUAGGAAGAAUAUUAGACGCCACUAAAAACUUGCACAUUGUUAAUUUAGAAAGUCUUGACGAUUAUCAAUGAACAUUGAAUACAAGUCAUAACAGCAAAGAUUAUUUCUCUUUUUCAACAACAAGAUAAAUGUAAAUGGAAACAAAAAAAACUGGAUGCAAGUCGAUCAUCAAUUAAUCUGAAUUCUAAACAAGGCUGCAAAUGAUUGUGAUAUUUAUGGAGGAAUGUGUAAUAUGUUGAAUCAUAAUGAUCAGGCCGAAGACCCAAAGCCCAAAUAUGUUAAAUACUGUAUAUAUUUCUUAGCUAACAAGUUUGUAAAAUAAAUAUUCUUUCCUUGAUCAAGUAAGAACGACCACCAAGGACGACACUGCAGAUCGUAUUUAGAGUAGUUUCGUGUCCUUCGGAUUCGUCUUAAUCUUCAAUAAUCUCAGCGAUGGCUUCCCUCUUCUUUCGCAAAUUUUAAUUUCGUUUUUUUUUUUUUACAAAUAAUUAAUUCCACUUAAACUCGAUUAAGUUCAAUAGAUAAUCCUCUGAAGUGAUUCAUCGCCGAUCAAAGUUCACAACCACCCGAAACCGAGUCUCCGUUAUCGAUCCAAUCACACCCUCAAUGUCGACGAGCAAGCCCCAAAGAUCUCCAUCCGAAAUCGAGGACAUAAUCCUCCGCAAGAUCCUCUACGUAACCCUAGCCGAUUCCGCCACCGAUCCUCGAGUCGUCUACUUGGAGAUGACAGCCGCCGAGAUUCUUAGCGAAGGCAAACCCCUCCUCCUCUCCCGCGAUCUGAUGGAGAGAGUCCUCAUCGAUCGCCUCUCCGGCAACAACAACUUCCCCUCCUCCUCCGCCGCGGAGCCGCCUUUCCCGUACCUAAUCGGCUGCUACCGCCGCGCGUACGACGAGUCCAAGAAGAUCCAGUCGAUGAAGGACAAGAAUCUGAGGUCGGAGAUGGAGACUGUCACCAGGGACGCGAGGAGGCUCGCGGUUUCGUACUGCAGGAUUCACCUGGCGAAUCCGGAGUUGUUUGGGGGAUCGGAUGAUGCCAGGAAGGCGAAGAAGAGGAGGAACGUGUCUCCUCUGCUUCCGUUGAUCUUCUCCGAGGUUGGUUCUGGCUCGUUGGAUAUGUUUGGAGGUGGUGGUGGGAGUAGUGGUGGUGUUCAGAGUCCUCCUGGGUUUUUGGAUGAGUUUUUCAAGGACUCGGACUUUGAUAACUUGGAUUUGAUUCUCAAGGAGUUGUAUGAGGAUUUGAGGUCUUCGGUUAUUAAUGUGUCUGUGCUUGGAGAUUUCCAGCCGCCGUUGAGGGCGCUUAAGUAUCUUGUUAGCUUGCCUGUUGGAGCUAAGUCUUUGGUUAGUCAUGAGUGGUGGGUUCCGCGUGGGGCUUAUAUGAACGGUCGAGCUAUGGAGUUGACGAGCAUUCUCGGUCCUUUCUUCCAUAUUAGCGCAUUGCCUGAUAACACUCUCUUCAAGAGUCAACCUGAUGUUGGGUGAGUUCCGACUUAUUUCUGGGCUUCUGUUGUUAAAAAAUCUGUAAUCUUUGGGAUUGUUUGGUUAUCAAGUCAGUUAGGACAAUAAGCAAUUUUGUUUAGCACUACUCAAAGUGGAGACUUGAUAAAAAAAAAGAAAGAAGCAGAUGCUUUGGUUUAUAAGAUGACUCUGUUACUGUUAGGUGACGUAUAUUUUAAGCAUGGUUAUACAAAUCCAGCAUAGUUACCCAUAAUAGUUCGCUCUCUGUUUGUUUUUAGAACACCGUGGAUAAAAUCAAUUGUUUUGAGGAUUUUUUUGGUCUUUUCUGAAGAUUCUUGACUGUUCAUUGAACAUUGACAAUUGAAAAGGAUAAAUUGUGCAAAUGAAAAGGUUAUCCUGAUAUACAUGAGAUAAGAUUCUUUGUCUGUUAGGGCAACUCUAAUACAUGUCUAUGUUUUUUUUCUGAAUGUCAGUCAGCAGUGUUUCUCUGGAGCAUCGGAACGUCGUCCUGCAGAUUUGUUAUCAUCCUUCUCUACAAUCAAAAACUUUAUGAACAUUUUGUACAGUGGGCUGCAUGAUGUACUGAUGAUUUUACUUAAAAGCACCGAUACACGUGAGUGUGUUCUACAGUUUCUUUCGGAAGUGAUCAAUGCAAAUGCGUCGAGAGCCCAUAUACAGGUGAUCAUCCCUAAGUAGGAUGUAUAUUUGCUUCGGAUCUUCAUUCAUACCUUGUUAUUGGUCUCCUCCUGGUUUCAUUAAGUUGGUAUUUUUAUUUUCUGCUUAAUCCGGCACUCUUGAAUAUACUGUUGUGUAUGACAGGUUGAUCCAGUUUCUUGUGCUAGCUCAGGCAUGUUUUGUAACCUCAGCGCAGUCAUGCUCCGGCUCUGUGAACCAUUUUUGGACCCGCAUUUUACUAAAAGGGAUAAGAUCGAUCCAAAAUAUGCAUUCGCUGGGCAUCGCUUAAAAUUAAGGUAUGGGCCUCGAGAUAAUUCUACGGCUAUCUCCUCACUGGAUUUUAUAUAUUCUUGAUGAUUUAACAUUAUUUAAUGAUCUACGCCAGCGACUUGACUGCUCUCCAUGCAUCAUCCGAGGAAGUUUCUGAGUGGAUUGACAAGGGUAAUACGGCAAAAGCAAAUGACGCUGGAAACGGAAAUGAAAGUCGCUUGUUACAAUCCAAAGAAGCCACAAGUUCAAGUAGUUCUUCUCAGCAGAAUGCAAAGUCAACAACUAAAUACACUUUCAUUUGUGAAUGCUUCUUUAUGACUGCAAGAGUCCUCAAUUUGGGUCUCUUAAAAGCACUCUCGGACUUUAAACAUCUUUCUCAGGUAACCAUCACUAUUUUUCCCGAACUUAAAAUAUUAUGGAGAAACAAUUAUGAUAAACUAUCUUGGAGACACCUCUUGUUUAAUUUGGUUGCUGACAUAUUUUCUGGACAAAGCAUUUGGUAGUAAUUGCAAAGAAAAUAUGAAUUUACUUCGUUUAGAUUAUGAAAGAGUCAUUAAUGCCUGGAUUUUCAGAAGAUAGUUAUUGUACUGUUCUUUACUGUUAACUUUUUUUGCAUGAUGUAGGACAUCUCGAGAGGUGAAGACAAUCUUGCAACAUUAAAAGCCAUGAGAGAUCAAGCACCGUCUCCACAGUUGGAGCUUGACAUAACCAGAAUGGAAAAAGAAUUAGAGUUGUAUUCUCAGGAAAAGCUUUGCCACGAAGCUCAAAUAUUAAGGGUUUGUAAUAAUAUUCUCUGCUCUGAGAACAUCUUUCGCUUUUUCUCUGGACCAAGAACAUGAUAGUAAUAGCUGUUUAUAUCUGUAUACUGUUUUGAAGGAUGGAGACUUUAUCCAACGAGCUAUCUCUUUCUAUCGAUUAGUCAUUGUUUGGUUAGUUGGACUUGUUGGUGGCUUUAAGAUGCCUUUACCUUCAGCUUGCCCCAUGGAAUUCUCCUGUAUGCCGGAGCAUUUUGUUGAAGAUGCGAUGGAGUUACUGAUAUUUGCUUCAAGAAUCCCCAAGGCUUUGGAUGGAGUGCUGCUGGUAUGUUUAGUCUAUUCUCUCAUCCGUCUGCAGAAAUUCGAUUUCUUGUACCUGCAUUGAUGAUCGUUGUUCUCUUUCCUUUAGGACGACUUUAUGAACUUCAUAAUAAUGUUCAUGGCAAGUCCAGAAUAUAUUAGAAACCCGUAUCUCAGAGCAAAGAUGGUUGAAGUUCUGAACUGCUGGAUGCCACGUUCAAGGUAAUUUUCUUCCCAUGAAAGAAAGCUGUAAAAUCCUCAUUUUCUUUUGCUAGUGCAACAAUUAUUCCAUUAAAGCAGACCACUAAUCUCAAACCAAAUUUUUGUCUGUUUAUAGUGGUUCUUCUGCUACAUCUACUCUCUUUGAAGGCCAUCAGUUAUCCCUUGAGUAUCUUGUCAGGAAUUUACUGAAACUAUAUGUUGACAUUGAGUUCACGGGUUCUCACACUCAGGUGAUUGCAGGAAAUUUUGUUUUUGGUGGCUAUAACAUAUCUGGACUAACAUGCUCCUCUCUAUUGCAUAGUACUUCAUAAUUUGUUAGCUUUAAAAACCUGAAUGGCCAUUGGCUCUCGCUUUUAAUGUGACUGAAACCGAGUGAUCAAAAUGCAGUUCUAUGACAAGUUCAACAUUCGCCACAACAUUGCCGAGCUUCUAGAGUAUCUCUGGCAGGUGCCUAGUCACCGAAAUGCGUGGAGACGGGUAAUUUCUUAGUGUCCUUACCAUGGCUCUGAGUUUCCAUCAACAUGUGCCAGUGUUAUAGUGUUACCAAACUUUGAUUGUUUACAGAUUGCAAAAGAGGAAGAGAAGGGCGUGUACUUGAACUUCUUAAACUUCUUAGUCAAUGAUAGCAUCUUUCUUCUGGAUGAAAGUCUUAACAAAAUUCUCGAGAUUAAACAAAUCGAGGCAGAGAUGUCAAAUACUGCAGAGUGGGAGCAGAGACCAGCGCAAGAGAGACAGGAUAGAACGAGACUCUUCCACUCUCAGGAGAAUGUUAGUGGAUUACACUUAUUAUAUCUUAUUUCUGACUCGGUUCAUAAUGCCUCAAAAGAGUUUUAUUUUAAUCUGCAGAUUGUUAGAAUUGACAUGAAGCUGGCUAAUGAGGAUGUGACUAUGCUUGCAUUUACAUCUGAGGAGAUCACCGCCCCAUUUCUACUCCCUGAGAUGGUUAAUCUGACUCUAUACCUGAAACUAUUAUCUGCUCGAUUUGAUUGCACAAUCAAAAAUUCUUACUGAAUAGUUUAAUUGUGUGUUGCUUAUCAGGUUGAGAGGGUUGCGAAUAUGCUUAAUUACUUCUUGUUACAACUGGUGGGUCCACAGCGUAAGUCUUUAAGCUUGAAAGAUCCUGAGAAGUACGAGUUCCGUCCAAGACAGUUGCUUAAACAGGUUAGUGAUUACUAUUCUUACUCAGACUCCUCACCAACAUGUGUGAAAAAAGACUAACGGAAUCUCUGGUGAACUUUGAAGAUUGUUCGUAUAUAUGUCAAUCUCGCAAGAGGAGACUCAGAAAACAUAUUUCCCAGUGCCAUAUCCAGUGAUGGACGAUCAUAUAACGAACAGGUCCUCCUCCUAAACCGGAUCCACUUUCAUCAUAACUUGUCGGUCUCUCUACUGAACAAAACAAGUGCUUGUUUUUGCAGCUAUUCGACGCAGGAGCAGAUGUUCUUAGGAGAAUAGGCGAAGAUGGAAGAAUCAUUCAAGAGUUUAUGGAGUUGGGCACAAAGGCCAAAGCUGCUGCUUCUGAAGCUAUGGAUGCUGAAGCUGCACUUGGUGAAAUACCAGACGAGUUCCUCGACCCAAUUCAGGUAUUAUUCUCUCUAAUUUGACGGAGAUACUAAAUCUUGUUUCAGUAAUCCUACUCUCAAUGUCUCUUCCUGUUCUUUUUUCAAUAUUGAUUUUGCAGUGCACGCUUAUGAGAGAUCCAGUGAUACUCCCAAGCUCAAAAACCACAGUUGAUCGAGCCAUCAUUCAACGUCAUCUUCUUAGCGACAAUGUAAGCAAGUAUUCACUUAUAUAAACAGUUGAUCGCCAUCAUUUAACGCUGGCUUUUGAUCUGAUCAUGCUUGCUUCUGCUGCAGCACGACCCGUUUAACCGGGCACAUUUGACAUCGGAUAUGUUAAUACCGGACAUCGAGUUGAAAGCGAGAAUCGAUGAGUUUGUGAGGACGCAUCAGUCUAAGAAACGAUCGAGUGGAGAAGAUAGCAGCAAUAAGGAGAGGAUACAGACUACGAGCAGUGAUAUGUUAAUCGAUUAAUUGUGUAUUCCUAAAGGCGAACAAAAAUAAUAGCAGCAACACUCUUUUUAUUACUUUCUUAGGCUUUUCUCCGAUUAGAUUUGUGGCUUAUUUUCCUGUCCUGUCUUAGAUGUACUAAGUUGAAAUAUUUCCAAAUUUAUUAUAAAUAUCUUAUUUUAACAUUAAAAUUUCAUUUAAUAAUUGAUUUACAGUUUUUACUAGUGUAUUCAAAUAAUGUAAAAUUUGAUAAAUAUCAAUGAUUCAGUAUUUUAACUAAAUUUAUCAAUCAAUAAAAUGGAGGUAGAAAAACAAAACUAAUGUUACGGUGACGUAAAAACAGAACCGUCGUUACAUUUGAAAUAGAAAUGUAAAACUAGAGAGUGUUGGGAAACUAGACGGUAGGAGAGUGUUGUUGUUGUCUACGUUUAGCGAACUCGGACGCAAUAAAGAGUGAGCUUCUACUGUGGCGAAGUGAAAACUCAGCCAUCAAUAUCUCUUUCUCUUGUUCCGACAGAUCUCCAUGACUUCCCUGUUCAAACCAAUUAUAAAUGUUACUACAAAAAAAAUAAAACCAGAACUGAACUGAAAGCUGGUUUAUUACCAGACGAGCGGCUCUGUCACAGACCGCGUGGUGCAUCAGAAUCCCUGCAGCCACUGAAACAUUGAAUGAAUCAACCAUCCCGUUCAUUGGAAUACUGCAAUACAAAUCAGAUAACUCCAACGCUUCUUCACUUAUCCCACUCCCCUCGUUCCCAACAACUAUUGCUGUUGGUUGUGACCAGUCCAUGUCGUAAACGGAAACCUAUUAGAUAUUAACCACCAACAAAAGUCUCAAUGCGCAUGAUGAGAGAGAAAAAAAAGAUCAAGACAAAAAUCUUCAAGGAGUUUACCGUGUCCAUUCCCAAAUGAGUUGUGGCAAUCCUGUAACCACGAGACUUCAAGACUUUGAAACAAUCUUUAGGUGUGUCCCAAAGCUCAAUGUCGAGCCAUUUCUCAGCUCCCAUACUCACAUGUCGAUUGUUCCUAUACCUAAACACAUAGACCAACAAAUUAAUUCACACAAUGCAAUCAAAUGGUUAUACAUUUUUUUCAUUUCUAUCCAAUCACUUUAGUGACAAUGCACAGUUCAAGAAUCUGACAUUUAGCUGAAACAGAAAUUGCCAAACCUCAGAGGGGGCACCUUUUGUAGCUGUCGGAUGCAACAACGUGCACGGACUGAAUCCCCAACGCAUCCGCCGAGCGAAACGCAGCAGAGAUGUUUCCUAUAUCAGACAGACCUUCAACGACAAGACAAACCGAGAAGCUUCGAUUCUCCACCACACGCCUGAACCUAUCCGACCUCUCCUCCAUCAUGUGAGGACUCACCGCCUCCAACACCUCACGGCUGCUAAGGUGCACGUCACCGCACCUGAACCUGUCCUCGUAAGGGAACCACGAUCCUCUACUACGCUCGCCGCUGAAGGAGCUCCUCCGCUCCAUCUUCAUCAUGCUCGACGCGUCAUUUCGAUUGGUUGUCAGCAGUUCCUUCACACUCACGGUGAGAUCUGUAGGGGAAGUCUCUGUGAACGUUUCUAGUGGAAGAGAGGCAGCUUCGUGAAGAGCGCAACGAGGUGGUCCGAAGCUGUGUGUAGAUGGAUUUGGACGGAGAACGGAGAAGGCGCGAAAGGAGACGAGAGUGAUGGAUGAUGAAUUAGGGUUUGGGAGAUGGACGAAUGGAGAUGAAGAGAGGGAGGCGCGGAAUAGGGUUUUGCAGGAGUUCAUGUGUUGUAUUAGCUUACUGUGUUUGCUGCAAAGCUUGAGAUUUAGAGAGCGAGCUCGAUGAGAAUACUGAACUGAAAGAAAUAAUCACAGAGCAAAGAGACAGUCGAGGAAGGAUCCAACUGAAGACAUACUGUCCGAUUCGACGACCACUGGUUGUCUCUCUUGUCUUGUCUUUUUGUCUUGUCUUGUCUUUGUCGAAUCCAACCAAAGAUAAUGUUUAGUUGCUCCACGGAUUGUUAAUUCUGGGCCAAAACGAGGCUUUUUAGUUGGGCCUGAAGCUAAAUGGGCUAGUUACAUAAUUGUUGGCGAGUUUUGGGCUCGCGCGCGUGCAUUCGUAAUUAUGUCGCGAAAUCAGUGAGUAGCUUUUUGACCUUUAUAGAAAAGCUCAUCAUCAACAACGUUAACGGUUAUAUUCACAAACAUUUUUUAAAAUAUAGUAUCCUCUCUUGAACCAAUCCGGUUAAAGAAAACUUAAGUUCACUUUCUAAUUUUUUUGUAUAUUAUAUAUUAUACAUACCUGUGAAGGAAAAUCAAAUCCAUAAAAGAGUGGUACGUUCAUGAAAACCAGAUAUCAUCACGACAUCACAUGCAAAAAGCGUAUAAUAUGUGUCUUAUUAAUUUGAAAUAAAGUAGCAUUACAAUGGUCAUAAACGAAUAGAUAAAUAAUAAAAUUAUAGACAUACAGCGUUAUGUUCUUGAUAUGUCUGGAUUUAAAACGAAGCAUAUACUUUUGUCAGCUCAAUCUUGACUGUGGCUUUUUUCCCCUCUUUUUCUUUUCCAUAAUCGGUGCAUUUCAAAUACUUAAUUUAAAUUAUGCAAACUUAAAGCUCAUUUAACAUUUGUAUUCGACUAUUGGUUUAGUAUGAUAUUCGAAAUACAACAACAUUAAAACUAAAAAGAUAAUAAAAAAAAAUAAUUCAAGGCAAAUCUAUAAUAUAACGAGGCAGUUGCCUCAUUCCUGAGCCACCACAUCAGCAGGUAAGUGGAGUCAGUAGGUAAGUAGGUCUCACUUUAAAAAAAUGUGAAAAAGUAUCAAAUCUUUAGUUCAAACCCGGGUUAUUGAAUCGUAAACACCAACAUUUAUACCACUAAACUAAAGGAUACUUUGUACAUUAGUGGCCGAAACUAAUAUAUAUUUAUGAAGGUCGGAAACAUUUGCUUCUUCGGUUUUUUCUGUGGGACCCACACUUAAUUUUUUUUAUCUAAUGAUUUAAUAAAUACUUUAUAACUCACUUUUUGAAAUGAGUUUCGUUAAAAAAGAGGCCCAAUAGACCUCUUUGGUCUGUAAGCAAUCUCUUCAAUGGAAGUUUAGGGCUUUCAAUUUUUAAUCAUCAGUUCAUGACUCAUCUAAGAAACACAGAUUGGUUCUUUGAGUUCCAUGAAUCUGUUUAUCUUCUUUAGUCUCAACAUCUCCCCAUCUUUAAUAAAUUCAUCAUCGGUUCUUUUAUUUUGCCUGAUAAAUCAUGAUUGUGUGGUUUUAAUUUUCUUUGGUCAUCCUUAGCUUGCACCCUUUGAUCUAACCAAGAAGAAGAAGAAGACAUUUGUCGUUCAGGAUGCCAUCGAGGACUCAGCUGAGUCACACGGGAGACAUACUAUCCGUUGCCUGAUUGUUCAAGAAGAGUUUAUGUGCUGUGAAACAUAUUUGUUUCUUUUCAUCAGUUGCUUUGUUUAAUCUUUUUUCCUGCAAAUAAUGAUGGCUUUGACAGUUCAUUCACGGGAGCCAAGAAGUAAAAGAAGAAGAAGCCAGUGAGUGUUUGACAUUUUCUGUCUUCCUGGGUUUUUUUUUCCAUUCAUUAAACUUGGAUUUUGAAGAUUAUGUGCCUCACAUUCUUUUUAUUUUGAUGGUUGUUAGGUUGAAUGAAGAUCAUUGAAUAAAAAAAAUGUCGAUGCUCCAGAAGAUUUGGAGGGUACUUUAUAUUUCUUUCUCUGAUAAUUCUAGCGACAUAAAUUUAAACCUUACAGAGGGUAUAUUACAGAGCAUCCUAAUGAUGAGGAAGAGGUGGAGGGAAUUGAUCUGCACCAGCAACGUUACCCGUGGGAGGGAAGUGACAUGGAUUACUUAUACGACGAGGUAAGCAUAUCAUUAGAUGGUUUGCGGUCCAUCUUUGAGAGCCGUCGAUUGUAAGUGUCUAUCGUUUUGAAGUUGCACGACACUAAGAUGUAAAGAAUUACUAAUCACGAUUACCUUACUAGCAGAGUUCUUUUGCACAGCUAUUGUCAAUGGAAUUAACACUUGAAAUUGAUGGUGUAUAUUUCAUGUUUCAAAUGCUGACACAAGCUCCAAUGUUGAUUCUCAGCUUUAACAUGCCAAAAUCACAAAUGCAGUGGAUGUUGUAAGGUAAUUCAGUAGUCACAAAUGUUCAGUUGAAAAAAAUUCUAAACUGUAUUUAUGCAUCAAACUUAUCAUCCGUAACAUAAUAAUAUGUUUUUUUUGUGCUAGGAACCGUUUGUAAAUAAAUGUCUCGGAUGUAUAUGACUGCUGAGUUUGUUGCUUUUGACAGUGAAAUCACUAAGCUUGCAAUGUGUUAGGACGACAAAAGCGUCUCAGCUGAUGGUUAGCUUUACAAUUUCGUUGGUUUCUUUUUCCUAUUAUGUUGGAUGGAUUAUUUUAGCUAACAACAGAGCGCUGGCAAUAAAUCCAAUAGAUUUAUAUGUACAUUUAGAAUUGGAAGUUUGAUGAGAACAUAAACAAGUACUUCUGUCACGCUAUUGGAUAGUUAUACGCCAUUUCAAGAUAAUUGAUUUCUUAUAUUUCCCACUAUCAGUAAAAUAUUAACUGUUUUGUCUACUUUGCAUUCAUACCUCAUUCUCCAUCUAACUUCUCGGUGCUACUAUAUAAUGAUCAAGUCAUUUUCUGCACAAAUAGGCAAGUGGGGAUGUUACGUUGGGUGCUUUUUAUUGGGCUUGGCUAUACAAAGUCUGUUGUGACUCUAAAACUUUUACCUCAUUUAACAUUGAUUCUGGUUCUUGGGAGAAUUGCAGAUUGUGAAUGAAAGGCACAAGCAGGGAACAUAUGUGUAGCUGCGUUCGACUCGACAUGUAGCGGUAUCUGCAGAUCCGCUGAUCCCAUUGUGGAGGUUAACAUGCAAUGUGUUGACCUGGAAAUCAUUAUUUGGAAGCUACAUUCCGAGGCCUUUCCUCAACAUAUAAAUAGACCAUUGACAGAGUUUGAUAUUUAUAAUACUCAGUGAUCAUGGAGUCUGCAGAAAACAAUCCUUUUGCAUGUUCUAUAUGGAACCAAAAGAUAUAUCCUUUGUAUGAUUAUUAUAUUAUGAUAGCUACUAACAUAGAAGAUGACUAGAGAAAGAAAAAUGAGUAUGAAUCUCUUAUAUGGGUAUCUUUUGUAAACACAUUUGGGCUUAUUAACAGUUGUGACAAGCAAUUAUGUUUAUAGUAAAGGAAACCCGCCGCAGCGUCAAUAACAAAUGCGCCUGUUUUUUGGUUGUUUGGGAUUGAAAUAGCUUAUGGGUUUUCUAAAUCAAUAUAAUUGAUUUGACUAAAGCUAUCUUGGAUGACAAAAAGAAGGAUUGCAAGUUUAAUAACUUCUACUUUAGACUUUAAUUUCAACUAAAUUAUAAUCAGUCUUUUAUCCAUAUCAUCUUAGUUAUAAACGUAAGGAUUUAUUAGAAUAAAUAAACAGUUUCAACAAUAUUUAAUAUGUGAUUUAAUAAACAAAAGAACACCUAUGAUUUUUAGGAUUUAAUGAGAUUGGAGACAAUAGUUAAUGAAUACGAAAAGAAUACAAAGCAUAAUGAUUCGAGUAAAUUAGUGGCAACAUAGAGCUAAGCGAGAUAAAAAUAUCAAUCAAUAAAGAAUGAAAGAAGAAUGAGCAUGGUUAAGUUAUUACACAAGCCAAAACUAAGACAAAUUUGUUAUACCAUAGUGGGAAAAAAGACUGGAGAGAGAGGAGAAAAAUGGCGACGGCGGCGACUAGGGUUCUGAAAGAAAAUCCAGAGCUUUCUCGCUAGAUCUACGUCGUGCCUUGCAAUCAGUUUCGAUUGACCUAAAGAUUUGAAGCUGCAAACUUUUCACCGAGAUCUCCAUUACGUAAAGUUGACUCCUUUCGAGCAAGUGAUGGGAGAUCAAGGGGAUACAUUAGCGAGUAUAGUCUCUGGGAAGGUCUAAGGUGUAGAUCCAACCAGGGGUGAGCUUUCAUUAAGUCCUAGUGACUUCUUUUCUUUGGAAUAGGGUGUGAAGAAUCUCGGGGUAAAAACAAGAGAAGGAUGAAUAGAUUUCGCAAGAAGAAAGAGCCGUCCUUGAUGGAAGAGCUAAAGGAACUGGAACUUCUGGAUGAAGGCGAGAUGGUGGAUAUCCCAGAUCUGGAGGUUGAGGAUCUGAUUGAGGAAAACACACUAAGCAUUAUAGUGAGAUGCCUCAGUCCUUUUGUGCACAAGGUAGGAGGUCUGGUAAAGGCAUUACCACCCAUAUAGGGGAUGGAGGAUAGAACUCAGGGAAGGGUUGUAAGAGAAGAUAUGGUUCAGUUUACCUUCAGAUCGGAGAACGACCUAAAGUUUGUUCUGUCAAAAGGUCCAUGGUUUGUCAAUGGUUGGAUGGUGGCUAUGGAUCAAUGGACACCAAACCCACAGGAAGAUUUCUUAAAAAGGAUAACUUUCUGGAUUCGAAUCAGAAGACUUCCCAUCCACAUGCUGAAGAGGCAAGUGGUAGAAACAUUACUGGAUCCUUUGGGGAAGGUCGAAACAGUGGAGUUGCACGCAAAGAACUCUAACUCCCUAGAGUACGUAAGAGCCUUGGUCAAGAUCAAUACGGAAGAGCCACUGCAGUUCAGAAGAAUAACCAGAUUCAAAUCAGGAGCCACGUAUCCAACGGAGUUGGAGUAUGAAAAGCUUCUCAAAGUUUGUUAUGGAUGCAAAAGGCUAACGCACGACCAGACCAAGUGCCCCCACCAGAUCCUCGCAGUGGAAGAAGGGGAGUUGGAAGGUAGAGAUCGAGCCAAGGAAUCCAACCUAAGGAAAAAACUAAAGGAAAAGGAAACAAAAGCCAAAGAGAGUCUCCAGAGACCUUCAACAAAAGGAGCUGCUAAAGGAGUGGUUAUUAGUGGCCCCUCUCCCUCUACAAGCCAAGCAAGGAAUAGUGUGAAAGGCCGUGGAAAUCUAAAGGAGGAUAAGAGUAAGGGGAAGAAAAUAGCCUCAAAACCUCGGCUAGAGUGGAAACAGAAAGGAGGUAAGGAGGGCUCGGAGAAAACGAGAAGCACUGAGGAGUCCACAGCAAACCCGCGGAGCUCAGGAGAAUACAGUGGGACCAAAAGUGCUAAUGCAGAGGUAGGAGGCCAGGGACUUUCACCUGCAACCAAUGCGUCUAGCUCAGUUUUCAACAGAUUGGGGGGUUUGGAGGAAGUGUGGGGUUCAAAAAGGAACAGAGGAAAGAGAGAAGAACCUAGCUCUCCAGCUGAUCUGCGUAUGAAACUAAGUGGCGCUUCUUCAGGAGAAAAGGGUGAUGGCAAAUCGAGUAAAGGAAGCCGUAGUCCUCCCUCUAUUUUCGAACGUCUGGGGAGUCAGGGAACUACCACACCUGGUUUUACCCGAAGCAUAGAAGACUCCCGUACAUCAAAGAAGAGAAGACUAAGCAGUAGUGAUGAGAGAAACCCAAAGAAAGCUAGGAGAAACUCAUCUGAGAAGAAGAAAGUAUCUCCCUCAGUAUUUCAAAGGUUGGGAGAGACAAGGUGUGAUAACGAAGGAAACAACCAGGAAGAAGCACAUCACUCUGCUCUAGUAGCAGUGACCACUCCGGUCCAUUCUGCCAAUAUGGCAGCCAAAGUCCCAAUCCACUCUGUCCAAAGGAUAGCAUUGGAAAGUGGAACUGUUAGGGGUUGGGGAAUACCCCGACAGUUCGACAUCUACAGGGAAUACAUGGUCAGUAUUUCCCUGAGAUAAUAUUCCUCAGUGAGACCAAGAGUAGAAUGUGUUAUUUGGAGUCUAUAGUGGAGAAGAUGGGGUUCCAUGAUGUGAUAACUAUAGACGCCAUAGGAAAGAGCGGAGGUUUGGCAGUUAUGUGGAAGAGUUCAUGUACGGUGGAGGUUUUGCAGGCAAAUAAGAGGGUGAUUGAUUUGAAGGUGCAGUGGCAGGAUCAAAUUUUUUUCCUUACCUGUGUAUAUGGCGAUCCGGUCAAGAGUAGAAGGGGAGAAGUAUGGGAACGGAUUUCACGGAUUGGAGCAAAUAGAAAGGGGGGCUUGGAUGCUGAUAGGAGACUUUAAUGAGCUGAUUGAUCAAUCUGAAAAGUCAGGAGGAGCAGUAAGGGAAGAUCGAGAAGGGCAAGAAUUCAAGCAGCUACAAACGUCUGGGGAGUCAGGGAACUACCACACCUGGUUUUACCCAAAGCAUAGAAGACUCCCGUACAUCAAAGAAGAGAAGACUAAGCAGUAGUGAUGAGAGAAACCCAAAGAAAGCUAGGAGAAACUCAUCUGAGAAGAAGAAAGUAUUUCCCUCAGUAUUUCAAAGGUUGGGAGAGACAAGGUGUGAUAACGAAGGAAACAACCAGGAAGAAGCACAUCACUCUGCUCUAGUAGCAGUGACCACUCCGGUCCAUUCUGCCAAUAUGGCAGCCAAAGUCCCAAUCCACUCUGUCCAAAGGAUAGCAUUGGAAAGUGGAUACAAACUGAAAGAAGGGUUGAUGGGUAAUACCAACCCUUCGAGGUCAAUAUGAGAAUAUUAAGUUGGAACUGUCAGGGGUUGGGGAAUACCCCGACAGUUCGACAUCUACAGGGAAUACAUGGCCAGUAUUUCCCUGAGAUAAUAUUCCUCAGUGAGACCAAGAGUAGAAGGUGUUAUUUGGAGUCUAUAGUGGAGAAGAUGGGGUUCCAUGAUGUGAUAACUAUAGACGCCAUAGGAAAGAGCGGAGGUUUGGCAGUUAUGUGGAAGAGUUCAUGUACGGUGGAGGUUUUGCAGGCAAAUAAGAGGGUGAUUGAUUUGAAGGUGCAGUGGCAGGAUCAAAUUUUUUUCCUUACCUGUGUAUAUGGCGAUCCGGUCAAGAGUAGAAGGGGAGAAGUAUGGGAACGGAUUUCACGGAUUGGAGCAAAUAGAAAGGGGGGCUUGGAUGCUGAUAGGAGACUUUAAUGAGCUGAUUGAUCAAUCUGAAAAGUCAGGAGGAGCAGUAAGGGAAGAUCGAGAAGGGCAAGAAUUCAAGCAGCUACUGCUUAACUGGGGUCUCUGGGACAUUAAAUACAAGGGGAACCCGCUAUCGUGGGCAGGGAAAAGAAACAACAUGUUGGUGAAGUGCAGACUGGAUAGAGCAGUAGCAAACCAGGAAUGGUUGGAGGCUCACCCACAAGCAGCUACCUUCUACCUCCCAAGAGUUCAGUCGGAUCACAGUCCGAUCAUUACCUCCUUGGAUGGUCAUCAAAGGAAGAAAUUCACAAACUUUAAGUAUGAUCAGAGGUGGGUUAAUAAGGAAAAGUUUGUAGAGACAGUUGAGAAAAGCUGGAGAACACACAGCAGUGGUCAGGGGAAUCUCAUGGGUAGAAUCUCAGCGUGCAGGAAAGACAUAUCCCUGUGGAAGAGGCAGGUGAAGCCUAAUUCAGCGAUGAGAAUCAAGGAGCUAAGCUUUAAAAUAGAUGAAGCGACUAGGCAGGAGAACUUCAAGAAAGAGGAGCCGGAGAAUCUAAGGAAGGAACUGUCUGAGGAGUAUUACAACGAGGAGGUUUUCUGGAUGCAAAAGAGCAGACUCACGUGGCUGAGAUCGGGAGAUUUAAACACGAAGUUCUUUCAUGCAGUCACGAAGAAUAGAAGAGCACAAAAUAGAAUAAAGAGCUUGACUGAUGAUGAGGGAACGGAGUGGUUUGCUGAUAAGGACCUGGGGAGAGUCGCUGAAAUGUACUUUAAGUCUCUCUUCCCGUCAGAGGAUGUAGGAUUGGACCUGAUAGAGUGGCAGGAGAUGCCGAAGCUAGUUACCCCGGAGCAAAAUAUCCAUCUAAUGAAGCCAGUGCUGAUGGAGGAGGUCAAGAGAGCUGUUUUUGAUAUAAACCCAGGCAAAUGCCCGGGACCUGACGGGAUGACUGGAUAUUUCUUCCAACAGUUCUGGGAAACAAGCGGAGAGGAGGUAACUGCUAUGGUUCAGAAGUUCUUUAGAACUGGGGUUUUGGAGGCAGAGAUGAAUGACACUAACAUCUGCCUGAUCCCCAAAACAAUAACAUCAAAGAAAAUGUGCGAGUAUAGACCGAUAAGUCUGUGUAACGUGGCUUAUAAGGUGGUCUCAAAGCUGAUGGCAAAAAGACUAAAGAAGGUGCUGCCUAAUGUUGUAUCAGAAACGCAGGCAGAUUUCGUGGAAGGACGCCUUAUUUCAGAUAACAUUCUCGUUGCACACAAGUUACUGCACGCACUCAGCUCAGAUAAUAAGUGUGCCUCAGAGUUUAUUGCAAUCAACACCGAUAUCUCUAAGGCUUAUGACCGCGUCGAGUGGUCUUUCUUAGAGAAAGCAAUGGAGGCAAUGGGAUUCUCAGAAGAAUGGAGAAGACUUAUUAUGUGUUGUGUGUCGUCUGUGAGGUAUAAAGUCCUGAUCAAUGGAUCACCGUUUGGACAGAUAACGCCUACAAGAGGUUUGAGACAAGGCGAUCCGCUCUCGCCGUAUCUCUUUGUGAUGUGCACAGAAGUUCUAGUCCAGAUGCUGAAACGCGCUGAACAGAUGAAGAAGAUCUCAGGACUACGUGUUGCAAGAAGAGCCCCCUUGGUAUCUCAUCUUUUGUUUGCUGAUGACAGCAUGUUUUAUUGCAAGGGUUCAGAGGAGGAGUUGAAUCAGGUCUCUCAGAUACUUCCGAACUAUAGUAUGGCAUCAGGGCAAAGAAUCAAUCACCAGAAGUCUAACAUUUAUUUUGGGAAGCACAUACCAAGCUGCAGAAGAGAAGAGAUUAAGCAGAAGAUGGGAAUAGACUCAACAGGAGGAGAGGGAUUUUACCUAGGCUUACCUGAAGCUUUUGGUGGAUCCAAAGUGUCCAUACUAAGUUACUUGAAGGAGAAGUUAAGUCAACGAGUCCAUGGCUGGCAAACAAAAUUCCUCUCUCCAGGUGGAAAAGAGAUUCUCCUCAAGGCAGUGGCCAUGGCGUUACCCACAUACACUAUGGCAUGUUUCCUUCUCCCCAAGACGAUAAUCAAACAAAUCAUGGCAAUGAUGUCUGAAUUUUGGUGGAGGAAUGGACAGGAGACGAGGGGUAUGCAUUGGAAGAGCUGGGAGAGUUUAUGUCGACCAAAAGCAAGUGGGGGUUUGGGUUUUAAGGACUUGGAGGCUUACAAUCUAGCACUACUUGGGAAGCAGCUGUGGAGAAUGAUUAAAAACCCGAAGUCCCUAAUGUGCAGAGUGUUUAAGAGUCGAUACUUCAGGAACACAGACCCUCUCAAUGCCUCUUUAGGUUCCAGGCCCUCGUACGCUUGGAGAAGCAUACAUGCAGCGCAGAAAUUGAUUCAACAUGGAGCAAGGGUGGUCAUAGGUAAUGGAAGAGAUACAAAGAUCUGGCAGGAGAGAUGGAUAGGAGCAGCUCCAGCCACAAUGAUCAAGUCAGUGAGACGACCUGAAGGUAAUGAGAGGAUCAGUCUGGCUGAUGAUAUGAGGGUUAGUGCUCUAAUUAGGGUAAACGGAAAGGAGUGGAACCUGGAGCUGAUAGAGAGACUCUUCACAACGGAGAUACAAGAGCAAAUUCUGAAAAUCAGACCAGCUGGGAAUUAUAGUAGAAAUACCUACUCAUGGGAGUUUACCAAGACGGGGCACUACACUGUUAAAUCAGGUUAUUGGGUCCAGACCAACAUCGUUGCGCCGGAUAAAGAAGUCCAGGAAGUCAUUCAACCGAGCUUAGAUGGUAUUUAUCAACAAAUUUGGGGGUUGGAGACGAGUCCAAAGAUCAAUCACUUUCUAUGGAAAUGUUUAAGCAACGCGCUGCCGGUAAUGGAAAAUAUGGCAUAUAGACAUUCUCCCCAAGACGAUAAUCAAACAGAUCAUGGCAAUGAUGUCUGAAUUUUGGUGGAGGAAUGGACAGGAGACGAGGGGUAUGCAUUGGAAGAGCUGGGAGAGUUUAUGUCGACCAAAAGCAAGUGGAGGUUUGGAUUUUAAGGACUUGGAGGCUUACAAUCUAGCACUACUUGGGAAGCAGCUGUGGAGAAUGAUUAAAAACCCGAAGUCCCUAAUGUGCAGAGUGUUUAAGAGUCGAUACUUCAGGAACACAGACCCUCUCAAUGCCUCUUUAGGUUCCAGGCCCUCGUACGCUUGGAGAAGCAUACAUGCAACGCAGAAUCAAAGAAAAUGUGCGAGUAUAGACCGAUAAGUCUGUGUAACGUGGCUUAUAAGGUGGUCUCAAAGCUGAUGGCAAAAAGACUAAAGAAGGUGCUGCCUAAUGUUGUAUCAGAAACGCAGGCAGAUUUCGUGGAAGGACGCCUUAUUUCAGAUAACAUUCUCGUUGCACACAAGUUACUGCACGCACUCAGCUCAGAUAAUAAGUGUGCCUCAGAGUUUAUUGCAAUCAACACCGAUAUCUCUAAGGCUUAUGACCGCGUCGAGUGGUCUUUCUUAGAGAAAGCAAUGGAGGCAAUGGGAUUCUCAGAAGAAUGGAGAAGACUUAUUAUGUGUUGUGUGUCGUCUGUGAGGUAUAAAGUCCUGAUCAAUGGAUCACCGUUUGGACAGAUAACGCCUACAAGAGGUUUGAGACAAGGCGAUCCGCUCUCGCCGUAUCUCUUUGUGAUGUGCACAGAAGUUCUAGUCCAGAUGCUGAAACGCGCUGAACAGAUGAAGAAGAUCUCAGGACUACGUGUUGCAAGAAGAGCCCCCCCCCGGUAUCUCAUCUUCUGUUUGCUGAUGACAGCAUGUUUUAUUGCAAGGGUUCAGAGGAGGAGUUGAAUCAGGUCUCUCAGAUACUUCAGAACUAUAGUAUGGCGUCAGGGCAAAGAAUCAAUCACCAGAAGUCUAGCAUUUAUUUUGGGAAGCACAUACCAAGCUGCAGAAGAGAAGAGAUUAAGCAGAAGAUGGGAAUAGACUCAACAGGAGGAGAGGGAUUUUACCUAGGCUUACCUGAAGCUUUUGGUGGAUCCAAAGUGUCCAUACUAAGUUACUUGAAGGAGAAGUUAAGUCAACGAGUCCAUGGCUGGCAAACAAAAUUCCUCUCUCCAGGUGGAAAAGAGAUUCUCCUCAAGGCAGUGGCCAUGGCGUUACCCACAUACACUAUGGCAUGUUUCCUUCUCCCCAAGACGAUAAUCAAACAAAUCAUGGCAAUGAUGUCUGAAUUUUGGUGGAGGAAUGGACAGGAGACGAGGGGUAUGCAUUGGAAGAGCUGGGAGAGUUUAUGUCGACCAAAAGCAAGUGGGGGUUUGGAUUUUAAGGACUUGGAGGCUUACAAUCUAGCACUACUUGGGAAGCAGCUGUGGAGAAUGAUUAAAAACCCGAAGUCCCUAAUGUGCAGAGUGUUUAAGAGUCGAUACUUCAGGAACACAGACCCUCUCAAUGCCUCUUUAGGUUCCAGGCCCUCGUACGCUUGGAGAAGCAUACAUGCAGCGCAGAAAUUGAUUCAACAUGGAGCAAGGGUGGUCAUAGGUAAUGGAAGAGAUACAAAGAUCUGGCAGGAGAGAUGGAUAGGAGCAGCUCCAGCCACAAUGAUCAAGUCAGUGAGACGACCUGAAGGUAAUGAGAGGAUCAGUCUGGCUGAUGAUAUGAGGGUUAGUGCUCUAAUUAGGGUAAACGGAAAGGAGUGGAACCUGGAGCUGAUAGAGAGACUCUUCACAACGGAGAUACAAGAGCAAAUUCUGAAAAUCAGGUCAGCUGGGAAUUAUAGUAGAGAUACCUACUCAUGGGAGUUUACCAAGACGGGGCACUACACCGUUAAAUCAGGUUAUUGGGUCCAGACCAACAUCGUUGCGCCGGAUAAAGAAGUCCAGGAAGUCAUUCAACCGAGCUUAGAUGGUAUUUAUCAACAAAUUUGGGGGUUGGAGACGAGUCCAAAGAUCAAGCACUUUCUAUGGAAAUGUUUAAGCAACGCGCUGCCGGUAAUGGAAAAUAUGGCAUAUAGACAUAUUGCUAAAGACAAAUCCUGCAGCAGAUGUGGGGGAGAGGCAGAGAGCGUGAAUCAUUUACUCUUUCACUGCCCUUAUGCUCGUCUGAUCUGGGCAGUGGCAAACGUACACAUACCUCCAGCUGGUAGAUGGUCUGACUCCUUUUAUGCUAAUCUCUAUUGGGUUUUGAAUCUAAAAAAAGAGUUCCCUAGAGAGGAUGUUGAGGAAGGGUUGGUACCAUGGCUGUUGUGGAGAUUAUGGAAAAAUAGAAAUGAGUUCAUUUUCAGAGGGAAAGACUAUGAUGCUCGCACAACAAUUAAGAAAGUCUGGGAGGAUGUCAUGGAAUGGAAGAGCAGAAAUGAGGUCCAACAUGAGGAGGUUAAACAACCCGCAGCAGACACGCCUGAAGUGAAGUGGUCACCACCUGAUUCCAUGACACUGAAAUGUAACACAGAUGGUGCGUGGUCAAAGGAAACAGGAGAGGGUGGUGCGGGCUGGUUAUUGAGAAAUCAUCAAGGGCUGCUGCUGUGGGCAGGGGCGAAGAAGAUGGUGGCUCUGAGGUCAGCGAUAGAAUCUGAAGCAGAAGCAAUUAGAUGGGCAGUACAGACGGUUGCUGGGUUUGGAUAUAGAAGAGUUCUUGUUGAAACAGAUUCACAAAUGUUGGCAAGAAUGCUCAACGGAGAGGAGGAAAUAUGGCCGGUACUUGCUCCCAUCAUACAAGAUAUCCCGACCUCAUUGAACGCAAAUGAAGGUUUCAAAGUGCAGUAUCAUCCGAGGAGUGGUAAUAAGUCAGCAGAUAGGAUAGCGAAGGAGACUUCUACGUUUACAUCCUUUGUCCCUAAGUUAUAUUCUAUGGUGCCUAUGUGGUUGAAUUCAUGUGUUGAGGCUGAUAAGCCCAAUGUAAGACUCUGAAGUUUGGAAUUAAUAUAAAGUUGUUGUUGAGCAAAAAAAAAAAAAACAAGCCAAAACUAAGACAAAUCAAACGAUAGAACGUGAAAACAAAUGUAAACAAGACAAGAAGAGAGAGUGAAGAUAAAAUACAUUGAAAAACUAAAUGCUAGAUUAGUAAGCAAAAGUCAAAAAAAGAUUAAAAUGCAAAAACUAAGGUGCGGGGUAACGAUCCCUAGUUUAGUUAGUAAGAAAAUUCACAACUUCAUUAGUUAAAAAAAAAAAAAUCGCAACUUCAUUGAAUAUAAAGACUGGCGACGCGUUUGUGGCGCGCCAAAAGUGGUUAAAGCAGCAAGUCUUCCGCAACAAACGCGGUUAUAUUAUUAUUUUUAUUUAAGGAUUAUUAUAAGUGUUAUGGUUCAUGUAUUUUUAAAAUAAUUUAAUUUAUUUAUUAUACAGCAACAGCAGUUGAAAAAAAGGAAAAAAGAUGGGCUAUGAAAACCCCACCAGUCCACCUCUAAAUCACAAAUUGCGCAACUAAACCCACAAGUCUAGAGAGAGAGAGAGAAGAGUUCUAAUAGAGAGAGAAAAAAUGGCGAGAUUGACGGUGCUGAUUGCUGCGGUGAUACUUGCUUUUCUAGUGGCAAUGCCGGUGCCGGAAGUAACGGCCAAGAAGUAUACAGUCGGAGACAACAAGUUUUGGAAUCCAAACAUUAACUAUACCAUAUGGGCUCAGGGAAAGCAUUUCUACCUCGGUGACUGGCUCUGUAUGCUCUCUCUCCCUCUUCUCUACUUUUCUCUCGCAUCUGUUUACAUUAGAUCUGUUUUUUUUUAAAUGGUCUUUGCUAUAACUCUAGUGAUAAUUUCAAAAGAUUUCAAACUUUUUACCAAAGUUCUUGGCUUUCUGAAUUUCGAACAAUGCCAUUUAAGGCUCAUCAGUUUUGUUGUUUUUUUUUUUUUUUCAUAAAUGUUUACUGAUUGGUCCAGAUCUGGUUUCCCAUAAACAGUAACAUUUCUUUGUCACACUUUUGAAAUCUUUAAUCAGACAUUACCAAAUAGCUCAAAUUCAAAUAAUGGGCUUUUUUUUUUGCUUUUUCUGAUAUGAUGUCAGAUUUCGUGUUCGACAGAAACCAACACAACAUUCUCGAAGUAAACAAGACCGACUACGAAAACUGCAACUCCGACCAUCCUCUCGUAAACUGGACACGUGGAGCUGGGAGAGACGUUGUCCCUCUCAACGUGACCAAACACUACUAUCUUCUCGACGGAAAGGGUGGCUGUUAUGGAGGCAUGAAGCUCGCUGUUAAAGUCGAGAAGCUUCCUCCUCCGCCAAAAUCUGCACCUGUCAAGAACAUUGGAUCAGUUUCAGUGGUCACAGGUCUCGCUCAGUUCAUGAUUCCGUUUGCCCUGUUAAGGAUGUGGUAAGUGACACCAAUCUCACAGUUAUUUGGAUCCAAUCCGAUGUAAGAAAAAAACCUAAAAUUCUUUUCAGGGAAAGCAUUUAAAUUAGAAAGUCCAAUCAGUUAAGUUUAUUUUUGUAAUGUUUGGUUUGUAACCUUUUUAUUUGGUUUUGUUUGUGUCUUUGAAUCAAUUGUCUAAAAAAGCGCUGUACUUGAUUUAUUUGCUGAAAUUAAUUGUUGAACAAAGAGAGUGUAUUAUCUGGAUCAUGUGUGAAUGAAAAUAUAUAAAAAUAUAAAUUUUUAAUAUAAUUUCGUAUUUUUGGCUUAUCUGUUCCAUGUGAGUAUAUCUGAGAUUGUACGUAAUUCCAGUAUUGAAAUCCAACCACCACAUGUCCCUUUUCGUAAACCUGUCAAUGACUCAAAUCUAUUACCAAAUAGAUUGAAAUUAAUAUGUUUCAAGUAUGAAACAAAAGAACAAUAUUUAGUUACGUGUAUCUAUGUAAUGUGUGUUUUUGUAUUUUGUAUGGAGGGGAUGUAAGUAGAUUUCACAUGGACCCCCUAAAUGAAUAUGAAAUGAUGAUGAUGACUGGUGGGGACGUCGAGAAUUCUAGAUUGAUAAUAUAACGAAGAUUCUGGACAAUCUUUUUUUUUGGGCUGCAUGCACUUUAGCCAGGAAUAAAGGCCCAUUAAGGCCCGUUACGUGAAAGUUUGAUGCAAGGAAUAUUUUUUCCCGGGAAAAUUGAACAGAAGACCAAAAGUUCGAACCGUUGUCUGCAAAGAUUCCAUCAGUUGCUGGAAUUGAGAGGCUAGAAAAUAAAAAAAACGAACAUUUGAUCAUUUUAUUACCUUAUGAAAUGCUUAUCGAAUCAAAAAGUUCGUUUCAUUCUCCGACAGUGUGCGCAGCACCGCUCGUUGCUCCGUUCCGGCAAGGAGCUGCACGGCGUUUUGACUACUUCUGGAUUGAAGAAAGCUCCGAGGUCUUACCUUAGCAACUCGCUCUUUCAGUUCUACGCUGCGUCCGGUGAUAAGGCUACUGCUCAGAAGGUGUUCGACGAAAUUCCUCUGACAGAAAAAGACAAUGUGGAUUGGACCACUUUGCUGUCCUCUCUUUCCCGGUGCGGAUACUUGGUUGAUUCUAUGAAGCUCUUCGUGGAGAUGAGAAGGAAAAGAGUAGAGAUCGAUGACGUGGCUGCGGUCUGCUUUUUUGGCGUGUGUGCCAAGCUAGAAGAUCUUGGUUUCGGUGAACAAGGACAUGGGUUUGCUGCAAAGACGGGACUUUUGACUAGCGUAAAGGUUUGUAAUGCUCUUAUGGAUAUGUAUGGAAAAUGUGGGUUUGUGGGUGAAGUCAGACGCUUAUUCGAGACGUUAGAGGAGAAGAGUGUUGUCUCAUGGACGGUGGUUUUGGACGCGGUUGUGAAAUGGGAAGGGUUGGAGAAUGGAAGAGAGGUUUUCGAUGGAAUGCCUGAGAGGAACGCUGUUGCUUGGACGGUUAUGGUUGCUGGGUAUGUGGGAGGUGGGUUUACAGGUGAAGCAUUGGAGCUUCUGGAGGAGAUGGUGUUUAAAUGUGGGUAUGGUUUGAAUUUCGUCACCCUUUGCUCGGUGCUAUCGGCUUGUGCGCGAUCAGGAAACCUGGUUAUCGGAAGAUGGGUUCAUGUUUAUGCGUUGAAGAUGGAGGAGGAGGAAGAGAGUUGUAAUGAUCAUGUCAUGGUGGGAACGGCAUUGGUUGAUAUGUAUGCCAAAUGCGGAGACAUAGACUCUUCCAUUAAAGUCUUCAGAUCUAUGCGGAAGAGGAAUGUGGUGACGUGGAACGCUUUGUUUAGUGGGUUAGCGAUGCACGGGAAAGGUAAGACGGUGAUUGACAUGUUCCAAGAGAUGGUAAGAGAGGUGAAGCGGCCAGAUAACUUAACUUUCAGUGCUGUCUUAAGUGCUUGCAGCCACUCCGGGUUGGUAGAAGAAGGGUGGCAGUGUUUCCACAGGCUUAGAUCCCAUGGUUUGGAACCUAAGGUUGAACAUUACGCAUGUAUGGUUGAUCUUUUGGGGCGAGCUGGUCGUGUUGAAGAAGCAGAGAUGUUGAUGAGGGGAAUGACAGUGCCUCCAAAUGAAGUCGUCCUCGGUUCGCUUCUAGGCUCGUGUAGCGUCCAUGGGAAGCUGGAGAUAGCCGAACGGGUUAAAAGAGAGCUUGUUGAGAUGAGUCCAGGCAACAUGGGAUACCAAAUAGUUUUAUCCAACAUGUACGCUGCAGAAGGAAGGAGUGACGUUGUAGAUAGGUUAAGAGGAAGUAUGAGAAACAGAGGAAUCAGGAAGAUACCUGGUAUGAGUUCAAUUCACUUGAACGGCUCAGUUCAUCGGUUUAUCGCGGGAGAUAGAUCACACCCGAGAACGAAAGAGAUUUACUUGAAGUUGACUGAAGUGAUUGAACGGAUUAGAUCAGGUGGUUAUGUCCCUCAUGUUCCUCCCUCGGAGGUUGACUUGGAGGACAAAGAGCAGGCUUUGAGCUGCCACAGUGAGAAACUUGCAGUCUGUUUCGGGCUUCUAGUAACUAAACCGAGGACAACUCUUUAUGUAUUCAAGAAUCUGAGGAUAUGUCAGGAUUGUCAUUCAGCUAUGAAGAUUAUAUCAAUGGUUUAUGACCGAGAAAUCAUCAUCAGAGAUAGAAAUAGAUUUCAUCAGUUCAAAGGAGGCUCUUGUUCUUGUUCCGAUUACUGGUGAACAUAUCAAACGGCUGUACAAUGUAUCGAUUCUUGAUUGUAAACCAAUUUGCAAAAUGAGACAAGGUUGAGACAAUGAAGAACAAAAUUAUUGAAGAUCUUAUAAAGUGCUGUUCUUCUACAAUUCGGAAGCAUUACAAAAGCUGUGAGCUGUAAAAUGUAAAGAAACCUAAACAGGGAUCCGGACAGGUGUUGAAAUGUGUUAAUAUACUUUAGGACACGUCAGGGUGAUAAGAAGAAGCAAAAUCUUGAUCACAAGGAGGCAUGGUCCUCUUCUAAAUCAAGGGGAAGGUCCAUUGUCUUCCUUCUCUGAUUCAUCUUUGCUCUGCAGAUUCUCAGAGUUUGGAGAGUUCUCAGCUGUCACCGUCUCAUCAUCCUCGUUCUUGAGAAGCGAAGAGAAUGAUAGAGGAUUGUAGGUCGAGCUGGCCUUUUGCAACCCUCUUAUUGCUCUCAUUGCAGCGAGUGUGCUCCUGUAUAUAUCAAGAUUUUCAUCUCCAAGAGUUGAAGAAGUCUGAGCAGAGAUCCUUGGUGAGUUGUUUUGAUGCGAGGUUGAGACUGCGUUGGAAGAAGACUCCACAACUUCGGCUUCUGAUGGGAAGAGAAGCUCAAGAUUGGCCUCGCAUUCACGGACCAACCUGGUAAGUGGCUCAGUAGUGAAGAAGGGUUGAUGGAGAACCACCUGUGUGAAAGGCAAACGAAGAAGUCCUCCUGUCCUCUUAUCGUACUUCUUCAAAAUUUUGACAAGUCCUGCAAAGUUUAGGGAGCUGUAGUUUUUAAGGAGCACCAUCUCGCCAUGAAUACUGACAAGGUCUCUGCGAAUAUCCAUCAUCUCUUCACUGAACUCGCUUUCUGAUGCGAACUCCCCAUUCUUGCAGUUCUUCUCCUUAAUCUUCUCGAUUCUUUCCUUCAGCUCCUGUUUACAAAACAGAUUAAUAACACACUGAUGAACCUAAUAAAACACACGAUUCAAUUAAAGCUUAAGAUGAACCACAUGCAUGAAAACUAGUGUGUUCAAAACAAGACCAUAAAAAGCCUCUGCACUACUAGUGAACUAAAAUUAGAAGCCCAUCUUCUAGAAACUCAAAUUGAUUAUUACAAGACUCGAAAGUCCUGUCCUUUAGACACGAAUCAGAGAUACAGAAUCUACAUGGAUCAUCGCUAGAACUAUUAGGUUUCAGUUCUUUACCUAAGAUUCAAGAUUAAUCACCCUAAAGUUAUAAACUUUGGAAUGUCGAUUCAAUUCUACAUACUCAAUUAAAACUUAAUCAGAUAGAAUAAGCGGAGGAGAUUCAGACAAAACCUGUAAUCUGAUGACAAAGUCUUCUUCUUUAUCAACGUAAAAGUCGUUAAACUUGUCAAGCUCCUCAUUCAAUAUCCUCACGAACGAGCCCUGGAGAUCCUCCGCGGCCCUUACACCGUCGUCUUCCGCGGAAGAUAAGUUGGUUGUGUCGGCAAAGACCUGACGAGAGUCGAUCUGAUCGGAAUUAGAAGAAUCGUCGGCGGGGGGAGGGUAAGGGUAGUACUUGAGAAGCUUCUUCAAGGGUUUGUAGCAGAGGAACUUGUCUCUCCACUCUGGUAAGGUUUCUUCGAGGUGGGUUCGAAACUCUUUUCCGAAUUUCAUGAGAGAAAAAACUCGUUUGGAUCUGAGAGAGAGAGAGAGAGACGAAGAUGGUUGUUGUUGGAUAAGAACGAACGGUGAGGGAUUUGGGUUUUUAAGUUAUUUUCUAUAGAGAGAGAGAGAGAGAGAGAGAGAAGAGGGAAUCUUUAGAAAGCGCGAGGAAUCUUUAUGAAAGUGGACGUGGAUGGUUCUUACUCGUAUUUUAAAAUACUCUGACCCAUUCAGUGUCUCCCAUCUAAAAAACAAUUAAUUAGAUGCUAGAGUCAAAAAAAAAAAAAAAAAUCUUUAUAAUAAAUAUUCUCUUCGUUUUUUAAUAAGUGUCAUUUUGACAUUUUCCACACAGAUUUAAAAAGUUGUUGUGAUUGAAAUAUAUUUAAAUUGUUAUUAAUUAUACUUAUUUGACCAAUAGUAUUUGAGAUAAAUAAAAUUAUUUAUAAAAUUAAUACAGUUUGUAAAUAAUUUUCAGCUAAAAUAAGUAUAAUUUGCAUUGAAAUUCUAAAUCAAUAUUUUUAUGUAACAAGAAAAAAAGUUACGAAACAAAUAGAAUAAUAUAAUUUCAAUAUUAAAUUGUUCCAACAAAAAGGAAAAUAUUAAAUUGGCUGGACAAUAAAAAUUAGGCAUUAGUGAAUCUUUAAAUAGUCUAAUAUAGUUUGGUUUACUUCUUCUCUUUUUUAUAUUCACCAACUUAUACUAUUUCCAUCAAGGCCCAUCAAUUAAUUCAUAUUAUAGUAUUUACAUCAUUGUUAUAACUUUCUCCUUUUUUUUUCUCUCUUUUUUUUCUCUCUUUUUUUAUCAAUGUUAUAACUUUUUUUUUGGUAAAAAUGUUAAAAAAUCAAUGUUAUAGCUUUCUCCUAAAGUGGCUCUUUAACAAGACUGUCCACCUGAGAUGAGCCUUUCACGGGCUUGAACAGGCAUCUACGACUACAAUACAUAGAAAACUAAUAAUGUGCGUUUUAUAUUCGGAUUUAUAAGAUUCGUCUUACUUAUUACAAGAUUCCUUCUAUAUUUAAAGUAUAAUUAGUACUGGAUCCACAGCAUUAAAUUCUCUAAUUUUUUAUUAUAUCAUUAAGACACUUUUUAGUGUAUGACCAAGAAUAACAUCUUAUUUUUUGUUAAUAUACUUCUUUCAAAUAUUUACAAGUCCUGAACUCCAAGAUUUGUUUACCAUGUGAUAAGAUUUUUUCAAAAAAAAGAGAGAAGAAUAUAGCAUAUCAUUUUUAAUAAAUUUUGACAAAUCCUGGAAGCCAAGUUGUUUUUUUUUUUUUUUUAAUUAACUUUGGGUAUCCCAGACUCAUGGAGAGAGGGGAGGUGCAGCCCACGAAUAGACUUUCUCUCCGGGUAUUCAAAUGGACCCUAAAGCAUAGGCUAAUAUCCGUGUUAGAUGACCAGGAUAAUUGUGACUUAGUUUCGCGCAGCAGGUGGAUCGAACCUGAAACGUGUUGGCGUCUCAGUCCCGUCUCCUUACCACUCGACCACAAUCACCCGGUCGCCAAGUUGUUAUAGCAUGUGAUAAGAUUUGUUUAAAUGUUUUUAUAAACGAUAUUAUUAUUCAUAUCUGGAAGUGCAACAUUUAGGGAGGUGUAGUUUUUAUUACAAGUAAAAGGGUUUGCGAGACGAUUUCAAAGGCUAGUUUUUGUCGGAAACCACACCGUUUUGGUGGGAAUACAAUGAAGUUUUGGUUGGUAUGGUAUCAAGAGCCUGAAGAAUGUCAGCCUUCAAGUCAUCAAAGUCUUCAACACCAAAACUAAAGCGAACUAAGUUGUCUUUGAGUCCAUAUUUGAGCCUUUCAUCUCGUGGUACAUCCCUAUAAAUCAUAACCACCCAAACAUUUAUAAAUGACCAAAAAUAGACAAAACUAUAAGAAAAUGUUUUUUUUUUUGACUAAAAAAAAAAAGUUUUAGAUGGGAAUAUCACACCAGUUCCUUGCAGCGGGUUGGUCCACGAAGCUCUCGCAUCCACCAAAAGAUGUUGCAAUGUAAGGGAUUUUGAGAGAAUCGAUGAACUUGAUCGUAGUCUCUAGAUCUCAAUCAAUCUAUUUGCAAAUAAAAGAAAAGAACCAAAACACAUUUCAAGAUUGUAUCAAAAUUUCAAAAAAUGUGAUGCAUAUUUGAUUAUUAUUUUCACCUCGAAAGUGACUAGACCACCAAAAUCAGUCAUUUUUCGCUUGGCUAUGUGAUGCUCGGGAUGCCUAGGAUUCUAGGAAGGCCAGGGUAGUAGACACGGCUCACCUAUCACGAUCAUAUUGCAUGAUAAUUCACAUACAAAAACUAAUAUAUAAUGUGGAAAUGAGAAAAGGGUCGUAGUGAAAAAAAAUAUAAAAAAACUUUGGGAUGUGCUUCUAAAACAUGGGCCAUUCUCAAAGCGGUUGAGUUCUGUUGUUUUACGCGAAGAUGCAUCGUCUUAUUGCCCCGGAUGAGUAAAAUACGCAGCGUUCUGUUUUGCAAAAGACCCCAUUAUCCAAAGUUUAGAACUCUCUGAUGAUAUACGACCUAUUCUAAUUACUAGGUGAUUCUCUCGUGCUCAUGCACGAAUAUAAGUAUUUUAGAAAUAUAUAGUUUAUAAUAUUUGUAUGAUAUUUUUUUAUUAAGUUUUAAUUUUUUUUGUAAUUUAUAUGUAUGAAAAAUGGGUUAAAAAAAAGAAAUGCCUGAUUUUGCUUAUACAUAAUUUGAUCAAUCAUUUUUCGGAUAUAUAAGAUUGCUUGUUUUCAUCUCAACUACAGAUUAAUGUUUCGUGUUCUUAAAAAGUUAAAUCCGAUUAAAUUUCUUAGCUGCAUUUAAUUUGAUUUAUUGUCUUGUAUUCAUAAUAUAUUUUCAUAAAAUUAUGCCUAAUUUGAUAUAUGUUAUUUUAGGAAACAAAUAAAAGAGUGUUGUUACUCCGAAGUUGCAUAAGUGAACAUAAUAAGUAUUUUUUAAAAAUUUUAUGCAUGUAAAUAAAUAUUUUUAACCAAAAUAAAUCGUAAUAACUCAUUAAUAUAUUUUCACUUGAUUAUUAGUUUUGAAUCGUUUGUAAUUUACAUGGAUAAAAAUAAAUAGAACACUAUUUUAAGUAAUAAUAUGUCGCUGACUUAAAUGGGUUUUGAUUUUGAGUCUAUGAAUCAUGAUCAAUUCACUUGCUCAUUGUUUAAGUAUAUUAAGUUUAUAUAUUUGUCUAAAAUAAAAAAAACAAUAAUUUAUAUUCUAAUUACGUUUAAAUUGAUUAAUUUUGUUGCAUAUACUUUAGUUUUAAGUUUGAGGUAUGAAAAUAUAUUGUUUUCUUUUCAAAGAAAAUUAUCUAUACUAUUUUUGUGAACCUAUGUUUUGUGUCUAAAACUCUAUAUAUUUUAAAACUUAUAGAUAUUUACUUUUUUACUUAUGUUGUUUUUGAAAAUAUGAAAAGAAAGAAAACUAAAACUAAAAUUCGUUAUUAUAUUUAUAAAUGUUAUAAUUAUUAUAUAUAUUUUCUUUUUAUUAUUUAUAUGAGUUUUGUAAAGAAAAUUAAAAGAAAAAGGAAAUAAAGUGAAAAGCUCAAUUAGAAAUUUAUCAAUGAAAAAGAAAAUAGAAAUAAUCUUAAUAAUGUCAAUUAUGUAUAAUACCUAUGUUUUGUGUCUAAAACUCUAUAUAUUUUAAAACUUAUAGAUAUUUACUUUUUUACUUAUGUUGUUUUUGAAAAUAUGAAAAGAAAGAAAACUAAAACUAAAAUUCGUUAUUAUAUUUAUAAAUGUUAUAAUUAUUAUAUAUAUUUUCUUUUUAUUAUUUAUAUGAGUUUUGUAAAGAAAAUUAAAAGAAAAAGGAAAUAAAGUGAAAAGCUCAAUUAGAAAUUUAUCAAUGAAAAAGAAAAUAGAAAUAAUCUUAAUAAUGUCAAUUAUGUAUAAUUUAUAAUUUAUUAAAGUUAUGUUUGUAAUUGACCACUCUAAGAAUCAACGUGAGAGCGACACGUAUGAAACUGACUUUUCAAAUAAUAUUAUAGAGAUAUCUUAAAGAACCAUACUGACACAAACAAAAUUUCCUACAUAAAUAUGAGAAGAGAGAUAGAUUACGAGAGCCUUAAACAAUUCAGUAACGAUUUUAGUUUUAAUUUUUUUUAACAAUUUGGGGGCCUAUUUUUCAUUCGGCUAUGCCAUGACCGGUUCGGAGAAAUAGCAUGAGAGGAUUUCCUCUAAAGAUAUGUACCGGACUAAGCGUGCCUCCCAAGAGAUUAUGCAUAAUACGGAUCUCAGAAACCAACUUCAUUGAACCAGAUAUGCAUCCAGCGAGAACCUAGAAAGACAGAAGGAACACAUAAUCAUUUUAUCACCUUUUUUUUUUCCAAGCACGGUUCUGUAUUCUUAUUUACGCACAUCGUUGUGGCCUCCAAUAUACUUAGUAGCAGAUUGGAUCACGAGAUCAGCACCAAGAGCAAGUGCCUUUUGAUUCAAAGGUGUUGCAAUGGUACCAUCUAUACAAACAAGAGUUCCUCUUUUGUGACAGAUUUAUCAGUAGCGUCAAUUAGAGUCGGCUGGAAACACACAUAACAAAUGGUUAAUCGGUGGACUCACACUAGGGAACAAGAGAAAAAACAAAGUGAUGAAAUUUGGGAUAUUCUUACAGUGAUUCCCAAUUUGGGAAGAAAAGUCUCAAUGAACAUCCUUGUCUCCUUGUAACAAUCCGUAGUUGUGACAAUAUGUCCACCUCUUGGAACCAUUGCUAACAGCACAACAGUACUUGUACACAUACCAGAUGCCAUAACCGAAGUUGAUUCGAGAGAGAGAGAGAGAGAGAGAGAGAGAGAGAGAGAGAGAGAGAGAGAGAGAGAGAGAGAGAGAGAGAGAGAGAGAGAGAGAGAGAGAGAGAGAGAGAGAGAGAGACCUUAUCUUCUCUUCGAGUACUAUAUUCGUUGGACUUCCUUAACGAAUAUACUCUUGAGAUAUAUACAAUCCGUUUCUCCUACAACAAUGAAAGUAGAGUCAUCUUUUUAAACGAAUAUUACCCUUUUUGGUUAACCAUCAUUAGAAUCACAAGUGGAUUAGUUUUUAAUCAAAUUAACGUAACAUACUUCUUUUAGAAAUCUUAAGGACAAGCAGAUAUUUAUAUAAACGGACCUUGGAGUCGAUAAGCUCGGAGGAAUUCUUGUAGAAGUAAGUCGUUGUGCUUACUGCAGGGGUCCUUAUCGAAUUUGUGACUAUUUCACGACCUAAUCUUUCACCUGACGAUAAACCAUCAAACCCAUUCUCCAGUCACGAAAUUGACAUUCUUAUCAAAUGAAUGAAAGGAAGAUAAAACAAAUUAAAGGAGGCAAGCACUUCUGACUAUCCCCAUAAUUAAAGGCUUGUCGGAGAGUUAACACGAAAAGGAUGUAUAAGAACAAGAGGAAGAAUUGUUUUACUAUGCACGUAAGCGAGGACAAAAAAUAAAAUAAAAGACAAGCUUAAAAUAAAUUAUUAUUAUUUUAUUAAUAAUUAUUUUAUAUAUUAUUUUUAUUAAUAACAACUAGAUAUGGGCAUAGGAGCGAAGCCACCUUGGAACAUCUCCAAAAAAAAAAAUUGUGCAACAGAACAUCUCCAAGAUAAAACUGAUUUUUUUCUUUAAAAUAGAUUAACCUUACAAUAGAGUUGAAUUUUACUCUAAAUAUAUACUCUAUUUAAAAAUGAAAAAAAAAUAGUGAACAAAAAGUAAAAGUAUUAUUUCAUUUAUGGAGUAAACCUAUUUUUAUUUCCACUAUUAGUGAAAAACGGAGAAGAAUUAAAAUAUUUCUUACUCUAAAUUUUAUUUUAAGUAAAGUAUGAAAUGAAGUUUGAAAUGAUCUUAUACAUUGUGGGUGCACAUGCACCUGUAAUUUUAUUUAUAUUCCAUUUUUUGAGAGACUAAACUCCUAACUUCGCAGCUGGAUGCAUUGCAUGAGUUUUGUUUAAUGUUUAAUUUUAUGAAAAACUUAAGAAAUGAAAAAUAUCUUUUACUGUAAUUUUAUGAAGUUUUUUCAUAUGUCGUGUGUAAGAUUUAUUUUAGAUUUUUUAGGAUCCUGGUAAGUUUUUUUCAUUAAAAAGUUAUUAUCAAAUAAGUUUUACAGUUCUCUUUUAGUUAGGAUUUAUAAAAAUAAAUAGCUAAUGAUUUAUUUUAGAUAAUUAUUGUUAUAUAUUUAUAGAUAAUUUUUAAUACAUAUCACAAUUUUAAUUUUUUAUUCACAUGUGUCGAUCAUGUUAAUUAGGAAUAAUGAGGAACCAAAUUUUUUAUAUAAUAAAAUUCUAAAUAUAUAUAUGUUUAACGUUGAAUAUAGAAUAUAAUGAAUUUCCAUGAAACAGAAAAUGUUUAUCUUCUAACGGAUAUUAUAUUUUGGUAAUUUCUUCAGGUUAUCUGAACUUUCAGAAUUUAGAUCAAAGCGGAUAACACAACAAACUAAUGUAUUUUUGUAUGAACUUAUAGCAAAAAAUAUAUUACAUAUGCUUUAUCCAAACCUUAUAAGCCUAUAACAGAUUGCUAGUACAUAGUUAAGAGGUGAUAAGAAAAACAGAUAAGUAGUAACAAUCCUAAAGGGAAAAUGGAUAUGUAUAGUUAACGUACGUACCAGCAUGAACAGCCAGACUCUCAUCGGAGCUCAAGAACGAGGGUUUCAACUUGUUCACAUCUUCCAUCUUAACAAUAAUUUAGAAAUAUAGAAGUAAUACUUGGAAAUUUUAUAAGAAAAAGGGAAUUUCUGAUUCCCUCUUUUGUUAUUUGAUAUAUAUAUAUAUAAAAUGUUAUUUGAUAUAUGUAGUUAAAUUUGAAAGUCUAUACAAUGCACCUAUUUAUAGUUGAGAAGUGAAAUGAGUUCCUUCUUUUUAUUAUGUUACGAAAGAAGAGUGUUGGUGUAAGCAAUACCUAUAUUUAAAUAUGACCAAACCUUGGUAUUCAAAAAAAAAAUAUGACCAAACCGCUUGAUAUGAUCGGCAGCUCGCGUCUAUUCUAUGUUUCUAAUCCUAGGGCUUUGAAGAUAACUCAGUUGUCUAUUAAAAUGAACGUCCCAUCUGUGAAGUUUAGCCUCAUAAUAUAGAUUAGCAUUUCGCAUGAAACAAUAAUUAGCAAAAUGAACUUCAUCCCAGUAUAUUGUGUUUCGCGUAUAUAUCUUACAGAUUUUUCAUAUUUUUAGCGUUACUAAAGCAUAGCUAGAAACACCUGCAUAAAUUAGGGAAUGCAUGGAAUUAUUUCAUGACGUUAGGUUUUCUCUUAUCUUAAAACCUAGUUUAUAUAUAAACAAAAUCACUAGAUGAUGCAGCGUAGAAUUAGAAUAAUUACGAUUUAUUUGUAUUAUCUUUAUUUUAAUAGUUUUCCUAUUUUAAUUAGGAUUAGGGUUUUCAUGGCUUUUAUGUUUUCAUAUAUAUAUAAGCUUCUAAUUAUGCCUAGAGUUGUAUUCAGUUUAUAAUUUGAUUAAUAAAAAUUGAGAAUUCUUCUUUUGUUCUUUGUUUUCGGUAGAUCAUUGGUGAUUUUAACGAAUUUAAGAAGACAUUGAUCUUAGGCAUUCUUAGAAUAAAUAAGAUAUUUGUAAUUAUUCUAGUUUUUCGGGUAUUUUCAGAAUCUACGGAUCUCUAGCUUUAUCUCUAUAAAAGCUUCCUCUUCGUCACUAGACCACGAAAGCAAUAACAUUAUCAAACACACUGACUUUAUUAAAUACCUCUAUUUGAUUCUUCAUUUCUUCUUAUACGAUUUCCAUUCAGUCAACUUUUAAUCCUGUUUUUUCAUUAAAAAAUUAUCUGUUUGGUUUGUGCCGACAUACAUGUGUCUACAAGCAUAUAAAUCGGUCUAAACUUAGAAGGUUCAAAACCUAGUAAAAUUUCUUACAAGAAUAGAGUUUACUAUACUCAAGGAAAAAAGAUAAGAAAACAAAUUUAUCUCAAGGAGAAAGAAGAAGAACCGAAGUAGGCAAUUAGGGUUUCUUUAGGUUUAUACUGCAUGUGAAUGUUAUGACUACAACAUAGUAGUUGUUUUAGUAUAAAAAACAUAUGCUGCCUUUUAAAUACCCUAUAGUACAAGAGUCAAUGGUCUUGGAUAUACACAUAUAAACGAAGGGUAUUGGUGGAUGGGUCAUCAUCAUAAACAAAAAGCAUAACAUGACAGUAGCAAAUUAGAAGGUUUUAUCGUUACUAACUUACGUGUUCUUCCAUCAAAGAUCUCGAUUAUACAAUUAGUAUUUAUGCUCAAAUUUCCAUAAAGUUAUCCAACCAGUCGCUUUCUCCCUUCAGAAUAUAGUUUUUUCUUCAGACAUAUUUUAUCAACCAUGCCAAGUCGGAUACAUGAAGAACCAACAUUAACUUACGUAACACAAGACAUAUAUAUCUAUACUAUAUAUUUUCCUUUGAGAUGACUUAAAGGCCAAUGGCCAAUGGGAUAUAAAUUGUUAACAGGUUUAGCUUAACAAUCCUCUAUCACGUCACUACAAGAAAACGUGCCCAUAACAACGAACAUUUACGACGAAAAUAUUUCGUCGUAAAUUUACAUGAUGUUUACAACGCAAUUACGAGGAAUCCAACUUUCAUCGUAAACGCAAUGUAAAUUUACGACGAAUAGAUUUCGUCGUAAACUCCAUGUAAGUUUACGACGAAUGUACGUGGAAAGAGAAAUACGUCGUAAUCAUUACAUCGACAUUACAACGAAACAUGUUACCGUUAUAUUUAGGUGAAAACGUGUAUUCAAUGUGCUUUAACUUACCUAAUUUCGUCGUAAAGUCGUUGUAAAUAAUAUGUUAAAACCAUGUAAAAUUCAUGUAAAAUAUUCCUUGUAAAAUCGUUGUUAUAUUUCAACUACCCAACUCGAAAAUUUCUCUAUAUAUAUGUCAUUUCCCACAACUCUCUUCCUCACAACACACAAACGGGAGAAAAAAAAAUCCGAAAAAAAAAUCAGAAAAAAAAAGAUUUCAAAAAAAAAUCUAAGAAAAAAAUGGCCGGUGGCGGUAGUAUUUACGAGUUACGGAGUUGGAUGUAUUUGCACAAAGAUUCCGACGGGAGGGUGACAAACGCAUUUCUGAGCGGGCUAGAGACAUUCAUGCACCAGGCGGGCUGUACACCGAUCACACAGGAAAGCGGUAAGAUGUUCUGCCCCUGUCGGAAAUGCAAGAAUUCAAAAUUUGCACGUAGUGAAACUGUAUGGAAGCAUUUAGUAAACAGAGGAUUUACACCACAGUACUACAUUUGGUAUCAACAUGGAGAGGGUUAUGGGGGAAAUGAAGCUAGUAGUAGUAAUAAUAAUUUUGAGGAUGGUCAUCAUAGUGAAGAACCGAAUCAUUUGCAUAAUGAAUAUAAUUAUCAUCAAGAUCAUGAGCAGAUGGUAGAUCAUGAUAGGGUUCAAGAUAUGAUUAGUGAUGCAUUUUUAGAAACAACUACAACAAUAGCUGAUGGAACUGGAAAUGUAGAAGAACCUAAUUUGGAUGCAAAAAGGUUUUAUGAAAUGCUAGAUGCUGCAAAUCAACCAAUCUACACUGGUUGUAGAGAAGGUCUCUCUAAAUUGUCUCUAGCAGCUAGGAUGAUGAAUAUUAAAACGGAUCAUAAUUUACCUGAGAAUUGCAUGGAUGCAUGGGCGGAGUUGUUUAAAGAGUAUUUGCCAGAAGACAACGUGUCUGCUGAAUCUUAUUAUGAGAUUCAGAAAUUGGUUUAUAGUCUUGGGUUGCCUUCGGAGAUGAUUGAUGUUUGCAUCGACAACUGCAUGAUCUACUGGAAAGAAGAUGACAAGUUAGAAGAGUGUCGAUUCUGCAAAAAACCACGAUUCAAACCGCAAGGCCGUGGGAGGAAUAGGGUACCGUACCAAAGGAUGUGGUACCUACCAAUUACAGACAGAUUGAAAAGAUUAUAUCAAUCUGAGAGGACUGCUGCGUCGAUGAGGUGGCAUGCGGAACAUGUCCAGAGAGAUGGUGAGGUUGCACAUCCAUCAGACGCAAGAGCGUGGAAACAUUUCAACAAGGUACACGCAGAUUUUGCUACAAAUAUUCGGAAUGUCUAUCUUGGGUUAUGCACCGAUGGAUUUAGUCCAUUUGGAAUGUCUGGUAGACAAUAUUCUUUGUGGCCAGUCAUUCUUACGCCGUACAAUUUACCGCCGGAUAUGUGCAUGGAACAAGAAUUUCUAUUUUUGACCAUAUUAAUCCCUGGGCCGAAGCAUCCAAAACGGUCUCUUGAUGUUUUUCUUCAACCGUUGAUAGAAGAGCUAAAGCAAUUGUGGUCAGAAGGGGUGAGGACGUACGAUUGUUCCUUGAAAAACAAUUUUACGAUGCGAGCAGUUCUGCUGUGGACGAUAAGUGAUUUCCCUGCUUAUGGGAUGUUGUCUGGCUGGACAACACAUGGAAGAUUAUCUUGUCCAUAUUGUCUUGGAUCGACGGAUGCUUUUCAACUGAAGAAUGGUAGGAAGAGUUGUUGGUUUGACUGUCAUCGUCGCUUUCUUCCACUUGCCCAUCCGUACAAAAGAAAUAAGACAUUGUUUUGGCACAAAAAAAUUGUCAGAGACGGUCCUCCUCCAUAUCUCACCGGCCAGUAGAUCGAAGCAGACAUUGAUUAUUCCGGAGCUCAGGAAACAGUUAAAGUUGGAGGAAAUUGGCAUGUUCCUGGAAAUAUGCCUGAUGGGUAUGGUGUGUCUCACAAUUGGCAUAAGAAGAGUAUAUUUUGGGAGCUACCCUAUUGGAAGGAUCUUCUCUUACGCCACAAUCUGGAUGUCAUGCAUAUUGAGAAGAACUUUUUUGAGAACAUCAUGAAUACAUUACUUAACGUCCCUGGGAAGACAAAAGAUAACAAAAAGUCAAGGAUGGACUUACCUGAUAUUUGCUCAAGAAGUGAGUUACAUAUCAAGAGCAAUGGAAACGUUCAUGUUCCCAUCUUCCGGUUGUCAUCAGAAGCCAAAACAACCUUGUUUGACUGGGUUGCAUCAGAAGUUAAGUUUCCUGAUGGUUAUGUUUCAAAUCUGUCAAGAUGUGUUGAACGAGGUCAAAAGUUCUCCGGAAUGAAGAGUCAUGAUUGUCAUGUGUUUAUGCAACGACUACUUCCAUUUGCUUUUGCCGAGCUCCUUCCAGCAAAUGUCCAUGAAGCACUUGCAGGUAAUUAUAAAACGUUAAUAUAUAUACAUAUGUUAUGAAAUGUUAUUAAUUUGAUUACUUUUGCAAUAUACAGCCAUCGGCGCUUUUUUCAGAGAUCUCAGCACACGUACGUUCAAGGAAGAAGUCAUCGAACAACUUCAUCAUAACAUUCCGAUCAUAUUGUGCAACCUGGAGAAGAUAUUUCCUCCUUCAUUUUUUGACGUCAUGGAGCAUCUAGUUGUCCACCUACCGUAUGAAGCAUUGCUUCGUGGACCUGUUCACAACGGAUGGAUGUAUCCGUAUGAGCGACAGAUGAAACAUUUGAAGGGGAAAGCAAGAAAUCUUGCAAAGGUGGAAGGUUCAAUAGUUGCGGGAAGUUUGACAGCCGAAACAUCUAACUUCACAUCAUACUACUUUGCUCCAACUGUUCGUACGAGGAAAAGAGUUCCUAGAAGAUAUGAUGAUGGUGGAGUACCGACAUCAUAUCCAAUUGAUGGUGUUCCUGACAUUUUCUGCGAAAUUGCACGGUUUGGUGGUAAAACGAAAGAAGUAUGGUGGUCAUGUGAAGAGGAUAAACAUAGUGCCCACACUUAUAUUCUGCUCAACUGCGAGGAUGCAGUGACCCGUUACUUUGAAAGGUAAAUAUUUUUGUGAAUGUUAAUUAUAUGAAUUGCAGUUAAUUAUGUAUGACUUGAUUAUUUGUUUAAUUUGCAGCAUGUUUGUAUCUCAAGUUGAAGAAGCAAUACCAGGAAUAUCUGCAACUGAUGUGGACACACGUAAAGAUAAGCACUUUGUCAAGUGGUUAAAAUCACAGGUACGUAAUAUAUCUCAUACAUUGAUUAAUUAAGUAAGUGUUUUGAUACUUCAAUAUUAAUUAAGAAUAACUGCUUUUUGCAGGUUGAUUAUGACGAUCCUUAUUAUCCCGUAUGGUUUCACGAAUUGGUUCAAGGUCCAGUUGCAAAGGUCACCACAUCACCUAUGUAUUUCACACGAGGAUUUACCUUUCACACAUACGAGUAUGGGAGACAUCAGGCAACGAGUAACUACGGAAUAUGUAUGAAAGGUGAAAAGGACUUUUACGGGAUCUUGCAGGAGAUUAUUAAAGUGGAAUUUCCGGGGUUAUUGAAGCUAAAAUGCGUCCUCUUCAAAUGUGAAUGGUUCGAUCCUGUUGUGAACCGAGGGAUUCGGUAUAACAAAUUUGGUGUUGUGGAUGUCAAUUUUGGGAGAAGAUACAACAAAUUUGAGCCUUUCAUUUUAGCUUCACAAGCCGAGCAAGUUAGCUUCCUUCCUUAUCCUCGGCUUCGAACUUCCGGGAUAAACUGGUUAGCUGCUAUCAAAAUUACACCUCGUGGACGCAUUGUCGCUGGAGAAGAACCGCCCUUGCAAGAAGAAGACGCUAUCAAUGAAGUUGAGGUACCAGAACAACCAACUGAUGAAAUCCUUUUGAUCGACCCGCAAAACUUUCAAUAUGAAGAUAUUCCCGAAGAUGCGACAGAUGAAGCACGUGAAGACGAGUUCGAGAGAAGCGACGAUGAUGAUUGUAAUGAUAGUGAUGAGAACGAAAACGAUUUAGAGUGAUGUAAUAUUGAUGAGAACGAAAACGAUUUAGAGUGAUGUAAUAUAUGUCUCUGAUGUUGUAUUUCUCUAUUGUAACGUAUGUUUAAAGAAAUAUUGUUUUUUUACCAUCCUAAUGUAUGUGUAACAAAUGUUGUUUUAUAUAAUAUGUAUUUGUGUUAAUUUUAAAAAAAUUAUUUGGAGUUUUAGGGUUUUAGAGUUUAAGUUGGAGAAAGAGCACAAAGUAGUAGAGAAGAGAUAUGAUGUUAGAUGAUAUGUGACUUUGGGGUUUAGGGAUUUCAUUCUCGGUGUUUAGGGUUAAGCGUUGUAAAAUCGUCGUAAAUGGUUAUCUAUUCCACGUAAUUUCGUCGUAAAUGGAAAAACGCGGGCCUGGUAACUUCGUCGUAAACGUGGGCCUUGUAAAUUCGUCGUAAACCGAUGUUUCGACGUAAUUUCGUCGUAAAUCGAAAAACGCAGGCCUGGUAACUUCGUCGUAAAUGAAAAAACGCGGGCCUUGUAACUUUGUCGUAAUAUUACGUCGUACGACGAAACCUUUUUCUAUAUAUUGGGACGCCGAGACGAGGCUGUCUUGUCCAUUCCUCCCAAACUCCUCUCCUCUCUCUCUAAGGUACAUUCUCUUUCCUCCUUUUUUUUUUAAGUUAGUUUAGGUUAUUAAUUAGUUAGGUAAUUAGUUUAGGUGAUUAUUUAGAUAAUUAGUUUAGGUGAUUAGUUAGAUGACGGAAUACUAUAGUUUAGGUGAUUAGUUAGGUAACGGAAUAAUUUUUUAAUUAUGUCGUCAUAAUUGAUUAAAUUUAUUUAAAUUUUUUUUAGAUGGCUCCUAGAAGGAAACCAGCAGCACCUACUUAUGCCCAGUUGUUUGGCGAUGGUUCCGGUACAUCUUCUUCCGGUCCAUCGUCUUCCGAUGCAGUUCCAGACUCUCAGACUUCUCAGAGAGUUUUUUCGAGUCCUCCUCUUCCACCGCAGAUGCCUCCACCUCCUCCUCCAGCGGCUGCACCUGAGCCUGUCCCAGAAGGUGCAGUUCAUCCGGAUUUGCGUGUGCCUUCAUAUGCUCCCUUCGCGAGAUAUACGGUGGAGGAUUUGCUUGCCCAGCCUGGACGGGAGGGUUUGGAUGUUCUAGACCCCGAUAGACCCCGAGGAACUUAUUGGUAAGUUAUUAAUUUUUAUUACUUUAAAAUUUAAUUAAUUUUUAUUUUGUAACGGUUAAAUUGUUUUUUUUUCAGGUUUGGGGCUAACAACCGUGUUAGCCGGAGCGUUUCGGCGACGAUUAAGGGUUACUACGACGGGGCAUACCCGAACUGGAGCAAGACACCAAAUCACGUUAAGAUCACGUGGUUUAAAUGUUUUGCGGUAAGAUUUUUAAAUUUAAUUAAAUUUUCACUUUUAAAUAUAUAUAUAUAUUUUUAAUAUUUAUUAUUAAUUGUAAUUUUUUCAAAAUUUUUAUGUUUCAGCAAAAGUGGCAUUGGUCUUUGGGAAUCACCGAGAGGGUGAAGGCGGAAUUCGUUGCAAAGGCAAAGAUACGCCUCUGCAACACAGUCUCUGAUUGGAAGGACAAGUGGGAGAUCUACGGGUAUGAGGGAAAGCCCACUGAGCUCACGACGGAUGUGUGGGAUGGCCUCAUCGCCUAUUGGGAGCACCCCUCUUCGAUCAGAAAGGCCAAUUCGUGCUCGGCUUCUCGAAGGACGAAGGAUAAAGAUGGUCAUUUGCCCAUGCUUCACAGAACCGGACAAAAACCUCAUGCAGGAGUCCGUCUAGAAGCUGUAAGUUUUGUUUUAAAUAUAUAUUUUAAAAUAUUCAAUUAAUAUAAUUUAUAAUAUUUAAUUUAAUUUUUUUUUGUAGUUCGAGAAGACGGGAGUCUUACCUUCUCUGUCUGACCUAUUCAAGAUGACUCACGCCACAUCCGACGGAGUUUUUGUGGAUCCUGCAUCUGAGAAACUCUUCCGAACAGUGGCUGGUCGGAUUGAAGAACGGGAGACGCAACUAACCCAGGAGUCUCCCGAUGGAUUACCAGUCACAUUGUCCACCGAAGAGGUCGACAGAAUCUUCGAAGAGGUAACUUAAAAUUUUUGUUUACAUUAUUUUAAAUAUUUUAACAUAAUUAACUAUAUUAAUAUAUGUUUUGAUUUUAUAGGUGGCUCCUAAAAAGAAGGGACGGAUAGUCGGUAUAGGCUCUGUUAACGAAGUUGCAAGGGCAACUUCGUCAUACACUUCGAGACGGGAUGAAGAGACUGCUCAGAUGAAGGCUCGAAUGGAUAGCCAGCAGGUUCGUUUAGACUCUCUUGAGGAUUUGCUAGACGUGAUGGCCGUGGGAAACCCGGUUAUGCAGAGAAUGUUGAGUGAGAGACGAGCCGCUCUUGGAAUGCCACCACGAGAUCCCCAAGAGUCCGAUCCAACCCGUCAACAGCCGAGCAACCCCACCAACUACUUCGAGAAUAUGUAGUUUUUUUUUUUUUUCUGUUUGUAUUAUGAAUUUAAAUAUUAUUGUAUGACUUUUUAAAAUAUGUUUUCCAAUUUCAUAUUUUGUUUUAAAAUUUAAAUUAUUUUAAAUUCUGAAUAUUAAAUAUAAAUUAAAAUCUAUUAUAUACUAAUUAAUAAUAAUAUAAUAAGAAACUAUGUAAACUCCUCGUAAACAUUACAUGGAGUUUACAUCGAAUGUUUACGAGUGAUUAACAUCAAAAUAUUUACGAGGGUUUUACAUCGAAAUGUUUACGAGUGAUUUACAACGAAAGUAUUUACGUGUGCUUUAUUUCGAUACGACAAAUCAUUUCCCUGCGCUUUACGAGGAAUAUAUUUCGUCGUAAACGUAACGAGUCGUUUACGACGAAACCUCCGUUACGACGGACGUUUAACAACGAAACGUCUUUCGACGUUAAUUCGUCGUAACACCCGGUUUACGACGAAUUUACAACGAAUACUGCCCUAGUAAAAAUUAUGUUUUCUUUUAGUGCGUGAAUGUAUAAUACAAACGUAAAACAAUAUUAAAAGUCACCACGCGAUAUUGCAACCAAAUAUACAACUAUUUAACCAGUGGUCCAGUGGUGACGCUGGGUAUGAGUUCGCGGUUGCAAUUUACACGCUGCUGUCAGCCUGUCACACUCGAGAGGCAGAUACAUGUGUGAAAGUGUAGAUUAGAUGCUUAAACAUAAUAAUCUAUUUUGUAUGGACAAUAUAAGCUUAGUACGUAGAGAAAGAGAAUAGUGAGAGAGGAGGUUAAUUACUUGUCUACUGGAUUAGAUAUCACCCUGUUCGAAAACGCGGCCGCCUAGCCGCCUAGGCGGCCGCUUAGGCGUUGCUCGGAGUCCAACCGCCGCGAUUAUGACCUGAUCGGUCACACUAGGCGCUGGACCGCGUUAACACGCUUUGACCGCGUAUUAUCUGCGUUGACCGCGUAAUAUUACCAGUCUUAAACGCUUAAAACUUAAAAAAAAUUGAACUAUUGGGCCUACAACAGGUUUAUGGAAACCCAAUUGCAAGUUAUAAUGAUGACAACUCUAAAUGAGUAUUUAUAGGCGUCUUCAGCAUCACCCCUCCUUGUGUUUAACCGAUGUGGGACUUUGUUUCAUAGGUGUUUUUUUUUUAAAAAAAAUUUAAUUAAAAACACUCUAUUGGUGAAUCGAUCCCUGUACCUCAUAAGAGGUUGACAGCAUCAAACACCAAUAGACCACAACGUCUUUUGACAUAUGUACAUAUACUGACACAUAUAUAAACAUUAUUGUAAUAAAAAUAUGACAUUAACAAUAACUUUUGUUAAACCAAUAAAUUAAAACUUCAAUAAUAUACAAAAAAACUAUUACAUUCUAAUAUAUUUAUAUUAUAUAUUUAAUUUAAAUAUUAUUAUAAAUAUAAUAAUAAUAAAAACUAGUCCCCGCGUAUACCCCGAUUAAUCCCCGAUUUUUCGAUAACUCGCUAGGCCCGGGGUCACCGCCCGACUAGCGCCUAGCGUAAUUUCGAACAUGGGAUAUCACUAGUUGACUGGUCCACACCAGUUCUUUUUAUAUAUAUAAAUGCGCAGUAUCGUGUUUCUUUCUGUGUAUGCGACAUAGAUAAAGUUAAAAAAUGUUGUUUAUGUAUAACAUCAAUCAAUGAUGCUCGAUCUUUGACAACCAAUCAGGAGGAUAUGGGAAUGCAUUUUGGGAACAAAUAAAAAAAGUAUACUUGAGCUAGACUGGGGUAGUGAGGUUAACAGGGAACCAUUCAUAUACAUCUCAAAAACGAUGGACGUUAUAACAGCGAUCAAAAAUCAAACGGUCGAAAGACAUACAACUAAGACAAUGUUAUAAAUAUAAUGGCACUUGCAAAACAAAAGGCAAAUCCGUGAGAGAUUGGGCUGAUCCUUAGUGUUGUAAUGAAUUUGAUUUGAGAGGUUUAAGUGAAUUUAGAUGGUGACAACAAAUGUUAAGAUGCUCUUGACUUGGGUUUUGGCUCCAAAAAAAAGGGUCUUAAGAACCGUAUAAUAAGCUUUAAACAAACACAAAGUUGUUUCUUUUUAGUGAUGAAAAAUGAAUAACGAAAAGAAGAAAAAUUGAUAACCGGGGGGAGACAUGACCUCGUCCCCCCCCCAUCUUUAUUGUAAAGGGAAAAAAAAUGGUUUAAUGAUUAGCUUCAACCUUGUGUGGCUUUGUCAUCUGCAGGUGCAAAAAAAGCAAUUUGUUAGUACUUAGCAUACAACAAAAAGGAAUAUAAGAUUAGAACUCAGGAGUUGCAGAAACAAAGUAACAAAAGGAGCAAAUCAAUUCCUAUAUAUAGAUUUGUGUAGCCACCAAUUAUAAUCUGACAAAUCAUCAAUCAAUCAGAUAUACUGAAUUUUGAGAAUCAUAGGAGAUACAUACGAGCACUAUAAUCAAGUUACCUUGAGGAACUUGAGCUUCAUGCUCCCGUAGACGAGACCCACGCUAAAAGCCGAAGCACGAGCCACCUGGUCAAUGAAGCGACAUAGAGACUCAGAUCAAUCACAUGAACUCACAAAUAAAAAGAUUUUUUUAAUAGACGAAUCGGAGAGAAAGAGAGGAUGAUACGUACAAGAGCGAGAGAGCUGGUGCCGGAGUAAAGACCUGGAGGCAGAGUCAUCGCCAAAUCUUAUGUCGUAGUCUUCGCAAAACCCUAAAUUCCCAAAUCGAUUCUCCAAGCUUCUCACAUCACAAACUCGCGACUCGUGAUGGUGGCGCGAUCCUCUUUUACUAAGAGCUGAGUAUUAGGCUCUUAAUGGGCCUUAAUUAAGCUUUGUUCAGGAGAUGCCAAAAAUUAUAUUUUACGAGUUAUCUGAAAUUUUGGAUGCAUAAAUUUGAAAGAACUGGAAAAGAUUUUUUUUUUAGUUUAUGUGUGUUUCCAAAAAUUCGAAUCAAAAUCUAUUUCAUCUAAAAUUUUGUUAGUCAUUUAGCUAAAUAUUUUUUAAAAGAAUUAUUGAGAUUUUUAAUACCAUCAAAUUUCAAAUAUAUUAUCAUAUAAUCUCUAUUUCUAUUAUAUACGAUAAUUAACUAUAAUGAUUAACACUUCGCAAACAACCUUUCAUGAUAGAAUUAUCCCUAAUUGACAGUUUGUUAUGUAUGUACAAUAUCUUUGAUCAAAAUAUUUUUUUGGCACCACACGACCACAACUAACAAUUCUAUUUGUAUCUCUCAAUAAAUUAUAUAUCUUAUAAUAUACUAGAAAUUGAAUCAUUUGGUAAUUAAACUCCACACUUUAAAUCCCAAAUUUUAUUGAGGUUAGAUUCAUACAAUUGAAAGUUUUUUUUACUUCAAAAAUCAUGUAUUACCUUGAAUGACAACACAAUAAUUAAUAUAUUUCUGAAACCCUUGGGAUAUUUUUUUAGGUUCACUUUCAUGGGGUUCAUAUCCAAAUAAAUAGUAGUAUCCAAUUAUCACCACGAUCAUAUUUAUUAUUUCAUUAAAUAAUACUAGAGAUUUUGUCCGGGCUACGCCCGGAGCUAUAUACAAAUAACAUAUAUUUUAUAUGUAUAUUACAAUAUAUUACAUCUAUGUUAUAAAAUAUAAAUAAUAAAUUAAAUUAAAAUGAGUAAAACUCACAAUUUGUUGUCUUCUACUUUCUAAAAUAUGUAUGGGAUAGUGAACAAAGUGAAAUUAAUAAAGAAUUUUUUAAACCUAAGUUAUUCUCAAAAAAAAUAUUUUUUACACAUUUAUUUUAUUAUAAAAUAUAUUAUUAAUCUCAACAUCACAUAUUUUUUUGUUAUAUGUGUUAUUUAUAUCAUGUGUAUGUUUUUAUAUGUCUUUUAUAAUAUUAUAAGUUGGAUGAUGAUUUUCUGGUAUCCUUGGCUUUUGAAGAUGAUAGUUUGUUGAUUUCUUCAUGAUCAGUGUUUGGUCGACGACAAAGAUUUAGCGUUGGAAAUACAAAUCCAAAAAUCAACUCGAUAGGUUCAAUCAUCAGUCGAUUCAAAAUAAAUAGAAACACCCCAAAAAAUUCAAAUAUCAGAUCCAAUCAAUCUUUAAACUACAACUUAAUUUGGUUUUGACCAAAAAACCUAAUAUCCAUAUUUUCACUGUAUUAUUGUGAUAUAUAUAACCAUAUUAUUGUAUAUUUUCACUGUAUGUGUUUUAUGAUGAUUUGUAAGAGGUGUAUAUAACAACUUUGAUGGUCUUAAAGUAUGUUUGGGCGUGAAUGGUUUAUAAAUGUUAAGAUUGUUUAAUACCUUAUUCACAUAUAAAAAUAAAAUUGAGUUUUUAGUCAUACCCGAAACUUUUGUUUUGAAAAAAAUACAUAAAAACAAUUUAGUUUUUUUAUCAAAUUUAAAAUAAAUUGGAAACAAUCAAACAAAUGAAAGAAAUUUAAAUAAAACAAAUCAUCAACGAAGAUGCCAGAGCUAUAGAAGCUUCUAACCAUAUUCUUGGAUCUACACAAAAAUACAUUUUUAUGGUAAGAGUGUUUUUCGUUUUCCACGUGUUAAAAUAAACAAAAAAAUAUUAACAACUAAUUAUUUGAACCAAUUGUAAUAAUACUUACAUUUAAGAAAUAUAUUUUUAGCGACUUAUAUUUAUGUAAUUAUUUUAAAUUUCACAGCUCUUCUAAAAAUAGGUGCUGAAAUUUUUGAAUAUCAAACUAUUCAAUGUUAAAUUUUUAGUAUUUAUAAUUAUUAUUCAAAAAUUAUAACAUUAUAAACAUAUCAUGUAUUUCUCUUAUAAUAUUAUCAUCCGCAAAAUCGCGGGCAAACACCUAGUAUUAGUUAAUCAAGAGUUCCGCGGAGUGGGGUAUACUAAAUAAUAUUUCUUCUUUAAUUCUUGUUACCAGUUAUUAAGUUCAAACUAAAUUUGCUCAAUGGAUAAUAUACACGCACCCCUGUUCGAAAACGCGGCCGCCUAGCCGCCUAGGCGGCCGCUUAGGCGGUGCUCGGAGUCCAACCGCCGCUAUUGUGACCUGAUCGGUCACACUAGGCGCUGGACCGCGUUAACAUGGUUUGACCGCGUAUUAUCCGCGUUGACCGUGUAAUAUUACCAGUAUUAAACGCUUAAAACUCAAAAAAAAUUGAACUAUUGGGCCUACAACAGGUUUAUGGAAACCCAAUUGCAAGUUAUAAUGAUGGCAACUCUAAAUGAGUAUUUAUAGGCGUCUUCAGCAUCACCCCUCCUUGUGUUUAACCGAUGUGGGACUUUGUUUCAUAGGUGUUUUUUUUUUAAAAAAAAUUUAAUUAAAAACACUCUAUUGGUGAAUCGAUCCCUGUACCUCAUAAGAGGUUGACAGCAUCAAACACCAAUAGACCACAACGUCUUUUGACAUAUGUACAUAUACUGACACAUAUAUAAACAUUAUUGUAAUAAAAAUAUGACAUUAACAAUAACUUUUGUUAAACCAAUAAAUUAAAACUUCAAUAAUAUACAAAAAAACUAUUACAUUCUAAUAUAUUUAUAUUAUAUAUUUAAUUUAAAUAUUAUUAUAAAUAUAAUAAUAAUAAAAACUAGUCCCCGCGUAUACCCCGAUUAAUCCCCGAUUUUUCGAUAACUCGCUAGGCCCGGGGUCACCGCCCGACUAGCGCCUAGCGUAAUUUCGAACAUGGGAUAUCACUAGUUGACUGGUCCACACCAGUUCUUUUUAUAUAUAUAAAUGCGCAGUAUCGUGUUUCUUUCUGUGUAUGCGACAUAGAUAAAGUUAAAAAAUGUUGUUUAUGUAUAACAUCAAUCAAUGAUGCUCGAUCUUUGACAACCAAUCAGGAGGAUAUGGGAAUGCAUUUUGGGAACAAAUAAAAAAAGUAUACUUGAGCUAGACUGGGGUAGUGAGGUUAACAGGGAACCAUUCAUAUACAUCUCAAAAACGAUGGACGUUAUAACAGCGAUCAAAAAUCAAACGGUCGAAAGACAUACAACUAAGACAAUGUUAUAAAUAUAAUGGCACUUGCAAAACAAAAGGCAAAUCCGUGAGAGAUUGGGCUGAUCCUUAGUGUUGUAAUGAAUUUGAUUUGAGAGGUUUAAGUGAAUUUAGAUGGUGACAACAAAUGUUAAGAUGCUCUUGACUUGGGUUUUGGCUCCAAAAAAAAGGGUCUUAAGAACCGUAUAAUAAGCUUUAAACAAACACAAAGUUGUUUCUUUUUAGUGAUGAAAAAUGAAUAACGAAAAGAAGAAAAAUUGAUAACCGGGGGGAGACAUGACCUCGUCCCCCCCCCAUCUUUAUUGUAAAGGGAAAAAAAAUGGUUUAAUGAUUAGCUUCAACCUUGUGUGGCUUUGUCAUCUGCAGGUGCAAAAAAAGCAAUUUGUUAGUACUUAGCAUACAACAAAAAGGAAUAUAAGAUUAGAACUCAGGAGUUGCAGAAACAAAGUAACAAAAGGAGCAAAUCAAUUCCUAUAUAUAGAUUUGUGUAGCCACCAAUUAUAAUCUGACAAAUCAUCAAUCAAUCAGAUAUACUGAAUUUUGAGAAUCAUAGGAGAUACAUACGAGCACUAUAAUCAAGUUACCUUGAGGAACUUGAGCUUCAUGCUCCCGUAGACGAGACCCACGCUAAAAGCCGAAGCACGAGCCACCUGGUCAAUGAAGCGACAUAGAGACUCAGAUCAAUCACAUGAACUCACAAAUAAAAAGAUUUUUUUAAUAGACGAAUCGGAGAGAAAGAGAGGAUGAUACGUACAAGAGCGAGAGAGCUGGUGCCGGAGUAAAGACCUGGAGGCAGAGUCAUCGCCAAAUCUUAUGUCGUAGUCUUCGCAAAACCCUAAAUUCCCAAAUCGAUUCUCCAAGCUUCUCACAUCACAAACUCGCGACUCGUGAUGGUGGCGCGAUCCUCUUUUACUAAGAGCUGAGUAUUAGGCUCUUAAUGGGCCUUAAUUAAGCUUUGUUCAGGAGAUGCCAAAAAUUAUAUUUUACGAGUUAUCUGAAAUUUUGGAUGCAUAAAUUUGAAAGAACUGGAAAAGAUUUUUUUUUUAGUUUAUGUGUGUUUCCAAAAAUUCGAAUCAAAAUCUAUUUCAUCUAAAAUUUUGUUAGUCAUUUAGCUAAAUAUUUUUUAAAAGAAUUAUUGAGAUUUUUAAUACCAUCAAAUUUCAAAUAUAUUAUCAUAUAAUCUCUAUUUCUAUUAUAUACGAUAAUUAACUAUAAUGAUUAACACUUCGCAAACAACCUUUCAUGAUAGAAUUAUCCCUAAUUGACAGUUUGUUAUGUAUGUACAAUAUCUUUGAUCAAAAUAUUUUUUUGGCACCACACGACCACAACUAACAAUUCUAUUUGUAUCUCUCAAUAAAUUAUAUAUCUUAUAAUAUACUAGAAAUUGAAUCAUUUGGUAAUUAAACUCCACACUUUAAAUCCCAAAUUUUAUUGAGGUUAGAUUCAUACAAUUGAAAGUUUUUUUUACUUCAAAAAUCAUGUAUUACCUUGAAUGACAACACAAUAAUUAAUAUAUUUCUGAAACCCUUGGGAUAUUUUUUUAGGUUCACUUUCAUGGGGUUCAUAUCCAAAUAAAUAGUAGUAUCCAAUUAUCACCACGAUCAUAUUUAUUAUUUCAUUAAAUAAUACUAGAGAUUUUGUCCGGGCUACGCCCGGAGCUAUAUACAAAUAACAUAUAUUUUAUAUGUAUAUUACAAUAUAUUACAUCUAUGUUAUAAAAUAUAAAUAAUAAAUUAAAUUAAAAUGAGUAAAACUCACAAUUUGUUGUCUUCUACUUUCUAAAAUAUGUAUGGGAUAGUGAACAAAGUGAAAUUAAUAAAGAAUUUUUUAAACCUAAGUUAUUCUCAAAAAAAAUAUUUUUUACACAUUUAUUUUAUUAUAAAAUAUAUUAUUAAUCUCAACAUCACAUAUUUUUUUGUUAUAUGUGUUAUUUAUAUCAUGUGUAUGUUUUUAUAUGUCUUUUAUAAUAUUAUAAGUUGGAUGAUGAUUUUCUGGUAUCCUUGGCUUUUGAAGAUGAUAGUUUGUUGAUUUCUUCAUGAUCAGUGUUUGGUCGACGACAAAGAUUUAGCGUUGGAAAUACAAAUCCAAAAAUCAACUCGAUAGGUUCAAUCAUCAGUCGAUUCAAAAUAAAUAGAAACACCCCAAAAAAUUCAAAUAUCAGAUCCAAUCAAUCUUUAAACUACAACUUAAUUUGGUUUUGACCAAAAAACCUAAUAUCCAUAUUUUCACUGUAUUAUUGUGAUAUAUAUAACCAUAUUAUUGUAUAUUUUCACUGUAUGUGUUUUAUGAUGAUUUGUAAGAGGUGUAUAUAACAACUUUGAUGGUCUUAAAGUAUGUUUGGGCGUGAAUGGUUUAUAAAUGUUAAGAUUGUUUAAUACCUUAUUCACAUAUAAAAAUAAAAAUGAGUUUUUAGUCAUGCCCGAAACUUUUUUUUUGAAAAAAAAUACAUAAAAACAAUUUAGUUUUUUGUCAAAAAUAAAUUGGAAACAAUCAAACAAAUGAAAGAAAUUUAAAUAAAACAAAUCAUCAACGAAGAUGUCAGAGCUAUAGAAGCCUCUAACCAUAUUCUUUGAUCUACACAAAAAUACAUUUUUAUGGUAAGAGUGUUUUUCGUUUUCCACGUGUUAAAAUAAACAAAAAAGUAUUAACAACUAAUUAUUUGAACCAAUUGUAAUAAUACUUACAUUUAAGAAAAAUAUUUUUAGCGACUUAUAUUUAUGUAAUUAUUUUAAAUUUCACAGCUCUUCUAAAAAUAGGUACUGAAAUUUUUGAACAUCAAACUAUUAAAUGUUAAUUUUUUAGUAUUUAUAAUUAUUAUUCAAAAAUUAUAACAUUAUAAACAUAUCAUGUAUUUCUCUUAUAAUAUUAUCAUCCACAAAAUCGCGGACAAACACCUAGUAUUAGUUAAUCAAGAGUUCCGCGGAGUGGGGUAUACUGAUCAAAGUUACUUGUUCUCAAGGGUACAAAUUCUUACUUUUGUCAUUUUUUCCAGAAAUGGUUAAUCUGAACAUUUUCAUAUAUAUAUAUAUUGAAAUAAUAUAUUUUUUGUUUGUAAAUUCGUACUAUCGACUUAUAUUUAUGUAAUUAUCUUAAAUUUCACAGCUCUUCUAAAAAUAGAUACUGAAUUUUUUUAAUAUCAACUUAUUAAAUGUUGAUUUUUAAUAUUUCUAAUUAUUAUUCAAAAAUUACAUCAUUAUAAAUAUAUCAUGUACUUUUCAUAUAAUAUUAUCAUUCGCGAAAUUGUGGGCAAACACCUAGCAUUACUGUAUUAGUUAAUCAAGAAUUCCGCAGAGUGGGGUAUACUGAACAAAGUUACUUGUUCUCAAGGGUACAAAUUCUUAUUUUUGUCAUUUUUUUUCCUGAAAUGGUUAAUCUGAACUUUUUCAUUUAUAUAUAUUGAAAUAAUAUAAAUUUUAUUUAUAAAUUCGUAUUACUUCUUUUCUAUUUAGUUUAGCCAUAUUUUUAAAAAUGUGUAGAUCUUUAAAGUUUUAUGGUUUUGGUUUAUUUUAUCAUGUGUUUUAACUGUUUAAUAAUAAUUUUCUCUUUUCCAGCCCAUAAUUUUAAUAGUAAAUAUAGUAUAUCAUGUUGAUUUUGAGCCUCUUUGUUUUAAUUAAUUGAAUUAAUUAUAUGAAUAUAUAUAUAUAUAUUUUGUAUUGUGUACAUUUAAAAUAUCUAUUUAUCUAUUUAUACUAUUAUUUACAAAUUGAUUUUCUACAUUAGAUCUCUCACAUCAAAAGUUAGAUUGGUUACUUUGGUUACUGUUGUUGUUGCACAUAAGAAUAAUUAUAUUUAUUAGUUUUUUAUUCUAAAAUAUAUUAAUAAUUUUAUAACUACAGUAUGACACAAAUAUAUUAUCUCUAUAGUUUUCGUUGUUCUUAUUCAUCCAAGUCGUGUUGGUUUUAUUUUUGUUUCAUCCUAUAGGUUAUAGGUUACACUGUUUGUUUUGUUUGCUACCAUUCCCUUCUCCACUUUCGUGCUGAUAUUGGAUGUUCUCUUUUCAGUGGUUCAAUCAUUUAGUGCAAAUCAAACAUAUUACUGGUUAGAGAUGCUUGCGUGAAGGAUAAUAUCGACAACAACAAAGCUUGGUUGCGUAUUAUUUUGUUGUGUGUUUCUUUUUUUUUUGUUCAAAUGUGUGUUUCUUUCUUUAAAUGUAGAUAUUCUUUGGGUUCUUGACAUCUAUUUAGAUUUUUUCAGUGCAUGACUAUAUGUACUCUUUUAUUGUAUUUUUAUUACGUUAAAUGGUUUUGUAAAUUCAAAGUAUAUCUUCUAUGCCUUACGUAAUGUAUGGAUGGUUCGUUUCUUAUUAUUCAACUUGGCUUUUUUUUUUGUUUGUUCUUUUGUGCAGUGGGAAUGAGUCAGAACCAUUAGCAGUCAGUCUCUGUUAUCAGUCGCGGUUAUAUUUGUAUAUAUUUGUCUCUGUUCGAGUUUCUUAUGAGAGGAAAUUGUAGAUGUUGCAACUGAUAUAUUUAUUGAGGUUCUCAAGAAAAAGAAGUAGAAUCACCAUCAGGACGCCAUAACCAGUUGUAAAACCACAUGGUGCCAGCCUUGACUACGUAAAUUGUUCCUGUCCCAUGUAUCCAUACUGCGCAUAUGUACAUUUCUCUGUCGAGAUUAUAGCAUGUCCAAAACUUGCUUCUCUGUGGUAGAGUACUUAGGCUGAGGCUCAGUCAUUCUGCAGAAAUCAUAUAACACACCUAAAAUCUAAUAAAAAGGUUGUUUGCAAUGACCAUAAGUCCUUUAUUAUAUAGCUGACUUGGUAGCAAAUCCUUCAAUGUUUCCUCCAUCACAAAUGAUGUAGACAUGAGCAGAUUGAUCUUUUAGUGGACUGGAAAUGUCAUUAACCAUGGUGUCUGCUAUGUUUGAUAUGAGUUCAUGGUAGUUGAUCAAAAAAAAAAGAGUGCAUGGUUUCGCAGAAGCUCAAAAAAUUGUCAUAAUCUAUAGUUUAAACGGAGGCAUAAUGAGCUAAAGUUUUGUGUACUUACUGACCUCACGUAUGCGUGAACAUGACUUGAGAAAAAAACAUCUAAUCUGUAUUUUUCAUUAAAAAAAAAAGAUUUUCAACUUGUCAGUUUGUUAUUGUUAAUAAUAAUUUGCUCUUUUCCAGCCUAAAUUAUUUUUAAUAGUAAAUAUAGUAUAUCAUGUUGAUUUUGACCCUCUUUGUUUUAAUUAAUAUGAAUUAAUCAUAUGAAUAUAUUUAUUAUAUUUAAUAUUUCGUAAUGUGUAAAUUUAAAAUAUAUAUUUAUACUAUUAUUUACGAAUUGAUUGUUUACAUUAGAUCUAUAUAAACAUAAAGAAAACAAAUCAUUAACGAAGAAGCCAGAGCUAUAUAAGCCUCUAACCAUAUUCUUGGAACUACACAAAAACAUGUAAGAGUGUUUUCGUUUUCCACGUGUUAAAUAAACAAAAAGGUAUUAACAACUAAUUAUUUGAACCAAUUGUAAUAAUACUUACAUUUAAGAAAAAUAUUUUUAGCGACUUAUAUUUAUGUAAUUAUUUUAAAUUUCACAGCUCUUCUAAAAAUAGGUACUGAAAUUUUUGAAUAUCAAACUAUUAAAUGUUAAAUUUUUAGUAUUUAUAAUUAUUAUUCAAAAAUUAUAACAUUAUAAACAUAUCACGUAUUUUUCUUAUGAUAUUAUUAUCCGCAAAAUCACGGGCAAGCACCUAGUAUUAGUUAAUCAAAAGUUCCGCGGAGUGGGGUAUACUGAUCAAAGUUACUUGUUCUCAAGGGUACGAAUUCUUACUUUUGUCAUUUUUUUUCCAGAAAUGGUUAAUCUGAACUUUUGCAUAUAUAUAUAUAUAUAUAUAUAUUGAAAUAAUAUAUUUUUUGUUUAUAAAUUCGUACGUCUUAUUUUCUAUUUAGUUUAGCCAUAUUUUUAAAAAUAUGUUGAUCUUUAAAGUUUUAUUGUUUUGGUUUAUUUUAUCAUGUGUUUUAACUUUUUAAUAAUAAUUUGCUCUUUUCCAGCCUAAAUUAUUUUUAAUAGUAAAUAUAGUAUAUCAUGUUGAUUUUGACCCUCUUUUUUUUAAUUAAUAUGAAUUAAUCAUACGAAUAUAUUUAUUAUAUUUAAUAUUUUGUAAUGUGUAAAUUUAAAAUAUAUAUUUAUACUAUUAUUUACGAAUUGAUUGUUUACAUUAGAUCUAUAUAAACAUAAAGAAAACAAAUCAUUAACGAAGAAGCCAGAGCUAUAUAAGCCUCUAACCAUAUUCUUGGAACUACACAAAAACAUGUAAGAGUGUUUUCGUUUUCCACGUGUUAAAUAAACAAAAAGGUAUUAACAACUAAUUAUUUGAACCAAUUGUAAUAAUACUUACAUAUUUUUAGCGACUUAUAUUUAUGUAAUUAUUUUAAAUUUCACAGCUCUUCUAAAAAUAGGUGCUGAAAUUUUUGAAUAUCAAACUAUUAAAUGUUAAAUUUUUAGUAUUUAUAAUUAUUAUUCAAAAAUUAUAACAUUAUAAACAUAUCACGUAUUUUUCUUAUGAUAUUAUUAUCCGCAAAAUCACGGGCAAGCACCUAGUAUUAGUUAAUCAAAAGUUCCGCGGAGUGGGGUAUACUGAUCAAAGUUACUUGUUCUCAAGGGUACGAAUUCUUACUUUUGUCAUUUUUUUUCCAGAAAUGGUUAAUCUGAACUUUUGCAUAUAUAUAUAUAUAUAUAUAUAUUGAAAUAAUAUAUUUUUUGUUUAUAAAUUCGUACGUCUUAUUUUCUAUUUAGUUUAGCCAUAUUUUUAAAAAUAUGUUGAUCUUUAAAGUUUUAUUGUUUUGGUUUAUUUUAUCAUGUGUUUUAACUUUUUAAUAAUAAUUUGCUCUUUUCCAGCCUAAAUUAUUUUUAAUAGUAAAUAUAGUAUAUCAUGUUGAUUUUGACCCUCUUUUUUUUAAUUAAUAUGAAUUAAUCAUACGAAUAUAUUUAUUAUAUUUAAUAUUUCGUAAUGUGUAAAUUUAAAAUAUAUAUUUAUACUAUUAUUCACGAAUUGAUUGUUUACAUUAGAUCUAUAUAAACAUAAAGAAAACAAAUCAUUAACGAAGUAGCCAGAGCUAUAUAAGCCUCUAACCAUAUUCUUAGAACUACACAAAAACAUGUAAGAGUGUUUUCGUUUUCCACGUGUUAAAUAAACAAAAAGGUAUUAACAACUAAUUAUUUGAACCAAUUGUAAUAAUACUUACAUUUAAGAAAUAUAUUUUUAGCGACUUAUAUUUAUGUAAUUAUCUUAAAUUUCACAGCUCUUCUAAAAAUAGAUACUGAAAUUUUUUAAUAUCAACUUAUUAAAUGUUAAUUUUUAAUAUUUCUAAUUAUUAUUCAACAAUUACAUCAUUAUAAAAAUAUCAUGUACUUUUCAUAUAAUAUUAUCAUUUGCGAAAUCGUGGACAAACACCUAGUAUUAUUGUAUUAUUUUAUCAAGAAUUCCGCAGAGUGGGGUAUACUGAACAAAGUUACUUGUUCUCAAGGGUACAAAUUCAUAUUUUUGUCAUUUUGUUUUUUCUGAAAUGGUUAAUCUGAACUUUUUCAUUUAUAUAUAUUGAAAUAAUAUAAAUUUUAUUUAUAAAUUUGUAUUACUUAUUUUCUAUUUAGUUUAGCCAUAUUAUUAAAAAUGUGUAGAUCUUUAAAGUUUUAUGGUUUUGGUUUAUUUUAUCAUGUGUUUUAACUGUUUAAUAAUAAUUUUCUCUUUUCCAGCCCAUAAUUUUAAUAGUAAAUAUAGUAUAUCAUGUUGAUUUUGAGCCUCUUUGUUUUAAUUAAUUGAAUUAAUUAUAUGAAUAUAUAUAUAUAUAUUUGUAUUGUGUACAUUUAAAAUAUCUAUUUAUACUAUUAUUUACAAAUUGAUUUUCUACAUUAGAUCUCUCACAUCAAAAGUUAGAUUGAUUACUUUGGUUACUGUUGUUGUUGCACAUAAGAAUAAUUAUAUUUAUUAGUUUUUUAUUCUAAAAUAUAUUAAUAAUUUUAUAACUACAGUAUGACACAAAUAUAUUAUCUCUAUAGUUUUCGUUGUUCUUAUUCAUCCAAGUCGUGUUGGUUUUAUUUUUGUUUCAUCCUAUAGGUUAUAGGUUACACUGUUUGUUUUGUUUGCUACCAUUCCCUUCUCCACUUUCGUGCUGAUAUUGGAUGUUCUCUUUUCAGUGGUUCAAUCAUUUAGUGCAAAUCAAACAUAUUACUGGUUAGAGAUGCUUGCGUGAAGGAUAAUAUCGACAACAACAAAGCUUGGUUGCGUAUUAUUUUGUUGUGUGUUUCUUUUUUUUUUGUUCAAAUGUGUGUUUCUUUCUUUAAAUGUAGAUAUUCUUUGGGUUCUUGACAUCUAUUUAGAUUUUUUCAGUGCAUGACUAUAUGUACUCUUUUAUUGUAUUUUUAUUACGUUAAAUGGUUUUGUAAAUUCAAAGUAUAUCUUCUAUGCCUUACGUAAUGUAUGGAUGGUUCGUUUCUUAUUAUUCAACUUGGCUUUUUUGUUUGUUUGUUCUUUUGUGCAGUGGGAAUGAGUCAGAACCAUUAGCAGUCAGUCUCUGUUAUCAGUCGCGGUUAUAUUUGUAUAUAUUUGUCUCUGUUCGAGUUUCUUAUGAGAGGAAAUUGUAGAUGUUGCAACUGAUAUAUUUAUUGAGGUUCUCAAGAAAAAGAAGUAGAAUCACCAUCAGGACGCCAUAACCAGUUGUAAAACCACAUGGUGCCAGCCUUGACUACGUAAAUUGUUCCUGUCCCAUGUAUCCAUACUGCGCAUAUGUACAUUUCUCUGUCGAGAUUAUAGCAUGUCCAAAACUUGCUUCUCUGUGGUAGAGUACUUAGGCUGAGGCUCAGUCAUUCUGCAGAAAUCAUAUAACACAUCUAAAAUCUAAUAAAAAGGUUGUUUGCAAUGACCAUAAGUCCUUUAUUAUAUAGCUGACUUGGUAGCAAAUCCUUCAAUGUUUCCUCCAUCACAAAUGAUGUAGACAUGAGCAGAUUGAUCUUUUAGUGGACUGGAAAUGUCAUUAACCACGGUGUCUGCUAUGUUUGAUAUGGGUUCAUGGUAGUUGAUAAAAAAAAAAAGAGUUCAUGGUUUCACAGAAGCUCAAAAAAUUAUCAUAAUCUAUAGUUUAAACGGAGACAUAAUGAGCUAAAGUUUUGUGUACUUACUGACCUCACGUAUGCGUGAACAUGACUUGAGAAAAAAACAUCUACUUUAUUAUUGACAAACUACGGCUCACGACUCUCAUGGUUUCAUGGGAACUUACGCAGUGGUUUCUUGGCUACCACCUUGAGAGCCAGUGCUGUAGAAGAUCCAGCUGGUUUACCAGCAAGUGACUGAGUUCUCCGGAGUCCACCGGUAGUGUCCAAGAAGACUUUGAACUGAGCAGCCAUCAUGCCGUACCUUGUUGGGAAUCCAAAGACGAACCCAUCAGCUUCAGUUAGUUCGUCAGGUGUGAAAAUUGGUGAUUCACUCUUUGGUGGUGUGCUCAUCUUAGAGAGUGCUUAUUCUGGAAGCGUCUCUGGUACCUGUGAAACAGCAAUUCAUCAGGGUCAACGAUUCACAUGGAUUCGUGUAGCCAAGCCUAACUAUAUCUUGUGAAUUGGAAAUUCCUGUGUCACAAAACAUAUAAACUAAAACUGCAACACAGGUUAUUGAAAAGGAUUCACAGCAAGAAUAUCACCAAAACGACGUGAUGCCAUAAGAAGGGGUCAGUCCUGAGAUUUAUGGAACUUGAAACAGUUACUAAAUAAUCAAAACAUAUAUCUUUGUUAAACAAUCUGGAGGACAAAUGAUAAAACUUUGGAGGCCAAUGUUUCAUCUUGUUAUGCCAAUGACCGGUUCAGUUGGCCAUAAACCAGCUAAAAAACCUAGACAAAAAUUAGAAUCUAAACUUGCUAAGCUAAAAGAAACCAUCAGCCAAGAAUCGAAAAUUAAGAAACUUGGAUAAUGGCAAUGGUCCUAAGAUUGCCUAAAGCUAUUGUCAGAAUGUCUAAUAUAUCCUUAAUUAAAGAUUCACAAACUAUUUAUGACUCAAAUCCUAGUGCUGGGUAGAGGACUUGGUAGCCACUUAUACUACCCAUUUACAUAGUUUCUCACAGGAACAUAACGAAAUACAAAGCCAUUAUGGAGGGGAAGACAAAUCUUACCUGCCAUAGUUUGGUUUCAACGCCUUCAACAGAAACAGCUACUUUAUUAAGGGUAAUGGUAGAUGUUGUACCAUGGUGAAUGAUUGAUAACAAUCAACAAUGCAGUUUUUGUUAUGUUAACCUUUGGGACUCCUCUACCUGCAGCCAAAUUAGGAUUAACAUUAGAAGGCACCCGUGACUCCACAGCAUACAUAAAGUUAAAGUAAAACAUAAGAAUCAUUAACCUGGCCAAUUGCUUUCUCCCCAUUAACCUCCAGGACCUGACCAUGUCUCAUAGAUCCUUCUCCUAAGGGAAUUUUAGCAAUCUCUUGGUAAGUUAGACCCUGUUACAUUAAGUACAGAAAACGAUUGAUAUGUAAUCAACAAAGAAAACCAUCUACACCCUCCGUUAGUUAACCAACGUUUUAGAGAGACUGCCAUACAUGAUUGGUAUCUACAGAUCAGAAUCAAAUCAACAUACCCAUUCCGAUCACGGGAACUCCUUCAUCGAUGUUGAUACAGCCGCAAUCGUUGUCACUGUGAACAAAAAAGGAAUCACAAACGCGAAUCGUGAAUAAACAUAUCCACAUCUAAAAUGAAACCAAAUCAACUCAAAAUUCAGGAGAUGGUUCUCAUAGUAGGAAACCUUACAAUUUUACAGUCGCAGUUCCACCUCCUUGCAUGAGGGAAAAUCGUAGAUCGUGGGUGAUGGAUUUAAUAAGGACUUUAAGAAGAUGAAUAUGUAACUGGUAGCUUUUAGGAUUCUAAGGAAGAAGAUGAAACACGCUCUCAGAACUCAGGUUCCGUGGGAGAUGAAAGCAAGCUCAAACCUAAUAUCAAAACGACAGCUUAAGGCCCGGCUAAUCUCAGAACUCAAAAGCCCAAAACGUAACUGAGGUGGACAAACAAACACACUCCAUUGGUUGAAUUUAUCUAUCUAUAUUGGCCGGUCUUUUAUUCCGGUUCGGCUUUGAUGUUUCUUAAAAAUCAAAUUUCUCACAUUUAAUUGGAAAAAUCGGAUUCAAGAGAGGCAAGAAAAGGACAUGAAACAACCAACAUUUAUUAUAGUAUAGUCGACAUGUCAACGUGCUGUUUUCACCACAGCCACACUAUCACUAUGUAACCAAUAUACUAUAGUUUCUAGUUUAGUGGUGUUUGUCCAAGUAAAUUGUCUAAGUGCUUGUACUCACCGGUAUACGGUUGGACACGUAACCCUAUUAUGAACUGUAUUCAUUCUUCUGAAAGUUCUCAUAUGAAAGAUCGAUCAUAUGAUUGGGUUCAUACAACUACUAGAAACUAAAAAAAAAUCGAAAACAUUCCCGGAGAAAUAUCAACCCUUUGAUUUAAAACAUGGGCGGAGCAUCGGACGGCGAAGGACCAACAAAGUUGAAAAUGCUGUCCAAAUAGUUCUUGUUGUCCUCGAAAUAGUUGUUGCACUCACCACCACUAUUCUCUCCGUCCCUCUCGUUUUUAUCGGCGGAGAAACUCCGUCCUAGUGUAUCGCCUCCUAGCAAGAGACCCGUGAAGCCUUCUUCGACUCCUUCCUCCAUCUGCGUGGCUUCGAAAAUCGUUGUACUGAUCCAAUCAUUUUCGUGUUCUUUCAUCAGAGCCAGACCCGUGGAUGAUCCAGUGAACUCCAUCUUCGCGGACACUCUGUUCGAUGGUUCUUUCAUGUCAGAGAAUGACACUGUUGAUGUCGGAGAUUCAAGUUGUUGUUGAUCUGCAUUGCAUACAAAAGAUAGAUAAUCAAAAUAAUGUCUAUGUUUUUUUUUUUUUGCUUAAAAAAUAUAAUAAUAUAAUGUCUAUGUUCUGUUUUGUUCUACCUUGGUUUGUUUUUGUUGUCCAAGUGGUUAACAAUGUCUUAUGAGUGAAUCCAUGAUGAUGAUGGGAUGAUGGUUUGGUUUGGUAGUGAAGAAGCUUAGAUUCUCUAGCAAACCUUGCUUCAGCUUCAAGCCUAGCACUUUCCCACUGAGCCAUGUGGCUAAGCGUCGCUGCGUUCUUGGAUAAACCAAGAGGAGUCUCGUUUUUAGGUUUAUGAGUCACUGGAUCAAUCCCCAUUUUUACCAACCGUUUCUUCAAAUGAGUGUUCCAAUAGUUCUUGAUCUCGUUGUCUGUUCUCUUCGGCAGAUGAGUCGCAAUCGCCGACCACCUGUUUCCUAAGAGAGCAUGGAGUUGAAUGAUGGUUUGUUCUUCUUGCAAGUUGAAUUUGCCUCUUUUGAUGUCUGGUCUCAAGUAGUUAGUCCAUCUUAGUCUGCAACUCUUCCCGCAUCGAUGUAGACCUGAGAUUGAGAAUGAAGGAAGAUAAAUGAUAAAGAAUGUUUUGAAUAUUUAGAGCACAAAGAUGAAUAUAAGAGUUUCAUUUUACCAGCUUUCUCCGGCAAUGAACGCCAACUUCCAUGUCCAUGUUCUUCAAUAUAAGCCAAAAGUUUUUGGUCUUCUUCUGGGGUCCAAGGCCCUUUCUUCAAGCCCAAUUUGUCGCAGUACGGUGAUCUACCCAUUUUGUCUUCCCCAAGAAAACCAAAACUCUCUUAGUCUUUUAUCACAGAUCAAAGAAGAAGUGUAUAAUAAAAGAUAAUCUCAUCCAUCACCAUAAGAGCACAAAGGAAUGGUCUUCUGGCUACAGUUGUAGAAAUGUUACAAGUUGAGCAUAUCUGAGUGAUGAAGGAGGAUGAUAUAUAGCGGAGAGAGAUAGGCACACACGAGAAAAAUGAAAUGAUCCCCUGUUCUCCCGGCUCUCUCACAUGGAUGAGCAUUUAUUAACAAUGGGGUCUCCAGAAGUUAUUACCCUUUGUGGCUCAAAGACCUGGAAUAACAAGUCCCCCUCUCUUACAAAACUCUCAGAGAGAGAGAGAGAUGUCACACACACCAAAGCAAAAAAAGGCGGUGACCUAUUAUUACCUGCCACUGUGUGACUUCUUUAUAACAUAAGUUCAAAGCGGUUAUUUCUUGUGCUAGAAGUAAAUUCAGGUCACUAGCUACUAUCUAGCCCUCAUCACUUUGAUGAUCUUGUUCUUGUAUAUCAAAACUCAAUAACCCCCUUAGAAUUUAUGGGUUCUAGGACUCUAGUUUUAUCAUUGAUUCAUUUGGUAUUGCUAUCAUUGUUUAUCCCCAUUGAACUUGCCUAUAAAGUUAACACUAGGGCUGGCAAAAAAAUCCGAAUCCGAAGAACCGAACCGAACCUGACCCGAAAAAGUAGUACUGAAUCAGAACCGAAAUUGAUUAAAUAUCCGAACAGGUUCAAAAUUUUGGUAUCUAAAGAACCGGAACCGAACCCGACCCGAACUGAAAUAUUCCGGGUACCCGAAUGUAUCCGAAAUUGAUUUCUAUACCCCCCUUAUAUAAAUAUAUUUUAGAUUUAAUGUCUAUUAAAAAUAUAAGAUAUUUUUAAAUUGUCCAAAAUACUUGAAAAUAUAUACUAGUAGUCAAAAGUAAAUGUCUAAAAUAGCUAAAAAGUACUCAAAACACCAAAAAUAUUUAAAAUAUCUAUUGAUUAUCUAUCCAAAUAUUCAAACCAAAUCACAUUAUACGUUAAGUUUAGGUAUUUUGACAUAUGUUAUUCAAAUUUGUUUGUCAUAUAAUAUUUUGUUUAUAGUUUUUGAGAAAUUUAAAGUAUAUAAUGAAUUUAAAAAUUUAAAAAUAAUUUUAAUGAUUUACCCGACCCCGACCCGACCCCGCAAAGAUCCGAACCAAACCCGAACCCGAACCGAAACUUAGAAAUAUCCGAAUGUGGCUGAAAUCUUUGAUCCCGAAAACCCAAAACUCGAAUAGACCCGAACGGAACCUGAAUGGGUACCCGAACGCCCACCCCUAGUUAACACUAUGGUUGAGAAAAAAAGAAUAAGAUGCCUUUGGUUUGUUUUAGUCACCCUUAGGUUACUUUUGCAAGUCUAAGGUCUUAAAGUCCACAACUUUAUCAAUGUAUUACCCUAUAUGUAAAUGUCUUAUUAAGUCACACUACAUUAUUGGUUUCUCUUUUCACUUUUCUUACUCUCAUCAACCUUCACUAAAAGGAGUAGAUUACUAAAUGCUGUUAAAAAGGCGGUGACUAAUAGGAAACUGACACUAGAGAAACAAAUCAAUGAGACAUAGAGCAUGAAGUAGGAGAAACCUUUGUAGUUGCAAGUAAAUUCAUUAUUGCAAAGACUUUCUUCACUCAUCUGUUUCGUUUCUCUGGAUAUAGUAAAAUUCUAACCUGUGUAAGCAAACGAACAGAAACAUUAUGACUGCAAUAAAACUCACACGCAACACUAUAUUUGGAAUGCACAAAAUCAACUUAUACAAUAAUAGUCUUGUCAAGAAAAUACACGGCAUUAUGCUUCCUAAAUUAUUUAGUCAUUUAGGAAGCAUUUUGUGGCUGUAGAGAAACUAUGUACUUCUUGCUGAAAAGACUUCUCUUGUGCAGUGGUUUCUUCAUCAUUUAAUGAAAUGUUCAUUGGCUUCUACACCUUUAUUGGCGUCAAGUCAGUGACUCAUAGGGUAUCAAAAUUUUCACAUUAGAUAAAAGAACAAUAACAAACAAUAUAUUCAGAAACAUUUGGACAUCCUCUGAUAACACAAUAGCAUCACAACUAUACAUCAGUUCAGUUUAAAACAUAGACUUCUGGUGUAAACUCAAGAAUUCAUACCUUGAUUUGAUCUUUAUGUGGUUAUGGUACUUUGCAGGUAUACAAAUGUUAUCAGCAAGGUAAAAUUUCCUACCAAGAAAGGUAGAUGAUUUAUGAAAGGUGAACGGUGACAUUAAAGAGAUUUUUACUAGACCAUACAAGGAUGAGUAGCUUAAUGUUCCAUGAAGGCUAUGAAAGAUGGAUUUAUUGAGGUGGGCUCCAAGCUUGCGAUUUUGUCUUUAUUGUUCUCUUAUUUGAUGAAGAUACUUGUUAUAUACCCCACAAGCUUGGUGUGGUUCAAGAACAUGGUUCCAAAACAUGCUUUUAAUUUCUGGGUGGCUAAUCUCAAUAGGCUCCCACUAAAUGAGCGUUUGCACCAGUGGGGUUUGAUGGACUCAGGACUUUGUACCCUAUGUUCCACUGACCAAGAAUCAAGAGAUCAUCUGUUCCUAAAGUGCAGGUUCACAGCAGACGUUUGGGACCGCGUUAAACAGAAACCUGGCUCUCCAGGGAUUCGAAUUACAUCAUGGAAUGACUUGAUUGAAUGACUUCUUUCGAGGACUGGAUCAGCAAGGCGAAGAUAUCUCAAGAAAAUUAUGUGUCAAACAGCAGUCUACCUUAUUUGGAAGGAGAAAAAUGACAGGAAACAUGGGAGGCCUCCUUCAACAUCCAUUGUCAUAUUCAACAAAAUUAACAAGACAACGAAGGACACUCUACUAGCAAGAAGACAUAACAAAGGGUGUGGGAACAUGCUCUCUUUGUGGUUUUCUUAUAGCUAACUUUAGUUGAAUUUGGUUGUUCCAAUCAUAUAGCUUUUCACUGGUUUUUCAUUUUUUUUUUGGCCAUAGAAACCAAUUUUCUUUUGGUAAUAUAAUUUACAGUUAUCAAAAAAAAAAAAUCAUAAAGAUUUGUACAAAUAAACACAAAAAGAAAUCAGCUUUUUUUAAUGAAUAAAUGUGAAAGCUGAAAGCUGAAGCAGAAGAAGAGAGAGAGAGAGAGAAGUGAUCAUGGAUCAAAAGAAAAUCAUAAUGGCUACAAAUGAUGUAAAGGACAAUGGGACAAACCUCUAUAAAUGUCAUGCUGACUCCAUAUUGCCAGCUUCUACACUCUGCAUGGUCCUAACAUACUUCAAUAUUGCCUUCAUAAAUGGUGCCACUUGUCGAUAUUCUAUCGAUCCACGCUUCACACAACUGUUGUUACAAAUAUCCUGCGUAAAGUGUACUUGAUCAGACAUUGUAAAAACCAAUAAGCCACACACCUAUGUAAUCAAAAACAGAGCCUUGAAUCAUGCCAUCUGAGCAGAUACUACUUUGCAUCAUGCUCAAUCUGCAACAUCGUACUGAAAAGGUUCAAACACUUGUAGCUUGGUUUGGUAGUUGGUGCAGCUUUUAGGCUGGUACAUAACAACUUUUACAGUAAAAAGCUUAUAACGAAAUCAUCAUAAAAUGCAAAUAAACUCGGAUAUAAACAAGGUCCCCAUAAAAAAAAAGGUCCCUUUUCGACAUAAUUAGAGAAAAAGACAUUAGAUUAGCCAAGUUUCUUUUUGCUACCGUUCGAUAGUGCAUGCAUCACCCUGACAAGAAGAUUAACUCCAUAUGCCCCUUUAACUCACUAAAAAUGCUCAAAUCUCCCAUCAACAAAAUAUAGUUUUUUAUUUAUUUAUUUUAAAAUACGAAAAUAGGCUAAAUACAUCUAUAACCCUAACAAAAUCACAUAAUUACAUGACCCAACCACACGAACCCGAUCCACCCAAACAUGAACCCGGCCCACCCAAACACAUACGGGUAUAACCUUUUUCCUAAACCUAAACUCCGCGUUUGGACAGAAAAGAGACAGAAAAAAAAUUGUCGUGUCUUUCCCUUCUCUCCUCUCUUUCUCCUCGUGUUCUUUAUGAUUUCCAGAAACGGCGACAAAAUCGACGAACUCAUCGUUUCUUCUUCUUAUUAUUCUUCUUCUUCUGUUCUCAUCAAGACUUCAUCUUCUGAAUCGACAUCCUUCAUCCUGGUAAGUGAUUUCUUGACCUUGAUUUCCUUGUAUUUUGUAUUUAGGUCAGAUAAAAAUUGGGGAAAACUUGUAAAUUGUAGACGAAAAGUUUAGUAGGAUCUUAGUAAGCGAGAUUGUGGUUUGAAAUUGGGGAAAACAUCUUGAAACUGUAGAAUUGGUAUAAAUUGGAACAAAAACCAAGAGCUCGCGAUUUUUAUGGGUUCUUUCUUACUGGAUCCAAUUGGUUUUCCUGGUUUAUUGUUUGUGAUAUGAAACCGAAAUCUCUUUGACUGUUAGGAUAAAUGUAAACUGAAAUGGAGUAGGUGAUUUAUUGAGUGAAUGAAAGGUUUAAGAUUAGGCAAAGUAAUAAUUCUAGUUGAAUAAAGUGUCACUGGUUGUGUGUGUAUUGGUUUUAUUUUAGUUAAGUGCUACUAUUGUGUAUUAGUUUUGAAUUGAAGCUUUAUUGAUGUUGGUAGGAGUAAUUGAGUUGUUGUGAUUAACAUCUUGUACAGGGAAUGAAGGGCCUAAAAAUAAAGCGUCCAUCUACUGGAGGUGGAGUCUCCAGUAGAACUAGAGGUAGCAAGGCGGUAUCAAAUGGGAAUGAGCCGGUUAGAGAAGAGAGUAAUCCAGUGAGAGGAACGACUGUAGUUUCGCUCUCAUUUGAUACCGAAAGUGAAGGCAUGUCUGCUGUUUCCUCCAAGGUAAUUUUUGCAUUCAUUUUAAUCAUUCAUUUUAUUAGUCUUACUAGUAAAAAAUGACUGAUACAUAUAUAUUUUGACUGCAGGAAAGGCAACCACCAUAGCCCCUUGAAAUGUACUUCGAGAACACAUAGUACCUGAAGACUUGCAAGAUUCAGACCAAGUGCCGUGUGAAGAAGACAGUUGAUGUGAUUAACGAACUUAAGGAGGAGGUCGGCUGGUUCACAAGCCAUCCUUAGUUUUGUCAUUUCUUCCACAUGCCUGAUGAAGAAUUCCUGAAUCUCCAAGGAAUGUGGAUGUUACUGCUGCACACCAUUCGUAUUGAAGGAGAAGAUGCUGCAUGGUUUGCGGUGAAUGGUGUGCCCAUCCGCUACUCUAUGAGGGAGCAUGCCCUCAUCUCUGGCUUGGACUGCCAUGAGUAUCCGAGUGGACAUUUGAAGCUCGGGGGUACUAAGUUUGUGGAUUAUUACUUCGGUAAUAAGAAGAAGAUCACCAUAGAAGAUGUGAAGCAGAAGCUGCAAUCUAUGGGGACGGCAUGUAAUGAUAGAUUGAAGAUGGCUGUCCUGUUCUUCCUUGGUCGGGUUAUCAGAGGAACGACGAAGGAUUCUGCAGCAUUAGACCCAUUCAUCUUAAGGAUAGUGGACGAUUUGGAUGUUUGCAGAAAAUUUCCUUGGGGUCGUCUAACAUUUGAGGAUGCAAUAAAGGUGAUUAAGCAUGUAAUGGAGCUUCUGAAGGGUGAAUUGCACCAUGCAAUCGGCUUUAAUGGAUUCAUAAUUCCAUUAGAGGUAAAGCAUAUAAUUUAGCAUGAAGUAAAUUUUUUGUUAUUUAUAACCGAAAAUCUGACACUGUGACACUUCAUUUGUGUAGUUUUUGGCUUUUGAGUGUAUUCCUAAUCUGGGGAAAAAAUUUCGAAUCUCUUCAGACAGCGCCAGUGGAGAUUGUCCUAGGAUGUGCAAGAGUCGGUUUACAAAGAGUAGCAUGAAGGGUUAUCCUUUGGAAGAUAUAUAUGAUGCGGUUGGAAAGACAAAGGUAUAUCUUUAUUUCAUUUAGUAGAAAAUAACAGAAUAUUUAAACUGAUAUUUCUGAAUGUUUUAUUUUCAGGUUAUUAACAGUGUGUUGGUUCCAACGAUGGAUGAGGAAACUUUGUUGGCUCGUAUCACUGAUCCGGAGUCAAAGUAUCACCGUGAGGGUAGCACAAGUGAUAGGUGGAACUACUGGCUAAAUGUGAAGCAGAAAAAGAUUUGGUGGAAAGAACUUUAUGAGUCAGAUGUUGCUGCACGAAAGUUUACAAAGACGGAAGACAAAGAAAAGGUGACGAUUGUAGAAGGUUCAUCUUCUAAUUCUGGUUUGGAGUCGAUGUUGAAAGGUGUGGAAGAGAGGAUUGUGAAGGCCAUGGAAGAAGGAUUUUCUGGAAUUAAUUUAACGGUAGAGACAAAGUUGGAGGCUAUGAACUGGACGAUGGGUAAACUUGAGAAGAACCAGCGAGUUUUGAAGAAAAAAGCUAAGAAAAUAGAAGACAGGUUGACUUCUAUUGAAAGCAAGGAAAAUGAGGAUGAAGAAUAUAGACAGUGGAAUGAUUUUGAUUAUGAUAGAGAUCAUGGGAAGGAUAGAGAGAUGGCUGAGGCAGAGAAGGAUAAAGAGAAGGCUGAGACAUGGAAGAAAAACAGUGAGAAGAGUGAGGAAGACGAGGAAAACAGUGGGAAAGAUGAGGAAGACGAGGAAAACAGUGAGAAGGGUGAAGAAGAGGAAGAGCAAGAACCUGAAAAAGACAAAGAAAAUAGUGACUCUGUUGAGAAAGGCGAAGAAAACAUGGAGGAAUCAGAUGAAGAAGAUUCUCUGUUAAGGCUUCAAGAAAGAGUGAGAGUACAAGCAGAAGAAUUUUGGAGGACAAUUGAUGAUGAGUCUGACGCUGAGAAAGAGGCUGAGAAAGAGGCUGAGGAAGAGGGUGAAAAAGAGGGUGAGAAAGAUGGUGAGAAAGAGGCUGAGAAAGAGGUUCAAGAAGAGAAAGAGGCUGAGAAAGAUGGUGAGAAAGAGGCUGAGAAAGAGGCUGAGAAAGAGGUUAAAGAAGAGAAAGAGGCUGAGGAAGAAGAAUCCAAGGGAACUCGUACCACUACCGGAGUAAUAAUCAUUACACCACGUGGUAGAACUAAGGCAGCAGCUGAGAGGAAAGCUAUUCAGACUGAGAUUGCUGAGCUAGCUGAGAAAGAGGCUGAGGUAGAAGCUAUUCAGACAGAGCAAGAAGCUAUUCAGACUGUGAUUGUUGAGAAAAAAGCUGAGGUUACUGAGAAAGAUGCUGAGGUAGCUGAGAAAGAGGAACAAGAUGUGGAUGAAGAGGAGGAAAAAGCAGAGGAAAGUGACAAGAAUCCUGAUGUCGAUCAAGAUGUGGAGGAAGAGGAGGAAAAAGCAGAGGAAAGUGAAGAUAAUCCUGUGGAGAGUCCCUCUGAGAAACAGACUGAGCUAGCUGAGAAGUCAGUUGAGGUAGAAGUAAAGACUAAGCGCAAGCCUAGGGUCAAAGUCAUUGCAGUGUCGUAUGGCAUUCCCAAAGCUGAGAGACUAGCAAAAAUGAGAGCUGAAGCUGAAAAAAGAAAGCUAAAGCUGAGAGACUAGCAAAAAUGAGAGCUGAAGCUGAAAAAAAAGAAAGCUAAAGCUGAUGGUACACCUAAGAAGAAAGGCAGGCCGAAGAAGACUGAUGUUACAUUGAAGACAUGUACACUGCUGCCGGAGAAGAGAAAAGGUGAACCAUCACGGUGGGUGCAGUCUCCUUUCACUGAGGAAAAGACCGAUGAGCUAGAAGUGCCAAAGAAGAAGCUUAAAACAAAAACUUAAAAUACUUAUGUUAUGUAUAUGUAUUAUUCAAGUUAUGAUGUUAUGUUUCUGCUUAAAAUGCUUCUCUUGAACUUGUUAGGAUGUUAUGUUUCUACUUUUGGAUGUUAUGUUAUGUUUCUGGAUGUUUUAUGUUUUUUAAACAGGUGUGGUAACUCAAAAUUACAGGGGAAAUUCUGCUCAAAAUUUUGGAAAAAUACUCCAAUUGACAAAAUAAUUAAAAACUGUUUACAUGUAAAAUGCAAACCACAUGUAAAACGUGCAUGGAUAAAAAAUGCACAUGUAAUACGUGCAGCCGUCAUAUAUUUUGAUAUUAUAUUUUGAUUACACUUAGUAAUUCUUGGUAAGCUUCAAGAACAUAGUAAUACUACCUUACACAUAGUAAUCUUUUGGCAAUUUUUAGGUUUAUCUAGUAAAAUCCUGAGAAAAUGAGUUUUUUUUUUGUACUAAAGCUGAUGCUUUUACACUAUAAUAAUCAUUAAAGAAGACAUUUUCAGCAAGCAUUUACCAGGAAUACGUAUUUUUUUAGAUUUUCCUUACUAUGGCCUAAUCAUUCAUACAAUAACAAUGAAAGUUAAGAGAGUUUUUUGAAAAACUGAAAAGAUUUUUCUUAAACUGCUGAAAUAAUCAUAAAAAUAGUCUUAAUAUAUAUUUAUUAAGUAACUAGUCUACAAAUUGAUAAUAAUCAUAAAAUAUAUAACGAUUCUACAUACUAAACAUAAAUACUCUUACUAAUAUAUAUGUAGUCCAAAUAACACAUAGUAAUCUCAGUAGUCAUCGUAGUUCAAAUAACACAUAGUAAUCUCAGUAGUCCUAGUAGUUCAAAUAACACAUAGUAAUUCCAGAAAUACAGGUAGUCCAAAUAAUACAUAGUAAUCUCAGUAAUCCUAGUAGUUCAAAUAACACAUAGUAAUUCAAGUAAUACAGGUAGCACAAUAAAACAAUCAAACACCUGAACCUGAACCACUUCCACAUUCAAAAUACGCUACCAUACCUCUUCCUCUGGCUCUGCCUGUGCAUGUGCAUGUGCCUGUGCUUGUGGCUCUCCCUCUUCCACUCCCUCUGCCUCUUUUUCCUCUUCCACGAGCUUCUCCUGCUAAUGGUUUCCUUGUUUGUUGUGGUUUUCCUUUCUUGACUUCAAAUUCUGGAGGAAGUACUUUCUUUGCUCUAAUUUCUUCUGGUAUAACCCAAUCAGACAUAUGAGGAACAUGAUAUAUUGUCCUGUGAUAAGCCAAAGCCUAUUGCUCCACCAAAUAGUACUUAGAACAAUACUCAGAUAGAUGGAGUUCCCUUCCCGCUUUAUCAGUCAUGAAUGUGGCAGCAGCUACUACAUGAACACAUGGAUAUUUGUCUUUAUCAAAUUACCCACAGGUGCACGUGUUCAUGGCCAUGUCCAUGGUAUAACGCUUCCCAUCACUACCAUGCACACUGUACUCGAGAUGGAAGCUGUUUAACUCGUCAACCCGAAGAAACCCUGCAUCAACACAUCUUUUAGACAUUUGCUCCUCCACAAUAAGCACAAGCUUUAGUGCGGGUGGCAUUUCAGUUGCCUCUUUCAUGUGCUUGUUAAACCAUUCAGCAAUUUUUCCAAUGAUAAAAUCAAACAUUGGAAGUAAGGUAAACUUUCUUGCGUCCUUAAUAACACCGUUAAAAGAUUCUGCUGAAUUGGUGGUGUCAACAUUGUACCUAACUCCUUCAAAGUAACAUCUAGCCUAUUUCUUUUAUUCACAACUUUUGUCAAGAUACUCCGCUGCACUAGGAUAUUUCCUGCCAAAAGCGUCAUAAAGGACCAAGAACUCAGCCUCUGUAUAAGCGUGUGCGCACUCCAUAAACUUAAAUGCACAUGUUUCUCUGUUGUUACGGACGUAGUAUCUUCCCCUUCAUCAUCUCCUGAAAUCCAUUUCAUUUCAGCCCCAUCUUUAAUAUAAUAUCCUCCAUAGGAACACUUGAUGUACUGCCUUGAUCAAGCAUUUGUUUCUGUCCGAAAGAAACACCAAUCCAGGGAGAUCCGAUAUUAAAUAAAAUGAAUCAUAUUUAGAAUUAGCAUUAUUAAGAAGUUUAAAUUUAAUUCCCAGGCUGUACAUUCUUACUAAUCCUAAUUUUUUUCAAUACUAUAUACAUAGUAAAACCAGUAAUACUAUGCAAUUGGGUAGUGGUGAUGAUUGGGAUCCUGAGCAGUCACAAUAAAUAACACUCCUCCAUAAACAGUCUUCAGGUGUGUUGCAUCCACAAUGAAGACUUUUCUCAUCGUGCGGAAUCCUUCUAUGCUAGCUCCCAAAGCCCAAAACAGAAACUUAAUUUUUUUGCCCUCAUCCACAACCACACGAGUUAUUGUGUCAGGAUUCACCUGCUCCAGCAUGUGCAUAUAACAAUAUAAUAAAUGCUCAAAACGUACAUAAAAUAUACUCUAAAACCAAUAAAUACAUUUUACAAAAUCCUUUUAAAUCUCUUAAAAUUUGCAUUCAACCUUUCUUUUGUUACACUAGCCGAUAUAUACACUUAUUUUUAUAAGUAUUCCAGCAAAAAUUUCAUAAAAAACGGACAUAAAUUAAACCCGAAAUUCAUAUACACAGUUUUCAAAUUCGUUUUUUCUCUCUCAAAUUUCAUCAAUUCUUACUGUUUUAGGUUACCCAUGGUUUACACAAACAUUUAAAAGAUAUUUCAUGUUAACUUUGCAACACACACAAACCACUUGCAGCCUUCUUUGGCUCCUCGACAUUUUAUUACAUAUCUCUUAGUAUCCGACUUAAUUACCUCAUACUAAAAACACUUCAGAUGUGACGCCGCCUGAAUAUGAGUUUGCGCUUCUAAAAUUUCAUGAAAAACAGACAAGAAUUACCUGAUGUUUUAGCUUCAAAAUCGCCAAUGAAGGGUGGGGAAGAAUAGCUCUUCACGCGGAGAGAGGAGAGAGGAGAGGAACAUGAAGACAUGUGAGCCAAGGUAAAUCUAAUUGGUUAAGGUUGUUUGUGGACUCCAUUUGGUUGUUGUGUUUGGUUGAGUGUAUUUAAUUGAAAAAUUAAAUGAAUUAAUGAAGUGGAGAAGAAAUAUAUUAAAAAAAGAAAUGUUAGUAUAGGAAAUUCAAAGACAAAUGGGUAAUGAGAACAGAGAUGGGACAAGAAGAAUGAAAAUUUUUCCAGUAUUUGGAGUUAAAACCCCCCUGACAAGCGAUAGCAAUUAAAGGCGUGGUCCGCGUGGAAAACAAGUCACUGAUCACUACCUUAAGCAACUCUCUCAAUGCAAAAAGUAAAAAAAAACAAAUUUGCUUUUCUUUAAUACUGAAAUUCAUGAUAAUUAAAUAUCCAUAACUCCCAAUUAUUUACAAACUCUCCAUGCUUCAUUAAGUUAAUCUAAACUAACUUGAUGGUCUCAGUCACAUCAUCUCUUAGUAAUUAAGCUCACAUCCAUAAGUUCGUCUUUAAUCAUGAUCAAGCAAUCAUACAACUCGUCUUUAAUCAUGAUCGAUCAAUCAUACAAACUUGUACAAAACAGAGUCAAUUGUCAAAAGUCACUUUCAAAAGAGUUAAGCAACAAUUGAAGACAUGUCAAACCAAGAAGAUACGAACAAACUCACCAAGACUAGUAACUGAGCAAUACAGACAUUAGUGGUUCCACCACCAACAAGGAGCAGCUACGGUACGAGUGUUUUAACUGUCUUUUAUUCACCGCUCAACAAGAAAACCAGACUAGUCUACAAACCGGUUAGCAUGAAUGGAAAUUACAUCAAUUGAUUUUGGUUCCGGUUCGAUUUUACUAAACCGGAAAUCAUAUAUUCAUCAUACCGAGCGAAACGGAGUGAUGUGAAACGGCGAUGAUCAGGAAGCAAACCAACGACCGAACCGCUACUCGUCACCGUCCAAAACUAUGGCAGAACUGCACAAAUCUCCGACCUUUGAAGCAAAUUCACGCUUUCAUGAUCCUUAACGGACUCAUGUCCGAUCUCUCCAUUGUCGGAGAGCUAAUCUACUCAGCCUCCUUGUCUGUCCCCGGCGCGCUUACGUAUGCACACAAGCUGUUCGACGUAAUUCCAAAACUAGACGUAUCCAUAUGCAACCACGUGCUGCGCGGCUCUUCUCAGAGCAUGAAACCAGCAAAGACUGUCUCUUUGUAUAAAGAGAUGGAGAAACGUGGCGUGAGGCCUGAUAGGUACACGUUCACGUUCGUUCUCAAGGCCUGCUCGAGGCUUGAGUGGAGGAGUAACGGUUUUGCGUUUCAUGGGAAAGUAAUGAGACAUGGGUUUGCUUCCAACGAGUAUGUCAAGAACGCUUUGAUUCUUUUUCACGCUAACUGCGGAGAUUUGGGGAUUGCGAGCGAGCUUUUUGAUGACUCUGCUAAAGCUCAUAAGGUUGCUUGGUCUUCUAUGACCUCUGGGUAUGCUAAGAGAGGGAAGAUAGAUGAGGCUAUUAAGGUUUUCGACGAAAUGCCGGAGAAGGAUCAGGUUGCUUGGAACGUGAUGAUUACUGGUUGUUUGAAGUGUAGGGAGAUGGAUAGAGCGAGAGAGCUUUUCGAUAGGUUUAAGGAGAAAGAUGUUGUGACGUGGAACGCAAUGAUAUCAGGUUAUGUGAGUUGCGGGUGCCCUAAGGAGGCUUUGAGUAUAUUCAAGGAGAUGAGGGAUGCUGGUGAGCAUCCAGACGUUGUGACGGUGCUGAGUUUGUUGUCUGCUUGUGCGGACUUGGGAGACUCUGAGACCGGGAAGAGAAUCCAUCUCUACGUCUUGGAAACGGCUUCGGUUUCGAGGUCCAUGUAUAUAGGCACUCCCGUUUGGAAUGCUUUGAUCGACAUGUAUGCAAAGUGCGGAAGCAUAGACAGCGCGAUCCAAGUGUUCAGAGCGAUGAAAGAGCGAGACUUGUCGUCUUGGAACACUUUGAUCGUUGGUUUGGCUCUGCAUCACGCAGAGGGAUCGAUCGAAAUGUUUGAAGAGAUGCAGAGGUUGAAAGUGUGGCCGAACGAGGUGACGUUCAUCGGAGUUAUAUUAGCUUGCAGCCACUCUGGGAGAGUUGAUGAAGGGCGUCAGUAUUUUCGACUUAUGAAGGAUGUGUACAAGAUUGAACCGAACAUAAAGCAUUAUGGGUGUAUGGUAGAUAUGUUGGGGCGAGCGGGGCUGUUAGAGGAGGCGUUCAUGUUUGUUGAGUCGAUGGAGAUUGAGCCUAACGCUAUUGUGUGGAGAACUCUUUUGGGUGCUUGUAGGAUUUAUGGGAAUGUGGAGUUAGGGAAGUAUGCAAAUGAGAAACUGCUCAGUAUGAGAAAAGGGGAGAGUGGUGACUAUAUGUUGCUCUCAAAUAUAUAUGCUUCCACAGGUGAGUGGGAGAGAGUGCAGAAAGUAAGGAAGAUGUUUGAUGAUACAGGAGUGAAAAAACCGAGUGGAUUCAGUUUGGUCGAGGAGGAUGAUGAUAAAUUGAUGAUGAAAUAUCUACUCUCAUCAUAAAAAAUAGGUGUUGUUCUUGUCAUCAUCAUCUAUUAUGUUGAUUUCAUGAUUCUGGAUUUAGCAUAGAUUAUAUAAUGUUAAAAAGGAGAAUUUGAUAUUGUGGAACCUGAUGGUUACAUAAACCACACAGAAAAUUACAAUGGAUAUGAGAAAAGAAAAACAAGAAACACAGAGGAGAUGCAAGUGAAGCUCAAGCUCACAUUCUUACACACCAAAUCAUGUAAUAAAUCGGGGGGAAAGAAAACUCAUAUAUAUAAGGUUAAGACCAGAUCUUUAAUGGUGUCGGGAAAGAGCAAUAGCUGAGAGGAGAAUGAGAAGAAUGAGGAGGACAACGGCAACGAAAGAUCCAAUCAAAGACCCUGAGAUACGCUCACAGAAGGAGUUGAACUGUUGACAAAUAGAAAACCAGUUUGUGUUGUUGUUCCCUUUGUGUGCUAAGUAGACAAUAGCUGCUGCUGAGGAUGCUCCAGCAGUUAUAAGACCCAACAUUGCCUAAAACAUUAGGAGGAUUCAACUGUUUGUUUAACUGUUAAAGCUAACCAGAAGGCACAUGCUUGUAGAGCAGGACAAAGUUCGGUUUCAUGAUCGCUUACCACAUCAAGGAUGAUAAGAAGAACUCUACUGUUCUGAGUCUUGCUCUUGACGAUGUGUACAAAGGCCAGAGGUAGAGACAAGAUUGUUAGAAAUUGAAGAACAUAGUGAAGAACAAGAGAGAGAGAUGUUUAAUCUAGAAAGUAGAGAGAGAGAUAGAGUAAAUAAGGAGAAUCUUAUUUGCUUGAUUGAUUUGCUUAUGGGAACAUCCCAUAUAUAUAGGGGUUACAAGUAUGGCAAAUGGUAGAUGAAAUAUGAUAAACUAAUAAUCCAUUGUCUUGAGACUUUAACCCACCAUACAUGCUUGUCCCUUGUAGUGGCAUCUCCAUUGUCUUGAGACCUUAACCCACCAUGCAUGCUUGUCCCUUGUAGUGGCAUCUCCAUUGUCUUGAGACCUUAACCAACCAUGCAUGCUUGUCCCUUGUAGUGGUAUCUCCAUUGUCUUGAGACCUUAACCAACCAUCUUGUUUCUUAUUGCUUCAUCUUCACACUCCCCCUCAAGCUUGACCAUAGGGACUGGUCAAACUUGGAAACCAUGAAGCAUUCCCUCAUUAAAACCUUUAGCUUGGAAAAACCUCAUGGGAUAAAAACCAAGCCAAGGAAAAAGAGUAGAACACUUCAUGGCUAAGAGGAUUAGUGUGAUGAAAAAUCUACGAGUCCUAACUUGGAAUGUAUGAACUCGCAAACCUUGGUGCUUGCAGCCUUGGUAAAGAUGUCAGCUAGUUGAUCCUCACUUCUUGUGUAGCAGGGUAAGAUGAUCCUUUGUUCCACUGCUUGCCUAACUUUAUGACAAUCCACCUCAAUGUGUUUAGUCCUCUCAUGGAACACACUGUUGGAAGCUAUGUGUAUUGCUGCUUGAUUAUCACAAUGCAUGGUGAUUGGAGUUGAUGUCUCUAUACCCAAGUCUCGAAGUAGGUUUCUGAUCCAAAUCAACUCACUAGUGAGCUUCCUCAUUGCCCUAUAUUCAGCUUCAGCACUUGAGCAUGACACUAUCUUCUGUUUCUUGCUCUUCCAAGUGACAAGAUUGCCUCCAAUAAAUGUACAAUAGCCGGUAGUGGAUCUCCUAUCCACUCUGUCUCCUGCCCAAUCAGCAUCACAAUACCCAACUAUCUCUGUAUUUUUGUUGCAUCCCAUCCACACUCCUUGCCCUGGCGCCUCUCUUAGGUAUCUUAGGAUCCUUUCAACCAUGUUCCAAUGGUGUAUCUUGGGAGCUUGCAUAUUCUGGCUUACUUGGUUAACUGCAAAGCAUACAUCAGGCCUGGUGAUGGUGAGGUAUAUCAGCUUUCCUACAAUUCUUCUAUAGUGUUUAACGUCAGUAUAGGGCUUGUCUUCAAUCUCCCCCUCACGCAGCACCUUAUACCCAUCUUCUAGUGGAGUCUUGGCUACUUUCGCUCCAAGAUUUCCUGCCUCAUUCAAAAGAUCAAGUGUGUACUUCCUUUGAGAUAAGAAAAGCCCCUCUUUAGAGCGGCAUAUUUCUAUCCCUAGAAAGUACUUUAGCUCACCCAAAUCUUUAAUAUCAAAAGUAGACUUAAGAAAGACUUUGGUUGAGAUAAUACCUUCCUUGUCACUUCCUGUGAUGAUAAUAUCAUCUACAUAAAUAAGAAUCACCACAAUUCCUUGCUUGCUUGUGAGUGUGAAGAGUGUAUGAUCAGCUUCUGACUUUACAAACCCUCUUCCAUUGAGAGUUGUACUCAGUUUGUGGUACCAAGCCCUUGGUGACUGUUUUAACCCAUAUAUUGCUUUCUUCAACCUUAGGACAUUCCCUGGCUUGACCAUGUCUUCCAUACCCGGAGGUGGCCUCAUGUAAACCUCAUCCUCCAGCUCUCCUUGAAGAAAAGCAUUUUUGACAUCCAUCUGCCAUAAAUCCCAUUCCAAGUUCACUGCCAAUGAGAGUAGAAUUCUUAUGGUGUGGAGUUUAGCUACUGGUGCAAAUGUAUCCAGAUAGUCUUCUCCAUAGACUUGGGUGUAUCCUCUUGCAACUAGCCUUGUUUUCUUUCUUUCUGGUUUCCCAUUGGCAAGGUACUUGAUGGUGAAGAGUAGACGGCUUGUAACAGCUUUCUUUCCUUUGGGGAGCUCAGUUUCAUACCAAGUAUCAUUCUUGAUCAUGGCACCAACUUCAUCCCCAACUGACGCUCUCCACUCUUCAUGCUUCAUGGCUUCUUCAUAAGUCUUUGGUACAUACUCUUGAUCUAGGUUGCUGAUGAAGACUACAUGCUCUUCAGAUAGUCUCGCAAAAGAACAUGUUGCUUGGAUAGGAUGAGCUACUGCAUUGUUGUUGAAGUAUACUUUGGUGUCCAUCCACUGAGAUGGUUUCUUCACCCUUGUACUCCUCCUUAAUGGUUGAACUUCUUGUUGCAUUCCAUCUUGAUCAUUAACAACUUCUUCUUGGAUAGCUUCUUCUUGGAUAGCUUCCUCGUGGAUAGCUUCGUCAUGGAUAUCUUCUUCAGGGAUAGCUUCCUCAUGGAUAACUUGCAAAUUAGGUUGGUUUCCCCCCUCAUGAUCAGGAUGGACUGCUUCUUCAAUUGAUGUAGCUUCAUCCACAACUGGAGGUAUAUGUGAAGUGCUCGGUACGCCACUUGUUUGAGGCUGGCUGAUGCCUAGGUUUUCCAGAAUGAUUCUCAAGUUGUUUGCCCUAUCUGAAGAUCCUUGUGAGAGAUCCUGAAGGCUUUCCCAACUCUUCUCAUCAUAGUAUCCCUUUGAUUCCACAAACUUAACAUCCCUUGAGACCAUAACUCUUCUUGAUUCAGGUAUGUAGCACUUGUACCCCUUCUGCGCAUGAGUAUAUCCUAUGAACAUGCCUUUGACACUCUUGGCUUCAAGCUUGUUUCUCUGUUCCCCUGGUAUCAAGACAUAGCACACACACCCAAAAACACGCAAGUGAUCAAUUGGAGGUUUUAUUUUGUUUAAUACCUGAAAGGGAGAGUUAUCUUGGAGGACUUUGGUGGGGAUCCUGUUGAUCAAAUAACAUGCUGAGACCACAGCAUCUCCCCAGAACCUCUUUGGAACAUUGGUAUGGAACAUCAUGCUCCUUGCAACCUCCAUAAGAUGGCGAUUCUUCCUUUCAGCAACUCCAUUUUGUUGUGGUGUGUAUGGGCAACUUGUUUGAUGGAUUAUGCCAUGUUUUGCUAAGUGAUGUUUGAAAGCAGUGCUUGUAUAUUCUCCGCCAUUAUCAGACCUAAAAAUUUUGAUCUUGGAAUUGAAAUGGUUAGAUACAUAGUUUUGGAAGUUAAUAAAAGCUUCUAAAACUCUAUCUUUAGUUUGAAUCAAGGUGAGCCAUGUAUAUUUUGAUUUUUCAUCUAUGAAUGUAACAAAAUAUUUAUGGUUCUCCCUAGACAUACAAGGUGCUGUCCAAACAUCAGAGUGCACAAGAUCAAAGCAAUUUUCAUAAAUAGUCUUAGAAUUAGGGAAAACAGAUCUCUGAUGUUUACCAAGAAUACAAGCCUCACAACUUCCACUCUUUAAAGAUAGAUUAGGUAACAUCAGUCCUAAGGCACGAUAAUGAGGAUGACCUAAUCUAGCAUGCCAUAAAACAUCACUAGCUAACACAGAAGCAGAAUUGAAAGCACAAGAUAAAUUUGAAAGCUUGGUGUUUUCAAGCAAGUAAAGCUCUCCCUUGCUCACACCCUUUCCCAGCAUCUUCCUGGUCUUAAUAUCCUGAAAGCACACAUCAUUAGGACUGAAAAUAACAUUGCAAUUUAGAUCAUUGGUUGCUCUCUUAACAGAUAAUAAGUUGGAUGUGAAAGUAGGCAUAUAAAAAGCUUGAGACUCCUUAUCAAACAGUUUCAAGUUUCCUACUCCCUCAAUUGGAAUUCUAUCACCAUUAGCAAUCACUACACUUCCUAGAGCAGGUUUAACAUCACUAAUCAGUCUAGCAUCCCUAAUCAUAUGAUGAGAAGCUCCCGAAUCGAUGAUCAAAGGUCUAGUAGUAUGUGAAGCACUGUGAAUAGAAUUUAAAGCAUUGACACUGAUGUUACCAGAGUUUGCAUUGAUAGCUUUGAUAAGGGCUUCAAUGUCUGACUUGCGGAUGAAGGCAUCAUCAGGGGAUGGCUGGGACAUGGCAUGGGAUGUGGAUCCACCAGUGUGGGUGGUUGAGAUCAUAGCUCUUCCAUCUUCUCCUAUGCGCAUGGAGCCUGGUACUGUGGUUUCAUGAGCUCUUGCUUCAUGUGCUUUGGCCUGGUUGUAUCUGUUGGUUGAAGCAGGUCUGAGGUGAGGAUGGAGGAUCCAACAAUUGGUUUUGGAGUGGCCUAGAUUCUUGCAGUGCUCACAAGUCACAGACUUGUCUCCUCCUCUUCUUGGUUUGAAGUGUGCUUUGUUGACUGAAGCACUCUCCAUCUUCUCAGCUUUGUUUGCCAUAGACAGUUCCCCUUUUCCACCAAAGAGACCAUCUGAGCCUAGCUCCUUCCGAAGUUGAGCACACACAUCAUCAUAGCUUGGAAGCUCUUUAGCUCUCAAUAUGUGUUUAAGUACAUCAUUGAAGCUUGGGUUGAGUGUGAGAAGCAAUCCAAAGACCUUGUCUUGCUCACGCCUCUCUUCUAGUGUACUAGGAUCAGUGGUACUUGGUCUCAGCAUCUCAAGUUCAGACCACAGCUGGCUGUACUUCCCAAGGUGCUUGGUGAAGUCCAUCUCCUCUUGCUGUAAGUUGUUGAUUGCCCUCUUAACCUCAAAAAUUCUGGUGAGGUUUGAAGUGUUGCCAUAUACCUUGUGUAAGGUAUCCCAUAGCUUCUUUGCAGUCUCACAAUGUGAGUAAGACUCCAUGAUAGGAGUAUCAAGUGAGCCUUGCAAGAUAGACAGCACCAUGAGAUCCUCCUGACCCCAUUUGCCUUCAUCUACCACUACAACCUCCUUGCCAUCUUCUCCUUGGGUGAUUUGUCUUGGGGUCUCACUUGUGGUGAUGUGCUCCCAUAGACCUCUUCCUCCAAGAGCUGUCCUGGUCAAUCUCGACCAGGUAAUGUAGUUAGGACCUUUUAGGAUGACUGGAAUCCUAACUAGCUUGUGCUGCUCCAUCUUUGCUUGCUAUUUUCCAGCGGGUAAAAAAUAAAAAAUUCGCCAAGAAGAAAUUUGAAUUUCUGAGGCUAGGCAAGAGAGAAAACAAGGGAAGCCAAGAUAUGUUCUCUAGAAAUGAAGAAAGUAAACCAAACAAGUGAAAGAGUAAGGUGAAUAGAGUAAAUUUGCGGAAGCAGUUUGGUAUUCAAGAGCUUGGAUGCUCUGAUACCAUGUUAGAAAUUGAAGAACAUAGUGAAGAACAAGAGAGAGAGAGAUGUUUAAUCUAGAAAGUAGAGAGAGAUAGAGUAAAUAAGGAGAAUCUUAUUUGCUUGAUUGAUUUGCUUAUGGGAACAUCCCAUAUAUAUAGGGGUUACAAGUAUGGCAAAUGGUAGAUGAAAUAUGAUAAACUAAUAAUCCAUUGUCUUGAGACUUUAACCCACCAUACAUGCUUGUCCCUUGUAGUGGCAUCUCCAUUGUCUUGAGACCUUAACCCACCAUGCAUGCUUGUCUUGAGACCUUAACCCACCAAGCAUGCCACUACAUGGUAUCAGAGCAUCCAAGCUCUUGAAUACCAAACUGCUUCCGCAAAUUUACUCUAUUCACCUUACUCUUUCACUUGUUUGGUUUACUUUCUUCAUUUCUAGAGAACAUAUCUUGGCUUCCCUUGUUUUCUCUCUUGCCUAGCCUCAGAAAUUCAAAUUUCUUCUUGGCGAAUUUUUUAUUUUUUACCCGCUGGAAAAUAGCAAGCAAAGAUGGAGCAGCACAAGCUAGUUAGGAUUCCAGUCAUCCUGAAAGGUCCUAACUACAUUACCUGGUCGAGAUUGACCAGGACAGCUCUUGGAGGAAGAGGUCUAUGGGAGCACAUCACCACAAGUGAGGCCCCAAGACAAAUCACCCAAGGAGAAGAUGGCAAGGAGGUUGUAGUGGUAGAUGAAGGCAAAUGGGGUCAGGAGGAUCUCAUGGUGCUGUCUAUCUUGCAAGGCUCACUUGAUACUCCUAUCAUGGAGUCUUACUCACAUUGUGAGACUGCAAAGAAGCUAUGGGAUACCUUACACAAGGUAUAUGGCAACACUUCAAACCUCACCAGAAUUUUUGAGGUUAAGAGGGCAAUCAACAACUUACAGCAAGAGGAGAUGGACUUCACCAAGCACCUUGGGAAGUACAGCCAGCUGUGGUCUGAACUUGAGAUGCUGAGACCAAGUACCACUGAUCCUAGUACACUAGAAGAGAGGCGUGAGCAAGACAAGGUCUUUGGAUUGCUUCUCACACUCAACCCAAGCUUCAAUGAUGUACUUAAACACAUAUUGAGAGCUAAAGAGCUUCCAAGCUAUGAUGAUGUGUGUGCUCAACUUCGGAAGGAGCUAGGCUCAGAUGGUCUCUUUGGUGGAAAAGGGGAACUGUCUAUGGCAAACAAAGCUGAGAAGAUGGAGAGUGCUUCAGUCAACAAAGCACACUUCAAACCAAGAAGAGGAGGAGACAAGUCUGUGACUUGUGAGCACUGCAAGAAUCUAGGCCACUCCAAAACCAAUUGUUGGAUCCUCCAUCCUCACCUCAGACCUGCUUCAACCAACAGAUACAACCAGGCCAAAGCACAUGAAGCAAGAGCUCAUGAAACCACAGUACCAGGCUCCAUGCGCAUAGGAGAAGAUGGAAGAGCUAUGAUCUCAACCACCCACACUGGUGGAUCCACAUCCCAUGCCAUGUCCCAGCCAUCCCCUGAUGAUGCCUUCAUCCGCAAGUCAGACAUUGAAGCCCUUAUCAAAGCUAUCAAUGCAAACUCUGGUAACAUCAGUGUCAAUGCUUUAAAUUCUAUUCACAGUGCUUCACAUACUACUAGACCUUUGAUCAUCGAUUCGGGAGCUUCUCAUCAUAUGAUUAGGGAUGCUAGACUGAUUAGUGAUGUUAAACCUGCUCUAGGGAGUGUAGUGAUUGCUAAUGGUGAUAGAAUUCCAAUUGAAGGAGUAGGAAACUUGAAACUGUUUGAUAAGGAGUCUCAAGCUUUUUAUAUGCCUACUUUCACAUCCAACUUAUUAUCUGUUAAGAGAGCAACCAAUGAUCUAAAUUGCAAUGUUAUUUUCAGUCCUAAUGAUGUGUGCUUUCAGGAUAUUAAGACCAGGAAGAUGCUGGGAAAGGGUGUGAGCAAGGGAGAGCUUUACUUGCUUGAAAACACCAAGCUUUCAAAUUUAUCUUGUGCUUUCAAUUCUGCUUCUGUGUUAGCUAGUGAUGUUUUAUGGCAUGCUAGAUUAGGUCAUCCUCAUUAUCGUGCCUUAGGACUGAUGUUACCUAAUCUAUCUUUAAAGAGUGGAAGUUGUGAGGCUUGUAUUCUUGGUAAACAUCAGAGAUCUGUUUUCCCUAAUUCUAAGACUAUUUAUGAAAAUUGCUUUGAUCUUGUGCACUCUGAUGUUUGGACAGCACCUUGUAUGUCUAGGGAGAACCAUAAAUAUUUUGUUACAUUCAUAGAUGAAAAAUCAAAAUAUACAUGGCUCACCUUGAUUCAAACUAAAGAUAGAGUUUUAGAAGCUUUUAUUAACUUCCAAAACUAUGUAUCUAACCAUUUCAAUUCCAAGAUCAAAAUUUUUAGGUCUGAUAAUGGCGGAGAAUAUACAAGCACUGCUUUCAAACAUCACUUAGCAAAACAUGGCAUAAUCCAUCAAACAAGUUGCCCAUACACACCACAACAAAAUGGAGUUGCUGAAAGGAAGAAUCGCCAUCUUAUGGAGGUUGCAAGGAGCAUGAUGUUCCAUACCAAUGUUCCAAAGAGGUUCUGGGGAGAUGCUGUGGUCUCAGCAUGUUAUUUGAUCAACAGGAUCCCCACCAAAGUCCUCCAAGAUAACUCUCCCUUUCAGGUAUUAAACAAAAUAAAACCUCCAAUUGAUCACUUGCGUGUUUUUGGGUGUGUGUGCUAUGUCUUGAUACCAGGGGAACAGAGAAACAAGCUUGAAGCCAAGAGUGUCAAAGGCAUGUUCAUAGGAUAUACUCAUGCGCAGAAGGGGUACAAGUGCUACAUACCUGAAUCAAGAAGAGUUAUGGUCUCAAGGGAUGUUAAGUUUGUGGAAUCAAAGGGAUACUAUGAUGAGAAGAGUUGGGAAAGCCUUCAGGAUCUCUCACAAGGAUCUUCAGAUAGGGCAAACAACUUGAGAAUCAUUCUGGAAAACCUAGGCAUCAGCCAGCCUCAAACAAGUGGCGUACCGAGCACUUCACAUAUACCUCCAGUUGUGGAUGAAGCUACAUCAAUUGAAGAAGCAGUCCAUCCUGAUCAUGAGGGGGGAAACCAACCUAAUUUGCAAGUUAUCCAUGAGGAAGCUAUCCCUGAAGAAGAUAUCCAUGACGAAGCUAUCCACGAGGAAGCUAUCCAAGAAGAAGCUAUCCAAGAAGAAGUUGUUAAUGAUCAAGAUGGAAUGCAACAAGAAGUUCAACCAUUAAGGAGGAGUACAAGGGUGAAGAAACCAUCUCAGUGGAUGGACACCAAAGUAUACUUCAACAACAAUGCAGUAGCUCAUCCUAUCCAAGCAACAUGUUCUUUUGCGAGACUAUCUGAAGAGCAUGUAGUCUUCAUCAGCAACCUGGAUCAAGAGUAUGUACCAAAGACUUAUGAAGAAGCCAUGAAGCAUGAAGAAUGGAGAGAUUCAGUUGGGGAUGAAGUUGGUGCCAUGAUCAAGAAUGAUACUUGGUAUGAAACUGAGCUCCCCAAAGGAAAGAAAGCUGUUACAAGCCGUCUACUCUUCACCAUCAAGUACCUUGCCAAUGGGAAACCAGAAAGAAAGAAAACAAGGCUAGUUGCAAGAGGAUACACCCAAGUCUAUGGAGAAGACUAUCUGGAUACAUUUGCACCAGUAGCUAAACUCCACACCAUAAGGAUUCUACUCUCAUUGGCAGUGAACUUGGAAUGGGAUUUAUGGCAGAUGGAUGUCAAGAAUGCUUUUCUUCAAGGAGAGCUGGAGGAUGAGGUUUACAUGAGGCCACCUCCGGGUAUGGAAGACAUGGUCAAGCCAGGGAAUGUCCUAAGGUUGAAGAAAGCAAUAUAUGGGUUAAAACAGUCACCAAGGGCUUGGUACCACAAACUGAGUACAACUCUCAAUGGAAGAGGGUUUGUAAAAUCAGAAGCUGAUCAUACACUCUUCACACUCACAAGCAAGCAAGGAAUUGUGGUGAUUCUUAUUUAUGUAGAUGAUAUUAUCAUCACAGGAAGUGACAAGGAAGGUAUUAUCUCAACCAAAGUCUUUCUUAAGUCUACUUUUGAUAUUAAAGAUUUGGGUGAGCUAAAGUACUUUCUAGGGAUAGAAAUAUGCCGCUCUAAAGAGGGGCUUUUCUUAUCUCAAAGGAAGUACACACUUGAUCUUUUGAAUGAGGCAGGAAAGCUUGGAGCGAGAGUAGCCAAGACUCCACUAGAAGAUGGGUAUAAGGUGCUGCGUGAGGGGGAGAUUGAAGACAAGCCCUAUACUGACGUUAAACACUAUAGAAGAAUUGUAGGAAAGCUGAUAUACCUCACCAUCACCAGGCCUGAUGUAUGCUUUGCAGUUAACCAAGUAAGCCAGAAUAUGCAAGCUCCCAAGAUACACCAUUGGAACAUGGUUGAAAGGAUCCUAAGAUACCUAAGAGAGGCGCCAGGGCAAGGAGUGUGGAUGGGAUGCAACAAAAAUACAGAGAUAGUUGGGUAUUGUGAUGCUGAUUGGGCAGGAGACAGAGUGGAUAGGAGAUCCACUACCGGCUAUUGUACAUUUAUUGGAGGCAAUCUUGUCACUUGGAAGAGCAAGAAACAGAAGAUAGUGUCAUGCUCAAGUGCUGAAGCUGAAUAUAGGGCAAUGAGGAAGCUCACUAGUGAGUUGAUUUGGAUCAGAAACCUACUUCGAGACUUGGGUAUAGAGACAUCAACUCCAAUCACCAUGCAUUGUGAUAAUCAAGCAGCAAUACACAUAGCUUCCAACAGUGUGUUCCAUGAGAGGACUAAACACAUUGAGGUGGAUUGUCAUAAAGUUAGGCAAGCAGUGGAACAAAGGAUCAUCUUACCCUGCUACACAAGAAGUGAGGAUCAACUAGCUGACAUCUUUACCAAGGCUGCAAGCACCAAGGUUUGCGAGUUCAUACAUUCCAAGUUAGGACUCGUAGAUUUUUCAUCACACUAAUCCUCUUAGCCAUGAAGUGUUCUACUCUUUUUCCUUGGCUUGGUUUUUAUCCCAUGAGGUUUUUCCAAGCUAAAGGUUUUAAUGAGGGAAUGCUUCAUGGUUUCCAAGUUUGACCAGUCCCUAUGGUCAAGCUUGAGGGGGAGUGUGAAGAUGAAGCAAUAAGAAACAAGAUGGUUGGUUAAGGUCUCAAGACAAUGGAGAUACCACUACAAGGGACAAGCAUGCAUGGUUGGUUAAGGUCUCAAGACAAUGGAGAUGCCACUACAAGGGACAAGCAUGCAUGGUGGGUUAAGGUCUCAAGACAAUGGAGAUGCCAUUACAAGGGACAAGCAUGUAUGGUGGGUUAAAGUCUCAAGACAAUGGAUUAUUAGUUUAUCAUAUUUCAUCUACCAUUUGUCAUACUUGUAACCCCUAUAUAUAUGGGAUGUUCCCAUAAUCAAAUUAAUCAAGCAAAUAAGAUUCUCCUUAUUUACUCUAUCUCUCUCUCUACUUUCUAGAUUAAACUUUCUAGAUUAAACCGAACAUGCUUGUAGAGCAGGACAAAGUUCGGUUUCAUGAUCGCUUACCACAUCAAGGAUGAUAAGAAGAACUCUACUGUUCUGAGUCUUGCUCUUGACGAUGUGUACAAAGGCCAGAGGUAGAGACAAGAUAAGGUAACCACUUACAACAGCAUUCAACCUUCCUAAUCCACCAAACCAUUAAAGUGUUUCCAAACUUGGACAACAUAAACUCUGUCCAUUUUUGUAUAAAAAUCUUGAUCUCAACUAAAAAAAAAAGCUUUUCUUGUUGAAGGGAGGAUACAUGUGGAGUAGUUAAACAUUAUUACUUGAUGCGGAGUGAUAAGCUAGAAUAAUGUCUCCAUUAGAAUAUGAUUUAACAAACCCCCAAAUGAUGGGAGAUGUUGAAACUCAGAUGGUUGUGGCAAACACAUACUUUGAUUAGUAAAAAAAGAUAUCAAAAUAUACAUUUAUAAUCAUCAGAACAAUUAUAUCAAACUGAAGCAGGACACCAAACCCAAAUAAAAAUAUUUACAAAAAUGUGUUGAAUUUUGAAGAUAUGAUUUUCACGCUUUUGAGUUGGCUUAUUAGUUGAUUAUACUUAACAGUGAUAUAAUACGUCAAAUAACGCAUAACUUGACAAGAAUAAUACGUCUGUCUCUACAUGAUCGUAAAAUUACAUAAGAAGGACACGAAUUUUUUACAUUUAAAAGUUAUCCCCAUUCCCAGAGAGAAGCCUAGGCAAGAAUCCUUGACCAGAUGUCUUGUCUCCUUCUCCUUACAAGAGCUCAUGUUACUAAUCAAAGACCAAUGAGUCUCAAAAUCAAUUUCAUAGCCAGACUUUUGCAUCAUCUCUGAGAGAAGCCUAGGCAAGAUUUGACGUAUUUUAUCAACCAUUGAUUUGAUAAGUCUUUCUACUUACACAAACGACAAGAAUCUUCCAGAAAUAGCAACAUGUACUUGACUGCUGCCGAGAAGCAUACUGUGCAAGGAAAUAACAGAGAGAAAGAGAAGAAGCAAUGCAUAUACCUUUUCAUGUGGACCAAAAGGGACAUGAACAUAGAUUGAUUUCCAAGUGGUUUAUUUACCUGAACAACGUCGUCUUAGCGAGAACUGUGAUAUAUUCUCACUCAUCGCCCAAGUGUUUUUUUUACCUGCAUAUGAUCUUUAAAUACUCUGAAAGAUUGAUUAUAAGGUAAUGAUUGGCGAUAACAUGUCAGAUAGAUGCUUAAGCAUGCUGUAAAACGAGAGGGUCGAACAUAAGUUAUAUAAUUUCAUAAAAAUGGAACUACGCACAACCAAACUAAAGGUUUCUGAUUGUGAUCCGAGGAAAGACAAGGCAAACUGAAAGAUAUUACAUGCAACUAGAUAUGGUUUAACUGGGUAGGAACUUGGCAGUAUUUUGGUCACAAGUGGACAAUGAAAACAAACUUAAAUAUCCCAUCCAUAUAUAAUGGUUCUCCUAGGUACAAUUAGGUGGUUUCAGCUUUGUCAUCUUGUUUGGUUGAAAAGGCUUCAGCUGUGGGCUGUGAGGUCGGCUUCAGGCUUCAGGAACUCACACUGUUUUUAUUGGGACGGGGAAAAAGGUCACAAAGGGAAACAAGCAGUGUAUCAGAAUCUAACACCGGGACAGAUCACAUCAGACUAUCUCAUGAACUUGGGGGCUAACCUGGAUAGGUAAACUAAGUUUAAAACGACUUAAACAAAUCAUAUCGUAAUCUUACCUUUUUAAUCACCCACUAAUAGCUUCUAAUAAUCAUAGUUUCUGCGUCGAAGGCUAGAGGAAUAGCUGGAUAACCUGAUGACGAAACCACAAGAAGUUGUUAGGCAAAUGAAAAACAAAUGUCUGUGCAGUGCAUCGACAUUAGAAACACUUGAUAACCAAAGUUCUAAACGCUAAAGUACUAAAUAUAAUAAAUGUCAUAAAUAAAUAAUCUCACCCAGAACUGCCACUGCGUCCAGAUGCAUAACCUCCAUACACUCCAUAUUGAGUACUACUACUACCACCAACCUACAAAAACACGUCCAAAGAGUCAUUCACAGAGAACUGAUUUGUUGAAAAACAACAUGUAAUGGAAUCUUUAAACAGACAUACUGGUGCACCAUAACGCGAAUAACCUUCAGACAAGCCACUUGAGCCAUAACCACCAGGAUAAUGAUUCGGGCGUUCAGCUCUUCUGCUAUCUCUCCUAUCAUAGUCCAAUCUAUCACCAGCAUCUAGCGCAACAGGAACAUAAGGCAAGACCGGCAUGAGUGUAGAAACAGAACCGUCCCGGUCAAACACAUUGGCUCUUAGUCUUGAUGUAAUUUGUAUGAGAGCAUCCUUGGCAACAUCAAGUUCUCCAGAAAUCUGAAAUAUCAAAAUUGCUUCUGCUGUUAGAAGCAAUUAGAGGAGUGGAGCUAUGCUAUUGUGAAUUUUUACCUGAACCAUCUCAUCAUCUUCAGAUGCAACUUUAGGAAGAUUAUCCUUCCCUAGUACGCGGAUGUUAGCUUUGGUCAUUCUCCUCAUCUCGGUGAUGAUAGCUCCUCCUUUACCAAGAAGACAACCAAUCCUAGAACUCGGCACAAGAAGGCGAGUCGUGAACGAAACAAGUCCAGAGUCUCUCUCCACCUUGUCGCUGCAUUUUGACUGCAGCCUCAUAGCUGCUUCGAUGGUUGGGGAAUAAGUAUCAUCGAAAACCUGAAACAGAUUUAAGACACAGUUCAAGGAACCAAAACUAGAACAAACUAUUCUUACCUAAAAGAAAAAAAAAAGGUCAAAACCUCUCUUGCUGAUAUAGUUAUCAAACAAUCGUUUCCAUCGGUUCUAGCGCUAUCAACUUUAAUGGUCGCUCUCGUUUCCUGUCGAAGCUGAUUGAUCAGAGCACCGCCUUUACCAAUAACACCUGCAAUAUUAUCAGCCGGCGAGACUAGCCGGAUAUAAAAAUCUGUAGCCGCCGGUGGUUCGUUUCUAAGAGUUUGGUAUAAAGGGCGUGACAAAUCUCUCGCAUAUGGAUCCAUCAGCGGGGCUAUCCCCACAAUUCGAGGACCACCGGAAUGGCUCAUGAGUGGAGGAGCAGAGGAAAGAAGGUUCUGAGUGCGUGAAGGAUUCUCAUGGAGGCGGGAAGCAAUCUGAUGCAGAGCCUUCUUAACAAUCAGCACUUCUCCAGAUAUCUAAAAAAAAAAAGAGAAAGACAUUAUAUAGAGACAGACACAUGAGAAAAGGCAAUCAAAAGUAUAAACACACAUACUUGAAUAAGCUCAUCUGAACUCAGGGCACAAAGAGGCAUGUUCCUGUCCUUGAUUAUACGAAUGUGAGCACCAGUCUCACUCCGAAUGUUCUGAACAACUUGUCCACCUCUCCCAAGCACACACCCAAUCUGAUCCGAAGGAACAAGCAUCUUGGCUGUAACAUUCCUCUCUCCAUCAGAUCCAUCUCCACCAUCCGCAGCUACUACUCUAUCAUGAACCCUGAACAAAGCAUCCUGCGCAGGAGAAAAAAGAACUCUCUCUCCAUCUCCACCAUCAUUGGUCGCAUCACUAGCGCUAAAGAUCGUAACCACGCGCUCAUCACACCCUGGAACAGCCUCUCCUAUCUUAAUCUUCGCCUUAGUCUCCAUCCUCAGCUGCUUCACGAUGUCUCCUCCUCUCCCAAUGACACUCCCAAUUUUUUUAACAGGGCAGAGGUAACGGAACACAGUGUCAAUCGCAGGAGAGUCUCUGUCGUCACCGCAGCCACGAUGUCUCCUUUUGUUUUCACCGUUGUCAUCGUCGUCAGAUUGGGGACGAGACCUCUUCCAAUGUGUAUCUCUAUGCUCCGGUGACAUUGUUCAAAGACAAAAGGGAAAGUCUGUACCUUUCAAUCACAAUAUAAAUCAAAUAAUGAGAACUUUGAAUCCAUAGCAAUGUAGCACUUCACAACCAUUCAAACAAACAUGCAAGUAUGCAACUUUGUCAUCUAUUUAUCUAACACGUAUUCAUAAUCAAACAGUUUUAUCGCACAAGACUCAACAAACAAAUCAAAUUUGAACUCGGGACUCUAGUAGUCUAGUCUCUCAAACGGAGAACAACAGGUGGAGAAGGAGCCCAAUAGGUGAAAAAGAUUAGAGAUUCAGAUUCCGAUUACGAGCUCCGAGCGGAAAGUAGGAACCUUUGAUUCUGCUGACGAAUCGAUUCUUCGGAUUUUGGGGGUUAGGGUUCGCGCGGACUUUAAUCGGUUUGGUUGGUUGUUUCGCACUAUAUUUCAGUUAGGGAAGUGUUUAUGAUUUCGGAUUUUACUAAUACGCCCCCAAUGUUUUAACUAUUGCCAUUAUUGCCCCCUCCUUUUUAUCAUCGCUCAUCUUAUUUGGACCUUUAAUGUAAAAGGCUGUUUACAUGUUGCAAUCACUAGUAGCAGUAGGAGCCUUUUCUGACGGGUUAUUAGAUGGAAAGACUUUGUAGUCCGGGAUUGGUGUAUUUCGUGCUCGUUUGGCUCGGUAGGCGAUGCUGUUCUGUUCCUGGAAACCUCUGCUUCUUCAUGUCUCUUUGAGCAGUUGUUGUUUCAUGUUAGUCAAGGUCUUGUGGUUGGGGUUUGACUUUUGGAUGGUAUACCGCUGUGGAGCCAUCUACUUGCUUCUUCUCUGUGAUUGGUUUGCAGAGUGAAGUAUUAAGACGAAGCAGUGGUUUCGAUUUGUAGCUCAUCUCUUGCGAGGACGUGACCAUCUUUUUGCUUGUAGAUGGUGGAGUAUGGGAACACGAAGGUCCGCCUGUAUGAGCUGUCCUUUUAGUUAUUGCCCCCUCUUCGUGUUUCAAGGUUAGACCUUGUGCCUUGGUCUCUCUUGAUUGCUGGCGGCUCGUUUCAGAUGUGGUGUUUGUGAUUUUGGCUCCAUGUCUACUUCAGUCUGGCGUUGGUUUCUGUCAGAUUUGGUUCCUGUGAGAUUGUGGUUUUGGCUUAUAUUGGAUUGUGGUCUCUGUUAUGUUCUUAUGGUCUCAACCCGUGCUUAUUCAGGUUCUUUGGAAACCAAAUGUUGGAUUGUUGUCUGUGUGCAGCUUGACAUUUUCUGGUGGAUUGAUGAGAAUCACUUGCCCUCUUCUUAGUUAUGGUUCUUCAUUGUUGUGUUCAUGACUUUUUGGUAUGCCUUUUUAGUCUCGUAUAAUUUUUUGUGGGUAUACUAAAGUUCAAAAGGUUGUCAAGUAGGAUGGGAAGGAAGUUUUUUCUUUUAUCGAGGUUUGUAACAAAUUGUACCUCAACUUUCGUUAAAUGCAAUUCAUAGAUAACAAAAAAAAAAAAAGUUGUUGCAAAGUCCUGAAGCCGGUCCAGAGGAUAAACCACAAAUUUUCUCGCUUAGGAUAUAUAAUACGGUUGUGACAAAAAAAGAGGAUAUAUAAUACGGAAGAGUAUAAUAUAUUUGUUAAUAAAAGUUGUACUAACAAUGUUAAUGUAUUUAUGAAUAUUAUUAUUAUUAUCAAAUAAAUACAAAUUAUGUUUACAUAUAAAUUUUAACAAAAUUAUAUAAAAGUAUAAGUAAAAAUUAAUAAAAAUAUAAGUAAAAACUGAUAAAAUACAAAUAAAUAUUAUUUUUUAAUGUGAGAUUUUGUAUUAACAAUUGAUUUUAGUAAAGUAUGAUUGUUAUAGUCAAAAUGUUCGUGACAAUAUUAAUAAAUAUUGCUAUACAAUUGAAUUCAUAAAAUUAUCUUUAUAAUUAUUAAUGGAGUUGAAUUAGUUUAAAAUUUUUGAUUUUAAAUUAUAUAAAUAUAUAUAUAUAAUAUUAGGAAAAAAUAUAAAAAUAUGUUGUUAAAAGUUUGCUUACGAUAUUUAAAAGUGUUGGGUCGGCACUGCUUAGACCAUAAUCUUCAAAGGCUGAUAAGUUUUUUUUUGUUUUAUCAGUAGUGACACAAAACCAUACAUAUUUUAUAUAGUAAAUGGUGAAACAGUUAUAAGUUACUAUGGUUGAGAAAUAGCACUAAACGAUAGUAACCAGUUGAUAGUAACAUUAUAUUUUGAAGUCAUGGAUGUAAUAACUACUACAGCUACUACAGUAUCUGACUUGGAUUCGCAACAACCGGUGAUUGAAACUCCGACCCGGAUCCAGCCCGCAAAGCCUAUUUCUUUUUCCAACGGGAAACGAUGCCUCGACCACCAACAUCAUGUGUCUGAAGUGGUUGUUACUUAAAACGGUAUAUAAAUCUUGAAACGUUGACAUAUAUUUCAAGUGCAAAAAGUAAUUAAGAGAACAACAAUUGAUACGCCGAAAUAUAUAUUUUCAAUUGGCAUAUUUCAUGCGUCCACCAACCAAUUUAUGUUACACUUUGAACUCAUAAUUUCCACAACUGAGAGAGUAAAGCUUAAAAUAUUACAUACCGUUAUUUAUUGCCAAAAUACUCAAACAUCAAACUUUGGUUUUCGAAAACUAAACCUGAAAAUAGUUUUUUUUUUCUUUGCUUGCGAAAAGUAAACCUGAAAAGAGAGUUUUUUUUUUCUUUGUUUGGACAAAUUAUGGAAGUGGAGGAGAUUGGGGAGGAGGAGUGGCGACGAAACCACUCCAAUUGGUGUUGGACUCCGGCGGCGUGUAGUCCAUCAGCUCAAUCAUAUUCCGCACAAUGCCAUCCUGUAUUUUUCACUUAAACUAUUAAUUAGUGCAACAUAUAUACCUAAAUAUAAUAUAUAUAUAUAUGUGUGUUUUAACUGUUUAUUAAUGAAAUAUAAUUAAAAAUCCUUUUUAUUGACUAUUUCGAGUUGAGGUAACUGACAUGAAAUUAGAUCUGACGUUCUCGAAAAAUUAUACUGGACUACUUAUAUUAUAUGUCUCGAUAUGUUAACCUUUUCAUCUCAACAGUGAUCUCCAUGAAACAACUCAUCAUGAAAGCACGUGUGUGUUUACCACAAGUUAAAAAAAAAGGUGUGUUUUACCAUAAUUAAAUUUGGAGCAAAACUGGAAUACAAAAGCCAAGUCCAAAACGUAAACCAAUGGUUCAGAAGUCUCGUUCGGAUCUUUUUGACUUGCACUCUUUUGUAUAUAUUGUUGCAACGAAAAAUGUUUAAUAGACAUCUCGAUCUUGUUUACAUUAGUUUUUCUUUUUGUGCUUCUUGAUUACAUUAGUUAUAAAUUUAAAAGUACACCAAGACAAUGAAUCACAAAUACCAUUUAACAAGAAAAGAAAUCAUACGUAAUAUUUUGUUGGGAGAAUUUUGUUCUUCUUUCUUUACAUCCAGUAUAAGUUCAUACUUCCUAAGAAUCGUUAUUUUUUACUAUUUGACAUUUUUUAACCAGAAUAAAUUGAAUUAACUAAACAGAAGUGGGGAACAAUGAAGUACCUUGGAAGGAAAUAGCUCAGCAGUGCUGUGAACUCCUGACAACUUUGUAGUUCGCAAGUUUCUCCCCAUGGCUUAAAAAUUCACAAACAAACACUAUCAGGCGUAAAUUCAAACCACAGUAUAUAUGUGCGUCAAAAGGAUACACUUAAUAGUAUUCUAACAGUGUGAUGAAGACGAAGAAGAAAAUGACAUUAGUUAACGGAGAUUACCAGUGGAGAAGAAUAUAAGUAGUAUAAGAGAGGAAACAAGGAAAACUCUGAAGAAACAAGAUUGACCCAUUGUUGCUGUUCGAAGUUCUGAGGAUCUUAUUUAUAGUAAACUGUAUUGUAUUAUUUUAAUAAUAUGUUAGUUAUUAAUCCAUUCAUAUUUAUAAUAAGUACAACUUUAAUAAAGAGAAAAGGGAACCUUUACUUAAGGUUUUCCAUUUUUCCUGGAAACUGCUUCAGCUUUAGAUCCAAUGAAGAAAGAUUUGAUUGAUUGAUCACAAUACUUAGUUUUAUACCCUGUUUUAUAUAGCUGGGUCAUUAUAUAAAAGAACUAAUAAAACUUAUUUAUGUCUUUAAUUAAUCCUCGGAGGAGUAUUAUGAAGCAAACUCGCACGUGUGGUUACACGUGUAACCCCCAUGACUCCACGUGAUGUGAACUGUAGUCGAGCUCCUCAUGUCUGCCACUACCAAAGAAGCAAAGAAUAUUAGUGACUUUUUUGUAUAAGUUAUUGUUUUUCUUUUUGAAAAAGUUAUUUGCCGCGUAAUUAAUUGGUCAGCUAUUUCAUUAAAUCUGUAUAAAUAUAUGAAAUAUGCCUGAUUUUCUGAUAAAAAAAUACUCCAUUUCUCAUUAAGUUAGGCACUUAGGGUUAUUGUCCAAGAGGUUGGCAAGUAACACUACAAGAAAACAGCGGUAUUCUGACGGACAUUCCGACGGAAAAUAAAAUUCUCGGAAUAUCCCGAAGAAUUUCCGAGGAAACACAAAAUUGGGUUUCUUCGGAAUUUCCUCGGAAUAUACCGAUGGAAUUCCGAGGAAAUAUCAAUCCGUCGGAAUAUUCCGAGGAAAUUCCGAGGAAAAAUGGGUUCCUCGGAAAAAACCGAUGAAUUCCGAGGAAAUAUUAUAGCCGUUGGAGAGCCGUUGGGGGAUUUUACAAAAUUCCGAGGAAAUUCCGACGAACUAGCCUUUUCCGUCGGAAUUCCGUCGGAAUUUCCUCGGUCUGUCGGCAGGAUUUAAACUAUAAAUACAAGCACUCCUCUUCCUCUUCAUUCACUCCAUAUCUUCAUCCUCCCUCUUACUCUAUUUACACACGAAUUUGAUUCAUAAAAAAUAUGUCUUCUUCAAAUUAUUUUCGUUCUUGGAUCGAUCGACCUCAUUUGGAUCCGAACACGAGAUUGCUUACGGAAGAAUACCAACGAGGUAUAACCGAAUUCAUGGGGUUAGUUCACCGACAACCGGAAGCAAAAACAGGUAUGUUAAGAUGUCCUUGCUCUAAUUGUAAAAAUAGAAAGGUUAUUAAAGAGUGGGAUGUUUGGACUCAUCUAUAUUUGAGUGGGUUUACACGAAGUUACAAAAUUUGGUAUCAUCAUGGGGAAACUGAUUAUGAACAUGGUAGUACUAGCGAACCUCAGCCAGCGGUUAGAUUAGAAGAACCAAUUAGAACGGAUGUAGAUUAUGGUGUAGGUACUGAGCAGAUGGUAAAUGAUCAUUUUAGAGGGGAAGAUUUACCCAAUGCAGAAGCUAGGAGAUUUUAUGAUAUGUUGGAUGCUGGAAAGCAACCAUUGUACGAAGGUUGCAGAGAUGGUCAUUCAGCUUUAUCAUCUGCUACAAGAUUGAUGGGCAUUAAAACAGAUUAUAAUUUGGCUGAAGACUGUGUGGAUGCGAUUGCUGAUUUUGUAAAAGGUAUUCUACCCGAGGAUAAUGUAGCUCCUGGUUCAUACUACGAGGUUCAGAAACUCGUAGCUGGUCUUGGUUUAUCGUAUCAGGUAAUAGAUGUAUGCAGCGACAACUGCAUGAUUUAUUGGAGGGCGGAUGAACAGCGGGUUACAUGCAAAUUUUGUGGAAAGCCUCGUUAUAAAGAUACGAGUGGAAGAGUUCCAGUGCCAUAUAAAAGGAUGUGGUAUUUACCUUUGACGGAAAGGUUGCAGAGGUUGUAUCUGUCUGAACGCACAGCGCAACCAAUGAGAUGGCAUGCGGAGCACUCAACAGAUGGUGAGAUCAGACAUCCUUCAGAUGCAAAAGCGUGGAAGCAUUUCCAAUCAAAGUAUCCCGACUUUGCGUAUGAGAGAAGAAAUGUCUACCUUGGAUUAUGUACUGAUGGUUUCAGUCCGUUUGGCAAGAGUGGAAGACAGUAUUCUCUAUGGCCCGUCAUUCUUACACCAUACAACCUACCCCCAAACUUGUGCUUGCGACGAGAGUUUUUGUUUCUCUCGAUUCUCGUUCCCGGACCAGAGCAUCCUAAGAGAUCACUUGAUGUGUUUCUUCAGCCACUAAUAUAUGAGUUGCAACAACUAUGGGCUCAAGGUGCUGAAACAUACGAUGUUUCGUGUAAAGAAAACUUUCAAAUGCGGGCAGUACUAAUGUGGACAAUAAGUGAUUUUCCAGCAUAUGGUAUGUUGUCUGGAUGGACAACGCAUGGAAGGCUAUCAUGUCCAUAUUGUCAAGAUAACACUGAUGCUUUCCAACUAAAACACGGAAGGAAAACGUGUUGGUUUGACUGUCACAGGAGAUUCCUACCACCUGAUCAUCCAUAUCGUAGGAGUAGGAAUUUGUUUACGAAGAACAAGAGGGUGUUUGACAGUCCACCUCCGGAAAUUUGUGGGAAAGAUUUGAAGAUACAACUAAGAGAUUUUGGUGCAGAAAGGACGCCAGAAGUCGGUGGACAUGAGCGUUUUCCGGUAGAUGCUGUUGGAGAACUACAUAACUGGCACAAAAAAAGUAUUUUCUGGGAUCUGCCAUACUGGGAGGAUCAUCUGCUAAGGCAUAAUUUAGAUGUCAUGCAUAUUGAGAAGAACUUUUUUGACAAUCUCAUGAACACGAUCCUUAAUGUUCAAGGUAAAACAAAGGAUAAUUUGAAGUCAAGACUGGAUUUAGUCGAUAUAUGUGCUCGUUCAGAACUUCAUGUUGAUGAGAAUGGUAGGGCUCCUUUUCCCAUAUACCGACUUGAUGCAGCGGGAAAAGAUGCGUUCUUUGAUUGGAUUUCAAACGAUGUGGAAUUUCCAGACGGUUACGCAUCAAAUUUGCGUAACUGUAUCGACAGAAAGGAAGGAAAGUUUACUGGCUUGAAAAGCCACGAUUGCCAUGUAAUGAUGCAGCGCCUCCUUCCGUUCGCCUUCAAGGAACUAUUACCACGAAAUGUUCAUGAAGCAAUUGCAGGGAUAAGUGGUUUCUUCCGCGAUUUAUGCACGAGAUCAGUGACUCUUGAAGGUAUUGAAAAUUUGAAGACUAACAUAGCCGUGAUUCAGUGCAACCUUGAGAAGAUAUUUCCUCCCUCAUUUUUUGAUGUUAUGGAGCAUCUUGUUAUUCACCUGGCAAGAGAAUUGGAACUUGGUGGUCCUGUGCAGUAUAGAUGGAUGUAUCUGUAUGAGCGGUAUAUGUUCCAUUUGAAGAAGAUGGUGAAAAAUUUAAGUAGGGUGGAAGGUUCUAUAGUCGCACAGAUGAUCAAUGAAGAAACUUCAAACUUUGCCGAGUACUACUUUCCAGCAGAAGUUCAGACCAAAAACAGAAGACCUGCUCGGCAUGAUGAUAGAGGCGAACGGGCAACAUAUCAUGUUACGGUUCCAGACAUUUUCACAGACGUUGGACGACUUAGCGGAAAACCAAAGGACCGUCGACUUACUGAGCAGGAGCGCAGUCAUUUGCAAACAUAUUUGCUCACCAACUGCGAAGACGUUCUUCAAUAUGAGAGGUAAAUAAAUGAGCUUACAAAUUUUUAUUUUAACAAGUUGAAAUUUAAAUCUUAAUUAAUUACAUUAUUGUCAUCAUAUACAGGAUUUUCAUGGCAGAAAAGCGGUUCGAGUAUAGAUACGCCACAGAGGACGAACUAGAAGAAAUGAAGCAGAGAGAAUUUACUGGAUGGAUGUUUACUUAUGUGAGUGCUUUAAACAAAUUAAAAUAUAUUUUAUCACAUAUUUAUACUAAUUCACAUUUAUUGAUAUAAUAUAUAUAUAUGUGCUAUUAAUAGGUGUCUGCUGGUUUGGCCAGAGGUGAAACAUUUGACGAUUGGAUACGUGAGAUGGUCGUUGGACCAAACUUUGUUGUGAAGUCAUAUCCGAGAUUUUGUACUCGAGGAUAUGCAUUCACAACUCAGAAGAGGAGACGUUCGAGUACGACUUAUGAUGCUGGCGUUUGUUCUGCAUCAGGAGAUGAUGUAUACUACGGACACAUACAUGAGAUUUUGGAAAUCAAGUAUUUGGGCAUGGUUGGAUUGCGCUGUACUGUUUUCUAUUGUGAUUGGCACGACAACACUCCAGAUCGAGGUGUGAGAACAGAUGCAUUUGGUGUUACAUCAGUAAAUUCGAGGCGAAAGCUGCAAUAUUAUGAUCCUUUCAUUCUUGCUUCUCAGGCCGAUCAGGUAAUUAAAUGUUAAUUAUUCAGAAUGAUUCAUCAUCAUGUGUAUUAAUUUAUAAUUUUUCUAAAUGUUACAGGUUUGUUAUAUCAAGUACCCCCGGGUAAGGAACAGAGAUGAUCCAUGGGUUACUGUUACAAGACUCAACCCGAGAGGCCGAGUUCAGGGAAGUUCUGAGCUGGAAGACCCACUACAACCAAGCACAUCCGGCAACUUAAGUGCAGCAGAAGAUUUAGCUGGAGUUGGCCUUGUAGUCGAUUUAACCGACUUCGGAGAGGAAGCCGUCAUUCACGUAGAGGAUGAACCAGUGAUUGGAGAGUUUCACCAAGAUCCAGAUUCAGAUUCAUCUGGUGAUGAUGACUCGGAAACAGACUACCAUUGAAAUUAUUUUUUUUUUUUUUUAAGAAAUACCGAGGAAAUACCGAGGAACACUUGAUAUAAUCUCUUUCCUCGGAUAUUAGUUAUUUGGUUUAUCUAGCAAGGCAAAGCUGAAUACGAAUGAAAAGCUACUCAAAACACAACCAUAUAAAACGAAGAAACCAUGUAAAAGAAAUACGAACUCAUAAUUAAGAAAAAAAAAACUAAGUUCAAAAUUAAUAGAAAAUAAGACCAUAAAACGUUAGAAUAGAAAAGAAAAUAAAAUAGCGCGGUCGGAAAUCAAAUGGCAAUACUGGCCGGUGAUAGCUCCUACUCCUCGUCUCCUGCUCCAGAUGUUCCUGCAUCGUUGGGUCUCUUGGACCUCUUUCUUACCCUGUGUGUACCACUCGAACCCGAACCAGAGCUGGAUGGAGAGUUGUCCCGAUGAACUACAUCAUCCUUUUGGCAACGACACGGCCUGAUACGUGAAAUGGCAGCCCAGAUCUUGUGUAGCAUGUCGUUGUUUGUCUUUAUGCUCUGAUCUCUCCAAUGUUGUUGCUGGCGCGAAGUGGCGUUCGGUGGAAGCUCUUGCAGCUUGUACUGGCUGGAGUCUGAUGGGAGUAGCUGAUGGGGUUGUGAAUCAUCUGGAAUGGCUUGUGCAGCCUCAUCUUCUCCUUCUUCAUCAACCACGGCCUUGCCUUUGGUCUGAUAUUUUGGCGUGAAGAAGGAUGGCUUGUCUACUAGUGCGGUAGCAGGGGGUAGNNNNNNNNNNNNNNNNNNNNNNNNNNNNNNNNNNNNNNNNNNNNNNNNNNNNNNNNNNNNNNNNNNNNNNNNNNNNNNNNNNNNNNNNNNNNNNNNNNNNNNNNNNNNNNNNNNNNNNNNNNNNNNNNNNNNNNNNNNNNNNNNNNNNNNNNNNNNNNNNNNNNNNNNNNNNNNNNNNNNNNNNNNNNNNNNNNNNNNNNNNNNNNNNNNNNNNNNNNNNNNNNNNNNNNNNNNNNNNNNNNNNNNNNNNNNNNNNNNNNNNNNNNNNNNNNNNNNNNNNNNNNNNNNNNNNNNNNNNNNNNNNNNNNNNNNNNNNNNNNNNNNNNNNNNNNNNNNNNNNNNNNNNNNNNNNNNNNNNNNNNNNNNNNNNNNNNNNNNNNNNNNNNNNNNNNNNNNNNNNNNNNNNNNNNNNNNNNNNNNNNNNNNNNNNNNNNNNNNNNNNNNNNNNNNNNNNNNNNNNNNNNNNNNNNNNNNNNNNNNNNNNNNNNNNNNNNNNNNNNNNNNNNNNNNNNNNNNNNNNNNNNNNNNNNNNNNNNNNNNNNNNNNNNNNNNNNNNNNNNNNNNNNNNNNNNNNNNNNNNNNNNNNNNNNNNNNNNNNNNNNNNNNNNNNNNNNNNNNNNNNNNNNNNNNNNNNNNNNNNNNNNNNNNNNNNNNNNNNNNNNNNNNNNNNNNNNNNNNNNNNNNNNNNNNNNNNNNNNNNNNNNNNNNNNNNNNNNNNNNNNNNNNNNNNNNNNNNNNNNNNNNNNNNNNNNNNNNNNNNNNNNNNNNNNNNNNNNNNNNNNNNNNNNNNNNNNNNNNNNNNNNNNNNNNNNNNNNNNNNNNNNNNNNNNNNNNNNNNNNNNNNNNNNNNNNNNNNNNNNNNNNNNNNNNNNNNNNNNNNNNNNNNNNNNNNNNNNNNNNNNNNNNNNNNNNNNNNNNNNNNNNNNNNNNNNNNNNNNNNNNNNNNNNNNNNNNNNNNNNNNNNNNNNNNNNNNNNNNNNNNNNNNNNNNNNNNNNNNNNNNNNNNNNNNNNNNNNNNNNNNNNNNNNNNNNNNNNNNNNNNNNNNNNNNNNNNNNNNNNNNNNNNNNNNNNNNNNNNNNNNNNNNNNNNNNNNNNNNNNNNNNNNNNNNNNNNNNNNNNNNNNNNNNNNNNNNNNNNNNNNNNNNNNNNNNNNNNNNNNNNNNNNNNNNNNNNNNNNNNNNNNNNNNNNNNNNNNNNNNNNNNNNNNNNNNNNNNNNNNNNNNNNNNNNNNNNNNNNNNNNNNNNNNNNNNNNNNNNNNNNNNNNNNNNNNNNNNNNNNNNNNNNNNNNNNNNNNNNNNNNNNNNNNNNNNNNNNNNNNNNNNNNNNNNNNNNNNNNNNNNNNNNNNNNNNNNNNNNNNNNNNNNNNNNNNNNNNNNNNNNNNNNNNNNNNNNNNNNNNNNNNNNNNNNNNNNNNNNNNNNNNNNNNNNNNNNNNNNNNNNNNNNNNNNNNNNNNNNNNNNNNNNNNNNNNNNNNNNNNNNNNNNNNNNNNNNNNNNNNNNNNNNNNNNNNNNNNNNNNNNNNNNNNNNNNNNNNNNNNNNNNNNNNNNNNNNNNNNNNNNNNNNNNNNNNNNNNNNNNNNNNNNNNNNNNNNNNNNNNNNNNNNNNNNNNNNNNNNNNNNNNNNNNNNNNNNNNNNNNNNNNNNNNNNNNNNNNNNNNNNNNNNNNNNNNNNNNNNNNNNNNNNNNNNNNNNNNNNNNNNNNNNNNNNNNNNNNNNNNNNNNNNNNNNNNNNNNNNNNNNNNNNNNNNNNNNNNNNNNNNNNNNNNNNNNNNNNNNNNNNNNNNNNNNNNNNNNNNNNNNNNNNNNNNNNNNNNNNNNNNNNNNNNNNNNNNNNNNNNNNNNNNNNNNNNNNNNNNNNNNNNNNNNNNNNNNNNNNNNNNNNNNNNNNNNNNNNNNNNNNNNNNNNNNNNNNNNNNNNNNNNNNNNNNNNNNNNNNNNNNNNNNNNNNNNNNNNNNNNNNNNNNNNNNNNNNNNNNNNNNNNNNNNNNNNNNNNNNNNNNNNNNNNNNNNNNNNNNNNNNNNNNNNNNNNNNNNNNNNNNNNNNNNNNNNNNNNNNNNNNNNNNNNNNNNNNNNNNNNNNNNNNNNNNNNNNNNNNNNNNNNNNNNNNNNNNNNNNNNNNNNNNNNNNNNNNNNNNNNNNNNNNNNNNNNNNNNNNNNNNNNNNNNNNNNNNNNNNNNNNNNNNNNNNNNNNNNNNNNNNNNNNNNNNNNNNNNNNNNNNNNNNNNNNNNNNNNNNNNNNNNNNNNNNNNNNNNNNNNNNNNNNNNNNNNNNNNNNNNNNNNNNNNNNNNNNNNNNNNNNNNNNNNNNNNNNNNNNNNNNNNNNNNNNNNNNNNNNNNNNNNNNNNNNNNNNNNNNNNNNNNNNNNNNNNNNNNNNNNNNNNNNNNNNNNNNNNNNNNNNNNNNNNNNNNNNNNNNNNNNNNNNNNNNNNNNNNNNNNNNNNNNNNNNNNNNNNNNNNNNNNNNNNNNNNNNNNNNNNNNNNNNNNNNNNNNNNNNNNNNNNNNNNNNNNNNNNNNNNNNNNNNNNNNNNNNNNNNNNNNNNNNNNNNNNNNNNNNNNNNNNNNNNNNNNNNNNNNNNNNNNNNNNNNNNNNNNNNNNNNNNNNNNNNNNNNNNNNNNNNNNNNNNNNNNNNNNNNNNNNNNNNNNNNNNNNNNNNNNNNNNNNNNNNNNNNNNNNNNNNNNNNNNNNNNNNNNNNNNNNNNNNNNNNNNNNNNNNNNNNNNNNNNNNNNNNNNNNNNNNNNNNNNNNNNNNNNNNNNNNNNNNNNNNNNNNNNNNNNNNNNNNNNNNNNNNNNNNNNNNNNNNNNNNNNNNNNNNNNNNNNNNNNNNNNNNNNNNNNNNNNNNNNNNNNNNNNNNNNNNNNNNNNNNNNNNNNNNNNNNNNNNNNNNNNNNNNNNNNNNNNNNNNNNNNNNNNNNNNNNNNNNNNNNNNNNNNNNNNNNNNNNNNNNNNNNNNNNNNNNNNNNNNNNNNNNNNNNNNNNNNNNNNNNNNNNNNNNNNNNNNNNNNNNNNNNNNNNNNNNNNNNNNNNNNNNNNNNNNNNNNNNNNNNNNNNNNNNNNNNNNNNNNNNNNNNNNNNNNNNNNNNNNNNNNNNNNNNNNNNNNNNNNNNNNNNNNNNNNNNNNNNNNNNNNNNNNNNNNNNNNNNNNNNNNNNNNNNNNNNNNNNNNNNNNNNNNNNNNNNNNNNNNNNNNNNNNNNNNNNNNNNNNNNNNNNNNNNNNNNNNNNNNNNNNNNNNNNNNNNNNNNNNNNNNNNNNNNNNNNNNNNNNNNNNNNNNNNNNNNNNNNNNNNNNNNNNNNNNNNNNNNNNNNNNNNNNNNNNNNNNNNNNNNNNNNNNNNNNNNNNNNNNNNNNNNNNNNNNNNNNNNNNNNNNNNNNNNNNNNNNNNNNNNNNNNNNNNNNNNNNNNNNNNNNNNNNNNNNNNNNNNNNNNNNNNNNNNNNNNNNNNNNNNNNNNNNNNNNNNNNNNNNNNNNNNNNNNNNNNNNNNNNNNNNNNNNNNNNNNNNNNNNNNNNNNNNNNNNNNNNNNNNNNNNNNNNNNNNNNNNNNNNNNNNNNNNNNNNNNNNNNNNNNNNNNNNNNNNNNNNNNNNNNNNNNNNNNNNNNNNNNNNNNNNNNNNNNNNNNNNNNNNNNNNNNNNNNNNNNNNNNNNNNNNNNNNNNNNNNNNNNNNNNNNNNNNNNNNNNNNNNNNNNNNNNNNNNNNNNNNNNNNNNNNNNNNNNNNNNNNNNNNNNNNNNNNNNNNNNNNNNNNNNNNNNNNNNNNNNNNNNNNNNNNNNNNNNNNNNNNNNNNNNNNNNNNNNNNNNNNNNNNNNNNNNNNNNNNNNNNNNNNNNNNNNNNNNNNNNNNNNNNNNNNNNNNNNNNNNNNNNNNNNNNNNNNNNNNNNNNNNNNNNNNNNNNNNNNNNNNNNNNNNNNNNNNNNNNNNNNNNNNNNNNNNNNNNNNNNNNNNNNNNNNNNNNNNNNNNNNNNNNNNNNNNNNNNNNNNNNNNNNNNNNNNNNNNNNNNNNNNNNNNNNNNNNNNNNNNNNNNNNNNNNNNNNNNNNNNNNNNNNNNNNNNNNNNNNNNNNNNNNNNNNNNNNNNNNNNNNNNNNNNNNNNNNNNNNNNNNNNNNNNNNNNNNNNNNNNNNNNNNNNNNNNNNNNNNNNNNNNNNNNNNNNNNNNNNNNNNNNNNNNNNNNNNNNNNNNNNNNNNNNNNNNNNNNNNNNNNNNNNNNNNNNNNNNNNNNNNNNNNNNNNNNNNNNNNNNNNNNNNNNNNNNNNNNNNNNNNNNNNNNNNNNNNNNNNNNNNNNNNNNNNNNNNNNNNNNNNNNNNNNNNNNNNNNNNNNNNNNNNNNNNNNNNNNNNNNNNNNNNNNNNNNNNNNNNNNNNNNNNNNNNNNNNNNNNNNNNNNNNNNNNNNNNNNNNNNNNNNNNNNNNNNNNNNNNNNNNNNNNNNNNNNNNNNNNNNNNNNNNNNNNNNNNNNNNNNNNNNNNNNNNNNNNNNNNNNNNNNNNNNNNNNNNNNNNNNNNNNNNNNNNNNNNNNNNNNNNAAAAAAAAUUAAUAUUUUUUACAUUCCGAGGAAAUUAAUUAUAUUUUUUACUCGAUCGAUCGAUGCGGUUUUGGACGUAUAUCCAUCGAUCGAUCUGUUUAUAAAAAAACGUUCGGAAUAUACCGAGGGACCUGUUCCUCGGAAUAUAUCGAGGAAUAUGUCCGUCGGUAUAUUCCUAUCGAUCAAUGUAUAUAUGUCCAAAAACGCAUCGAUCGAUGAAUGUCCGAGGAAAUAUCCCGACGAAGUUCUCCCUCGGUAUAUUCCGAGGACAUUUCCGACAAACUAGUGAUCCUCGGAAUUUUCUCGGAAGUUUGUUUCCUCGGAAUUCCGUCGGAAAAUUUCGAGGGAUUUCCGAGGAAAGAAGAAAUUCCGAGGAAUUAUUUCCGACGACUUGUUUCGUCGGUAUGUCGUCGGAAUAACGAUAUUUCGACGAAAUUCCGACGAUUUUUUUCCUCAGAAUUCUUGCUGUUUUCUUGUAGUGCAAGGACUUUGAAAUAUGAAAAUAAAAUGUAUGUUGGGUUAUUAGAUAGGAAACAAGAAACCAAGACGCUGAAACUAGAAAAGAAACAUCGAUUACCGUGUUUAUUUUUGAUUAGCUAGGGAACAAGGUUUGACUUAGGUUGAAUAGAAUAUCAUGUUGCCUUAUUACUAUUGUAGCCGUCCACUUGAAAUAAUAACACAUAACAAGAUAAAUGAAUCAAUAACUUAUGUUAUUAAAAAGAUAAAAAACGAAAAAUUAAUUAAAAAUGGUGUCGAAGCAUGUGAUUAUGAGAGGUUUUUAUGAAAAUCAGUGCCUUGCCAAGUUUGACAAAGAUACUCUUUAAAAUAGCCUUUGAAUGGUAGAGGUAGGUAGCUUCGGACCUAUUGACCCCACACAGAACGAAUCUGGGCUUUGUAUUGGGCUUUAAAAACGAAUCUGGGCUUUAAUAUUAGUACUACUACUCAAUAUUAAAGUAUUGGUUUGCUCUUCUUUUAAGACAAACCUUUAAAUAAUGUAAUGAAGCCUACGGAAAGUUAAGUCUGGUAAAGUAGUAGUGACCCACGAAAUCAACAAAGUAAAAAAAAUCAAUAAAUUAAAACAACUUUGAUACAUUUUAAUACGAUACAUAACAUACACACACCUAGGCAGGCAAGCUUUGAUCAAAAUCUGAACGCGUGUGACUCCCCCUCUCUUCCUUCGUAUACGACACGACCGUCCAUCGAUUCGGACCGUAACGAGUGAAACUUUUAAUGAUGACGAACUGAAAUUUUCUUUCCUCUUACAUAUCGAAUUCUCCGACACCAGAUUGCUUCCCUGUUCUGUCUGUUUUUUAAUAUUCUGAUGCGCUAGUUUCAACCGCGAUUACGUUACCGACUUCUCUUCUUAUUUAAACAUCCGUCACUGCUUCGAGGUGUAUACAAAUUCGAUUCUAAAAAAUCGUAUGAACUAGAGUCGAAGAUUUGAUUUCCGAUUAAAUUUUUGUUUCGGUGGGUUUCAAUUGAUUAUUAACGAUCACUUCUCGAUCCGAUCCAAUCAGGUUCACUCCAAUUAUUUUUAUCCUCAAAUCGUAUCUGAUUUGAGUUUUCUUUUUUUUUGUUUUUCCUCCUUCAGGAGUUGGUGGACCGAUUUGAUCCGAAUCGGAUUUGGAAUCUGAGAUGGUACAUCUCCAGAGCUCAAUCUCCGUCGUCGAACAAUCACCGAUCAUGGCCAACUCAUCAGACCUUCACAAGCCAAGAGCCAGCCGUAAAUCAUCAUCAUCAUCAUCAUCAAUCUGCUGCGACGGAUCUCCAUCGGCAGCCAUCGACGUCCUGAUCUUGAUCGCCGUCGUCACGUCCUCGGGGUUCUUGAUCUUCCCUUACAUCAGAUUCAUCGCGGUCAAGUCCGUGGAGAUCUUCUCCGACGUCUCGUGUAUAGUCAAGGAAGAGAUUCUCCGCAACCCCGACCCGGUUGUCUACGGGCUGAUCGCGUUGAGCGUCUCGUGCACGGCGUUGUCCGCUUGGAUGAUUGUUAUACUCGUGUCUAGUCGGAAUAAAUGUGGGAAGCCUGAUUGCAGAGGGCUGGGGAAGGCUAAUGCGGAGUUUGAUAUUCAGCUGGAGACGGAGGAUUGUGUUAAAGGUGGAUCGAGCUCGAGUGUUGUUAGCAAGAAGGGGCUGUUUGAGUUGCCUCGUGAUCACCACCGUGAGUUGGAGGCGGAGUUGAAGAAGAUGGCUCCGAUUAAUGGGAGGGCUGUGUUGGUUUUUAGGGCGAAGUGUGGGUGUUCGGUUGGGAGGUUGGAGGUUCCUGGUCCUAAGAAGCAGCAAAGGAAGAUCAAGAAAUGAAAAAUCUUUUUUGAGAUAAAAGAUUGUAUCAUUACAGGUUGUGAUGAUGAUAUGAUUAUACUUUGAUUAGCUUAUAAACAUGUUUUUUUCUUUUCUUUUGGGAGUUUAGUGAUUUUUCACAAGAACUUCUUACACAAACUAAUAUGAUGUUAAUCUCCGUGUGUUUAAAUAAAAAACCUUUACAAUGAGGGAUAUUGCAGAGAAAAAUGGUUUCUAGUGAAGAACAAUUAUUUCGAUUUUGAAGUUUUGAAUGUGUUCUAAUGUUUCUUGAUUGUGUGCUUCUUUUUUUUAUCUGGCUAUCAUGGUUAAAUGAUUCUAACAUUUUAUCUAUGCUCUGUGUUCUUAUGCAUUCCUGUAUUUUCUGGUAUAUGACCUGGUUGGGAUAAAUAUUAGUGGUUCUUGAUGAGAUCAGGUAAACUACGACAUGUGUAUAUGCCUUUUUGCCCUCCAAGUGUAUGGAUCAUAUGAAAGUCUACUGAACGAAAAAGAGACAAUAAAAGGAGUUUUGGAAAUGAUCAAGGGUUGAGAUUUGUUGCAAGACUAUGAUUUAUAUCAAUCUCCAAUAGUAUGUGGACAUUUAAGAUGCAAAGUUUUUUUUUUUCAAUAGUACAAUCUCUGGAUCAUUCAAGAAGACAAUAAUAUGUUCCAGAGAAGACAAAAGAAACUAGAAACAUCCUCUUCGUUUGAGUCAUCACUCAUCAUCUCAACUUUUUGUUUAUAUAAAUUCUUGAACCUACCAACCAAAACAUCAGAAGACCAAAUCUCAGAAAGCAAGAGUCCUUGAAGCAUAAUCCCAAAGAAGAACAUAAGCAUUGGCUGUGGUGAUGAAAAUGGCCUCUUCAACGUCAGCUUUGUCUCUCCCUCUCUCUAACAUCCCAACCUGUAUUAAUAAGUCCCAAGAGUUUCCAAAAUCAACUCAUCUAUCUAAAUCCAGCCAUAGUCAUAAUCCUCUUCUCAAAACUAAAACUCCAGACUCUAAACUCACCAAGAGAGCCUUGCUGAGCUUAACUGCCUUGGGGCUUACGUCACCUCUAGUAUUGGCUCAUCCCGCAAAGGCUGAACCAGAAGCUCCCAUCGAAGCUGCUUCCAACAGAAUGUCGUACUCGAGGUUUCUGCACCAUCUGGAAGAGAAUGAAGUGAAGAAAGUUGACUUGUUCGAGAAUGGGACUGUUGCCAUCGCAGAGAUCUCCAAUCCAGCGUUAAGAAAGAUCCAGAGGGUUAGGGUUAACCUUCCAGGUUUACCGGUUGAUCUACUCAGGAAGAUGAAGGAGAAGAACGUAGACUUCGCUGCUCAUCCGGUAGAUGUGAACUGGGGAGCUUUCUUGCUCAACUUCUUGGGGAAUUUUGGGGUUCCUUUGGUCUUACUUGGCUCUCUGCUAUUAGCAUUUCCUAGAACCCCUAGUGGACCCAACUUGCCUUUUGGCCUUGGAAGGUAACAUCCUUUAAAUCAAUUUGCUGAUAUUAAACAUUUAAACCCUAAGUUUAAGCCUUUCAUGUAUGUUUUCUUGCAACAGAAGCAAAGCUAAGUUUCAGAUGGAACCAAACACAGGGAUAACAUUCGACGACGUUGCAGGAGUAGACGAAGCCAAGCAAGACUUCGAAGAGAUAGUAGAAUUCUUGAAAACACCAGAGAAAUUCUCAGCCUUGGGUGCUAAAAUCCCAAAAGGUGUCUUGUUGACAGGACCGCCGGGAACCGGAAAGACUCUCCUGGCCAAGGCCAUAGCCGGAGAAGCUGGAGUUCCGUUCUUCUCAUUGUCUGGUUCGGAGUUCAUAGAGAUGUUUGUUGGUGUAGGAGCAUCUAGGGUUAGAGACUUGUUCAACAAGGCAAAGGCUAACUCACCCUGUUUAGUGUUCAUUGAUGAGAUUGAUGCUGUUGGGAGAAUAAGGGGAACCGGUUUAGGAGGAGGAAACGACGAACGUGAGCAGACGCUAAACCAGAUUUUAACUGAAAUGGACGGGUUUGCGGGGAAUACCGGAGUGCUCGUGAUAGCUGCAACGAACAGGCCAGAGAUUUUAGACGCUGCUUUGGUCCGACCAGGGAGAUUCGAUAGGCAGGUAUGUUUGGUUAACCCACAGGCUGGACAUAUUAACCGAACCAGAACCGGUCUUGGAAUUACAUAUAUUUUAACUUAAUUAAGUUGGGGCUCGCAAUAAACAUUAAUAUUUCGGAGGCAAUAUGCGAAUGUUUCAUUUAGUUAUGGUCGGGACCUUUGAACCGAAUAUAAAUUCUAAAACUAAAGCAAACCGGAUCGGUUGGAACAGGUUUCCGUUGGUUUACCGGAUAUCAGAGGAAGAGAGGAGAUAUUAAAAGUUUACAGCAAAACCAAGAAACUUGACAAAGAAGUGUCUUUGAGCGUGAUCGCCAUGAGAACUCCUGGUUUUAGUGGGGCUGACCUGGCGAACCUCAUGAACGAAGCUGCGAUUCUCGCCGGAAGAAGAGGACAAGAGAAGAUUACCCCUAAAGAGAUUGACGACUCCAUUGAUCGGAUUGCCGCCGGAAUGGAAGGGACGAAGAUGAUCGACGGUAAAAGCAAAGCGAUUGUGGCGUACCAUGAAGUUGGACAUGCAGUCUGUGCGUAAGUCCCGGUUUACUAAUGCAAUGUCUUCGGUUUGGUCAGUUUACGUCAAAAUUAAUCGGUUUUUAUUCGGUUCAGGACAUUGACUGAGGGUCACGACCCGGUUCAGAAAGUAACAUUGAUUCCUAGAGGUCAAGCACGUGGUCUCACGUGGUUCUUACCGGGAGAAGACCCCACGUUGGUUUCUAAACAGCAGUUGUUCGCUAGAAUCGUCGGAGGACUAGGAGGCAGAGCCGCCGAGGAUGUAAUUUUUGGAGAACCAGAGAUAACCACCGGAGCUGCGGGCGAUCUCCAGCAAAUAACACAGAUCGCAAGACAGGUAAAGAAAUAUAAAACAUAAUUUUAUAAACCGGAAAUAACCGGUCGGUUCUCUAAUCCUUAGUUUUCAAUUCGCAGAUGGUGACGAUGUUUGGUAUGUCGGAGAUUGGUCCGUGGGCUCUAACCGAUCCAGCGACCAUGCAAAGCGACGUCGUUCUAAGGAUGCUCGCGAGAAGCUCCAUGUCCGAGAAGCUUGCCAAAGAAAUCGAUCAAUGCGUGAAGAAAAUAAUUGAUAAUGCUUACCAGAUUGCCAAGAACCACGUGAGGAAUAACAGAGAAGCCAUAGACAAGCUUGUUGAUGUCUUGUUGGACAAGGAAACCUUAACUGGAGACGAGUUUCGAGCAAUCCUGUCUGAAUACACUCAUCAACCGUUAAAAACCGAGGAUAGAGUUCGAAUCAAAGAUUUGAUUAGUGUGUAAUAAUACAAAUAAAUAAAAUAAUACUAUGGUAGUAUUGGUACUACAAACUUAAACUAGACUUUCACCUAUAAAAUUUUCAUACUAAAGUGUCAAAGACAAGAAAGUGUAAAUUCUCAUGGUGGUAAGAUAAAAAUCUACCUGCCCAAAGAGGACAUGAACCAAACCGGAUUGGGAUUUUUGGGUCUGUUUGUUCUGUGUCGGUCACAAACAGAAAAAAUAAAGUUUUUCUCUCCUAAUUAAUUUGGGUUUGUGUUUUUUUCUUCGGUCUUAAUCGAAUCAAUUUACUUGAGAGUUUCUGCGUCUUCAAUUGUUAUAUAUAUCGAGAGGCGGAAGAAAUCUGCAAUCUCAGGACAGAACGAGGACAAGUAAGUUGCUUUUUGAUUGGUUUAAUUGUAGGUUGACCUAACUUGUUCCGACAACAAGGAAGUUUGGGUUAAGACAAGGUUCUCUUUCAGAUGAAGAUGUGUGAUCUUCCAAAGGAUAUGGCUGAGGAGGUACUCUGUCGAAUUCCGGUGACAUCUCUGAGACCUAUCCGAUCUACUUGCAAAAAGUGGAACAAGUUGUCCAGAUGUGGCGUAUUUGCAAAGAAGCACCUUGCUCAUCAAUCAGAAGAAUCAAAGGAGGGCCGUCUUGUGGUCAUGAUGAUGGAUUAUAGGGUUUUUUUUGAUGAGAUUCAAUCUUUCCAACAAAUCAUGUGUAGUGGAGCGUGAAGCUAGACUUAUUGGCCCAGACGGUUCAGAUCAACUCGACGUGUGUGGAAUCUUUCACUGCGACGGUUUAUUGUUAUGCAUCCCCAAAGGUCACUCCAGGCUCGUGGUUUGGAACCCGUAUUGGGGGCAAAUCAGGUGGAUCGAGCACACACAUAAUUGCCACUUAGUGGACAAGUAUAGGUGUUCUUAUACGUAUGCUCUCGGUUACGACCGUAACAGUAAGUCCCACAAAGUCUUGAGAUUUAUUGAUUUUCUCUCUCAUUUUGUCGAGUUCAAAAUCUACGACUUCAGUUCUGAUUCAUGGAGGAUUCUUGACCUCUUUCCUCGAACGUGGAUGAUAAGUUAUGGUGAACAUGGCCUAUCUUUAAAGGGAAACACCUACUGGUUUGCUUCAGAAAGACCAUCUAUCAAUGGUUUCUUAGUCUGUUUCGAUUUCACAAGAGAGACAUUCGGGCCGCCUUUGUCUCUACCGCGUGUAUCUUAUUUUCAAGAUACCGUGAGUCUAUCUAGUGUUAGAGAAGAUCAGCUUGUGGUUUUCUUCCAGACCUGGGAUAUAUUGACGUUUGAGAUCUGGAUUUCCACUAAGAUUGGUGAUGACCCUAACGCCGUGUCCUGGAACAACAAGUUUUUCUUAUCGGCCAAUAUCAAACAACUCAUUCACCCUCAGUGGCAGUUUCCUGCAUCUGCGAGUUUCUUCAUUGACGAGGAGAAGAAAGUCGCCGUGGUUUUUGAUAAAGACACAGAUAUACGAAACCCCACUCGCGAAGUAGCUUACAUCAUUGGAGUAGAUGGAUCCUUGAAAGAAGCAGCAGAUGUCAGAGAAUGUGCAGACCGUUAUUGUGAUGCAUUUCUUUGCUCAUAUGUUCCAAGCUUAGUGCAACUUAAUUAAUUAGCUCCCCCACCUAUUUAUUUUACUUGUUUUGUUUCCUUCCUCAUCGAAAGACUUGUGUACUCAAUAAUACUCAUAUCUAUUUUUAAGUUCUUUUGUUUUUCAUCCUUGUUUAUGUUUUUUGCCCUAUUUUGACUUCCGUUUUCACAUCAUCUUCCUUUAGACUCAUUUCUUACCUCUGCAGGUUUGUAUGAGUGCCCUCUCUUUGUCUAAUGUUUUCAUCAUUCUAAAGGAGUAAGAAUGGUGUUUGAUGUUUUGUUGGACAAGGAAACCUUAACGGGAGACGAUUUCGAGCAAUCAUGCUGAAUACAGUGACAAGCCGUUGAAUGCCGAUGAUAGAGUUCGAGUCAAAGAUUUAAUUAGUGUGUAAUACAAAAAAAAAAAAUAAUACUUAGUGUUGGUAUUACAAACUCAAACUAGACUUCACCUAUUAAAGUUUCAAAACCGGCCAAAAAUGUCCUUGACUGCUUGGUAAGUUCCGCUUGUUUUUCAUCCUUGUUUAUGUUUUCUUUGCCGGUUUUCACAUCAUCUUCCUUAGACCAAAACUGUCCUCUCAUUUCUUACCUCUGCAGGUUUGUGUGAGUGCCUCUCUUUGGCUAAUGUUUUAUCACUCUAAAGGAGUAAGAUUGGUGUUUGCAGAGCUGUGCGAGCAUUUACGGCUGUCCAAGGCGAAUUUUUUUUAAAAUAAAAGUUUAUACAUUAAAAAUAAUAAGCACUAUGUUUCCAAAUGAUAUAAAUUUAUAUGUUUUAAUAUGUAUUAAGAAAACAUAUUAAAUAUUAUUUAUAAAUGUAAUAUUUCUUGUGUUUACCAAUUACCGAUAACUUUAUAUUAUUAGGAUUUUCAGAAUCAUUAUUAAGUUUUUUCAAUUUUGUAAUUCAUCAUUAUUAACUAAUAAAACAUGCCUAGAAAAUGUAUGUAUCUUUUUGAAAAUUUUUUGUUAUAAAACAUUAAUUAUCUUUUAAGUAAUACAUAAUGUUCAGAAAAUAAUAUCAAUACAAACUACUAUAGAAUAAAAAUAUAUAAGAAAUAAACUAACAAACGAUAUUUUAUCUAAUAUUUACGAAAUUGUUAAGAUUUUAUCCUUAAAUAUGAUAUUUUAGAUAAAAAUAAUUAAGUCACUUAAAUGUUUCAACAAAAAUAAAAUUUUAUAAUAAAAUAUUUUAGAAAAUACACCUAAAACUAUUAUUGUUAACCACUCUAACUACUCUUAUUCAUUAGUAAUUAACAAUUAUUUACAUAUUUGUUAAUUAUGUAACCCAUGUUUUCAUCAUAAUCCAUGGUUUUCUCUAUAACCUAAAUACCACUGUGAUUUCAUUGUAUAAUAUUUGUUUUUUUAUUAUUAUAUUAUGCCAUUAAUGUUUACAUAAGAUGAUGGAUGUCCUUGAAUUUUUUUAAAAGUUUGAUGCCCUAAGAGCAUGUUUAUCGCUGACUCUGAACUAAGUAUCUUAGAGCAUGUUCAUUGAAAUAACCCCUAAGUGGGCUUUUAACCAAUAUUUUAGUAUUAAAAGUAAGUCAAGAGUUUAUGCUAAGAACCACAUAAUUUUUAGUCCUCCAAUGCUAGGUUCUUAAGUUAAAAGUUCUUAAAAAAAAUUUAAAAACAUUUUUUAAGCUAAUACAACUAUGUUAAAGGUUCAUUGUCUCCUGACUUUCUCAAUUGCAUAACAAGAAAACAAAUACAACUAUGUUCAUUGUCUUGUGACUCUCUCAAUUGCAUAACAAGAGCAACAUAAAACAAAGAUCAUUUAAGCAUUACAAGUUUUUGCCAUACCGAGAACAAGAUCAACAACUUACCUAUCAAGUGAUGAAGAAACAAACCAGCUGCAACAUCACGUUCAAGCUCUCCACUCCCAUCUUCUGUAGCAGCCGCAACUUCAAACCUGUAUAUGAUAGACACAGAGUUGAAUUUGAAAUCAAACACGAUAGACACAAUUUGAACUUGAAAUCAAACACGAUAGACACAAACAUGAAUUUUAAUACUUCUGAAAAAGAAAGAAUCCAUUACAUGAUCCAUUUAAGAAACACAAAAGAGGCAACAAGAAGUAUACAAGAAUCUACAAACUCACCAUAUUUCAUUGCCAGACACGGGUCUUGCUCAUCCAUGACCCUGAUCAGUUUUGCAGGAUUUCCAGCAACCACACUUCAAGAAUCCCAAAAAAGGCUGUACAUAGUUACUAACCCACAAACAUUGAAGAUUUUUUUAGACUCACUUUCUUUUAUACCUAUGCGGAGGAACGUCCUUUAACACAAGUGAACCUGCAGCUACCAUUGCCCCAGCACCUAUGCUUAUGUUUCCAAGUACAGUCACACAGGCUCCAAGCAAUGCACCUUCCCCUAUUUUUGGAUGACGGUCGCCGGUUUCCUUCCAUGUUCCCCUAUGACAGGGAACAAGAAACACCAACUCACAUCUGCUUCAAGGAGAGCUCUUCUGAUAUCCUUCAUUGGCUCAGCAAUAUUCUCCUUCGUCAUGACAUCUGCAAGUUCAAAUAAACAUAACUAAAUUUUAACCUUACUCAUCCUCUCUGCAUCUGUUAGUGCUAAUAUUUAAUAUUGCACUGCCUAGGAGUAUAAAUUGAACGGUUUCUCACUUCUUUGUCUAAGAUACAAGUUUCUGUUUUAUGGGUCAAGAGCCAAAACUACCAAAAGCUAAUAGCUUUAGAGAUUUUUUUUUAACUAAUUAUGAUUCAUGUGUUCCAUAUGAUUCUGUAUACAAUUCACCACUCAAUUCAAAUACAAUUGGGACCAAUCGAAGCUAAAAGGUAGAUAAGCAAACAAGAGAUUUAGCGGAUAAUUUUAGAGGCAAAACUAUAUGAAAAGUGUGCCUCCACGUUUAUACACUGCGAUUCAAUCUAUGCCUCGAUGACUAGCAUUUAUUUUCGUUAUUCUUAAAAACAAGCUAAAGGUGAGUGAGGCAGUAUAACAAAAACGGUUCCUUUCCUCCCAAAAGAACAAACAAAACAAGAUACAUAAAUGUAAAAUAGAAGCUGACGAUGAGAUGAGCUUUAGAGAUUUACACGAACCUUCUCCUUUGAGUUUGGUCCAAGCAGCAUCGAGUCCACUCGUCAAUUGACAAAACAUCUCCGCCCUCACUUCAGGAGGACUCCUUGUGUAUCUUCCAUGGCCAAUUGUCUUCGAUUUCACCCAACUCCAUAACGAGAUUUCUUCUUCGACGAAAGACAACGACGAGAUUCUUUGACGCGAGCACCGAUUGAAAGAUCGAGGAAAGCACCAACUUCAUCUCGUUCGUCGACUUCGACUUUUCUUUUUCUCUCAUUACCACAAAACCAAUACCCUAGUUUAACAAGAGCCGGUUCUUCCAUGCACUAUAGUGUAUUUAGGUAUAUACACAUUUUAGUUGUUCCCAGUAAUUUUUUAAGUUGCAAUUACUAUGUUUUCCUAUUGCUUAAAUUAAAGAGAAACAGACAAAAAUAAUACUAAAUCAAGUUUUUGUUCUCAAACUAGCACUCAAGAUCUAAAAUCACAAAAAUAGCACUCAAAAACUAAAAUGAUCAAAAUAGCACAUUUCUAAGUUUAUCAUUUGAAAAUUUUAAUUUUUUUAUUUUUCAAAAUUUGAAAUCUUAUCCCCAAAACCUCAUUUCUAAACCCUAAACCCUAAACUUUAAACCCUAAACCCUAAACCCUAAAAUCUAAACCCUAAACUCUAAACCCUAAACCCUAAACCCUAAACCCUAAAUCCUAAAUCCUAAACCCUAAAUCCUAAAUCCUAAACUCCACCCUUUAACUCUAAACCCUAAGUUUGUGACUUUUGAUAAAACAUUAAGUGCUAUUUUUGUGACUUUUGACCUUGAGUGCUAGUCUGGGAACAAAAACUUGAUUUAGUACUAUUUUUGUCUUUUUCUCAUUUAUAUAUUUUACAUGUAAUUUUAAAUUAAUUUUUAACUUCAUUGUUAUAUGGCUAACAUAUUUAACUAUAUAUAAAAAAUAUUUAUCUUGCGUAUCUAAUAUUUUAUAACAAUUUAUUUUUUGGUUUAGUCUUAUAAAUUCAGUAUUCAACGGCUAAUAUAUAUAUAAUGUUUAUGUAUUUAAAAAUUAACCGCUAAAAUUUAUUAUUACACGACUAACAUAUUUAAUAACAUGUAACAAUUUAUUUAUUCAGUAUAUCUACUAAUUUAUAAUAGUUUAUUUUCGGUAUAGAUUUGUAAAUUCAUUGUUAGACGGCUAAUAUAUGUAUAAUAUUGUAUACCAAUUAAUUUUUCCAUGAUAUCAUAUCUGGAAUUAAUUCUAAUAUUUAUUUCAAUUUUAUGGACAUGUUUAUCAAAUACUCUUAAUAUGAGUUCUACCUCGCGGAGUUCAACUUUUUUGUUCCUCUUUUGUUCGAAGAUUCUUUGGGUCACUCGUUUAAGACGAUCAAUACGACUCAGUCUCAGAACUAGUUUGCGCACAAACCGAGCAAAGAUCCCGUGGCGUUUGUCCUGAAGAAAACUGUUUUUGUAUUACAUGAAAGUAAUUUCAGAAUUUAGUGAAUGUGUGUGUGUGUGUGUGAUCAACUGAUUAUAUAAACCAGUGAUUAUGUAGAUCAUUAUCUGGAACACAUCUUCUUCAAUUUUUUAGAUUCAUCAGAAAAAAAAAGAAAAAAAAACAGAGGAAGAAGAUGGGAAAGAAGGUGGGGGAAAAAGAAAACGAUAAUGAAAGAGAAAAUGAAAAUUUUAUUUACUUUUAGAAAUUGUACAAUUUUUACGGGAGGGUUCUAAAAGUAAUUGCACAUAUUAUUUAUCUACUGUAGUUCCUAAUUGAGUCUUAAUUAAGAGUCGUUCCUUAGAUAAUUAGCUAUUUUUUUUUAAUUCAUAAUUAUCCUAAGAACAUGAUUAUUGGGAGUUCUUAGAAUGAGAUUCUUACUGAAAUAUAAGAACCCGUCUCUUAACUUUUAACUAAAAAAAUUAAGAAACGGCUCUUAAAACUCUUAUUUAAGAACUAGUUCUUAUCUUUUUCAAUUAAAAGUUAAGAAACGAGUUCUUAUAUUACGAUAAUAAUCUCACCCUAAGAACCAUGCAAUAAUCAUGCUCUUGAACCAUACUUAAGAUACCCAAUAAACAUGCUCUUAAGCUAAUUACGAUUAAAAAAGAAGGAAAAAAAAAGGAAAAACACGAGAGGUGUCUCUUAAUUAAGAGAGCCAAGCUAUGUCUCUUAGGUGUGUUGUUGCUCCCCUCUCGUUUCUUCCUCUCCUGAUUGGUGUCUCUCUUGGACGAAAGAGCCACGUAUCUUGACGAGGAAGAAAAACGGCGUCUAUUCGAUCGUCUUUCAAAUUCAUCUCCGCAGAAUCCUUAACUCUUCGCAACGAUUCCAUUUCCAGAUCAGGUAGGGUUUCUGGUAAAUUUUGUAUUUUGAUCGAACAGCGUAGAUUUGUUUAAUUUAACUACUUGUUUUUGAUAAUCAACCAACGGAGCUUACUCACUACUUGUUUUCAAUUCCUGUGAUAGAUCUUGAAAGUUUAGAGCUUUAAAGCCAAUUUGCUGAUCGCUUUGUCCUGUAAACAGUUUCUGGAAAUGAGAAACAUUUACAUUUGUAAAAGCUAAGAUAACUCUCGAGGGUUUAGAGCUUUGUAGACAAUCAUAUUUUGAUAUGAUUUUCUCUGAUUAAACUUAUGUCUUUGAUUUUGGUGAUGGAUUUAGGGAGAAAGCCACUUGCUAGAUUCCCUUCCGGCGAUUGGGUGAUCUCAGAGAUGCCUGUUACACAGCAAGAUCUGAAGCUCGCCGUAUCAAAGGUGUGGUGUCUUUGAUACUGGUUAUAGUGUCACUGCUUGAUUGGAAUGUUUCUGAUGAAGGUUUUCGAUAUAGGUUGGUGACUUUUCGGAUGAUAACCGAUCAAAGAUUAACAGAUCUUUGCAUCGUAUAAGCGCUAUACGUAACCGGAAACUCCAAAUAAUUGGUUUAACGUGUUGAGUGGGACGAGUUGUAUCGGGAAGUGCGGAGAUCAUAAGAGACUUGAUAGAAGGAGGAGGAUCCAUCUUGGUCAUAGGAUCUCCUGGAGUUGGCAAAACAACUUUAAUCAGGUACAUUGAUGUUACAUAUUAUAUAACAAAGUUGUGAUGUUACAUGUGAUAAGAUUAGUUAGUUUUGUAUAGAGAAAUCGCACGGAUGUUAGCUGAUGAGCACAGGAAACGCGUAGUGAUUGUUGACACGUCAAACGAGAUUGGUGGUGAUGGUGAUGUUCCUCACUCUGGUAUCGGCCGUGCCAGGCGGAUGCAAAUUCCAAAUGUGAAUCUACAGCACGAUGUAAGUGUAUGAAAGCUUAGCCUUGAAGUAAAAACGUUUUUGUAACGUUUAAAAAACCUCACACACUAAGAAUGGGUCCUGGAUGUGGAAGAAGUUGCUGAAACUAAGACCAUUGGCAAAGCAGAUGAUAAGAAUGGAUGUUAAUAGUGGCUCCAACACUUCUUUCUGGUUUGAUAAUUGGUCGCCGCUGGGGAGUCUAAUUGAGCUAACAGGGGAACUAGGUACAAUGGAUCUGGGCAUUCCUCUAAAUAGUACGGUGGAAAGGGCUAUACAGCUAUACCGGCCAAAGAGACAUAGAGUAUCCAUUCUUCAGUUGAUUGAUAAAGAGAUUGGGGUGUUGAAGAACAGAGGAUUGAAUCAGCAGGAUGAUAUAUGUCUUUGGAAGAGAGAAAAUGGGGAUUUUAAAGAAGGUUUCUCCACGGCGCAAACUUGGAACAUUACUAGAGCUCAGUCACCGAGUGUCUCUUGGUUCAAAGGAGUAUGGUUUCCUGGUGCUACUCCAAAGUUUUCUUUCCUCAUAUGGAUUGCAAUACAUAAUAGACUAUCAACAGGAGACAGGAUUUUAAGAUGGAAUCCUCAGGCUGUAUCUACAUGCUGGUUGUGUAAAACAGCACCUGAAACGAGGGAUCAUUUGUUUUUUGAGUGUGUUUAUUCACAAGAAGUUUGGUUGAAGACUAUCAAGAACCUAGCAGGUAACAGAAUUAGUAGUGAUUGGUCUAGUGUGGUCCAAGUGGUGGUGAAUGGAUUCCAUGGUAGGAUUGUGACUUUUCUUCUUCGCUAUUGUUUUCAAGCAGUCGCAUAUGCAUUAUGGCAUGAACGAAACGUGAGAAGGGUGAGUGAACCUUCUUUGCCUGCUCGUUGUCUAGUUGCUCGACUGGAUAAGUUGGUCAGGAACAGGAUCACGUCUUUGAGGAAGAAGAAAGGAGAAAAAUAUGAGAAGGCAAUGGAGGUUUGGUUUAGUAGAAACUAAUGGAGAUUUGAACAUUGUAUAGAAACUUGUAGAUUUUAUGUUUUAUGAUUGAGGCAGUGAAAAAUCUGUAACAAGGUUCUUUUGAUUGAAAUAAAUUUAAAAUUCUUUCAAAAAAAAAAAAAAAAAACCUCACACAGGUUAUGAUUGAGGCGGUUGAGAAUCAUAUGCCUGAGACCAUCAUCAUUGAUGAGAGAGGAGUCCAGCUUGUGACUCCCAUUCCUUCAGAGACGAUGUUCCUCAUAAGCUAGUGACUCCCAUUCCUUUGGAGAAUCUUAAAGAGGAGCCUGCACCAUUGCUCAACAUAGAUUUUGCAAGUGAAGUGUUGUCUGACGACGAAAGAUGAAGACUUUCUUCCCACUCCGUAUUUGAAAGCCGGCAGUAACAUAUCAAAGAGCCAAAGAAGUUCACAUGUUCAUGUUUAUACUCGCAAUGUAAAUAGUCUAAUUUUUUUUUAAGAACCCUUAACUUAAGAAACUAUCAUUGGAUGACUAAAAUUAGGUGUUUCUUAACAUAAACUCUUAAUUUUAAUACUAAAAUAUUGAUUAAAAACCCACUUAGGGGUUACCCCAAUAAACAUGCUCUAAGCAAAUAUUUAUUUUUUUACCACUGAAGCACGGCCCUGGGUGUUUGUGGCUUCACUAUUUCAUAGACAUACCUAAUUUUUGUGCUACACAUCUCUUACACAAUCUAAUAUGAUGUUACUCUCCAUGUGUUUAAAUAAAAGACAUUAGACCACUUACAUUGGAGACUCUAAUAAGAGGUUCUAAAAAAAAAAACCAAAAAAUAAAUAAAUGAAAAAUGAGUUAAAAAGAGAGAACCGGUGCCUAAAUAUAACAUUUUUAGAACUGGUAAAGACUAGAGAUGGCAAUUGGGUCUUCCUGUCCCGUCCCGUCCCGCCCCGCCGCGGUCUUCAGUUCAAAUGGGUCUCAGCGGGACAGGCCCGCGCGGGAUGCGGUCUUGUCGAGGGCUGACCAAUCCCGCCCCGCAUAGUACAUGGGCUUUGCGGGUCGGCCCGCGGGACGUCGGGUCAUCAUACCUGCAUAAACGAAACAAUAUGAUCAAACAUAACUCACUUGCGUCUGGACACAGAAACAAACAUCAAAAUAUAUAUAUAAACUCUUGUUCAGUUAUCAAAACUAAUUUUUUUCAUUAGCUCUAAACAUUAAAACAUGCACGAUUGGUUGUUCAGCUAUAGAAAACAAAAGGCUUUGGAAUAUUCAGGGACAAAAUUUAGAAACACAUAAUGACAUAAUCAAGAAACAUAACAACAUCUUGCUUGUUUCUUAACAAAUCAGAUGCCGCAAACGUAUGUAAGUUUCUUGUUUGUUAUCUAAGCUCUUAAACAUAAAACGUUUUUCUUACUUGUGGUUUCGUCUUAGUGAUCUUAAGCAUGCUCUCAUCUCCUCUGCUUUUGAAGCUGGGCUUGGAGACAGCAGUAUUGUUCAAAGAGUCCAUGGGAGCAGCUGUAGAGAACAAAGAUAAGAGUAAAUGCACUAUUAAUAGAUUUGUUGAACAUGGAUGCUGGAUAAUUAGGUACCUGUUGAGGAAGUGUGUUCUGUACUAAAAGUUUGGAGAAGUCGUCACUGUAUAUGGCUGGGGUUAAAACAGAUGAUAGUGAGGCUAUUUUGGAGCAAUUACCUUUUGAAGCUGGUACUCUUCCGGUACGUUAUCUUGGACUCUCACUGCUUACUAAGAGAAUGAAUGUUCAUGACUACAGUCCACUCAUCUCUAGAAUAAGGAAUAUGAUCUCUUCUUGGACAGCGAGGCAUCUGACUUUCGCAGGUAGGCUUCAACUUAUUGGAUCUGUACUUUACAGUAUCACGGCCUUUUGGAUGUCAGCGUUCAGAUUACCAAGCCAAUGUAUUCAAGAGAUUAAUAGUAUCUGCUCAGCAUUCCUCUGGUCCGGGCCGGUUCUAUCUUCUCAAGAAGCUAAGAUAGCUUGGGUUGAUGUCUGUAAACCGAAAGAAGAGGGAGGUUUAGGACUAAAGAAUCUAGCUGAAGCCAAUAAAGUGUCCUGUUUGAAGUUAAUUUGGCGUAUUCUAUCUGUAAAAUCCUCGUUAUGGGUAAAAUGGAUUUGGAAGUAUCUUAUUAGGAAGGGAUCUUAUUGGAGUGUCAAAGAGAAGAGCUCAUUAGGGUCCUGGAUGUGGAAGAAGUUGCUGAAACUAAGACCAUUGGUAAAGCAGAUGGUAAGAAUGGAUGUUAAUAGUGGCUCAAACACUUCUUUCUGGUUUGAUAGUUGGUCGCCGCUGGGGAGUCUAAUUGAGCUAACAGGGGAACGAGGCACAAUGGAUCUGGGUAUUCCUCUAAAUAGUACGGUGGAAAGGGCUAUACAGCUAUACCGGCCAAAGAGACAUAGAGUAUCCAUUCUUCAGUUGAUUGAUAAAGAGAUUGGGGUGUUGAAAAACAGAGGAUUGAAUCAGCAGGAUGAUAUAUGUCUUUGGAAGAGAGAAAAUGGGGAUUUUAAAGAAGGUUUCUCCACGGCGCAAACUUGGAACAUUACUAGAGCUCAGUCACCGAGUGUCUCUUGGUUCAAAGGAGUAUGGUUUCCUGGUGCUACUCCAAAGUUUUCUUUCCUCAUAUGGAUUGCAAUACAUAAUAGACUAUCAACAGGAGACAGGAUUUUAAGAUGGAAUCCUCAGGCUGUAUCUACAUGCUGGUUGUGUAAAACGGCACCUGAAACGAGGGAUCAUUUGUUUUUUGAGUGUGCUUAUUCACAAGAAGUUUGGUUGAAGACUAUCAAGAACCUAGCAGGUAACAGAAGAAGUUGUGAUUGGUCUAGUGUGGUCCAAGUGGUGGUGAAUGGAUUCCAUGGUAGGAUUGUGACUUUUCUUCUUCGCUAUUGUUUUCAAGCAGUCGCAUAUGCAUUAUGGCAUGAACGAAACGUGAGAAGGGUGAGUGAACCUUCUUUGCCUGCUCGUUGUCUAGUUGCUCGACUGGAUAAGUUGGUCAGGAACAGGAUCACGUCUUUGAGGAAGAAGAAAGGAGAAAAAUAUGAGAAGGCAAUGGAGGUUUGGUUUAGUAGAAACUAAUGGAGAUUUGAACAUUGUAUAGAAACUUGUAGAUUUUAUGUUUUAUGAUUGAGGCAGUGAAAAAUCUGUAACAAGGUUCUUUUGAUUGAAAUAAAUUUAAAAUUCUUUCAAAAAAAAAAAAAAAAAACCUCACACAGGUUAUGAUUGAGGCGGUUGAGAAUCAUAUGCCUGAGACCAUCAUCAUUGAUGAGAGAGGAGUCCAGCUUGUGACUCCCAUUCCUUCAGAGACGAUGUUCCUCAUAAGCUAGUGACUCCCAUUCCUUUGGAGAAUCUUAAAGAGGAGCCUGCACCAUUGCUCAACAUAGAUUUUGCAAGUGAAGUGUUGUCUGACGACGAAAGAUGAAGACUUUCUUCCCACUCCGUAUUUGAAAGCCGGCAGUAACAUAUCAAAGAGCCAAAGAAGUUCACAUGUUCAUGUUUAUACUCGCAAUGUAAAUAGUCUAAUUUUUUUUUAAGAACCCUUAACUUAAGAAACUAUCAUUGGAUGACUAAAAUUAGGUGUUUCUUAACAUAAACUCUUAAUUUUAAUACUAAAAUAUUGAUUAAAAACCCACUUAGGGGUUACCCCAAUAAACAUGCUCUAAGCAAAUAUUUAUUUUUUUACCACUGAAGCACGGCCCUGGGUGUUUGUGGCUUCACUAUUUCAUAGACAUACCUAAUUUUUGUGCUACACAUCUCUUACACAAUCUAAUAUGAUGUUACUCUCCAUGUGUUUAAAUAAAAGACAUUAGACCACUUACAUUGGAGACUCUAAUAAGAGGUUCUAAAAAAAAAAACCAAAAAAUAAAUAAAUGAAAAAUGAGUUAAAAAGAGAGAACCGGUGCCUAAAUAUAACAUUUUUAGAACUGGUAAAGACUAGAGAUGGCAAUUGGGUCUUCCCGUCCCGUCCCGUCCCGCCCCGCCGCGGUCUUCAGUUCAAAUGGGUCUCAGCGGGACAGGCCCGCGCGGGAUGCGGUCUUGUCGAGGGCUGACCAAUCCCGCCCCGCAUAGUACAUGGGCUUUGCGGGUCGGCCCGCGGGACAUCGGUUCAUUAUACCUGCAUAAAUAAAACAACAUGAUCAGACAUAACUCACUUGCGUCUGGACACAGAAACAAACAUCAAAGUUUAUCAGACUGAGCAAUACGUGUUCACUAGAAUCACUACCUAUCAAACUAAGCAAUAACAAUUCAAGUUCUAUUAAACUAACCUCAUAUCUAAGCUCUUAAAAAUAAAACGUUUUUCUUACUUGUGGUUUCGUUUUAGUGAUCUUAAGCAUGCUCUCAUCUCCUAUGCUUUUGAAGCUGGGCUUGGAGACGGCAGUAUUGUUCAAAGAGUCCAUGGGAGCAGCUGUAGAGAAGAAAGAUAAGAGUAAAUGCAUUAUUAAUAGAUUUUUUGAACAUGGAUGCUGGAUAAUUAGGUACCUGUUGAGGAAGUGUGUUCUGUACUAAAACAAACAGAGCUUUGGAUAUAGUUCGGUGUAGUCUAUUGCUUAGCAUGUGAAUGAAAUGUCCAACAGUCAUGUCUCGUGGGACCAAGAACCUGCACAGGUCAAAACGUGAUUCAUUCAACUAGUGUAUUGAUAUAUAUUCACAUUUUGUUUAUGUUCUUCCCUCAGAAAAAGAAACACAAAUGAUUUCGUGCAAACUUACAAAGGAAUUCUUAACUAUAGCUUAUGACUACAAAGGACCUCAAAUGGUUUCGUGAACCACAAGUCACCUGCAACAAGAAGAGACCAAGAUAGAUUAGACCAUAACAUAAGUCAGACUCUUGAUACCAACAUGUUCAAGUUCUAACAGACUAACGAUUAGAUCAAAAUGAUAUCUUGAAUCUGCACAAAUUUCAUCAGUCUUCAAGGUUCUGCUGUGAAGCUGGUACUCCCCUGUACCAAACAAACCACUUUGGUGAAGAAUUGUGACUUAGAACUCCGCCACUUAGAGCCCACAACCUGAUGUAGCUCUGUUCUCGGUGAGAAAAGUGUAGCGGGCCUCAAUGUUUGCCCGCAUCCCGCUUCGGCCCGUCCCGCUUCGGCCCAGUACCGCCGCGGUCCUGUCCCGCCAGACCCGCAACUAAACGGGCCACAAUAUCUUUGCCCAAUCCCGCCCCGCAAUGGGCCUUUUCGGGUCAGGCCCGCGGGCAAGCCCUUGAACUGCCAUCUCUAGUAAAGACCCUAUACAUGUUUCUUUGUUAUUGGCUAAUGCCUUCUCUCUCUUCCUCUUCCUCUUCCUCUUCCUCUUAGUCGAUGUUUUUUUUUGGUUUGAGAAAGAGAUCUUCGUCGAUUUUGAUCGAGAAAUGAUCUCUUCUCCUUCUCUCUCCCUCACCGUCUCGUCUCAUCUCUCUCUAUCGUCCACCGGAAUCUACCUCUCUGUUGCCUUCACUCUCCGCUUUCACCCGGACCCGACCCGAUAGAAUCCGAGUAUCCACCGCCGAAGUGGCGGAGGAGGUAGAAGACGGUCCUGUCGAGCUUCCUCCGUCGGCCAUAUCUCCGUUCUCGUCCACUAACUCAAUAUUCGCCACUUCCGAUGACCUCACUCCUCUCCAGCUAGCCACCAGCGNNNNNNNNNNNNNNNNNCACCACCUUCCUCUUCCGAUCGAUUCGACGGCGAGCUAAACACUCCAAAGAGAUGUUAAAGUUUUCAUCUUUCCUCUCGUUCUCAGUGAAUCCGAAUUGAAAGUUUUCGACUUGGUGUGAGAAUUGCAGACGUUUAGAUCGUCUGGAGUGAAGAAGUCGUUGAAAGAUGAAGCGGUGGAGAAACUGAAAGCAAUGGGGGUCGGCUCCGAUUGAAGAAGGUGGUGGUAAGUCGACGACACCAUCGGCGGCUCAGGCGUUUCUUGGUGCAGUUUCGGCAUGUGUCAUUGCUGUCAUUCUCUAUAAGUUCACUACUACCAUUGAAGCAGGACUCAAUCGUCAGACUAUUUCUGAUAAUUUCUCGGUAUCGUUCCUUCUUUUUUCUCUUGGUUCAUUCUCAUUGCUUGUGUCAAAGUUCAUGUUUAUGUCCGUCUUUGCUUUGCUUUGGUUGUUGGGGUUUAGCAAGUAAGGUUGACUUGUGAUCCAAGUAUUAUCAUUGUCUCUGUAUUAGUAAAUGCACAUAACUGAGAAGAGGUUAAAAAAAAAAGAAGUUGAUAAAGUAUCAUCAUGGUCUCUUUAUCUGUAAACGCCCACUCUUGAGAGAGAUAAUAGUAUGGAAUAAAGGCUCCAUAGGCCCAUGAUUUCUGAAUUCAGUGUGCAGCUAGCUAUAUUCAUUAUGUGAAGGGCCCUCUGUUUAUGAUCAUUGCUUGUGUACGUACAUGGAAGGUGAAUGCAUUAAGAGUCUGAGUUUCUGAGUUUCUGAGGAAAGUUUCUGAGUUUUAUCAAACUCUGUGUGAUUCUUCUCGGAAGGUGAAUGCAUUAAGAGUCUUUCUUUCUUUGUUUUAUUUACUCCCUAGGAUUAGAUUCUGAACCUUGAAAAUGGUAAUGCAGAUAAUCGAUGCAGGAGAAACUAUGGAGGAAGUAGAGAAGAAGAUUCAACAAGUGGUGUUGGAUAAAGUUAAAGAGUGUGUUCAAGGAAAGUCUCUUUCUCUCCUCUGGUCAUCUUUUAUGAUUUUUAACCAAUCCACUCUUGUAGAAUGUUUGUGUUAUGGUGAUUAUACCAAGUUUGUGAUUUUCAAAGAACUAUUAUAUCAACUUAACAAGUAUUUUGCAAAAUCUAAUCAUUCAACUUCUUUAAAAAAAAUAAAAAAAAAUUAAGAAUUCUCUCCAUUGGACCAUGAAAAAAUUAAUUACACUAACAUAAGUUCUAAACUUUUCAAAUCAUACAAUUAACUAUUAAAUUAUUUAUUAGAGCCCCUAAUGGGUUCUUACCAUUGGAGUUGCUCUUACAGUGAGGAUUUUGCGGAGAAAACUGGUUCUAGUGAAGAACAAUGAUUUAGAUUUUAGGUUCUGAAUGUGUUCCUGUUUCUUUUAUUAUUUGCUUUUUGUUCUGACUUCAUGCCUAGUUAAUGAUACAAACAUUUAUCUAUGGACUCUGUUCUUAUGCAGUUCUAUAUUUCUGGUUGGUAGUUUUAUUUCUUUGUCUAAUGUUUUGAUCAUUCUAAAGAGUUUGUUGAUGUUUGAUGUUUUGUUGGACAAGGAAACCUUAACGGGAGACGAGUUUCGGGAAACAUUUAUCUACACUGACAAACCGUUGAAUGCCGAUGAUAGAGUUCGAAUCGAAGAUUUGAUUAGUGUGUAAUACAAAAAUAAUAAUAAUACUAUGGUACUGAUAUUAAACUCAAACUGGACUUCACUUUUAAAAUUUUUAAAACCGACCAAAAAUGUCCUUUACCGCUUGGUAAGUUCCGGUUAUCACAACCACGAUACCAAGCAGUAUAAUACCGAUGAGAACCAGCGUGUCGAACCCGAGACGUCAGUAUUUGCCAGAGAUCUUUAGGUAACACAAACAUGGCAAUAUAACUGACGCAGUUGCGCUCAAGAAUGCUCCGACCAAACUCAUGAGAUCACCAAAAAACGGAAGAAGCAAUGCUACAAUCAAAUUGCUAGCAACCAACACCGUACUAAGGAUCAAACCGGCGGCUUUUUUGUUAGGCAGAAACCAUGAAAACCGGCUCCUCAAUGCGUCCAUAAUAGGUGUAACCACUAGGGCAAACUUAGCAAUUGGGUUCACCAAUGUAGUGCAUAUCGCCACUUUUGAAAUAAGUUUAUCAGUCGGAAGAUUCAGUGUUAUCUGUGAUUGAUUCUACAUUUGAUCCAUACAUUAAGUAGCCCAAUAUCGCCACCGAUGCAUAUAUGAAUGUGCAUAUUGUGAAACAUAUAACCAUAACCUUCAAAUAAAACAAAAAGACAAACAAAUUUAGUAUAUAACCAUCAUAUUAUAUAAUGGUAUGUUUUGAUAUAAUGUACGUUUGAGAAUUGGCGUUUGUUUUUCAUGGAAGUAUAUAGAGUAGGGAAAACCGGAUGAGCGCAAUAACAAAACGCGUAUAAGCUCACGGAGGUAGUGACUCCAUUAAUACGAAAGAUCUUUGAGUCAUUGUUCUUGAACCCUACUCCUUCAAAUGCUCCAACCCAAAAUAUAGAAGCAAGAAUCAACAAAUAAGCAAAGACACCACUCGCGUGUGAAACACACAAGAAUGGAAAAAGAUGAAACUGUAACUUCAAUAUUUCAUUCAACUCAAGAAACCCUAAUACAUCGCUAGCCUCUUAUAUACAUGAGGAGGCACAAGGGUACAUCUUAACCUAAAGCUUGAGUUAGCACACGCCAGCAUCAAGUAGCUGGAAUCGGUUCACGGUAAGGAUAGGAUGCUCUGAUCUCCUCUGAGCUGGCUUCUCCGUACACAGAAGACGACAAGAGCUCAAGUUCUUCUUUUUACUCAGAACUGUAUCAUCGGCUAGUAUUGAAACUUCAGUGGGCUUAACGGGCUUGUCAACAUGUUUCUCAAUCGGCUCAGAUGCCAUUACGAAACCUUCUGUACCAGCUGGAGUCUUUGAGGAAGAUAGACUAAUAUACCCCCUCAAACUUGGAGUGGGCGGUAAAGACACGCCAAGUUUGCUGCGGAGCUUGAAAAACAGUUCCUGACUCAGAUAUUUCGUGAAGACAUCCGCAAGCUGAAGGGAAGCAGGAAUGUGCUUGACUUCCAAUGAUUUAGCUGCAACCCUCUCACGCACGUAGUGAUAAUCGAUAUCAAAAUGUUUUGUUCGUUUGUGAAACAUAGGAUUAGCCGUGAGACAGACUGCAGAUAAGUUAUCACAGAGAAGUAGAGGAGUUCGUUGUUGCUGUAGCCCCAUAAUACGCAGAAGAUUCUGUAACCAGACAAUCUCAGAUGCAGCAAUAGACAUAGUCCUAUAUUCAGCUUCAGUAGAUGAUUUUGAAACAGUGUCAUGGCGCUUUGCGGACCAAGAGAUGACGUUAGUACCAAGCAACGUACAGAAACCUCCAGUGGAGCGUCUUGUGUCCUUGCACCCAGCCCAGUCACUGUCGUUGUAGCAAAGCAGAGUAGAGUCUGAGUUAGCCUUGAUAGAUAUGACCAUGUCCACAGUGCCUUUGACAUAGCGCAUUAUACGUUUUAAUAGGCUGAAGUCUGACUGACUCGGUGCGUGCAUUUUCUGACAAAUGAAGUUCACAGCAAACUGGAUGUCUGGCCUUGUCAGAGUAAGAUACUGAAGCUUUCCCGCGAGGCUUCUGAAGUGUGAAGGGUCCGAGAACAGAACGUCUUGAUCAGGAACUUUCUCAAGCUUCAUGGGUAAAGGUGUAGGCAUGGGAGCACAAUCACGCAUGCCAGCAGUGAUUAGAAGAUCAGCUGCAUAUUUCUCUUGGUUCAAGAACAUACCGUCUGCGUAAUGAUGAACCUGAAUACCAAGGAAGUAAUGCAAAGGCCCCAUAUCUUUCAUGCGAAACUGUUUACCAAGUUGAAGUAGAAGAGUGUUCAGUAAGUCUUCAUUGUUACCCGUUAGAAUCAUGUCAUCAACAUAUAACAACAGAUAGAUGACAUCAGAUCCUUUGUGGUAAAUGAACAAAGAGGGAUCAGGGAAGCUGCAUUGAAAACCAAAGGCUAGAAGGAAGUCACUGAACUUGUCAAACCAAGCACGUGGAGCUUGUUUAAGACCGUAAAUUGCCUUCUUCAAGUGCCAGACAUAAUCAGGUCGUUCCAGGUCUUCAAAUCCCGGUGGCUGCUUCAUAUAAACUGUCUCUUUGAGAUAACCAUGUAAGAAGGCAUUUUGAACAUCCAGUUGCCUCAGUGACCAACGUUUUGUGACGGCUACAUGAAGAACUGUUCGGAUAGUAGCUGUUCGAACAACGGGACUGAACGUCUCGAGAAAGUCAACCCCUUGUUCUUGUUGAUUGCCUUUUGCGACCAAACGAGCUCUAAGACAUCUUACUGUACCGUCAGCAUUGAUCUUCUUCUUGUAAACCCAACCACAACCAAGCGGAUUCUGAUUUUCUGCAGGAGGAACAAGCUCAAACGUCUCAGUCUCCACCAUAUUGUCAACCUCUGUACCCAUUGCCUUUGUCCAACCAGGAUGUUUCAAUGCAGAUUUGACAGACUUUGGCUCAGCAUCAACAUCUUUGACUGUAAACAAAGCAUACUUCGGGUUCGGUUUUAUUAUUCCUGCACGAGCUCGUGUUGUCAUCUGAUGAACAGGUUGUUGGAUCUCAUCGUGAAGCUGAGGAUCAUCAAUGAUAUUGUCCUCUGACUCACUCUCAGAUACAACAGGUGAAGGAAUAGGUGGAGGUGGUAUAAUGGCUUCUUGCGCGACAAGUUCCGGAAGAACUGGAUCCUGAACUUCCAUAUGUGGAUGACAUCUCGGUGGUAUCACUUCUUCGUGAGGAGUGGAUGGAGUUACUGAGGUCUGACGAUGCAGAGAAGCGUCUCUCCAGGCAUUGAUCAAAGGAGAAGAACUUUCUUUGUGAUGAUCACUGUAUAUGUCACCGAAAGGAAAAGAGUUUUCAUCAAAGAGGACAUGUCUGCUGAUGAAAAUCUUGCCAGUAGGUGGAUAUAAACAUCUAUAACCUUUGUAUUUCUCAUUGUACCCGAGAAAUACACAAGAUAAAGACUUGGGAUCAAACUUGUUUUGCAUGUACGGACGCAGAGAGGGGUAACAUUUACAGCCAAAGACUCUAAGAGCUGUAUAGGUAGGCGGCUUUUGAUGAAUCAUUUCAUACGGGCUUUUGUUGUCUUGCAGCACCGAAGAAGGAAGAAGGUUAAUCAGAAACGUUGCAGAGAAGAACGCUUCAACCCAGAGAUGUUGAGGUACCUUCCCAUGAAACAUCAUUGUUAAACACGAUUGUAACACCGAGGAGCAGUGUGACCAAAACGUCCACAAAUCUGACACUGAGGGCGUGAGUUGGAGCUUGUGCAUGUAAACUGUUGAUGGAAACCACGACCACGAGUAGAGUAUGAUCCAGCACCACCGUUGUGUGAGAAGCCUCUCCCACGGUUACCACGGUUGUUGUAAUAGCCACGACCUCUGUGAGAGUACCCUCUGUCUGUAUUGAACGCCACAUGAGGAGAGACUUCUGGUGCUUGGUUGAAAGUUUUGAGCUUUUCAUCAAAGUUCACCAACUUAAAAACUGCAUCUUCAUAACUCAUUUCAGGAACUGAGUCCAUUGAGUGUUCAAUAACAGUACAAAUGGACUCAUAUUCUUUACCAAGACCACUUAACCCAGCAUAAAUCUUCUCUGGAUCUGAGACAGGACAUCCUAUAGAGUCUAGUUGAUCACAAACACUCUUAACUUCACCGAGAUACUCUGCCAUAGAUCUCUGAUUUUUCUUCAUACCUUGGAGUUUUCUCUGAAGGUCGAGCUUGCGCGUAGCAGACACCCGAUUGUACUUCUUCCCAAGACUGAACCACACUUCCUGAGCUGACUGGAGCCCAUAAACAGAUCGGAGAGCUUCUUCCGUAAGAGAACCAAAGAGCCAAGCCAUAACCAGUUGGUCUUUGUGGAGCCAUUUGACAAACUCAGGGUUUGCUUCCUCUGUAACUUCAUCACCGUUUCUGACAGACACCGUUGGUGAUGGUCGAGGAGAGGACCCGUUAAUGAACCCGAGAAGAGACUGACUACAGAGGAAUGACUCGAACUGAGUUUUCCACAAGAGAUAGUUUGUAGAAGAUAGUUUCAGAGUAACACAUUGUGUAAUACUGAGAGUUGAAAGAGAUUCUUGAGUUUCAGCCAUGGAUCUACUAACUGAGCUCUGAUACCAUGUGAAACACACAAGAAUGGAAAAAGAUGAAACUGUAACUUCAAUAUUUCAUUCAACUCAUUGUUACCCGUUAGAAUCAUGUCAUCAACAUAUAACAACAGAUAGAUGACAUCAGAUCCUUUGUGGUAAAUGAACAAAGAGGGAUCAGGGAAGCUGCAUUGAAAACCAAAGGCUAGAAGGAAGUCACUGAACUUGUCAAACCAAGCACGUGGAGCUUGUUUAAGACCGUAAAUUGUCUUCUUCAAGUGCCAGACAUAAUCAGGUCGUUCCAGGUCAUCAAAUCCCGGUGGCUGCUUCAUAUAAACUGUCUCUUUGAGAUCACCAUGUAAGAAGGGAUUUUGAACAUCCAGUUGCCUCAGUAACCAACGUUUUGUGACGGCUACAUGAAGAACUGUUCGGAUAGUAGCUGUUCGAACAACGGGACUGAACGUCUCGAGAAAGUCAACCCCUUGUUCUUGUUGAUUGCCUUUUGCGACCAAACGAGCUCUAAGACAUCUUACUGUACCGUCAGCAUUGAUCUUCUUCUUGUAAACCCAACCACAACCAAGCGGAUUCUGAUUUUCUGCAGGAGGAACAAGCUCAAACGUCUCAGUCUCCACCAUAUUGUCAACCUCUGUACCCAUUGCCUUUGUCCAACCAGGAUGUUUCAAUGCAGAUUUGACAGACUUUGGCUCAGCAUCAACAUCUUUGACUGUAAACAAAGCAUACUUCGGGUUCGGUUUUAUUAUUCCUGCACGAGCUCGUGUUGUCAUCUGAUGAACAGGUUGUUGGAUCUCAUCGUGAAGCUGAGGAUCAUCAAUGAUAUUGUCCUCUGACUCACUCUCAGAUACAACAGGUGAAGGAAUAGGUGGAGGUGGUAUAAUGGCUUCUUGCGCGACAAGUUCCGGAAGAACUGGAUCCUGAACUUCCAUAUGUGGAUGACAUCUCGGUGGUAUCACUUCUUCGUGAGGAGUGGAUGGAGUUACUGAGGUCUGACGAUGCAGAGAAGCGUCUCUCCAGGCAUUGAUCAAAGGAGAAGAACUUUCUUUGUGAUGAUCACUGUAUAUGUCACCGAAAGGAAAAGAGUUUUCAUCAAAGAGGACAUGUCUGCUGAUGAAAAUCUUGCCAGUAGGUGGAUAUAAACAUCUAUAACCUUUGUAUUUCUCAUUGUACCCGAGAAAUACACAAGAUAAAGACUUGGGAUCAAACUUGUUUUGCAUGUACGGACGCAGAGAGGGGUAACAUUUACAGCCAAAGACUCUAAGAGCUGUAUAGGUAGGCGGCUUUUGAUGAAUCAUUUCAUACGGGCUUUUGUUGUCUUGCAGCACCGAAGAAGGAAGAAGGUUAAUCAGAAACGUUGCAGAGAAGAACGCUUCAACCCAGAGAUGUUGAGGUACCUUCCCAUGAAACAUCAUUGUUAAACACGAUUGUAACACCGAGGAGCAGUGUGACCAAAACGUCCACAAAUCUGACACUGAGGGCGUGAGUUGGAGCUUGUGCAUGUAAACUGUUGAUGGAAACCACGACCACGAGUAGAGUAUGAUCCAGCACCACCGUUGUGUGGGAAGCCUCUCCCACGGUUACCACGGUUGUUGUAAUAGCCACGACCUCUGUGAGAGUACCCUCUGUCUGUAUUGAACGCCACAUGAGGAGAGACUUCUGGUGCUUGGUUGAAAGUUUUGAGCUUUUCAUCAAAGUUCACCAACUUAAAAACUGCAUCUUCAUAACUCAUUUCAGGAACUGAGUCCAUUGAGUGUUCAAUAACAGUACAAAUGGACUCAUAUUCUUUACCAAGACCACUUAACCCAGCAUAAAUCUUCUCUGGAUCUGAGACAGGACAUCCUAUAGAGUCUAGUUGAUCACAAACACUCUUAACUUCACCGAGAUACUCUGCCAUAGAUCUCUGAUUUUUCUUCAUACCUUGGAGUUUUCUCUGAAGGUCGAGCUUGCGCGUAGCAGACACCCGAUUGUACUUCUUCCCAAGACUGAACCACACUUCCUGAGCUGACUGGAGCCCAUAAACAGAUCGGAGAGCUUCUUCCGUAAGAGAACCAAAGAGCCAAGCCAUAACCAGUUGGUCUUUGCGGAGCCAUUUGACAAACUCGGGGUUUGCUUCCUCUGUAACUUCAUCACCGUUUCUGACAGACACCGUUGGUGAUGGUCGAGGAGAGGACCUGUUAAUGAACCCGAGAAGAGACUGACUACAGAGGAAUGACUCGAACUGAGUUUUCCACAAGAGAUAGUCUGUAGAAGAUAGUUUCAGAGUAACACAUUGUGUAAUACUGAGAGUUGAAAGAGAUUCUUGAGUUUCAGCCAUGGAUCUACUAACUGAGCUCUGAUACCAUGUGAAACACACAAGAAUGAAAAAAGAUGAAACUGUAACUUCAAUAUUUCAUUCAACUCAAGAAACCCUAAUACAUCGCUAGCCUCUUAUAUACAUGAGGAGGCACAAGGGUACAUCUUAACCUAAAGCUUAAGUUAGCACACGCCAGCAUCAAGUAGCUGGAAUCGGUUCACGGUAAGGAUAGGAUGCUCUGAUCUCCUCUGAGCUGGCUUCUCCGUACACAGAAGACGACAAGAGCUCAAGUUCUUCCUUUUACUCAGAACUGUAUCAACGGCUAGUAUUGAAACUUCAGUGGGCUUAACGGGCUUGUCAACAUGUUUCUCAAUCGGCUCAGAUGCCAUUACGAAACCUUCUGUACCAGCUGGAGUCUUUGAGGAAGAUAGACUAAUAUCGCGGAAACAUAAGAAAGAAUCCUCAUGUCGUCUAGCCAAACCGAGGGAAGAAUAAUAAGAGCUACAAGGACGAUGAACAUUUGCUUGCCUCCAAAUUCUAAACCCAUGAAGUUGAACCCAACGUUUGAGAAGAGUUUAUUAAGAUUGUCAUCUUCUAAGAUCAAGAAACUAGUAGCGACAAGGUAAAGCUCGAGGUUCAUGAAGAUGGAGACAACGACACGUCCUGUGUUUCCAAAGGCUUUGUAGCCAAUGUCCGGGUAAGAUCUAAUAAGUGGAUCCAUGUCCAUACAUCUCUUAAUGAGAAUGGCACAAUGGAGAGUUGUAAUGGCUAUGGUGAAGAAUAUGAUCAGACUUAGCCAUCCACCGGAUGCUAAUGCAUAAGGGACUGAUAAUACACUAAUACCUAAAGAAGAACAAAUAACAAAGGUCGAGUGAAUGACUGAUUGUCUAAAGCACACAAGCAACUGUAAUUUUGUUUGUGUUCAUAUGUGAACACAUUACAAGUAUUUUACAAAUUAUAAAUACACACGCAAAGAAACUGUGUUCAAGAUCGUUAUCAAGAUAUGAUUUGAUUUAAGAAGCUUGUACAGGAUUGAACACAUACGCGCCAAUCUAGAUACAAGUCUACAAGAUAAAGUCAAAAUCUUGAUUCAAAAGCUUGAACUAGAAAAUAUAACAUGUUUAGAUGCAUAUCUAUGUUAUUUAUACAUCAACACAUGUGGACAACUGGAUAAGCUAAGUGUUGGAUCCUUGGUUGUGAGUAUAGAACUUGAAUAAGAAUAGAAACUGUUUACAAAUUCUGUACUUCGCAAUUUCCAAAACUUGUUAUGAACUCGCCUCACGCGCUAUGCGAAAACUCUCUCAAACCUGAAGACCUCUUCGUUUCACCUCCUCCGUCGCCGUCUCCGGCGCCUGUCAGCCCCAUCUGGGAUGGCAAAGAAGAAAUCGGCGAAAGGAAAGGGUUCCACUGUUUCCCACGCUCGUCAAAACUCGUCUCCACCGAGUUCCUCUGUAUCAAAGUCUCUCUCUGUUGCAAAACAGAGACCUGAUUCUGAUUCCACCGCUGGAAAGGCUGCAAGCGACCUUUCUCCAGCAAUUGAUGCCCAAACUGCUGUUGUCAAAGCAGAUCCGGCCAUGGAGAUUGUUUCCCCCAAUCUUGAAAACCUAGCUACAGAAGUUACUGUACCUAUUUCGAAAUUCUCUGAUACCACUUCUGCAACAAACACUGGAAUUGAAACAGUGAUAGAAACGACCUCUCCUCAGGAUAGACAAGACGUCCACGUCCCCUCUCCUGCAAAUCCUACAGCUUCACCCUCUACUUCAAGUCCAGCAGAGCUCUGGAAAGGCUUUGUGAAGGAAGCUAACAUAAAGCUCUACCCAAAGGAGAAACCUUUUCUGCUCGACUCAGGCGAACCGUGUGUUACCAUACCAAACGCCGUAGUGGAGAAGAACAAAAAGGCUUGGGAAUGCUUCAUCAUAGGUCAGUUCUAUGACGAAGCCCCUGCUCGGGGAGCUGUUCACGCGAUUGUAAACGGUAUCUAGAGCAAACAUCGCAGAGAUAUAACAGUCUCCAAGAUGGACAACCAGGCUUUUCUUUUCCGCGUCCCUUGUCCUCACGCCCGUAGACGCAUCUUAAGCCAAAGUCUAUGGCAGAUUGAUGGUCUCUCGAUGUUUGUUGCCAAGUGGUCUCCGGGUAUUCAACAGACCAAACCUGAACUCAAGAUGGUGCCAGUUUGGCUUGAAUUUCGUGGAGUCCCAUUACAGUUCUUCAACGGAGAUGCCUUGAAGGAGAUAGCGGGAAUGGUUGGACAGCCGGUCUGCCUUCACCCAUCAACAGAGCAUCUAACAAAUAUUGAGGUGGCAAAAGUCUACACUGUUAUAGAUCCCAGAAAACCGCUGCCAGAAUUCGUAAAUGCUCGGUUCGAAAGUGGUGAGACUCGUCGCAUCUCAGUCACUGGCCCCUUCCUCCCGGCUUUAUGUUCAUUUUGCAAGAAAGUGGGACACUCCAUAUCCCGUUGCAAAGCAGCACCGAAAACCUGCACUCUCUGCAACUCCGUAAGGCACUUAACGGUUGAGUGUUCGAGGUACAAUCGCGAGAAGGCGAAAGGAAAGGCACCUAUAAAAAACUUACUCCCGAUUGUAACGCAGACAAAGGCUGUCUACAGGCCAGUGAGUGGAAAGAGCACAGAUGUUUUGAUCUCCUCGGAUGCUACUACUGGAAAGAAAGAUGAACUGGUAAUACGAACACCACCACAUCCCAAAAGAACAUCAACUUCGCCACGACGAGCCAAGGAGAUGGGUAUUAGGAUGCGAUCCCUGUCCCCCACCAAUAAUCAGUCUCCGCGCGUUAAGGCUCCACAACAGUCUCCCCUCGUAGAGUUCAAUGAUCUGAGGGAUGGUGGUCUUUGUGUGGAUUUGUCUCCUUAUGCAGAUGAUCAGCACUCUAAUGAUGACUCCCUCUCAGCCGGCCACUCCUCUGGUCAUGUGUCUGAAGGCAGCAAGUUUUCAGGAGAGGAGGAUAAUCCGGACGAUGGAAAUGACAAGUAUAUUGAAGUCAUUUCUCGAAGAAUGAAGAAAAAGUUAAAAGGAAAGUCUAGGGGUGGAGGCCCUUUAAUCCUCUAAACCUUAACUUCUUAAAUGGAUCUUUUUUGUUGGAAUAUUAGAGGAAUAAAUGAUCCUGUGAAGCGGAGGGGUUUUAGAAAAUGGAUGCGGAAGAAUAAACCAAUUUUUGGUAGUCUCGUGGAGACACAUGUACAGUUAUCUAAGUCGGCUAAGGUUGUAGAUUCUAUUUUACCGGGUUGGUCUUUUCAUGGAAACUAUGACCACACGGACUUGGGGAGGAUAUGGGUUGUUUGGCACCCUUCGGUUAAAGUAAGGAUUAUCUCGAGUUCUCGCCAAAUGACUUCUUGUGUUGUGAAGCUCCCACAGAUAAAUAAGGAGUUUCUGGUUUCGUUUAUCUAUGGUUCCAACUGCAGAAUUGAAAGACGUACACUAUGGAGCGAGUUGGAAGCAUGCUCAGUAUCUCAGCAGGUGAUUAAUACACCUUGGAUCACUCUCGGUGACUUUAAUGAGAUUUUACAUCCAUCAGAGCACUCAACGACUGAUCAAUUCUCUUUCUCACGGGGCUUGAGGGAUUUCAAAGACUGUGUUGACAGCACUGCUUUGUUUGAUCUUCCCUACUGCGGGAGUUCUUUUACUUGGUCAAAUGGACACAUAUCAAAGAAAUUGGAUAGAAUCCUCACUAAUGCAGCAUGGUUUCAGCAGUUUCCAGAGUCUAUCGGGGUCUUUGGCAUUCCGGGAAUCUCUGACCACAGUCCCUGCUGUGUUUUCUUCGAUCAGUCUAGGCCGAAGCAAAAGAGACCAUUUAAAUUCUUCGCUCACUUGAAUCAACAUGACGAAUUUGUUGAGAUCCGUCGUAACUGUUGGAACUCUUUGAACUUCUCUGGAACAAAUCAGAUAAGAGUCUCUAAAAAGCUGAAGGAGCUCAAGGGAAUUAUUAAAACCUUCAACAAAGAGCACUUUUCCCAGCUGGAGCAACGCGUAGAAGAUGCAUUCUCCGAGCUGUGUCUUGCUCAAGAAAGUGUUCUUACAAACCCUUCUCCUACCUCUACCCAAUUCGUUCAAGACGCUCAUCGUCGCUGGCACGUUUUGGCAAAAGCUGAAGAUUCUUUCUUGAAACAGAGGUCACGGGUACAAUGGUCUGUAGACGGGGACUCAAACACUGCCUACUACCACAUGAUAAUUAAAACAAGACAGGCCCAAAACCAAAUUGUUUUUCUCCUUGAUAGUGAUGGAGCCAUCAUUGACCAGAUUGAAGACAUAAAGAAGCAUGCUGUUGAUUACUACUCAAAUCUGUUAGGUGGCCCUUCGUCUUCAGCUGCCCCUUCUCCAUCGACUAUAGCCUCGUUCUUGCCUCUUCAUUGUUCUGCAGAAGCUGUGAGCCUUCUUGCUGCUGAGUUCAGUGCUUCAGACAUACAGGCAGCUUUCCUCUCCCUUCCAAAGUCCAAAGCCCCCGCACCGGAUGGUUAUCCUGCAGAAUUUUUCAAGGCAAACUGGAGUGUGGUAGGAAAAGAAAUGAUCGCAGCAGUGAAAGAGUUUCUAUCAACUGGGUGUCUUCUCCAACAAUGGAACUCAACGAUCAUUUCCCUAAUUCCGAAGAAGGCAAAUGCUAACCGGAUGACUGAAUUCAGACCCAUAUCCUGUUUCAAUACCCUCUACAAGGUAGCUUCCAAGCUGCUAUCAAACAGGCUUAAAGCUGCCCUGCCGAAGCUUAUCUCCUCUGCCCAAUCAGCCUUCGUUCCAGGACGUCUUCUAGUUGAGAAUGUACUCUUAGCGACAGAGCUUGUGUCUGGAUAUAAAUGGAAAGAAAUCUCAAAGCGGUGUAUGAUGAAAGUUGAUCUACAAAAGGCUUUUGAUUCGCUUAAUUGGGAAUUCAUAUUGAAUACGCUCGAAGCCCUUGGGUUUCCAAGCCACUUCCGGAAGCUGGUAUCUCAGUGCAUAACAACUACCAGAUUCUCUGUAUCAAUUAAUGGUGAGUUGUGUGGCUAUUUUAAGGGGUCAAAGGGUUUACGGCAGGGCGACCCGCUCUCUCCCUAUCUAUUUGUCAUUGCGCUGGAAGUAUUCUCUCAGCUGCUAAAUACGAAGUUUAGAGUUGGGGAUAUUGGCUACCAUCCGAAGACAUCAGACCUUGAGGUAACACAUCUUGCCUUUGCUGAUGAUAUUAUGAUUUUCUUUGAUGGUGAGGAAAACUCCCUUGCUAAUAUCGUUGAUACUAUGGAGUUAUUUGCCACUUGGUCUGGAUUGAGAAUGAACAAAGAAAAAACAGAACUCUUUGCAGGAGGGUUGAACCAGGCUGAAACUACUGAUCUGCGACGUCUUGGUUUCACUCUCGGUUCAAUGCCUAUCCGUUACUUGGGUCUUCCUCUGAUGCACCGUAAGCUGUGCAUUUCCGAAUACAGGCCACUGUUAGUGAAAAUAGCGGGUCGGUUCACUGCUUGGUCUGGUAAAAAGCUGUCCUAUGCUGGUCGUGCUCAGCUGAUAAACUCGGUUAUCUAUGGAACUAUAAACUUCUGGACUUCGGCAUUUGUUCUGCCUAAAGGAUGCUUACAGCAAAUUCAAAGUUUAUGCUCUCGCUUCUUAUGGACCGGAAAUAUUACUGAUCGUGGAAUGGCUAAGAUUGCGUGGAGCACAAUCUGUUUACCUAAAAGAGAAGGAGGGCUCGGCUUUAGGAACCUGGAAAUUUGGAACAAGACCCUUUGCCUAAAGCUUAUUUGGAUGUUAUAUGUUCAACCAAACCUGAACUCAAGAUGGUGCCAGUUUGGCUUGAAUUUCGCGGAGUCCCAUUACAGUUCUUCAACGGAGAUGCCUUGAAGGAGAUAGCGGGAAUGGUUGGACAGCCGGUCUGCCUUCACCCAUCAACAGAGCAUCUAACAAAUAUUGAGGUGGCAAAAGUCUACACUGUUAUAGAUCCCAGAAAACCGCUGCCAAAAUUCGUAAAUGCUCGGUUCGAAAGUGGUGAGACUCGUCGCAUCUCAGUCACUGGCCCUUUCCUCCCGGCUUUAUGUUCAUUUUGCAAGAAAGUGGGACACUCCAUAUCCCGUUGCAAAGCAGCACCGAAAACCUGCACUCUCUGCAACUCCGUAAGGCACUUAACGGUUGAGUGUUCGAGGUACAAUCGCGAGAAGGCGAAAGGAAAGGCACCUAUAAAAAACUUACUCCCGAUUGUAACGCAGACAAAGGCUGUCUACAGGCCAGUGAGUGGAAAGAGCACAGAUGUUUUGAUCUCCUCGGAUGCUACUACUGGAAAGAAAGAUGAACUGGUAAUACGAACACCACCACAUCCCAAAAGAACAUCAACUUCGCCACGACGAGCCAAGGAGAUGGGUAUUAGGAUGCGAUCCCUGUCCCCCACCAAUAAUCAGUCUCCGCGCGUUAAGGCUCCACAACAGUCUCCCCUCGUAGAGUUCAAUGAUCUGAGGGAUGGUGGUCUUUGUGUGGAUUUGUCUCCUUAUGCAGAUGAUCAGCACUCUAAUGAUGACUCCCUCUCAGCCGGCCACUCCUCUGGUCAUGUGUCUGAAGGCAACAAGUUUUCAGGAGAGGAGGAUAAUCCGGACGAUGGAAAUGACAAGUAUAUUGAAGUCAUUUCUCGAAGAAUGAAGAAAAACUUAAAAGGAAAGUCUAGGGGUGGAGGCCCUUUAAUCCUCUAAACCUUAACUUUUUAAAUGGAUCUUUUUUGUUGGAAUAUUAGAGGAAUAAAUGAUCCUGUGAAGCGGAGGGGUUUUAGAAAAUGGAUGCGGAAGAAUAAACCAAUUUUUGGUAGUCUCGUGGAGACACAUGUACAAUUAUCUAAGUCGGCUAAGGUUUUAGAUUCUAUUUUACCGGGUUGGUCUUUUCAUGGAAACUAUGACCACGCGGACUUGGGGAGGAUAUGGGUUGUUUGGCACCCUUCGGUUAAAGUAAGGAUUAUCUCGAGUUCUCGCCAAAUGACUUUUUGUGUUGUGAAGCUCCCACAGAUAAAUCAGGAGUUUCUGGUUUCGUUUAUCUAUGGUUCCAACUGCAGAAUUGAAAGACGUACACUAUGGAGCGAGUUGGAAGCAUGCUCAGUAUCUCAGCAGGUGAUUAAUACACCUUGGAUCACUCUCGGUGACUUUAAUGAGAUUUUACAUCCAUCAGAGCACUCAACGACUGAUCAAUUCUCUUUCUCACGGGGCUUGAGGGAUUUCAAAGACUGUGUUGACAGCACUGCUUUGUUUGAUCUUCCCUACUGCGGGAGUUCUUUUACUUGGUCAAAUGGACACAUAUCAAAGAAAUUGGAUAGAAUCCUCACUAAUGCAGCAUGGUUUCAGCAGUUUCCAGAGUCUAUCGGGGUCUUUGGCAUUCCGGGAAUCUCUGACCACAGUCCCUGCUGUGUUUUCUUCGAUCAGUCUAGGCCGAAGCAAAAGAGACCAUUUAAAUUCUUCGCUCACUUGAAUCAACAUGACGAAUUUGUUGAGAUCCGUCGUAACUGUUGGAACUCUUUGAACUUCUCUGGAACAAAUCAGAUAAGAGUCUCUAAAAAGCUGAAGGAGCUCAAGGGAAUUAUUAAAACCUUCAACAAAGAGCACUUUUCCCAGCUGGAGCAACGCGUAGAAGAUGCAUUCUCCGAGCUGUGUCUUGCUCAAGAAAGUGUUCUUACAAACCCUUCUCCUACCUCUACCCAAUUCGUUCAAGACGCUCAUCGUCGCUGGCACGUUUUGGCAAAAGCUGAAGAUUCUUUCUUGAAACAGAGGUCACGGGUACAAUGGUCUGUAGACGGGGACUCAAACACUGCCUACUACCACAUGAUAAUUAAAACAAGACAGGCCCAAAACCAAAUUGUUUUUCUCCUUGAUAGUGAUGGAGCCAUCAUUGACCAGAUUGAAGACAUAAAGAAGCAUGCUGUUGAUUACUACUCAAAUCUGUUAGGUGGCCCUUCGUCUUCAGCUGCCCCUUCUCCAUCGACUAUAGCCUCGUUCUUGCCUCUUCAUUGUUCUGCAGAAGCUGUGAGCCUUCUUGCUGCUGAGUUCAGUGCUUCAGACAUACAGGCAGCUUUCCUCUCCCUUCCAAAGUCCAAAGCCCCCGCACCGGAUGGUUAUCCUGCAGAAUUUUUCAAGGCAAACUGGAGUGUGGUAGGAAAAGAAAUGAUCGCAGCAGUGAAAGAGUUUCUAUCAACUGGGUGUCUUCUCCAACAAUGGAACUCAACGAUCAUUUCCCUAAUUCCGAAGAAGGCAAAUGCUAACCGGAUGACUGAAUUCAGACCCAUAUCCUGUUUCAAUACCCUCUACAAGGUAGCUUCCAAGCUGCUAUCAAACAGGCUUAAAGCUGCCCUGCCGAAGCUUAUCUCCUCUGCCCAAUCAGCCUUCGUUCCAGGACGUCUUCUAGUUGAGAAUGUACUCUUAGCGACAGAGCUUGUGUCUGGAUAUAAAUGGAAAGAAAUCUCAAAGCGGUGUAUGAUGAAAGUUGAUCUACAAAAGGCUUUUGAUUCGCUUAAUUGGGAAUUCAUAUUGAAUACGCUCGAAGCCCUUGGGUUUCCAAGCCACUUCCGGAAGCUGGUAUCUCAGUGCAUAACAACUACCAGAUUCUCUGUAUCAAUUAAUGGUGAGUUGUGUGGCUAUUUUAAGGGGUCAAAGGGUUUACGGCAGGGCGACCCGCUCUCUCCCUAUCUAUUUGUCAUUGCGCUGGAAGUAUUCUCUCAGCUGCUAAAUACGAAGUUUAGAGUUGGGGAUAUUGGCUACCAUCCGAAGACAUCAGACCUUGAGGUAACACAUCUUGCCUUUGCUGAUGAUAUUAUGAUUUUCUUUGAUGGUGAGGAAAACUCCCUUGCUAAUAUCGUUGAUACUAUGGAGUUAUUUGCCACUUGGUCUGGAUUGAGAAUGAACAAAGAAAAAACAGAACUCUUUGCAGGAGGGUUGAACCAGGCUGAAACUACUGAUCUGCGACGUCUUGGUUUCACUCUCGGUUCAAUGCCUAUCCGUUACUUGGGUCUUCCUCUGAUGCACCGUAAGCUGUGCAUUUCCGAAUACAGGCCACUGUUAGUGAAAAUAGCGGGUCGGUUCACUGCUUGGUCUGGUAAAAAGCUGUCCUAUGCUGGUCGUGCUCAGCUGAUAAACUCGGUUAUCUAUGGAACUAUAAACUUCUGGACUUCGGCAUUUGUUCUGCCUAAAGGAUGCUUACAGCAAAUUCAAAGUUUAUGCUCUCGCUUCUUAUGGACCGGAAAUAUUACUGAUCGUGGAAUGGCUAAGAUUGCGUGGAGCACAAUCUGUUUACCUAAAAGAGAAGGAGGGCUCGGCUUUAGGAACCUGGAAAUUUGGAACAAGACCCUUUGCCUAAAGCUUAUUUGGAUGUUAUAUGUUCCUAAUCCUUCUUUAUGGGCUUCAUGGAUUAGGAAGUAUAAGAUUGGAGAUGAGAGCUUAUGGAGCCUGGACCCUAAGAAGGCAGGCUCGGGAACAUGGAGGUCACUGUUAAACCUGCGUCAUCUAGCUACAAAAUUCUUGAGAGCAGAGGUUGGAAAUGGUGACAAAAUAAGCUUUUGGUGGGAUACUUGGACCCCUCUAGGUCGGUUAAUUGAUUUAUUCGGUGAGACAGGUCCACGUGAACUCUCAAUUCCUCUGUUCGCAUCAGUUGCUGAUAGUUGUGACCAUAAUGGUUGGAGACUGAGAGGUGCUCGCUCACCUGCGGCAGAGAAUCUACACAUUCAUCUCACUAGUAUUCAGCUGCCUACUACCUCCCAAACAGAUGAUGAGUUUUACUGGUUCAUUGAUGGUGAGAAUCUACCGCGAUACUCUGCAUCGCGAACUUGGGGGGCAAUUAGAGAUAGAGCUCCUGCAGUCACUUGGUCAAGCAGUGUCUGGUUCAGAUCAGCAACACCUCGUCAUGCUUUCUUGAUGUGGAUCGCACAGAAUGAUAGAAUGCCAACUCGAGUACGACUAACAAGUUGGGGCCUUGGCAUCUCAUCUAACUGCUGUCUAUGCGACUCAACUCCAGAGACUCGAGAUCAUUUGCUUUUGCGCUGUGAAGUUAGUAAGCAGAUUUGGGUCUUGGUUCUGAGAAGGUUAGGAUAUUCCCACUCUUGCUUCAUCACUUGGACAUCUUUUAUUGAGUGGUUAUCUCUAAGGGAUUCCACAGCUCCACUGAUGCUCAAAAGAAUUGUUGCUCACGCAACUAUCUAUAGUAUCUGGGGAGAACGGAACAAGCGUCUACACGACGGUAUCUCGACUGCUCCUCCAACGACUUACAGGCUCAUUGAUCGUAAUAUCAGAGACACAAUCUUGGAGAAACAGCACAUCAAGAAGACUUUCAAAAACCUUAUGCUAUCUUGGCUAAGGCAUGAUUAGGAAGUCUUCUAUUUAUGGUUUACACUUUGUUUUUAUCUUUUUUGCCAAAGUGCAUCCCAUCUACUCUAAUUAUUUUUGUAAAGUUUUACAAACUCUUCUCAUAUUUAUAAGAAUUUCAAAUCCUUGGCAAAAAAAAAUUUCCAAAACUUGUUCAACAGUACUUUUUUUUUUCCGACAAAGUAACUUUAUUAAGUACAUUAGUAUCUAAUGUAAUCAUUACAAAUCAUAUUGGAAAGCCAAUGUGGAAUUAAUGUAGAAGAAGAUGUAAAUAAGACAUCAGCGUUACAUUUUGUAGCUAAAAUAUGAGCCACCCCAUUUGCUUCUCGAUGAACAUGCGUAAACUGAACCUUUUCAAGUCUGCUACCCCAACUUCUGAUAUCAUUACAAAUCGUAGCAAUACUAAAAUCACCAUGUUCUGCAUAGAUUGAUCUCAUUAAGACCAGACAAUCACCUUCAAAAAUCACAUUCUUGUAACCCAAGGCAAACACACAUUGAAUGGCUGCUAAUAAGGCCUGACCCUCCGCCUCAAGUGGUGAAAGAGAAGUGCCUAAACUAGCCAUUUCCCAGUAUUAUACCACGCCAUUAACGUCCCGAAUGAUCCAGCCUGCAGAGACUUGUAAGCUUUGAGCAUUGUAGGCAGCAUCGAAAUUGCAUUUAUAAUAAGGUAACGUUGGACGACGGCACAUAGAUUGACGCUGUGGACUUCUCAUAAGAGUAGUAUCUUGCACCGUUUUUUGUAACCAGUCACGAACUUCUGCGGUAACAUAACCAGCAUCGCGUUGAGGGUUGAUAACUUGAUUUUUGAAAAUGAGGUUAUUCCUCGAUUUCCAAAUCUUCCAAAGUAUCCAAAAAGGUGUCAACUUCUGUUCCAGUGUCAGGGUUGAUGAAGACUGAAGAUCAAACAGACGUCUCAUGUUGGUUUCCAAGUCGUCAGUAAACGUUGCAGAGUAGCCUAAGGUAACCUGAUUCGACCUCCAUGUUUGAAUCGAAAGUGGACACAUGAAGAAAAGAUGGUUCACCGUUUCAGGGGAACUAGAACAACGAGGGCAGAGGCUAUCCAAAGACAUACCCCUUGUAUUUAAUCUUGUAUUUGUUCCCAAAGCUAAAGUAAUGAGGCGCCAGAAUAACAAAAACAAAAACACGAAAGAAAAAGCAAAAACAAACCUGAUAAAGCGUUAAUGCCAUGGAAAUAAGUCUUGGAGAAAGAGGUAUUGCCCUGUGAAUUAUUAUCGAACUGAUAAUCAUGAAGCGUCGUUUCUUCAUCAUUAAUUGUCUUUACGAUAAAUGGCUCCGACAUGAAAUCUUCCUUCUCGUUCAUAAUUUGUUUUAUCUUUGACUCUUCUCCUUCGAUGUAAGCGAUACAGAGAAAUGAGAUCGAGUGAAGAGAUAUAAAAGUUGCAAGUAAUGAAAAAGCAAAACGCAAAACGCAAAAUGCAAUAUACUUAUAUUUAUGUAUUAGAUCCGAUGAUUACGCAUGAUGAUUAUCAGAUAAUUCAGAUAAAUUUACAUUUCUAUUUUUGGAUGAAAUGUCAGAUAAUUCAGAUAAAUUUAAAUAUUUCUUAUAAGAAUAUUUGAGUGAUUCAGUUUUUUCAGUAUUAAUAAUUCCCAUUUUUAUUCACAUUUAUGAGUGAUUCACAUUUUUCGGUAUUAAGAAUAUCUAUACUAUUAAACAGAUGAAAACAUUUGUGAUUGUUAUAGCGGUUUUGCACCUUGCGUGGAUGUGAAGUAUUAACGAACCUAUAUUGUUUGAACCAUUUUAUUAAGGGGAAUUAGUUGAACCAUUUUGUAAAUAUAUUAAGGUAGACAAAAUUUCACUGACCAUAUAUUUUAUAUACCAGUAUAUGUAUUUAUUAUUUUCAGGAUUGAGAGUUUAGGAUUAUCCUUCUACAUAUAUACACAUUUAGGGACACUGCUCUAAGGUUGACAAAUAUAUAAAUGUAAAUCAUUUUAAUAUAAACUCCAUGGGCUAUAUACAAAUAUAAAAAUCAAUAUUGUUAAACUUGUGUAUUCAGUAGGUCUGAUAUGUGUCUGAUAUGUGUAUUUUUAGCUUUACCAGUCAAAACUAUGUGAAGUCGUGAACCAUAAAUUGUUAAAACCGUAAGUAAAUAUUUUCUGAUUGCAUAGUCUAUAUGUCAUGUGUUUAAAUAAUGAUAGUCCACUCGUGAAUCUCACAAUGUUUUGUUUACAUGAAAGAAAUGAGUAUUAUUUAUUAUUAAUUAAUAUAUAGCUAAUUAUCUUUUAGGCUAUAUUGUAGAUAUGAUCGGCAAAUAUAUAAGUAUCACGGAUGGCUUUUUGAUUCACAAAAAUUUAAAAUAUUUUAUUUAAGGCAAAUCUUAGAAAAUUUAAGAAAUUCAGUUAUAUCACCUAUUAAAUUGAUUAAAUUAUUGUUAAAGAAAUAUAUGGUAAUAUAUUGUUAGUAUAAAUUUAAGAUAAAACCAAAAUAUUAAUAGUCUACUGAAAGGGUCUAACAACCUUGUAUAAAUAAAUUUUUUUAGAGUGAUUCUCUUUUAAUAGAAUAGAUUUUGGGAUACAGGAGAUGUGUACGAGAAGGGUUCUAUUUUAUUUUUCCCACUACAUUGACCACUUUUUCUAUAUGGAAGUUCCAAGUGAUCCGGUAAAGUUUACAAACCCUUUUGCUUUCCUGUUAACUUUCUUAUGUUGACAAAUAAGUUAUCCACUCAUACAAAAUAUCACGUUUUUUAUAACAGUGGAAUAUUAAAACAUUUUGAAAAUGAAAGGUGAAGUAUUAAAUUUGUUUGUUUAAUAUAUACACGCAAAAAUCAGAAUAAAACUGACGAAAGCAAGGUUAUCGCUCACGAUUAGAUUUACUUAUAAGACCCUAAAUCGAGUAAACGACGUGUCGGCUCAAGAGAGCAAUGUUAUAUUAUUAUAAUACCAACUGGAGGGUUAAAAUAUCUAUAAUCUUCUUUAAAUAAUUUAUCCUUGUUGCUCAGCACGAUAGGUCAAAAAAUUUGUAAACUCCUUUAAUCUGUCGCUACGACGGUUUGAACCGGUUCAUGCUUUUAUUAUAUAUUCAAUUUGUUUCAUAAUAAGUUUUAUUUUAACUUUUUUUUGUUACACAAAAAUAUCAUUUUAAUAUUUCACUACAAAUUAUAUUUACUUUCAGCUAAAAAUUAAUGGCAAAAUGCAUUAAUUUUAUAAAUAAUUUUAUUUAUCUAAAAUAUUAUUGAUCAAAAAAAUGUAAAUAAUAAUAAUUUAAACACAUUUCAAUCAUUUUCUUAAUCUGUGUGAAAAGUAUUAAAAUGACACUUAUUAAGAAACAAAAUAAAUAUCUUAUUAGGUUAAAUUUAGAAACCGUCUAUGUCUUAUGAAAUCUUUUUUUUUAAUAUCUUCAGCUAUAUUUAGUAGAGUAACCUCUACAGAACGAAAAAACACUAAUUUUAUUUUACGAAUCAUUUCAUUAUAAUAUUAAAUUUUGUUUGGUCUAAUUGUUUUUUUUCUUGGUCAAACGUUUGGUAUAAGCCAUGUUCGUUUAUUAGACGCAGCGACAGUAAAGAUGAGCGUCUAAAAAAUAACAAACGAUAAAGAAAAAUAACGACAUUGUCAUGUUAUAUAACAGUCCCUCGCAACUGACGUUAAAGCUAUUUCUUCUAUUUUAAUAGCCGCCAUAAAAAACAACAGUUUCAUUACUGUUGCGGCAACAAUUGUUUUGUGUAUAAAUUGAGUCGCAACAUCUUCAAACGAGCUGUUUUUAACGAGGUCUUGAUUGGUAGAGCAUUAACAAUAGCAGUAGCAGUAUGCUAUAGAAGGAGUAUGCUGCAUGAGCUGUAUGCUUUUGUUAAAUUGUUUAAUAGGAUGAUUGGUAGAGCAGUAUGAGUAUACUAUUUAAAAUUAUUAUAAAAAUUAGUAUAUAAUAUAUAAUAUAUUUAUUUUUAAUGAAUAUAUUUCUAAUAUAUAUAUAAAUAUAUUAACAUAUAAAAUUAAUUAGAAAUAAAAUUAAUUUAUUUUAUUUAAUAAUUUAAAAAUUAUGUUUAUAUCGAAAAAAUAUUAUUUUAAAAUAAAUUUUAUAAUUAAAAUAUCUAUUUUUAAAAAUAACAUUUCACAUUUGAAGUAAAUUAAAUUAUAUAAAUUAAAUUAUGUUUUAAAUGUGAAAUACUAUUUAAAACAAUAUUUUUAUUGUAAAUUAAUUUUAGAAAUCAAAAAUUUUAUUUCUGGAUAUAAAAAUAAUUUUAUGAUAUUAUUAAAUAAAAUAAAUGAAUUAAUUAUAUAUUUUCCUUAAUUUAUAAAUUAUAAAUGCAAAUGCUUUUUUAAAAGCUUCAUUUGAGAGCAUUGGCCAGAGAGCAUUUGAGAACAUUAUCAUUUAGUAAAUGCUUCUGUAAAUGUUUUUCUAACAAUUGUUGAUUGUAUAAUGUAGAGCAUAGUGCUAAUGUUAAUGCUCUACCAACCAAGGCCUGAGUGUGGCCUUUGAUAUUUUUUAUCGAAAGUUAUUGCCGCCGCGUUUAAUAAAGCUAUAUACUAUUUUUAAUGAGUUAUUGACGUGGCCUUUGAUAUUUUUUAUCGAAAGUUAUUGCAGCCGCGUUUAAUAAAGCUAUAUACUAUUUUUAGCAAAUUUUAAAUAGAUCACAAACUUAAAUAGCUUCGACAUGCUUGUAAAUAAAAAAACAAUCAAAAAUAAUAUUGGUGUAUUUUAGGGUUAAAAAUAAUAAUAAAUUUUUGAAAGUAAUAAUAAUUAAUUAUAUUUCAAAUACUAAAUGAAGAGUAUAAUAUCUUUUCAUAGAAGGUUGCCAAAAAAAUAUAUUUUCAUAGAAGUAACUACCGAAACUAUCCCUGCCUACUUACCGAGCGGGUAAUUGCCGAUCAAUAAAGAUCGUUGGGGUAUAUCGGUAGUUUAGCAGGGUAAAAAUUACCUUAAAUUAUCAUUUUAUGUAUUUAAUAAAAUCAGGAAAAUUGCAGGAGAAGCUGUCUUCUUACUUUCCCCGCCAAUUGCAUCUCAAUUCUCCCCUAAUUUGUCAAUCUAGGGCUCAACUCUCUCUCUCUCUCUCUAUGACUCCCAAACUUCCUCCAAAAUAUUCCAAAUUCUUCGAAAUCUGAUUUCUGGAAACCCUAAUUUUGGAAUCCGCGACUUCGAUGAGCAAUCCAAGCAGUUCCGGAUGGGAUUCAAGUUCGAAUUUGACUCAGUUCGGGAUCGGCUUGGCCAAUACAGUGCAGUCGGAUGUUGCUUCUCACUUGCCGCUCCCCUCGCUACCCAUAUUCUACGGCUCGACUCAGCCUGGAGAGUUCAAGCUGUUCGAUGAGGCUGGCGAAGGUAUUAGCGGCAACAGGUCGUUGAAUCGCAGCGAGAUUCUCUCUCAGUCUAGGAGAAUCGCUACUAUGCUUGAAGAAACUGACGUUUCUUAUCUGUAAGUGAAUCUGACUCGUCUUCUCCCUUCACACUCAGAAUCUGUUUCGUUGCUAAUUUUGUAAGUCGACUAUCUCUCAAAUUGGUUAUGUGCUGGUGAAAGUCACAGCUAACCUUGAAUUUGAGUGUUUUCUGAGAUUCAGAUUGUGUUUAUUUCUGCACUAGCGUAGCGUAGCUUGUAGAGGGCAUCAACUUAUUGCUUUCUGAUUUAAUCUUUGCAGGGAUCUUAGAAACGAGGCUAGAGCGCUGAACUGUAACUCUGCGGAGCCUUUGCAGUUAUAUGACCAAGUUCUACGAUGCAAUCCUGGAGCAUUUGAGUAUGCCACCCCUGGUAAAUUAAUCCUUCUCAUUUUUUUUUUCCUUUUUGGCUAUAUAGUGUGGAGUGCUACAAAUUUUGAGGAAAAUAUUGGAAGUCUUUAGGGAGAGAAACCUUUUAAGUAUUAGAUUAUUUAGUUGGCAUUUACGAAGAUGCCUUUAAUGCUUGAUACUAGCAGUGUCUUCCUUCCUUUUUCACCCCAUUCAGAUAGUAGUGAACCUCUAUGCUAGGCUCCACUUGUGCUGACUUCUGAGCUUUAAUGGUUUUGUUUACUUGUUAUUGCGCCAGUGUGUGAUAGAUUUUAUAUCUUUGUGUUUAUUAUUUACUACAACUUUUAAGUUUAUCAGGCCCGACCUGCGAACCAGUCUGCACCAGUGAAGAGCCUCAACAUAGAAGUUCUGAGCCAAGUGUUCCUGUCAAGAUUCAACGACAGGCUGAUCAUCAUUUAGGUAGGAGCAUCAAUCCCGAGCCUGUGAAAAGGGUAUUACGAUCAAAUCAUGUUGAAGAUCAUAGUUGGCACUCCAAACCUUUGAUAAAUCAGUCACCAAGAGAUGAUAUUACAACUCUCGACUCUCCACCUGAAACGGUCACCAUGAAUGUAAGACUACCACCACAAUCUUCUUCUAUAAGUAUCUUAUGUGCCGUGGACAUAACUGAAUAAAUUGUAGGAAUCUUCUGCUUCGAAGAAGUCAAAGGGCAAGAAGAAACGUAAAGAUGGCGCUGGCCCUGGUGCGUCUUCAGUUCAGCCAGAUUCAUCCGUGCUUCAAGGUCGGUCUGUCUGUCCUUUUUCUUUUUAUCUUUGCAGUUUCCCCCCUACCCACGAAAUAAUAGUAGUUUGCUAAUGAUUAUUUAGAGUCCAUCGUUAAAAGCUUUUGUGAGAUGCUGGAGGACUUCUGUGGCAGAGCUGAAGUCCCUGGUGAUGAUAGGGAUGGAGCAGAGUGGUCAGUCGUGCCUGUUGAAGAAAUUCGUGUUCUUGUGACUGAGUUGAUGACUAUAAGGUCAAAAAUGCUUCUGCAUAUGGUACCUGUUGAUAUUCUGUCGAGGUUAUUGCACACUCUGGAUCAUCAGAUACAUAGGGCAGAAGGCUUGUCCAUUAAUAGUGAGCAUGUGAGUAAUUUUCUAUUUGCGUCUCUCUUGUUUUAUGUGGGAUUAUUUUCAUGUUGCACUCGACGCAUGGACUAUUAGCUUUCAAUCAAAGUUGUUUUUCUCUAUUUGAAUUAUGAUGAGCUCUUUUUAUUGUGUGUUAAUGUUUAGUAUUAUGAAAGUAGCAAAUAUGUCUUUUUCUUUUUAGCUAACACUUCCUGGUGCAAAAACAUUUCAGUCAGAUUCAGAUUCAGUGGGGUUGGUUCUUGGUGCCCUUGAGUCCAUCCAUGCAUCCCUUGCAGUGAUGGCAAACAGUGAUAUGCCAAAGCAGCUCUACAAGGAAGAGGUGAUUGCUUCUUAGUUUUCCCUGGAAUCUGUUUACGCGUAUACGUCUCUGCACACUGCCACCAUUUCACCAUUUUAACUGACUCAAUUUUUUUAUUUUUGUAUUUCUUAUCAAUCAGGUAAUUGAGAGAAUUCUGGAGUUUUCUAGGCACCAAAUGAUGGCUGUUAUGUCUGCUUAUGAUCCAUCUUACCGCAGCGCAAGUAAACCGGCAGAUAAUGUGGCAUUUGAAGGUUGUUUUCCGAUUUACUUUGGAGUUGGGUGUGCUGUGCAUAUUCUGUAUAGUGCAUGGCAUGUCAUUCCUAUAUCUAGAACUUUAGUUUUAUCCUUGUCUGUAAGCUCAAAGAUAGCCCCUGCACAAGUUAUGUUCUAAUUACAAUAAUCUGACAUAUGGAUAUAUGCCACAUGCUUUUCUAGGUGAUGAUGAUGAUGAUCUCGAUCCUGACAUGAGCUCAGCCAGUAAAAGGCGACGAACGGGAAAAAGUGGCAAAGUGAAGAAGUCGGGAGUGAACAGGUUUACUGAUUUGUACCCAAAUUUUUGUGAUAUUAUUUUCCCAUCUGAUAUCUCUGUUUCGUAGGAUCUCUGGAGCAGUGAAUACUGCAUUACAGAAACUUUGCACUAUUCUUGGCUUACUCAAGGACCUGUUCUUCGUAGAAAGGUUGUCUGACAGUUGCAUUUUACAACUGUUGAAGACAAGUACUACAACAUUUUUGGUGGAAAAUAUCCAACUUCUGCAACUUAAAGCAAUUAGCUUAAUCGGUGGUGUAAGACUUUAAACUUACUCCACAUCUUUGUUGUGUUUUCUCUUUUUAUAUCAGUGUCUUCUUGUCAGGAUUUUCUUGAAGUUUUGUUAAAUUUCGACUUUAAUGCAGAUAUAUAAUUCAUACGCUCAACACCGAACGUAUGUGAUAGAUGAGUUAUCUCAAUUGCUAUGGAAGUUACCUUCCUCGAGACGAGUGCUGAGAACGUAUCUUCUCCCUGAUGAAGAACAGAAGCAGAUUCAAAUGGUCACGGCUUUGCUUAUUCAGUUGGUUCACAACAGCACAAGCCUUCCUGAAACACUGAGACAGGCUUCAUGUGCAAACUCCAUACUGGAGACGCCCGUUGAUGAUGGCUACCUAACUAAAUGUCAUGAGGCGGUUACAGAAACAUGUUGCCUUUUCUGGACUCGUGUCCUUGAACGAUUUGCCAGUGCAAAGGCUCAAGAUGCCUCUGAGAUAAAAGUGAUGAUUGAGAACCUUGUUAAUGAUUUACUGACAGCAUUGAAUCUUCCUGAAUAUCCAUCAGUGUCUCCGAUUCUUGAGGUAAACGUUGUCUGUUACUGUGUUUGUUUUAAUUAGUCAAUGUUUUUUUCCCACUCUGACAGGUUAAGUCUUGCAGGUUCUCUGCGUCAUACUUCUGCAUAAUGGAGGAUUGAAAUCAAAAGAUGUCUCUGCCCGGUCAAUGGCCAUCGACUUGCUAGGUACAAUUGCUGCAAGGUUGAAACAGGAUUCUGUCCUCUGCAGUGGAGACAGAUUCUGGGCGCUACUAGAAUCAGAUACUGAAACCAAACUUGACCAAUCUGUUACAAAAGAUUGCGCUCUAUGUUUAGGUAAAAGGGCUGGGAACUUAUUAGGCUGUCAAAUUUGUCAAAGGCAGUUUCAUGCAGACUGUUUGGGUUUAAAGGAAGUAGACAUUCCAAGUCGAAAUUGGCAUUGUCCGUUUUGCAUAAGCAAGAGACAACUUCUUGUACUGCAGUCUUACUGCAAGACGGACACCAAGGGCACUGUUAUGUUGGAGUCAGAAGAAGAUCCAAAUAUGGUUACACAGACAGAAGUGGUGCAACAGAUGCUCUUGAAUUAUCUUCAGGAUGCUGGAUCUGUUGAUGAAGUGCAUACUUUCAUUUGCUGGUUUGUUCCUGACUCCUGUCAUGCGGAUUUUGCAAUUUAGGUAGGUCUUAUAUGGAAAGUACUUUGUGCAGGUUUUAUCUUUGCCUUUGGUAUAAAGAUGUCCCAAAAUCUCAGAAGAAAUUCAAAUAUUACAUUGCCAGACUCAAAGCGAAGUCAAUAAUCCGUAACUCUGGAGCAACUACUUCGUUCUUGACAAGAGAUGCUAUUAAGAAAAUUACUUUAGCUCUUGGACUUAACAGCUCUUUUUCUAGAGGAUUUGAUAAGAUUCUACACAUGCUCCUGGUUAGUGAAAGGUUUUGUAUGUAUCUUUUUAUUUUACUUUUUAAUUCUCUCUUUCCUCUAACUGUGUUAUUUUUUUAGGCUAGUUUAAGAGAGAACUCUCCCAUUAUUAGGGCCAAAGCUAUGAGAGCAGUAAGUGAGAAAAGUGUUAAAACACAUAAUUAUCUCUGUUUGUGGGUAAAACUAGAAUGCAGUUAUGCUCUACUUGCAAUGAUAAUACAUUCUCAUAUUGACCAUAACAGGUUAGUAUAAUUGUUGAAGCUGAUCCAGAGGUAUUGUGUGAUAAGCGUGUUCAGUUGGCUGUUGAAGGAAGGUUUUGUGAUUCUGCAAUAUCUGUUAGAGAAGCGGCACUGGAACUUGUUGGUAGGCAUAUUGCAUCACAUCCUGAUGUUGGUUUAAAGGUAAAUUGACCUUUUUCCCGUAUUGUUAUGGUUAUAUAACAUUCCCUACUACUGCUGUGUCUUUGCGGACCUAAGGAUUUUUUUUUGCAGUAUUUUGAGAAGGUAGCUGAAAGGAUUAAGGAUACUGGAGUGAGUGUUCGAAAACGAGCCAUCAAGAUAAUACGUGACAUGUGUACUUCAAAUCCCAACUUCUCUGAAUUUACAAGUGCAUGUGCCGAGAUAUUAUCUCGUAUCAGUGAUGAUGAGUCUAGUAUACAGGUAAUCUUUGUAUUUCAGUAUGCAUUGCUGUUUUAUCUUUCUUGGCCUUACAAGAUUUAUACUACAAAAAAAAAUUAUUCGUAGGAUCUUGUGUGCAAAACUUUCUAUGAAUUCUGGUUUGAGGAGCCUCCAGGGCAUCAUACUCAGUUUGCUAGUGAUGCUAGCUGCAUUCCAGUGGAAGUGGAAACGAAAACUAAGCAAAUGGUGGGGUUGUUAAGGAGGACCCCGAAUCACCAGCUUCUUGUAACAAUUAUUAAGCGUGCCCUGGCCCUUGAUUUUUUCCCUCAAGCAACUAAAGCUGCUGGUAUCAACCCAGUUGCUCUUGCAUCGGUACGCCGGCGCUGCGAGAUGAUGUGCAAGUGCUUACUGGAAAAUAUAUUACAGGUCAACAUUGAUGCUUCUUGUCUGUGCAUUGCUGGGCUGGUCAAAUACCAAUAUUUAACAUCCUUCUUUUCUGCCAGGUAGAAGAACUGAGCCGUAGAGAGGGAGACGUGCAAGUGCUUCCUUAUGUACUUGCUUUGCAUGCUUUCUGUCUGGUGGAUCCUGGGCUGUGUACACCGGCUUCAGACCCGACGAAGUUUGUUAUUACCCUACAGCCGUAUUUGAAGAGUCAGGUUAUAUAUGGCCACUAUGAUUAAGAUUCUUGUAAAUAAAUGAUUCUGUUAUGAGCUUCGCUAUGCUUGUUUUCUUUGAAAAAUGGUGGUAGUUAUCCUGAGAAGAAGUCAUAUGUGUGAAAGGUGUGUCCGCAAUAGUAUCUCAAGCUUUUAAAUGUUGCUAACCUCCAAUUCGUCAUGUGUUUGUUGCAGGUUGAUAGUAGAAUAGGAGCACAGUUACUAGAGAGUAUUAUUUUCAUUAUCGAUUCUGUUCUACCCUUGAUCCGCAAGCUUCCUUUUAGUGUCACAGAAGAUCUGGAGCAAGAUCUAAAGCAUAUGAUUGUUCGGCAUUCAUUUCUAACGGUUGUUCAUGCAUGCGUUAGGUACCCUUUAUUACUCAACAACCCUCAUUCCUGGCUCUUUUUUUUGCAGUAUUUUGAGAAGGUAGCUGAAAGGAUUAAGGAUACUGGAGUGAGUGUUCGAAAACGAGCCAUCAAGAUAAUACGUGACAUGUGUACUUCAAAUCCCAACUUCUCUGAAUUUACAAGUGCAUGUGCCGAGAUAUUAUCUCGUAUCAGUGAUGAUGAGUCUAGUAUACAGGUAAUCUUUGUAUUUCAGUAUGCAUUGCUAUUUAAUCUUUCUUUGCCUUACAAGAUUUAUACUACAAAAAAAAUCAUUCGUAGGAUCUUGUGUGCAAAACUUUCUAUGAAUUCUGGUUUGAGGAGCCUUCAGGGCAUCAUACUCAAUUUGCUAGUGAUGCUAGCUCCAUUCCAGUGGAAGUGGAAACGAAAACUAAGCAAAUGGUGGGGUUGUUAAGGAGGACCCCGAAUCACCAGCUUCUUGUAACAAUUAUUAAGCGUGCCCUUGCCCUCGACUUUUUCCCUCAAGCAACUAAAGCUGCUGGUAUCAACCCAGUUGCUCUUGCAUCGGUACGCCGGCGCUGCGAGAUGAUGUGCAAGUGCUUACUGGAAAAUAUAUUACAGGUCAACAUUGAUGCUUCUUGUCUGUGCAUUGCUGGGUUGGUCAAAUACCAAUAUUUAACAUCCUUCUUUUCUGCCAGGUAGAAGAACUGAGCCGUAGAGAGGGAGACGUGCAAGUGCUUCCUUAUGUACUUGCUUUGCAUGCUUUCUGUCUGGUGGAUCCUGGGCUGUGUACACCGGCUUCAGACCCGACGAAGUUUGUUAUUACCCUACAGCCGUAUUUGAAGAGUCAGGUUAUAUAUGGCCACUAUGAUUAAGAUUCUUGUAAAUAAAUGAUUCUGUUAUGAGCUUCGCUAUGCUUGUUUUCUUUGAAAAAUGGUGGUAGUUAUCCUGAGAAAAAGUCAUAUGUGUGAAAGGUGUGUCCGCAAUAGUAUCUCAAGCUUUUAAAUGUUGCUAACCUCCAAUUCGUCAUGUGUUUGUUGCAGGUUGAUAGUAGAAUAGGAGCACAGUUACUAGAGAGUAUUAUUUUCAUUAUCGAUUCUGUUCUACCCUUGAUCCGCAAGCUUCCUUUUAGUGUCACAGAAGAUCUGGAGCAAGAUCUAAAGCAUAUGAUUGUUCGGCAUUCAUUUCUAACGGUUGUUCAUGCAUGCGUUAGGUACCCUUUAUUACUCAACAACCCUCAUUCCUGGCUCUAUAGAUCGUUUUUGGCUUCACAUACGUUCAUUUUUAUUUGGACGAUCACAUAUGUACAUGGAACAUGCCGUCAAGAAACACCAUUCAUCUGUUUUUAAGGAUACUACCUUCUAUCUGAUUAGUGCUACCCUUCAAAUUCGCAGGUGUCUUUGUUCUGUGAGUAAAUUGUCGGGAAAAGGUGUUAGUGUAGUUGAGCAUCUUCUUCAGUUCUUUUUAAAGCGGCUGGAGGCCCAAGGGCCUGAUAACAACCAGGUGAGUUUUCCUUGAAAAGAUCAUGCGUCAGAAUUUUAUUGUGGUUCAACAUUUUAAGUCUUCUUUGAGUCUUCUUUCAUGCACAUGAUUUUACAAGUGGUUUUUUUUCUGGGGUCGGUAUAUUGUACUAUUGUAGCUUGCGUUUGUGUGCGUAAAUCCAGUUGCAUCUGUACCUUCAUUUGGGCCUUUUCUUAUUCUCGUUGGACUGGUAUCUUGUUUAUAGUUAAGCAGAGACAGGUGAUGUCGUUUUGCUCUUGCUUUUAUAAGAUCAUUAUUCUUUUCUGAUGUUGACCUUCAUUGUGGUUUUACUGCCUAAUGAUGGUAACAUUCAAUGUUUACAUAUAUCCCACCUGAGGGCGAGUGUCGUCUGAGUUGUGAUGACUGUUAUUCUUUACAAUGUUCAGCAACGGGUUACCUUGAAGCUAAAUGGUGAACAAUUUCUUGCUAACGCAGAUUGCUGGGCGGUCCCUUUUUUGUCUUGGCUUGCUUAUUCGCCAUGGAAACUCUCUUAUUAGCAUCUGAUAACAACCAGGUGAGUUUUCUUUGAAAAGAUCAUGCAUCAGAAUUUUAUUGUGGUUCAACAUUUUAAGUCUUCUUUGAGUCUUGUUUCGUGCACAUGAUUUUACAUGUGGGUUUUUUCUGGGGUCGGUAUAUUGUACUGUUGUAGCUUGCGUUUGUGUGAGUGAAUCCAGUUGCAUCUGUACCUUAAUUUGGGCCUUUUCUUAUUCUCGUUGGACUGGUAUCUUGUUUAUAGUUAAGCAGAGACAGGUGAUGUCGUUUUGCUCUUGCUUUUAUAAGAUCAUUAUUCUUUGCUGAUGUUGAUCUUCAUUGUAGUUUUACUGCCUAAUGAUGGUAAUAUUCAAUGUUUACAUAUAUCCCACCUGAGGGCGAGUGUCGUCUGAGUUGAGAUGAUUGUUAUUCUUUACAAUGUCCAGCAACGGGUUGCCUUGAAGCUAAAUGGUGAACAAUUUCUUGCUAACGCAGAUUGCUGGGCGGUCCCUUUUUUGUCUUGGCUUGCUUAUUCGCCAUGGAAACUCUCUUAUUAGCACCUCAGGUGGCAGGAAAUUUAAUCUCUCCGGCUGUCUCAGUUUGUUCAAACGACAUCUCCGCGUGGAAGAUUUUUCGUUGAAAGUCAGGUCUCUGCAGGUAUAGUACAUACUGUGCUAGUGUCUUGUACAUUCUCAAUAUUGCAUUAUGCUAGAAUAAUGGUGACCCCAAACUCAUGUAGGCUCUAGGUUUUAUUCUAAUUGCGCGGCCUGAGUACAUGUUGGAAGACGACAUUGGAAAGAUAAUCGAGAGUACAUUAUCAGAUGAAGCAAACGGGCGUAUGAAGGUAAAUAUCGCCCAUCUAUUUGUGUGUUUUCAGUUACUAUGGCAUACAUUUGUUUUAGGCAUGCAUAUGGUUACAUCCUUUUAUUUUAAUGCUCAUGAUCCAGAUGCAAGCAUUGCAAAACAUGUAUGAUUACCUUCUUGAUGCGGAAAAACAAUUGGGAUCCGAUAAAGCUGGUGAUAUCACGGUUAACCCAAUUGAGCAAGGUGGACAUACUGUACCUGUGGCCGCUGGUGCAGGUGACACCAACAUUUGCGGAGGCAUUGUGCAGUUGUAUUGGGAUAAGAUAUUAGGUAGAUGCUUGGACUUUGAUGAUCAAAUUCGCCAGAUUGCUCUCAAGGUUUGCUUUUUUAUAUUAUAUAAUCUUUGCUCAUGUCUCUUUGUUCUUCUGUAAAUUAAUGAGAGAUAUUCUCCCGCAGAUAGUGGAAGUUGUGCUACGUCAAGGUCUUGUUCAUCCUAUUACAUGUGUUCCUUAUUUGAUUGCCCUUGAGACAGAUCCUCUCGAGGCUAACCAGAAGCUGGCCCAUCAUUUACUAAUGAAUAUGCAUGAGAAGUAAUCCUCUUACUGUAUUUUACAAAAUUUUACAUUAUUCGCUCACCAAUAAUUGGCUCACUAACACACCUCGACAUUUUCAUCAGGUAUCCGGCAUUUUUUGAAAGCCGUCUCGGUGACGGACUUCAAAUGUCGUUCAUCUUCAUGCAAUCGAUAAGCCAGGUCUCUUCAGAAUCAAAUCAAAAUCUUCAGCAGAAGGGUUCAACAAACAUGUCGGGAAAAAAUGAUCAUACUAAUACCACUCUCACACAAGCUAGACUUGGAGUCUCUAGGAUCUACAAGCUUAUCCGUGGAAACCGGAUUUCUCGGAACAAGUUUAUGACAUCUAUUGUUCGCAAGUUUGAUAAUCCAACCUGGAGUGGCUCAGUGAUAUCCUUUCUGAUGUGAGUUUUCGCUGCUACAAAAAAAACUAUAUAGUCUCUCUUAGGUAAAAUAAGCACUAACUUUUCUGUCUCUCUUAACAGGUAUUGCACUGAAACCCUUGCGUUACUUCCAUUCACAACACCUGAUGAGCCACUCUAUCUUGUAUAUUCCAUAAACCGAGUUAUACAAAUCCGCGCUGGUGCAAUUGAGUCAAAUUUGAAGGCUUUGUUACACAAAGAUUCUGCAAAGCCUCAGCAUGGAAAUGGAACAUACCAACAAGAUCCGAUUCUUGGACAGAUUCACAUGAUGGACCUAAACACAAAAAUGCAAGAAGAACAAACGCAUUGGAAUUCGUAUGGUCAUCCAGCUCCAAUUGAUCUCAAUGGAAUAGUAUACCAAGAUCCGAGGGAUCAGUUUAAUUCAUAUCAAACCCACAAUGGAGAAGCAAAUGUGAACGAAAUGACCUCAUCUGAUCCGCCUGCAUUGUCCACCGAUGAUCUGCAGAAAAUUAAGGUACUUCUUCAUACUUUAUUGUCCUCUGAUUCCUAUGGUGUUAGAGUUGGGUCUGAAACUUUCACCUCUUCGGUAGGAAGAUUAAACUAAUGUAAACCGGGUCUUGCACAGCUCAGGCUAUGGUUUGAUUUUAAUCAAAUAUAUACUCAAUUUGUUUUUAAAAUGUUUCAAUUUGUGGAGAUAGAUUCUUUACAACAUUUUUUUUUGGGGUUGGCUGCAGAUCGGCCAAGUUCCAUUACAAAUGAUUUAUCCAACUUGAGCACCUCUUAAUAUGAUCGUUACUUGUUUUUAUAAAUAUAUGGCGUUUUUAGUCUCAUGGCAGUUUCUCUUUUGGUGCUCUUUCAGGUUGAUUGCUUAUCAGCUAUAGCUUUACAGCUUCUUUUGAAGCUCAAGAGAUACUUAAAAGUCACGUACAGCUUAAAUGAUGACCGGUGCCAAGUACGAUUCUUUCUUUCGAACUUGAAAUCCCUUUUUUUGCUUUCCUUUUUCUUUAAGCUGAACACGAAAACGUGAUUGUGUUCUCAGGCGUAUUCUCCAACGGAACCAUUGAAGCCAGGAGAUCCUCUGUCUAAACAGAACAUUGCCUUUGACCUCAGCGAAACUCGCACUGACUUACCUUCAACAUAUCAAGACUUGGUUCUGAGGUAUCAGGUAAAAAGCCGCCCUAGAAUUUUUGUCCUCCCCUCUAGAAUCUUAGAUCCAUGGGUAAAGAAAAGAUCAUUUUGUUGCAUUCAACUUCUCUAUUGCAGGAGUUUAAGAACGCGAUGAGAGAAGAUACACUUGACUACACCAUUUAUUCAUCAAACGUCAAGAGAAAACGCCCAACGCCAAGAAAAAGCUCAAGAUCUGCUAAGAAAGCAGUGGCCUGCAAUGAGGACGAUGAUGAUGACGACGAUGGUGACAGAGGCUGGAAUGGAGGAAGCAGUGGUAUGACUGCUCGGAGACUAAACUACAGUACCAGAAAUAGCAACAGAAGGUAAUGUCAGACGGCACUGGCUCCUGUUUUAGAUCACUACUAUAUAUACAGCAGCAACGAAAAAGAGAAUCAGAAUUGGCGAUAUUAUUUUAGGCUCUUAUAAGUCAUAACCCCAAUGUACAGUAUGAUUUCUUACAAAAUUAGGAAGCCAGGAACGAAUUGGUACGCACGUUGUAUAACCUUUUGUUAGGAUGAAAAAGAGAAGAAAUUGAAGUAGAAGAAUAUUAGAAUAGGUAUUUUGUCAGUUUGCUUUUGGAUGGCAUUCAGUAUUCACUAUUGAUUUGUACCCCCUUUCUCAUUGUUUAGGAAAUGGCGUCAUUGUCUAUCAACUUGUUAGCUUUAUUUAUCUUCUGGAGUUAUUACAGCUUGUUGGUAAUUAUAAUUUUUAGAACUCUGCUGUAGUUUUUGGUGGGUUUGUUGUUUCGGUUUUGCUUACUGAAUCUUCGUAGCCUCUUAGGUGAGACUGCGUAUAUACACUGGUUGCGUUUGACCAGACUAUAUAUUAAUAGAUGGGAUAUCCCAUAAUUGAUCGAGCUUUUAAUGGACAGGCAGACAUUUUUCUCACCUAAUAGGCAAAUUCAUAGUACAGCAUACUAUUAAUUUGUCUGAUUUGUUCGAAAGACAUGCAUAACUGAUAUGUUACGCGAUUCUCAAAAGAAAGUGAGUUCAGAAAGUUGAGAGAAAAAGAAAAAAAAAACAUAAAUAGCCGAACCCGAACCAACCUGACCGAGAUGAUUACUUUUAACGAUUGUCAGCACGUCGGUAUAAGCAGGAGUUUGAUGAUGUUCUGAAGCAGCUCAAAAUGACAGCUUCUUCAUUUCAAGGAGCGAUGGUAAACAGAGGCUGCACAGUUUAUUAUAGUAUUGAGCACAAGUUAAUGAUCUCAAAACCAAUCCAUAUAAUAUACGGGAGAGGGAGAGGGAGAGGGGGAGAGAGAGAAAGAUUAGUGGUUACCGUAUCAACGCUGACGGGUUUUCCAUCUUCAGCCAGUAAUUCAGUGAUGGUUCCUGACUUCUCAGCCUGUUUUCAACACACAUCUUCUUCACAUGUUACACAAACACAUAUAACCCCCAAAUAUAUUGACAAUGUACUGUUGUUAUAAAGAAAAUCACACCUCAAUCUCAUUCAUCAGUUUCAUAGCUUCGAUAAUGCAAACAACUUGACCCUUCUGCACUUUAUCUCCGACCUGCACAUUGCAUAAAACAUACCGGACUCACUUGAAAUGUUCAAUUACACUUCAUUCAGAUGAUUUUCUCUCUCUCUCUCUCUCUCUUUUUUUUGGCAUCUUCUUGUACCUUGACAAAAGGAGGUUCACCGGGUCCAGGAGACCUGUAGAAAGUACCAGCCAUAGGACUCUUCAGUGGAGGAUGAGAAGAGGAUGGUGCGGUUGCUGUAUUCGCUGUUGCAGGAGCUGAGGAGGGAGCAGGAGGAGACACUGGUGGAGAUGGAGGCAUUGGAAGGCCUUCCAUUGGAGGAGGAGGCAUCAUCGAGUGAUAAACUGGAGCUGGUUGCUGCGGUAAGGCUUCCUUCUUCCGAAUAACAAUCUCACAGUCGAGCUGCUUCAACUCAAGUUCCACUAUAUCUCUUGAAUCCACAAGCCUUAAUAACAUAACAAAACAAAAGUUUGAUUAGUUCUGUGUAGAGAAACAAAACUAAAAGGAUUGGCAAGGGAACAUGACAUACUUAAGAAGACCAGAGACUUUAGAGAUAAAGUCAGAGAGCUCGGCGGCGGGUUCAGGAGGAACAUUGGUCUUGACGUUUCCGUUCAAACAUCCACCGUUAGUCACUGGUGUAGAAUUAGACACAACCUUCGGGUUUGAAAAAAAAAAGUCGAAAAUGAGUGAGUAACAAGAAGGUUACAUCGUACUAUAUUAGCUGUGCAAGAAAGCUUUUACCUCAUUGGUUGUGGCACGCAACCUCCAGAUUGUAGAUUGAGUCUGUUGAAAGACGAAGGAAACAGAGGAUUAUGAAUCAGUGUAUACUAAGACAGCAACAUGACCGUCCUUGUAGUAUAAAAUAUGUGUACGAAAUGACUACAUGAGUUAUGAAGCAAGAGUGUCACAUCACAUUAUUCCAUUCGAUACAGAAGAAGGACGACUUUAAAGUUCCAUAGUUCAACAUGAGUGUCACAUCUCGUAGAGAAAGCUUGACACUUUAUUACAGGGAUAGAGGAGAGAAGCAGAAGAAAGAAACCUGAGAUACAUGGGAGACGUGAAAAGAGAUCCCACUGGGUUGAGGCUGCCGUCGGAUCCCAGGAAUAGAUUCGACCCGCCGGUUAGGAGCAGAGAUCUUGGCGUAAGGAACCGACAAUGACGCCAUUGUUGAGAUAGGAUGAAAAUGCACUUUGACGAUGUAACCGAGGAAGCACGACGAAGAAGAGAUGGUAGAGAGAGAUGUUUUACACUAUUGAUUUCUCCUAUUUUUUUUUUUUUUUAAUAGUACGUUUUUACACUAUUGAGAUGGUAGAGAGAGAGAGAGAGAGAGAUGUUUUUACACUAUUUAUUUGAUUUCUCCUUUUUUUUUUUUUUUUUUUUUUUUUUUUGUUCUGGUUUCGAUACUUACGAAGAACACCAAUUUAACUAACUUUCAACAAACUUUGUCAAUACUUGUUGUUGUUACUAGUAGGGACAACCCUCACUUUCUCAUGAUUUCACUCGUGUCUUUCUUUGUGCCUCACUGUCUGUAUCUCUUAUUUCUUUGAAUAACCCCUUAUAUACAUUUUUACGUGCCCUGUUAUAUAUAGUAUGUCUGUAUGUGUUCAGCUAAACCCCCAUCGAUCGAUGUGUUACUGAUCAAUGGCAUGUAUCUCCUCAAGUUUUAAGAAGGUGCACUUGCUUCCAUCAGAUCUGCCUUCGUUUCAUAAAAGCCCAUAUGGGUAUAUACUUUUUUCUUCCUUUCUGAAGGUGGACACUAUUUGUAGAAAGACCUUGUAUAGUUGUAUAGGGGUUUUAUGUUUUAAAUGGCUGUUGAAAUAGCCAGAAUAUACCCAUUCCAAAGCGGAUUUUGCAUUAACAAAUACGAAGCCGUUAAAUUUUUGUUCUUCACAGAAAUUUAAAAGUAGGUUUGCCCCACCUGUUAGUAUUCUAUGAAGCUCAUCUUAUAUGGCAGUUAAUCCAAAUUCAAACUGGAAGUUAGUUUUUUUUUGGGUAAAAAUACUGGAAGGUAGUAGUUAUAUCUUUCUGAACCAGAACUUAACCAGAGCAAACCGAAUUUUGUAAAGAAAUAUGAAAUAUUUCUAAUUUGUUUGGGUGGUAGAUCAUAUUAUUAACAAAGCUUUUCAAAGAUACUGACAAUAGAGAAUAGAGAUCGCUCAUGCAGGAACCAGUUUCGCUCCAAGAAGAUGAACUACAACAUCUGAUCAUCUUGUGUUGUGGUAUUUGAAACUUGGGGUCUCAGUGGUGCAGUUGAAUGCCUGCUCGACAUUUUCAAUGGUUAGAGGAAAAUAACAAGAAGCAAUUGUAUCAGCUUUUACUAAUAAGCUCAUUUGUUCUAAGUAGGUCCUCUACUAACUACUGUCUGUCGAGCCUAUGUGUAUGCAAAGAGGUUCAUUGUUCUGAUUAUUUAUAGUUUGGUGGUCUGGUUUUGGAAAUAAGUACAGUCUGAGCGAACCAAGGUGCGUGAAUCCAAGACUGGAUAGGUGUGGGAAGGUUUCACUACGUUGGAUCAAGCUAGAGGUGAUCUUGAUUUGGCUUAAUAAUUUUACUAUUUAUUCUGUAUUUAUUUAGAAAUAUCCACGGGAGAAGAUCACAUAAAUAACAGUCCUAAUGUAACUAUUAAUUUCUACUUAAAACAUGAAUAGUUUAUAGGCGUGUCCGGCAACCAAAAUCAACCAACUAAUUUGUGGGUCCCAAAGAUGCCGCUAUUUGUAAAUUUUCUGGUGGUCAACCGGAAUCGAACCUCAUGUAUUAAUAUUUAUUAUUUAAAUUAUCAUAUCUUAAAUUUUAUUCAAAAUAAUGUGAACUACGAUAUAUUUAUGUUUGUUCAUAUAUUUUUAAGAUACAACAAUAUUCUACAAACAAUUGUUGUAAGAUAUCAUUUUGUAAAAUGUGUUUUUUUAACGUUUAGUUAAUUAUGCUAUUACAACGAUGAAAAAUAUUACAUAGACAAUUCUACAACCGACAAUUCUACCACCUUAUGAGAAUACACGUCUGACUGCGUUAUUCCAAGCCGCCCUAUGAGAUCCAUGUCCGAUGGUACGCUAUGCACCAUGCCGAAGACUCUUGUAACCUUUUUUUCUUUUCCAUAAUCUGCAUAAUUUAGAUUUUCUGGGGUUUGAACUCUAGACUUUUUGAUGUAGAAGCAUUAAUGAACAUUUAGGAUAUGACUGGUUUCUUCGCUACCACCCGCAAACGCAGCUUUUGCGGUUGGUAGCGGUUGUUGGUGUUUUGCAACAAUCACUCAAAUCGAUCUAAACUGCUUCAAAUCGCUAUAAACCUCAUAAAUUCAAAAGUUGGGUUCAACUAUCGUUUGUGGUUGCAGACGGUACAUGAAGAUUAAUUUUUUUAAAUAAUAUAAAUACAAAAAUUAAAAUUAAAAUUAAAAUUAAAAUUAGAAUUAUAAAAAUACUAAAAUAUAUCUAUUAUAUUUUAAUUAAUAUUAUAAAAUUUUAAAAUAAAAUAUUUUCUAUAAUUUUUUAAAAUUUAAAACUAAAACUUUCUAAAUAUAAUUUUUAUAUUUAUUAUGAUAUUAUGAUUUUUUAUAUUUUAUAAUUAUAUAAAAUGUAAAUAUUGUUAAUUUAUUAUUUAACCGCAGUCAUAAGUAUACUACAAACACGCCAAUUUCUAACCGCAGAAUCAGUCGUACAAAUCUCUUAGAACCGCUAGAAACCGCAAUCACUCGCAUCCGCAAACUCCCGCAACCGCAACCGUUGCGUUUGAACCAGUACUGCCUUAGUCAAACUAUUCAACUUUGUAAAAUGUGUUAAGAAUGAGAUUACUCGUAAAUUUUUAAUAUAUUAAAAAUUACCAUAUCUAGCAAUUACUAUAUUUUUUUUUUUUGAUCAAAUCUAGCAAUUACUAUAUUUGAUUACAUAACGGUAUGGAGUACGCUGAGUCGCUGACAGAAAAACUGUAUUGAGUACAUAUUGCUGAAAGUGAAAGGUGUUCUAAGUGACCGCAUUCCAACUCAAAGGUAACAUGGCAAACCAUAUUAUUGAGUUGUAUAGAAAUCAGCUUUUUGGGUGGUCAACGUACACAAACCGUGUUAUAUUCGCAUUUUUUCAGAUCUGGUUUAGGUUUUUAUUUUGAUUUAUUUAAUAUUACAUAUGUUUCAACCACACUCUUCUCGGUAUAUUUUAUUCAUUAAACUAGUGUUAAAUAGCUUGAGAAGCACUUCAAAAAGUGUGACUGAGUUUCUAAGCAAAGUGCAAUCAAGUUUUGUCCAGCAGACUCCACCGCACAAUCACUUAGGUACUGAUACAAAAUGUUUUUAAUAACAAUAGAUUAAGACGUACAUUAUUGAUACACCAACCCAACCUUCGGGAAGUAUAUCAUAGACUAUCAAAUGAACAGUGACGCACAUAAAACAAUGUUUUUUUUUUUUUGAAAAAAGGCUACACAUAAAACAAUGUUGUAUUAUGUAUCUACAAAAUAAUUAACACAAGGGUAUCUUUAUUAACUAUACGUGUAAAGUUGUAAAUUGAGAGAAAGAUACACAUGCAUUGUUAUUCCUUAACCUUUUGAAUUUUCCUUUUCCAGUAAACACUAACACUAUUAUUGGUGUUUUGAUGUAUAGGCAUGUUCUUUUUCUCCACGAGUGCGGUAGCGUCAGCGGCUUAAAAACAAGAAGAAAAUAUUGUAAUUAACGCCAUCAUUUUUUGAGUUUGUGUCGAUGUGAUUAUUUUACUGAGUGUUGUCGAUGAUGUUAGUGACGCUGAAAAAAAAAGUGUUCAUCGGAAUUGCCUUCCUGGUCAAACGAGGACGUCGCUGCCAUUUAUUCUCCACAUCCUUAAGCCUCAAGAAACUUACAAUUAGGCAUUAUUUUGAAUGCUUGAAGCUGACGUUGCGAUUCUUUACCAAACAGGGUUUAUCAUGUAUCUUUCUGAUUUUGUAAUUUUUUUGAUCAAAUAUGUAUCUUUCGAUAAUCUGCCGCUAACACCAGUACAAAACGUAGUAGGAAAUUAUAAGAGUUUUGUAUAUUGUGUGGAAAUUAACAAAGUGAUACUUUCCCCAUUGCUGGCAAAAUCUCUGAAUAAUAAAUGUUCUUUUAAGUUAAAGUAGUUGCAUUUAUGUUGGUCGGAACACUAGAUUGAAAGGAAAAAGGGACCAUGAAUAUUUUGUUCCCAACAGGCAACAUAUCUUAUAUAAUAAAAAAAUGUUCCUCUCUCCCGGUGAAUCCACGUCAGUAAGUCAAUUCCUCUCAGUGUGACAUGUGUGCAAUUCUGUUUUUUUCAUCUUUUUAAUUUGUUUUUUUGAGCUUCACGAGUGGGCUUCCGCUUUUAUUAAAUGAGUUAUUGAAAAUUAUUUUCUAAACCCAAGUCCACCAUCCUCCCUUUUAUAUAAUAAAGAAAUGUUUAUCUCUCCUGGUGAAUCCACGUCACUAAGUCAAUUCCUCUCAGUGUGACAUGUGUCCAACUCUGUUUUUUCAUAUUUUUAAUUUGUUUUUUUGGGCUUCACGAGUGAGCUUCCGCUUUUAUUAAAUGAGUUAUUGGAAAUUAUUUUAUUAGCCCAAGUCCACCAUUCUCCCUUUUCUCCAACCAAAAAAACUGAGAUAGACCACGUCUGUAAUCCAAACAUUUUUUUUUUAAAUUUAAACAAACUUUUUUUGCGUCAAAAACUCCAAAAGAUUACAUCUAAGCCUGCGAUUUAGGUAAAUCUGGAAAAAAUCGAUUAAGUUAAACUGUUUUCUGUUUUUUUUUUUUCAGACCGAGAAAUAUCUAUAUAAUUGAACUAAACAGAUAAAAUGCUGUCACUUUAUGUUGAUGAACCGUGAAUCAAAUCCUAAUUUAUCAAGUAAAACAGAGAAGAGGAAAGUGAACGACGAAACAUAAUUAGAUGAAUAGGGAGAUUAGGUGGUGAAGAAGAAGAUGGGAUCAGGUGGUAAAGAAGAAGGUGAGGUGGUUAAACGAAGAAGAUGGAUGAGAUGAAAAGGGAGAUUAGGUGAUGAAGAAGAUGCAGUGAGGAGGUGAAGACGAAGGUGAGGUGAUGAAAAAAGAAUACGGGUCGGAUGAGAUAGUGAAAGAAAGAAGAAAAUUAGGUUUAGUCCGCUGAGAGAGAAACAAUAAAAGUACAUUUUUUUUCUUUUUUAGUUCAUUUAACCUUUCGUUUAAUUUUUAUGUAUCCAAUCAAGUUAAAGUCCACUAAUAACCCAAUAACUAAAGUUAAUUAAUACAAAAUAUGGAUAUUAGACAAGAAAAACUCAAUAAUGCAUUCACAGAUCAAUUUAACUGGAAAAUUUUUUUUACUAGACACCUAAAAACAUGACCAUCAAUUUAAAAAUAAUACAUAAGUGACAUUAUUCUCAAAUCAGAACCCUAGAAUACAUCAUAAUUUAUUUAAAAUAACAUAACUAAUAAAUUUAGUUAUACUACUAUAACUUUUAUAAAAUUUAAAUUUAGCCUAGAUGUAUGGUAUAAUAACAUUUUAAACAUUUUAUUAUAAAAAAUUCAAUAAUUUUAAAUAAAUUAUAUUUAUAAAAUAAUAUAUAUUUAUAUUUAAUACAAGAUUUAGCUAGCUGUUAAUAAAAACACAACCAAUCUAUCUAUAACACUAAAAUAUAAUUUAGUCUCUUCUUAGAGAGACAAUUACCUAUCCCUCAUGUUAACACGUAAACUUUAAAACAUUAAUCAUCUAGCAUUAUUUUCGGUUUUUUACUAGGAUCUAAUGAUUUUUGGUUUUAUCAAUUUGAUAGAUAAACUGAAAUAAAGUGCUAAAACAUUUAUUAUUAUUUUUAGCUUCCACUCUGAUUAAUUGAUGCCAUAUUAGAAUUUGUUCGGUUUGGUAUUGAUUUUGGAUUCAAACUAGAUCUAGCUUUAAAAUAAUAUUACAAUUCAAAUUCUCUUUGUAUAUAAACAGAUGAGUUAAUAUUGCAUUUGUAUUUUGAGUUUGUUAAAUAUAUGCAUAUAAAUUAAAAUUAAAAUAUUUUUAAAGAAAAAAUCUGGUUUAGUAUGGUUACACUACACUAGCAAUAAUAAAAAAAGGUACUCUCCUUCAAUAGAUUAUAGUACAACAUCAUGAAAUCUCAACAAGAACCGGUGUAAUGUCAUCCCAAGGAAAAAAUAAAACCUAACUAAUUAUCAAAAUAACAUAGUUUAUUUAGACUUAAAAAAAAAGAAAAACAAGUACAUAAUUUAGCUACUAUUUAUAUUUUUAACUAAUAAAAAUUAAAAUAAUUAUUUACUCAAACUAUUUCGAUUGUUUUCGAAUAUACAUCCCGUCCGUAGGACGGACCGACCUAGUAUAUAUAUAUAUAUUUAUGUUUUAAAAUACUAGAAAAAAUCUAAGAAAAGAAAAACGGAUACAUAGUAUUUACUAUUUAAUAAACUGAAUACGUGUAUGCGAUAAAUUUUUGGUUGACAUAUACGAGAAUACAGUCUAUUAAAGUUGGUCGAGAUCCAAUCUCUUGACGGUGUAGUAUGUCAAAUGUUUAACGUGUCUUUAACACUUGAACACCACCUGCCAAACAUUGUGAGACCCCCAUCGUUUUCUUUGCAACCUUUUACAUUUAAUCUUUAACUGAAAGUGUUAUUAGCUUAAUAUAAUUUUUUUGAUCAAGCAAUUAAAUUAAAGUAACCCGAAAACACUUUUAAAACGCGUUACACUUUGACGGUUUCAAGGGCAUUUUAGGAAUCUCAACACCUAUAUAAACUCCCUACUCGCCCCGCUCUUCUUCUCCAUCGCCAGAUUCAGCGAUUCCCCCAGCUCCGUUUCUUCGAUUAUUGUAUACCACUAGCUUGCCACAAAGGUAAAACGAUCAAUUGUAUCUUUCUCUCUGGUUAAUCCGUGCUUUCAAGAUCCAAUUUUGUGAUCCGUGUUUGGGUUCGAUCUGUGUCGGUGAUCCGCAAACGUAACUUAAUUUCUCUCUGCAUGUACCAGAUCUGAGAUUUUGAUUUGAAUUUCUCGCUUUAUGUUUAUCAUUUUCGUUGAAUUUCGAGCUCAUUGUUAAGCAUGAUCAUGAAUGUUUGAUCACUGUUCUGAUAUUAAUUGGAUCAUGUUUACGUAAAUCUAUUUUAUUUGUACAUCUGGUUUUCCUUAAACCGGAUCUGGGUUUUCCAUAACCGGAUCUGGGUUUCCUAAAGUUUUGAUUUUUAUUGUGGAUUCUACUUGUCAAUGUUUAUAGCUGUUAUUCAAAUUGCUAAUGACCUUUUGUUCAUUAAUAUUGUGUAAUAUAUUUAAUUUAAUCUCUUACUUGGUGUUUAUUUAUGUUUAAUUCAGGUUUUAAACAAGCAAAAAAAAAUGGUGAAGAUAUGCUGCAUUGGAGCUGGAUACGUCGGUGGUCCAACCAUGGCAGUCAUCGCUCUAAAAUGCCCAUCCGUUGAAGUAGCCGUCGUUGACAUCUCCGUGCCCAGGAUCACCGCCUGGAACAGCGACCAGCUCCCCAUCUACGAGCCUGGUCUUGACGACGUCGUCAAGCAGUGCCGUGGGAAGAACCUUUUCUUCAGCACCGACGUUGAGAAGCACGUCAGAGAGGCCGACAUUGUCUUUGUCUCUGUCAACACACCCACCAAGACCCGCGGUCUCGGAGCUGGCAAAGCUGCCGACUUGACUUACUGGGAGAGCGCUGCUCGUAUGAUCGCUGAUGUGUCCGUUUCCGACAAGAUCGUUGUCGAGAAAUCGACUGUUCCGGUUAAAACCGCAGAGGCCAUUGAGAAGAUUCUUACGCAUAACAGCAAAGGGAUCAAGUUUCAGAUCCUCUCCAACCCUGAGUUUCUCGCUGAAGGAACCGCUAUUGAGGAUCUCUUCAAGCCUGACCGUGUCCUAAUCGGUGGCCGCGAGACGCCUGAAGGGUUUGCAGCUGUUAAAGCCUUGAAAGACGUUUACUCCCAAUGGGUCCCUGAAGAGAGGAUCCUCACCACUAAUCUCUGGUCCGCUGAGCUCUCCAAGCUCGCUGCUAACGCCUUCUUAGCUCAGAGGAUCUCGUCGGUUAACGCGAUGUCAGCUCUCUGUGAAGCAACGGGCGCCAAUGUCACGGAGGUCUCUUACGCUGUCGGUAAAGACUCACGUAUCGGUCCCAAGUUCUUGAACUCGAGUGUUGGCUUUGGAGGUUCUUGUUUCCAGAAAGACAUCCUCAACUUAGUCUACAUCUGCGAAUGCAACGGCUUACCUGAAGUCGCUGAGUACUGGAAACAAGUCAUCAAGAUCAACGACUACCAGAAAACCAGAUUCGUUAACCGCAUCGUCUCCUCGAUGUUCAACACCGUCUCCAACAAAAAGAUCGCUGUUCUCGGUUUCGCCUUCAAGAAAGACACUGGAGACACGAGAGAGACACCAGCCAUCGAUGUCUGCAAAGGCUUGUUAGGUGACAAAGCUCGUAUCAGCAUCUACGACCCGCAAGUCACGGAAGAGCAGAUCCAGAGAGACUUGACCAUGAACAAAUUCGACUGGGACCACCCGCUUCAUCUCCAGCCCAUGAGCCCCACCACUGUGAAGCAAGUCUCGGUCGCUUGGGACGCGUACGCUGCGACCAAAGACGCUCACGGUAUCUGCAUUUUGACCGAGUGGGACGAGUUCAAGAAGCUGGAUUACGAGAAGAUCUUUGAUAAUAUGCAGAAGCCGGCGUUUGUUUUCGAUGGUAGGAACGUGGUGGAUGCUGAGAAGCUGAGGAAGAUUGGGUUUAUUGUUUACUCUAUUGGUAAGCCGUUGGACCAGUGGCUCAAGGAUAUGCCUGCUCUUGCCUAAACCAAAACCAAACAAAACCUCUUCCUUAGCUUUUUUUAUUUCAUUUUUUCCCCCGAAUUAUUAUGUUUUUCAUACAAUUUUUUUUCCAUUUUAAUAUGUUUUGAACAAUAAUUGUCGGUUCUGUUAUUCUUAUGAAAAUCCAACAGAGAUUUUUAGGUUUGGUUUCUGUUGGUAAUUAUGUACCUUGGGUUAUCAUAUAUUGUAAGUUUUUCAAGUAUUAUUACAUGUUAUAAAAAGUUUUCUCCAGUUGGAAAUUACAUUCAUUUCUACAUGAGCAUAAACAUAAGCUAAAUCUUUUUUUAAAAUAAAUCCUUGAAAACCCUAAACCCUUAGAAUCAAAACCAACAAGCACCAAAGCAUAUCAUGUCUUAAAAAUAAUAUUUGGUAAUAAGGCCAAAACCAAAAACGUAUGAUAAACCAGUGGUGGUAGUCCAGUGGCGCUUGAGGGAAUAAAUCCAAUACGGCGAACCGUGGUUCGAACCCCGCUAGCCACACGGAUAUGGGUUAUUGCUUUCGGCUCAUUUGAAUGCCCAGGAGAGGGUUUAUCCGUGGACUGUACCUCCACCGGGAGCUAGGUCUGUGUCUUUAAUAGAUCUGGGUUAGGUCUGUGUCUUUAACAGACAUAGAUUUAACUUUUUUUUGUCAAAAAAAAAAAACGUAUGAUAAGAAGCCAAAACCAAAGGAGUGGUUGGUGGGGUGAUGAAACGUGGAAAGAAUAGCGCGAGUUUCUUGGGGGAACAAGUCUAAUUUAGGUCAGUUGAAACUGCCAAAAUGAUGUGACUUUGAAUCUAGGUUUUACAGAACUGAGCUUGGAAAAGGAGCUAUGGAGUGUUCUGAUUCAGCUCCUGAGAUUAGUACUGAACCUUAUAAGAGGAACGUUGAGCAUCAAACGCAGGUUAUGCAACAAAAUAUUCGUCUAAUCAAAGCUCUAGGUGGUCAAUCAGACGUUCCAUCAGUAGAGGAUGAAUCCAUAAAUAAAGAAAAAAAAUACUCUUGGGACCGACACAAGUGUAGUACUGCUCCUGCUUAAGGAAUUUCAGGUCGGUUCAUGCUUUGGGUGGCCACAAGAAGUGUCACGGCAAGGGACAACACUCAAAAAAAACACAGCAUUCCGGUUUGAGUCAAAUUUUUUGACGAUUUGAAAAGUCAUACUAGAAUGUGUCGGUCGGGUCUAUGCCCUAUGGUAUUCAACAAAAUAAUUGAGCAUAUAAAAUGAAAUUAAAUAACACUACUUUUUGUAAUAUGUUCAGGUUCAACGAAAACGACACAGAGAAAUGUACGGCAAUCUUUGUACCUAAUUUUGAGGAAAAAAUCCCUAUGGUGAAAUUGGACCUACCAGCUAUUAAUUAGCUAAGAUAUAACAUCAAAUUAAUUGUAUUAAACACACCCAGUUUUCAUGUCAGAGGACGCGGUUUACUGUGCUGAGUAAAUAUCUAAUUAUCAUGUAUGGUGGAAAAGCAAUUUAAUUGUCAAUUUUCAUUAUUACUAAGUUUGAAUAGGAAAAUUAGUUAAUAUAUCAAUCAUUUAAAAGAGGAGAGAUGGAAAAGCAAAACUCUUUGCUUAGCCAUGAAAAUAUAGGUGGAGACAGACAAAUGUAUAAUUAGCAAUCUACAAAACAAUCCCUAAACUCAAGGUUAAGACACGAAUUCAUUAAUACUCUCACUUAAUUAUUAUAGAUCUUGAAAUAAAGUAUAGUUUUUUUUAUUUUAUUUUAUUCUUUUUAUAUAUCCACCGGCAAAACGAGAGAUCACUGAGAACAAAAGCUCUUUGUUAUUCAUCUCUUCAUUCCUUUCUUCUUCUUCUUCUUCUUCUUCCUCAGCUCUUAGAAUUCGAAUCAGUAUAAAAGACGUGACUUUGUGGCAAACCCAUUUACGAUUUAUCGUAUUGAGCGGGAAUCUCAAAUUUUGAUUGGUGAUCGGGAAAUCUCCAAUGCGGUCUACGAGAAUUCCACAAGGAAGAAGAAGAACAGCGACAAGGAACCAAUCAGAGAAGAAGGAGGCUAGAUCGGGAGAUCGGAGAGGAGGAAUCUGAUCUGAUGUUGUGUUUGGGAUUGUUACGAAUUAGGGUUUUCGAAUUCGUCGUCGUAGUGGUGGUGGGGAGGCACGAUCAAUGAUGCAGCUUCACAUAUCGCCUAGCAUGAGAAGCAUCACGAUCUCGAGCAGCAAGGUCGCAGCUCGUCACAUCUCUUACCGAACUCUCUUCCACACCAUCUUGAUCCUCGCCUUCUUGUUGCCUUUCGUCUUCAUCCUCACCGCUCUCGUUACCCUCGAAGGUGCCAACAAGUGCUCCUCCAUUGGUAAAAUAAAAAUCACCUCUUUUUAGGAUCUUCCGACAAAAAAGUUUGCAUCUUUUUAGUGUCCACUGUCACAAGCAUCUUGUUGUGAUCGUACUAGAAUGGGGCUUACGUCAAUCAAGUUUUUUUUUUUUGGAUUUUUCUUGUUAGGUCCCCCACUGAUUAAAUUUUGUAGGAUCUUGCUAUAGUUUUUUGUUAUUCUAUAUGCUGUCUUGAGGUAUCUCGGUUCUAUGCUUUGUUUAUAUGGUUUAGGAUGUUCAUUUGCUGAGUUCGUUUCACUUGAAUGAUCUGCUUUGCUUGAUCUCUCUCAUUAAAGUUUCUUCCUUCUUUACUCUCAGAUUGUUUAGGGAGGCGGUUAGGUCCACGUCUUCUUGGUAGGGUAGAUGAUUCAGAGGUGAGUUGUUGCUUUUCUUUACUCUAUUAUUUUUUCUGUAUCUUCUUGAAUAAUAUUUUCCCAUCAUGUCUCUCUCUCUUGCUGCAGAGACUAGCUAGAGACUUUUACAAAAUCCUUAACGAAGCAAGCACUCAAGCCAUUCCAGAUGGUUUGAAGCUUCCAGAUUCUUUUAAUCACCUUGUUUCGGAUACCAAGAACAACCACUAUGAUCCCAAAACAUUUGCUCUUGUCCUGCGUGCCAUGGUACUACGCUUUGUCUCUAUAGUGAGCCAUAUAAAUUAGAAGAUAAUAUCUUUAUGUGAUUGUGUUUAUAUCUCUGCCUUGAAACAGAUGGAGAAGUUCGAGCGGGACAUUAGGGAAACCAAAUUUGCAGAGCUAACGAACAAGCACUUCGCAGCAAGCUCCAUCCCCAAAGGCAUACACUGUCUCUCCCUAAGACUGACGGACGAAUACUCCUCCAACGCUCACGCUCGUCGUCAACUACCUUCACCAGAGCGUCUCCCUCUCCUUUCAGAUAACGCUCACCACCAUUUCAUCCUCUCCACCGACAAUAUAUUGGCUGCAUCGGUCGUGGUCUCCUCCGCAGUGCAGUCAUCUUCAAACCCUGAGAGAAUCGUCUUCCACAUCAUCACAGACAAGAAGACCUACGCCGGUAUGCAUUCGUGGUUCGCCCUCAACUCUGUGGAUCCUGCUAUAGUGGAAGUUAGAGGUGUUCAUCAGUUUGACUGGCUGACGAGAGAGAAUGUUCCGGUUCUGGAAGCUCUGGAGAGCCAUAACGGUCUCAUGAACUAUUACCAUGGGAGUCAUAUCGCUGGGGCAAACCUCAGUGAAACAACUCCGAGGAGAUUUGCUUCCAAGUUGCAGUCUAGAAGUCCUAAAUACAUAUCUUUGCUCAACCAUCUUAGAAUCUAUAUACCGGAGGUGAAUCUUAUAAUGUUUCAACUUUCACUUGUGAUUCAUUCAUAUGCCAAUUUUAAUCUUCUUUUUUUUUUUGGAAUAUUAGCUUUUUCCGAACUUGGACAAGGUGGUGUUCUUAGACGAUGAUGUAGUUGUUCAGAGAGACUUGGCUCCGCUUUGGGAUAUUGAUCUUGGUGGUAAGGUCAACGGAGCAGUGGAGACUUGCAGGGGUGAAGAUGCAAGUGUGAUGUCAAAGAGGUUAAGGAACUACUUCAAUUUCUCUCACCCGCACAUAGCAAAGCAUUUGAAUCCUGAAGAAUGCGCUUGGGCGUAUGGAAUGAAUGUAUUCGAUCUAAAGGCUUGGAGAAAGACGAACAUCAGAGAAACGUAUCACUCAUGGUUAAGAGAGGUAAAUCAAAGAAGCCUUGCGCUCUUUUUGUUAUCUCACUCUCUUACUGUGUUUGCUUUUGGUUUUUGAGCAGAAUCUGAAGUCGAAUCUGACAAUGUGGAAGCUUGGAACGUUGCCUCCUGCUCUUAUUGCGUUUAAGGGUCACGUCCAUAUUAUAGACUCGUCAUGGCAUAUGCUUGGUUUAGGCUAUCAGAGCCAGACCAACGUAGAGAGUAUCAGGAAAGCGGCAGUGAUCCAUUACAAUGGGCAAUCAAAGCCGUGGCUGGAGAUUGGUUUCGAGCAUCUCCGGCCGUUUUGGACAAAAUACGUCAACUACUCGAAUGAUUUCAUCAAGAACUGUCACAUCUUGGAGUAGCAAAAGACGAAACUUUCAGAUGGGAUUAUAUUGAAGGUAACUACGGGUGUAAGAGACAGAGGAAGAUAUUAGGAAGAGAAGAGAUAAAAACAGGAGCAGAGCAGUGCAGGUUUUACUCACUCUAAAAAGAUUUAAGAAAUAUUAGUUUGCUACAUACAUAUAAGAUACUUGUUGCAGAGCAAAGGGGAUGAUGCUACUGCUGCUGCAGGUGCAUAAGAGAAAGGGAGAGAUAAAAAAAGAUUCAUUCUUUAUGUAGGAUAGAAGGUACCCUUUUUUGAAAAUUCGUUCAGAGAGAAUAUGAAAAUUAGUGAGUCUUUUAUAAGAAUGAGAAAGAUUGGAUUAUAUUAAAUUUAUAUUGGUUAUGAAGGGGGUGAUAUGAACAGAAAAGGGGUAGUGUUUGAUAGUUGAAGAGCAAUGUAUAACACUUUUGUUGCUUUUGCUCUACAUCUAUCUUAUUAAUAUAAUUUCUGGUUCUUUAGAAAAAUGUCUUCUUUGUUAGCUCUGCAUAGUCAUUUGAAGCUGCUGUGAUUUAUAAUUCAAAAAAAAUAAAUGGAAUGUUAAAAGGUUGAGCAUUUUCAUUGGCGUGCAUAUAAGAUGGGAAGAAGGAGAGAAAGGAAUGGGAGCAUUUGGAAGCAUUUGAUUAUUAAGAUCCCAUAACUAUUGAAGUAGUAUUCAAAAGGUGAUCUGAAACAGAACAAAUAUGUCUGUUUAUGUUUUGGACAUGGAUUUUAACAACAACAACAAAAAGUGCAAGAACAGAGUACAGUUAAAAUAGCUUUGGGAGAUUCAAAUUAUCUUCUUCAAUAUUUUCUUUCCUGUAAUUGUUUUGGGUGAGCUUUUUGAUUGCUUGAGGUUUGGUUUGAAAUGUAAUUCUGAUUCUUAACAGUGGAAUCAUAGAUAACAUUUUCAAAUCUGCUGUCAAAACUCUUGAGAUAAAUUACUGCAGAAUAAGAAACUGAGAGUGGAUUAAACUGUUUGGUUACACGCGCUCCAUAGCUGCAAGUGGGGUUACACUGUUUUAUUUCUGCUACAGUCGUACUUGGGCCGGCCGACCUCUUAAGCCCAAGUUUCGAAAAAAUAUAUUUUCUAUUUAGACGGCUCAUAUUAUUUCCACAUCGGAAAAUCAAAUAAUUUCUUUGAGAUAACACGUGUCAGAAGAAGUUCCAGACUCAUCCCGAGGGAUCACGAAGGCUCUUCGGCGUCGUUUAGCAUCUUCCUCUCCCUUCUUUAUUAUUUCCUCUUCUCACUUCUCUUGCAUCUCGCUAACUAAACUACACGAAAACACAAGCAAAAAGCGUUAUCGUUUGCUCAAUUCUUAAGUAAACAUCUCGCCGUUUCAGCGAAUUUAUACUAAACUCCCUGUUGUAAUACAUCUCCCUUUGUAAACUGUACCGUUUUUAAUUUCUCCGAGCAAAUGGCGACGGCUAAGACGACUGCUACGGCGGCGUUUAGUAGUAUCGUCGGCGGCGUAGGAUCAGACUCCCGAAAGGUUUCUUCUUUCUCUCACCUCCAACCUUCCGUGGCUUUUCCGGCGAAACCCAGCUCCUUCAAAGCGCUGAAACUAAAGCAGAGCGCGAGGCUCACUCGAAGACUUCAACAUCAACCGUUCGUCGUCCGAUGCGAAGCUUCUUCUAAUGGAAGGGUAAAGUCUCAAACUUUAAGCUUUAUUUUACUGUAAGAAUGAUGAAACUGAUAACGAACACAUGAUCUUUGAAUUGUAUAGCUUACACAGCAAGAGUUCACAGAGAUGGCGUGGCAGUCGAUAGUCUCUUCACCAGACGUGGCUAAAGAGAACAAGCAGCAGAUCGUGGAGACGGAGCAUCUCAUGAAAGCUCUUUUGGAGCAGAAGAACGGUUUAGCUCGCAGGAUUUUUUCGAAGAUCGGUGUGGAUAACACCAAGGUUCUUGAAGCUACGGAUAAGUUCAUUCAACGCCAGCCAAAGGUGUAUGGAGAAGCUGCUGGUUCGAUGCUUGGACGUGAUUUGGAAGGGUUGUUUCAGAGGGCGAGACAGUAUAAGAAAGACUUAGGGGACUCUUAUGUCUCUGUUGAGCAUUUGGUUCUUGCUUUUGUUGAUGAUAAGCGGUUUGGGAAGCAGCUGUUUAGGGAUUUUCAGAUAUCUGAGAAGAGUUUGAAAACUGCUAUUGAGUCCAUUAGAGGGAAACAAUCAGUCAUUGACCAAGGUUGGUAACUUCAUUUGACGUUGAGAGUUUGUAAGAGUCUAGAGACUUGAGUGUUUAUGUUUUGACAGAUCCGGAAGGCAAGUAUGAGGCGUUGGAGAAGUAUGGUAAAGAUUUGACAGCGAUGGCGAGAGAAGGAAAGCUUGAUCCUGUGAUUGGAAGAGAUGAUGAGAUCCGUAGAUGCAUUCAGAUUCUCUCAAGGAGGACUAAGAAUAACCCUGUGUUGAUCGGUGAACCUGGUGUUGGUAAAACUGCAAUCUCAGAAGGGUAAGUUGUCACUACACUAAACUUCAGAAACUUAAACCAUAUGUUUAUGUGAUGCUCAGAGGAUUGUGCAAGGAGAUGUGCCUCAAGAUAUACUACUUUUAAAACAGGCUUGCUCAGAGGAUUGUGCAAGGAGAUGUGCCUCAAGCAUUGAUGAACAGAAAGGUAUUCAACUAUAACAUCAAAGUUUUAUCUUCUUUUCUUCUUACAAUCGUUUGCUGGUUUCUUUGCAGUUGAUAUCUCUUGAUAUGGGGGCACUUAUUGCUGGAGCAAAGUAUCGAGGAGAAUUCGAAGAUAGACUAAAGGCUGUACUUAAGGAGGUCACAGACUCAGAAGGCCAAACCAUCUUAUUCAUCGAUGAGAUCCACACAGUUGUUGGCGCAGGUAUGGACCAUCGUUUGUUUGUAUAAGAACAAUUUGUACAUUCAGCAAUGAUUUUGAAGAAUCUUCCUUCUUUCAGGUGCGACUAAUGGGGCAAUGGAUGCUGGUAACCUACUAAAACCAAUGCUAGGUCGAGGCGAGCUACGCUGUAUAGGCGCAACAACGCUUGACGAAUACAGAAAGUAUAUAGAGAAAGAUCCAGCCUUGGAACGCAGGUUUCAACAGGUUUACGUUGAUCAACCUACCGUGGAAGACACUGUUUCGAUCCUCCGCGGUUUGAGAGAAAGGUACGAACUCCAUCACGGAGUUCGCAUCUCAGACAGUGCUCUAGUGGAAGCCGCCAUCCUCUCUGACCGUUACAUCAGCGGCCGGUUCCUACCUGACAAAGGUUUGUUACCAUUUCAUCAUCAUAUGAUCUUCGUUAAUACACAAAUGUUACUAACUUAUUUGUUUUUUCCAGCAAUCGACUUGGUUGAUGAAGCAGCAGCCAAACUAAAAAUGGAAAUCACUUCAAAACCCACUGCUCUCGACGAGCUCGACCGUGCGGUGAUCAAGCUCGAAAUGGAGAGACUCUCACUCACCAACGACACAGACAAAGCUUCAAGAGAGAGACUAAACCGAAUCGAAACGGAGUUAGUCUUACUAAAGGAGAAGCAAGCGGAGUUAACCGAGCAGUGGGAGCACGAGAGGUCCGUCAUGUCCCGUCUCCAAUCCAUCAAAGAGGAGAUAGACCGAGUAAGCCUCGAGAUCCAGCAAGCGGAGCGCGAAUACGAUCUAAACCGCGCAGCAGAGCUCAAAUACGGAAGCCUAAACUCUUUACAGCGUCAGUUAAACGAAGCUGAGAAGGAGCUUAAUGAGUACUUAAGCUCUGGCAAGUCUAUGUUCAGAGAAGAGGUGUUAGGCAGCGACAUAGCAGAGAUCGUUAGCAAAUGGACUGGCAUCCCUGUGUCGAAGCUUCAACAGUCCGAUAGAGAUAAGCUUCUACACUUGGAAGAGGAGCUGCAUAGACGAGUAAUAGGUCAGAACCCUGCAGUCACGGCCGUAGCCGAAGCGAUUCAACGGUCCAGAGCCGGCCUAUCGGAUCCGGGCCGUCCGAUAGCUUCCUUCAUGUUCAUGGGACCGACGGGAGUCGGCAAAACCGAGCUGGCCAAGGCCCUCGCUUCUUACCUCUUCAACACGGAGGAAGCUCUGGUGAGGAUCGACAUGAGCGAGUACAUGGAGAAACACGCGGUUUCCAGGCUCAUCGGAGCUCCUCCCGGAUACGUGGGCUACGAGGAAGGAGGGCAGUUGACGGAAGUGGUUAGGAGAAGGCCAUACUCGGUCAUACUCUUCGACGAGAUUGAGAAGGCUCAUGGAGAUGUGUUCAACGUGUUUCUCCAGAUCUUGGACGAUGGGAGGGUUACUGACUCUCAGGGACGUACGGUGAGUUUCACCAAUACGGUUAUUAUCAUGACCUCGAACGUUGGCUCGCAGUAUAUCUUGAACAGCAACGCGGAUGAUGAGGGGAGUGAGCUUGGUUAUGAGACGAUUAAGCAGAGAGUGAUGGAUGCUGCGAGAUCGAUCUUUCGUCCUGAGUUUAUGAAUAGGGUUGAUGAGUAUAUUGUUUUCCAGCCUCUUGACCGUGAGCAGAUCAACAGCAUCGUCCGGUUACAGGUAUGUAUGCCUUUUCAGUUCAAAUAAAAGUUUGAAUAAUUUGGAUAAAAAGGUAUUUUGGUAAUUAGUUUUUUUCCUGUAUUUUGGUUUAUAAUUAAUAUUUUAAAAUUAAUUGAUUAUUUUAAUUAAAUAUAGUUAUUAUUUACAAGUAUAUAAUCUAUAUUAUAGAAAUUUGGGUAUUCAUUCAAUUCUCGGCUCCCCUUCUCAUUCGGUUUUUUGGUUCUAGAGAUAUAGGAUCUGAUUCGGUUUUUCAGUUCCUGGAUAAAUGUGUCCAGCACGGUUAUGCUGUUCAAGCCCUUACUGAAUCACUCUUUUUGUGUUAUAUUCCACAGCUGGCUCGUGUGCAGAAGCGGAUUGCGGAUAGGAAAAUGAAGAUAGAGAUCACAGAUGCGGCGGUGGAUCUUCUCGGAAGCCUCGGGUAUGAUCCGAACUACGGAGCUAGACCUGUCAAGCGUGUGAUACAGCAGAACAUUGAGAACGAGCUCGCCAAAGGUAUCUUGAGAGGAGAUUUCAAGGAAGAAGAUGGGAUUCUGAUCGAUACAGAGGUCACAGCGUUCUCCAAUGGUCAGUUACCUCAGCAAAAGCUCACAUUCAAAAAGAUUACGUCAGAAACGGCAGAUGCUGAGAAGGAGGAAGAAGAAGCUUUCUCAAAACAGAGCAAUUGAAAAACGACACCUUUUGGAGCCCAAGAAGUUUCGGACUUUAUAGUACAUAGCUUCUAGUGAGUUGGUUGUGACAGAACAGAAUGAUAACAUUUAUCUCAAUGUGAGAUAUAAACCAUAAGCUAAUAAGUUAUUGUGCUGAUGUCUCAAAAUCCAUAUUCUCUGAAAAUGCAAUAUAUAGUAACGUUAUAUAGUUCUCCUGUGACCUCUUAUAUAUUGGGCUUGAUUUAUUAGAGCAUGAUUAAUCCAUGCUUUUAAUUUGGGGUUUGACACUUUUUGUCUUUUUUUUUUCUUUUUUUUUUAUAUAUAUUUAUGCUAAGAACCGAUUUUUAUAUUUUUUAUUUAAGAAAAAAACUAAAAACGGUUCUUAACGAAUUUCAUCCUAAGAAUUCGGAUUAAUCAUGGUAUUAGGCUUGUGUGGCAUUUCCCCGUAUAUCUGCCAAAAAGACAUGAUGCAUCUGUUGCUUCUGCAGUUUAGGUGAAAUAUUUAGUUUGAAAAAAAAAGCUUUGCUUUUCUUGGCGUAUCGAACUGUAAACCAAAAGAAAUGUCGUGUUCAAAAACUACAAGGUCAAAAUUGGUAUUUAAAUGUUUCUGUUUGUUGGAAUUUGAGUCUCUCGAAGGGAAUGUCGACCAACCAGAUACAAUCGAAUAAGAUAAUGUCACGUUCUAUUUGCAAUCUUGUGCCCACUUGGCUCCUAAGUUUUUUCGUCUUGGCCUUAGCUUACAUGCGGACAUGAAAGAAAGAAAAAAUAGACACGAGUUAUUGCACAUGGUUUUCUUGUCUUCUUGCAAUAUGCUCGAAUAGUACAUUAGACAAUAUUCCACAUUUUCGCUAUUAUUUUUUUAGAAAUAUAUUAUUGCUAAAUUAGGCGUUUGUUUAUUUAUUAAAAUAUGUCGACAAAAAUCUAUAUGCAUUAUUAAGUGGUUGGUGAUCUAGUGAUCUUAAAAGUCAUUAAUCAAGAUCACUAGUUCAACUCUAUUUAAAAACACAAUCUAUAAUAACUUCUGAUUCUGAACAUACACUUCGAAGAUUACGGACCGAAAUUCUACCAUUAUACUUUUUCUCCUUCACUCCAUUCAUGUGUAUUCCACUAAUCCCUCUCACUUAAAUUUCGACCAUGUCAUUAUCAUUCAAAUGGGUGUAAUCCGUUCAAAUUGGUCGUGACUCGAACUAUAAACGUAUGGUAUGGUUUUAUACGACUCUCACCUUGUGGAAACUUCACUGUCAGGUACGUGGCUGAUACCACAGGUCCCCAAAGGUGCAUUAUUAUAAAGCAGCACAUUUUCUCAGAAUUUCAAGAUUAAGUGGGUAUCUGUAAGAUGUUAACCAACAAAUGCCUAACUACGAGAGAAGAUUUUGCAGUAUGUUUCUUUUUUUUUUCUGCAACCAUUACAAUAGUUUAUUCUGCCUUUAACUUUUUGAUGAUCAAAUAAUUUAUUUUAUUCACAACGUUAAUAUCAGAGUGUGUGUUAGUUAUAUGGCUUACGUCCCAUGUGGUCAAUCCAUAGGUAGGUACAUUACGUAUAAGUAAACAAGUAUCAAUUUAUCAUACAACAAAAAAAUCUAUCAAUGAUUAUAUUAUGAUGAUAGAGACAAAUAUCAAUAUAGAAUCAUGAAGCAUAUUCUUUGUACAAUUGAUUGCAAAAUAUCAAGUCUGUGAAACCGUUUUUACUGCAUGGUAUGAUAGUAAAUUAUUUAUACGUACACAUACUACACGUCUAUAUCCUCAAAUUAGAAUUAUAAGAUGUCCUAUUAUAGCAAGUAAAUUUGAUUAAAGCUUAUCUAAAUUUCAAUGAUUGAGCAAUAAGAAAUAACUUCAAUGAUUAUAGCAUGUACAUUUGAUAAGGCUGAUCUAAACUUGAAUGAUUCAACUAUAAUAGACACUCAACUUCUAUAAUAAUUGAAAUGGGUCAGGUCCACAUUGGGUCCCCUUGUAAUCUUCAUGAUCUGUACGGAAUCCAAUUUGUUCAGUGUCUCUGUUGUGGGCCAAUGCUACCUCUUUACUAACCACACACAUCUCUGACACUUGACAACUCACCCCUCAUCGUCAAAAUCCGGUUCGGUUUCCGAAUUAGGUGAAACUUCGGUUUAGUCUAUUGCACCGGAUCCUAACAAUAAACCGAAUCCUAUCAGAGACGUACGUAUCACACACUCUCCCUUCCCCUAUACAAUCUAUCAAAUACCUCUCUCUCCAAUCUCCACCUGCAAAUCUUCUGUCUCUCCCAUGGUGGUUCCUCUGUUUCAAUCAUGCCCUCUCACACCAACUUCCUCUUCAGGUAUAGUUUUAUAUUAAUUCGUUUAAAUGUUCAGUAAUUUCGAAAAUGUAUUUUUGUUUCUUCACUAAACGGUGACAAGCUUCCUAUGAGAACGUAUUAUUUUCUCGAGAAACAGUUUUCCUGGAAAAUCACUUCGUUUCCUUAACUGUUUUAUACCUUUGAAGCCGCCAUGCAUAGAUCGAUUUGCCUCUUAUGCUCGUUUAGUGAGUGAUUCACGAUUCGGAUUUUCAGGUGGAUUGGACUGUUUUCUCAGAAACUCCGCCGGGAAACAACUGGAAUCUCGGAAAACAACGGUGGAGAAUCGAGCAGCAGCAGCAGCAGCGACGACACGCCGGUGCUGAGCUCCGGCGAGUGUUACGCAUGCACUCAAGUAGGCGUACCGGCCUUCCACUCCACAAGCUGCGAUCAAGCCAACACGCCGGAGUGGCGCGCCUCAGCCGGGUCCUCCCUAGUCCCGAUCCAGGAAGGAUCCGCACCCGACCCGGUUCGAGCCCGGCUCAGACGUCUCAAGGGCCCGUUCGGGGAAGUUCUCGAUCCCAGGAGCAAGCGCGUGCAGAGAUGGAACCGCGCGUUGCUUCUAGCUCGCGGGAUGGCCUUGGCGGUGGAUCCGCUCUUCUUCUACGCGCUCUCCAUCGGGAGAACUACUGGACCCGCGUGUCUUUACAUGGACGGCGCGUUCGCUGCUGUUGUAACGGUCGUUCGCACGUGCCUCGACGCUCUUCACCUCUGGCACGUGUGGCUUCAGUUUAGGCUGGCUUACGUCUCGAGAGAGUCACUCGUCGUUGGGUGUGGGAAACUCGUUUGGGAUCCACGCGCCAUCGCGUCACACUACGCACGCUCCCUCACUGGCUUCUGGUUUGAUGUUAUAGUCAUCCUCCCGGUUCCGCAGGUUAAAAACUUUUUCAGAAAAGCCUUCAAACUAUUCCGAUAUUAUUGAAAUAACCAUAAACAUUUUAUUAGAGUCAAUUAAGCCCCCACGAAUCAAUCGAAAGUGUUAUUGUUUGCUUGCAGGCUGUGUUUUGGUUAGUGGUGCCAAAACUGAUAAGAGAAGAGAAGGUUAAGCUGAUAAUGACGAUCCUUCUGCUGAUCUUCUUGUUCCAGUUCCUCCCCAAGAUUUAUCACUGCAUCUGCUUGAUGAGAAGGAUGCAGAAGGUCACUGGUUACAUUUUCGGAACUAUUUGGUGGGGUUUUGCUCUUAACCUCAUCGCAUAUUUCAUCGCUUCUCAUGUAAGUCCAUGCUAAGAAAAUGAUUAUGCACAAAAUCAACAACUAAAUAUCAAAUUCCAUGCUGAGAAAAUGAUACUAAAGCUUGUCUAUUCAUGGAAUCUUUUUGUGUGGUUACAGGUAGCUGGGGGAUGCUGGUAUGUUCUUGCAAUACAGCGUGUUGCUUCUUGUAUCAGACAGCAAUGCAUGAGGACCGCGAACUGUAACCUGAGUCUGUCUUGCCAAGAAGAGGUCUGUUACCAAUUCGUGUCACCCACUAGCACAAUUGGAUUUCCUUGCUUAUCCGGAAACCUCACUAGUGUGGUUAAGAAGCCUAUGUGCUUAGACUCUAACGGACCAUUCCGAUAUGGUAUCUACGGUUGGGCACUUCCGGUCAUCUCCAGCAACUCUCUUGCGGUUAAGAUACUUUACCCUAU